AAUUUUCAUAAUUUUCUGAGACUGUGCAUUUUCUGCUAAUUUAUCUGCCCCGUUUCCAACAGAAAAUUCUAAAUCUUCUGUUUUAAUUCCGAUUUCAACACAGGUCAUUCCCAACUUAUAUUUCACUUUUCUAAAUUCAAUAAAAAUAGUAUCUCAGACUAUUUUUAUUUAUUUCUAUUUUUAUAUUUAAAUCCGGUAUAUUACAUUACACCGCAACCUUACCGGAACCAUUCAAAUGGCUCUCCAACCAAAUGGACACCGUAACCUCAUGAUUUUAGAAGUCCGGUACCUUACAUUCUCCCCUUCUUAAUAAGAGUUUCGUCCCCGAAACUCAAAUCACUCCUUAACUCGACUUAUCGAGCAAUCGGAAAUUCCAAUGCACUUUUCCACCUCGGAGUGGCCUUUCACUUAUUAGAACUGUUCAAAGGCCCACCUCGGAGGAUGUGGGACUAGAUAUGCUCACAUUUGCUAUGUGCAACAUCAAAAGUGCAUUAUCUUCGAGCUCUCCAGCUCCUCCACAGAGCCACCGGCUGAACCGAUUACGUCGGCUUCCACAAGUGGACCAACGGUCCCAAAUACUACGUAGGCCCGGCGCCUAAACCUGUCGCAACUACGCAUAGCGUCUCUCGCUCGCAUCGCAGACCCAAUCAUAACCGGGCGAAAUUCUCACUUGGGAAUUCGCACACACUCCAACCAGGAGCAACCAAGACCCCAAACCACGUCAAGUCCUCGGGUUGGGUCACAUUCAAACUUGGCGCAUCAUCGGUCACACGACCUACGCAUAGCAUUCCACGCUUUCCGGGUCUAAGCUCGGACUACCGCCCCGACCAAAACUCUGCCCUACCUAUAGGUAUCGGGGCGCUGUCACUCACAGCUGACUGUGCCUGCCCAAUGGGCUCAGGCUCCACAGUCCACAAAUGGUCCAGGCAUGGGUCGUCCCUAAGCACUACCCGUUAACGUCAUCCUACACGACAUGCUCUAUAGAGCUACGCACUCUAACGGCUCCUAGGCACCUAGUGCGAGCCACCAGCCCUACGAGUGAUCCAUGGCCCGCUUCACACUUAGCCCUGCUGAAGUGCUACUGCCAAUUCACUCCCGGCUGAAUCGAAACCGCACUUCACGAGUACUACACUCGAGCGCUCUACACAAGCCCGGCAUUAGGCAACUCUGCCUAAGCGCACUAACAACACGAGCAUGACUCGCCCAAUAAUAGCCACCAGCAAUUUGCUAGUGCCAACAAGCUCGCUACCUGCAACAGCAGGCGCUACACUCUCACCGCAUAAGCACGCUCGGGUGUCUACGCUAACCCGUCCACUUGGUCCCUACUACAGUAACACAUACAAGUAGUAGCCAAUGACCACAAGAAAACGCAUACAAUUUCUUAAGUCUACAUCAUGCAGAAACGUGUGAUUGCCUCAAUUAAAUCAUACCUGCCACGAUGUCACGCUCCUCGACCUCAACAGGUCCCUCUAACUGAGCUGCAACCGCUCGACCGCUCGGAGCCGACCGGGUCACCUCGAGCUGACGCGGCGCCAUCGCACAUCCCACCGAUACAGCAGCUGGCGGAACUCCACCAAACUGCCUCGGAGCCACUGGGGCGAACGUAACAAAUGGUGCAGGCGACGCUCCCUCUGGGCAGUAACGGCUUAUAUGCCCCGCCCGACCACACCUGAAGCACCGUCCCGCCCUAUGCUGACAAUUUCCUGCGCGAUGCUCUCCACCGCAGAUCACACAUCGCCUAGGUCCAUAGCCAUCGGACCACCUGACCCGAUACUUCGGGGGCUUUUGGGAACUAAACUGUCCCCCCGAACUACCGCCAGGUCGUUUCUUUACCCCACUCUCCUUGAGCGCCUCGCGUUCCUGUCUCACUUCCCCAGCUGCCGCAUCGAGUAUCGUAGGACCCGAAGACGCCAGAGGAACACUAACCGACGGGGAAUGUACAGCCAUCGGAACCGCUGCCAGGCCCUCACCCUCAGCCGCAUCAAGCGCGCGAAUCGAGGGCGCGGGCAGACCACGACCUUCAGUCGUCGUCGCGGCCGCCGCCGCUACCAGCUGCUCCAAACACUCCAGGAGCCGCUCGAUCAAAGCCCCUUGGUGUUGAACCACGCCAACUAGUGCAGUCAUCUGCGCCCACAGUUCUUGCACUUCGCUUGAUCCAACUUGUUUUGGCACCUCAGCAGGCUGUGCCGGAACGGAUCUACGCACGUAGUGUCUCAUUGGUGCCAUUAGCUCCUGAAACACAAGAACUUGGUUAAUCACCUUAGCCCAUUAACUUCGCCUUAACAGCGAAACAACGCGACUCAAUCGGGCGAAAGUCACACAAGGGCGUCUAUUCUCAUAAAUUGGUUUUAUGUUGUCACGCGCCAACAUGAACACACUUGGCUGAGAAUACACCACACCUUGAAUCUACCUCUAAUAUCCGUCUUAGAGGUUUACAAAACUUGAUCCAAUCGAUUCAACUUCCGCCACCAUAUAGGUUCACGUUCCACUCACGCACCUAUAACCUUAGGGUUCACCGUCCUAGGGUCUCCUAGGUCCAUCCUAGACUCUCUCUCUUUGCUUGCUCUUAACUCGCUCUGAUACCACCACUGUCACGCCCCCGCCCCGAGGCCGCUACCGAAUUUGGCACGGUUCCGGCGCGUAUCGACGAACGGAGCGAAGGACAGAGUCUCCCCUGUCCGCCAAGGCUCAAAUGACGAGAUGUGUACAACAAGAUUCCCAGGGAAACACUUGAAUACAUAACAAUCAUAACAACACGAUAAAGCACAAACAGUGCUGAACAAUACAAGAGCAAGCGUCACGAGUAGUAGAAACAACGUGAAACAAAAGAGGAUACUUAACUAUUCUUUACAACAUUCAACUCGAUAUUCAUUUAAUUACACAUUGCAUUCUUUUCAAACUAUGAUAUAAGCUUACAUUUUCAAAGAUAAACAUUAGUUUCAUUUAUCUCAAAAUACCUCACAUCCUAUACAUUAUCUACUCUCAUACAUGUAUAGGGUAACUCUAAUGCAAAAUAGGAAAGUAACUAGCCAACUAGCAACUAGGGCGCUAAGCCCAUACGCGCAUCCUCUACGAUCCGCUCUGUGUGUACUGUACCCAAAACCACAGCGGGUGAGAACUAUAAUAAAUAUAGUUCCCAGUGGGUUCGGCCGCCGCAUUCCGCCGAUCUUCCCAUAGGUCCAAGUGCACAGAUAGAUAGAUAGAAAGAUAUAUGGAAAUACUACUACUAUACUACUUAUGCCAUCAAAUGCAAAGUUGCAAUGGAACAUCAUCUAGCAACAAUCUACUAUCAUGCUAAUAUGCCUCAACAGUGAAUGAAUACAAACACAACAUAGUUAUGCAGUGUCUAUGUCUAAUCAUGGAUAUGAAUGCAAUGCUCUUAUUGUAUUCAUGUUAUUACCCAAUCCGCUAGGCUACUUUGCCUAAGAUCUCAAAUCUAGUAGGUGAAAAGCUAGUGCCUCAUUUUUCUCACUCGCUCAUAUCUCAAAGGUCUGACCAAUCUGUGAGUCCCAGCAAAGAUUACCCCGCCCCUCCCCGACUCACAUCUCAAGUCCUAGGCAAGGCUACCCCGCACUUUGCCCAACUCACAUCUCAAGUCCUAGGCAAAGGUAACCCGCACUUUGCCCGACUCACAUCUCACCUACUAGGUAUAGGCUACUCAGGCUCAAAUCUCAUAGGUGAAGGAAUAGUAUGUCCACCACUGUAUGUAGAGCAAAUCCACUAAUCAACACCAAGCGACUAUACUCAAUGGUCGAUACAAUCAUAGUAAAGGCUAGUCUACCAUUACCACGUAGGUUCUCCUAAUAAGAGCUAUCAUUAUGAUCAUCCAUACGCCGUAAGCUAAAGCCAAUAUGAACAACAAUAAUGAGUAUGACUCAAUAGGUAACCAAAUCUCGUGGUGAACACAAGGUUCACAAGCAAGGCUCACAUAUCAAUCUCCGAGGGAUGCCUAGCUGGACUAUCCCCGAGUACGCCUGCGGAUAACAAGCGGCUAUCCGAGCAGCAAGCAGGGCUGCCUCUCUAGUGACCAAUCUCCGGAGCGCACAACUUGAGGGGAGCGACUCCACCAAGCGCAGACAGGCAAUGUGAGCAUGAUCAACUCACGAGCAACAACAACCCUUAGAGGGUAAUCUUAGCAUAGAUCAACAGUUCUUGUACCCAAUCUCAUAGUGUUUCAACUACACUAAUGUUCUCAUGUCAAGGUUAUCAACAAUCAUAUGCCUCACAUCAUAGUUUUCUAUAACUAGAUGCCACUUGUCAUAGUUUUCUAAACUAGAUGCCACUCGUCAUUUAGACUCAUUUCAACACUAGUUACAUCAUACUAGUUCUUAGCAACUUAAGCAUUAAUCAUCUCACAUAGGGUCUAGGUCCUUAUCAUAAAGUUUUCAUCAUAUAAUCAUCAUGCAUACUAGAUCAUGAAUCAAUCAUCAAGAUGUAUAGCCACUAGCAUGCAAAUAUGAGCAAUGACCAUAAUCAUUUAGCAUCUAAAUGCAAUGAAUACGAUAUGCAACUUGAUCGAUUAAUGUACUCAACUAUGGUUUAAUCCACAUUAAUCAUGCCCUUACAGGGUUUCACCACACUAAGUCCCAAUCUCAUGCAUACUAGGUACAAGUAUUAAUCAAGUAACACUACACUCCCACUAGCAUGCCAUGACAUGUAACAAUUGCCAACUAGUACCCUAUAAAGCAAUAUCCCAAUAUGCAACUUGAUCAAUGUUAACUAGAGUUUCUAUAGUACAACAACCAAUCCAUUACUAAGUUCAAGUCAUAUGUGUUUUUAGCACAAUAAGUUCAAUGCCACUUGUAAACUAUGUCUUUAAACACAACACUAGGUUCUCUCUCAUUUAGCAUCAUAGGUUUACCAAUGUCAUCUCAUAAUCCUUAUGUCCAUUACAUCGUAUAUCCAUAUCAUAAUACUAUAUUGAUCAUAAGCAUCAUAUAAGGAUUAGGAAUGCAUGUAUUGUCAUCCUAUAAUGCAGUGGUAUCGUAUACAAUAUGCUACAUGUUAUAUGGAUAAGUACUUAAACUGGAAUUAAUCUCGGUGAUGGCACCCCCAUUUAUCGGUUUCGGAUUGUGAUUUUCAUUCCCGCGGCGCCGCGCUCGGAUUACCAAUCGGCGCGCGGCACAAACGACCUUCGAUAGCGAUUGGAAUUAAAGGUCUCAGGUUUUUGUCACGAUGCUUCAAAUCGUUUUCCAGGAUUUCGAGUCGCCUCGGCCUCAGGCAGGAAACGAGUGUGUUUAACGUCGUUUCUUUAAUAUCUUUGUAACGGUCGUGGAUUGCGAACCCGUUUCGCCAUGAGCGUUUUGUUACUAGCAAUUAGUUUUACGAAGGGUCAAAUGGAUCAAAUCCUAUUAUUUUGAAAGUUACCUUUAGCGACGGUAUUACAAUAUGCAAGAAAUCAUUUUAGAAAUGUGUCUAUGAUUCAAGAUUAAUCAUUUUAGGCUUCAAUGUGGUUCACUAAUACCUUCAAAGAUUUAGACCUCUCUUUUAGAGAUUAACAAUUAAAGCUAUUUGGGUUCAAUAGUAUACCUUAGAAUUAGGAUCUAGAAUAGACCCAUUUCUUAGCAUCUGGAGAAGCUACAAAUUUCGUUUCUAGAUUAAAACUGUGUAUAGUUUGAAUGCCAUUAAAGUUUAAGCUUACCUUCAAAGGCAUGCAAUAGAGGAGGAAGAAGAUGAAGUUGAUUUGAGAUCAUAUUCUGUCUUACUUCUCCACAAAUCCAUCACAAUUUUAGGAGAGAUUUAGAGAGAGAAAGGGAGCUUUAGAGAGAGAGAGGGAGAGUUUCUCUCUCCUUCAUUCCAUGCGUGUGUGCGUGUGAUGCUUGGGUGUGCACGGUUGAGGGGAGAAGAAGAAGCUGUUGCUUCUCUUAUAAUUAACACCCCUCAAAACACUAUUCAUCCCGGGCAGCUUGAAAUCUGAUAUCUUUCGCCGAAGCUCCCUGAAUGUCCGUUUGAGCUCAAACUUGACAGUCAUGUUCGGUUUUACUUAACUUAACAAGCUGACGAUCACUGGUUCAGUUUCGACCCCGUUUGGUCACUAAAAACUGUACCGAACUGCAAUCUUUAUCAGAUAGCUUUCGGAUUUUAUUUCUCACUCUACGGGUGUCAGAAAAAUAUGAAACCUUAAAUCUAGCCUCAUAAAAAUAUUUCUGACAUCUCUGCCAAUUUUCAUAAUUUUCUGAGACUGUGCAUUUUCUGCUAAUUUAUCUGUCCCGUUUCUCACAGAAAAUUCUAAAUCUUCUGUUUUCGCUCCGAUUUCAGCACAAGUCAUUCCCAACCUAUAUUUCACUUCUAUAAAUCCAAUAAAAAUAGUAUCUCAUACUAUUUUUAUUUAUUUUUAUUUUUAUAUUUAAAUCCGGUAUAUUACAUUACACCGCAACCUCACCGGAACCAUUCAAAUGGCUCUCCAACCAAAUGGACACCGUAACCUCAUGAUUUUAGAAGUCCGGUACAUUACAUAGGGUUUGGUAGCUUACCUCUUGAGCUACACCAAUGAGAAGAGGAGAGGGAGAUGAAGGUGUCCAAGGCCUUCCUCUUUAUCUCCUUCUUCUUCUCCUCCAUUUUCUUCUUCUCCUUUUCCUUCCUCUCCUUCUUGUUCUUUCUUUCCUAGAGAGAGAGAUGGAGCAAGAGAGGGUGUGAGAGAGAGAGAGAAUGAGAGGCUGAGGGAGAGAGAGAGGGCCUACAUACCCCUCUAUUGUAACAAAAUCUAUUUUAGCCCCUCAACUUUUCACUCUGUACACAGCCCUCACUAGGCAUUCUGCGCCCAGAGGGACCGGUCCCUCGUCGGGGAGACCGGUCCCCGAGAGCAGUCCUGGCGGCCAGAAGGCCUCUUCGCGUUCGGGAACCGGUCCCUCCCUGGGAGACCGGUCCUCAGGAGACCGGUCCUCGCCUGAGAGACCGGUCCCCGAGAGCUCGAUUUUCAGGACUUAGCCGAUUUUGGCCUUCUCUCGCUGGCGUCACACACGGGGACCAGUCUUCUCAGCCAGGGACCGGUUGCAUCAAAGAUCCCCAGCAACCACCAGCCUCGGGGACCGGUCUCUUCCUGCCAGGGACCGGUCCCCGAGAGCAACUUCAGCUCAGUGCAGGUUUUGCACUAUAUGCUCUCGCGGACUCAACUCCAAUACACUUUUUAUGUUUUGGAUAACUUUAACUUUCCCGAAGGAUACUCACUCGACAAUUAGUCGAUCCUGGAUGAAGCACAACUCUCGGAUUUCGAGAAUUCACUUCCUUACAUUUAUACUCAUAAGUUGUUUUCAAUGAUAAAGCUUCCGAAUCGACGAUCCACUCCAUUAAAUAUGAUUUAAAGUAUUUGAAACUUCUAGAAAAUGAAAUUUGUAAUUUUUUGAAAUCAUAAUAAAGUUCAUCAACCGGGUAUAAAAUGAACGGUCAAAAUCGAACGGUGUUUUAAAAAUGGAUGAUCGGAUCCUCUAAUUUAAGAUCAGAGUAAUUAAUCUUUAUCUAUGUAGUGAAUAGAAUUUCUAUCAAAAAUUUAACCGAUUCCGAUUCUUUUACACCGUUAAACUAGUAAAUAUCCUAUACCGGCGGUUAAAAAUUGUCGAUUUUGUCACACCCGAGGACUGAUCCCUUUGGCCGGUCCGGGCACGUCGAACAGACGCCGGAGGGACAGCAUCUCUCCUGUCCACCCAAGGCUCAACAACAAGUACAAAUCACAUAGAGAAAUUUGCACAAGCGAAAAUAUACAUAAUUGGCUUGCACAAGGACAAGCAAUAGCCAAAGUGAAAGUACUAAACUAAACAUGCAUACAAGUAAUAUGAUUAACUUUUAACCACAUACAUGCAUUCAACAUUUGUAUUCUUUUACAUUCUUUUGCAUCAUCUUUUUUUACAUCACAUAUUCCCAAAAUGAACAUUUUCAUUUAACAUUGUUUACAACAUCUCUAAUAUAUCUAUAAUCAUCAAAAUACAAAAGAUGAUAUAAAGGGGAAUGCAACUACACAAAAUAUAAACAACACGGGUGGUCACUGUCUAUGGCGCGAUACCUUUACCGCGAUCAUCGGCCGGCUCACUCGGUCCCGGCUCUGUGGAAAAAAGGGGGGUGAGAACUACAACAAAGUUCCCAAUGGGUUCAGCCGCCGACCUCGCCAACUUUUCCACUAGGUCUAAAUCAAGCAUAAUAGAAGAAUAGAUAGAUAGUAACCAACUAAGCAAAUGCAGCUAAUAUGCCUGAACAAUAUAAACAAUGCUAUGCUUAAAUAGAAUGCUCAUGAUGAAUGCAAGUUCACUUUUCCUUUACACAAUCUCCUGGCUAAUCCGUCGGGCCCUGAGCUUCCUCCCGUCGGAUUCCAUAACUCACCAACUCAAAUCCCUAAUAUCGGGCCCUCGGCUUCCUCCCGAUGGGACCGUCUUCUAGGGCUUUCCCUUCCCAGUAAUAACAACUCCGGAGCUCAUCGCUCGAGGAGGAGCGACCACCCUCAAGCUAAAACUUAUAGGCAAGUAUGAUCAAUCCUUAACUUUAAGGAUUCCAAUGCUCAUAUGACCCCUAACUUUAAGGUUGCUAUGUCAUUAUAUCAACAAUCUCACUUACUUGCAUUUCUUUACAUUCAUGAUGCCACACACAUUAAGUGUUCUUUAACUUUUUUCAUGCAUUCAUUUUACUCAUUAGUGUCACGUGCACUACAUAUUCUUUAUACUCAAUCACUAAUGCCACACAUGAGUUGUUCAUCUCUAGCAUUCAAUAUGUUUACUAAUGCCACUUUACUAAAAGUCCAACUCUAGCAUUCAUAGUCUUUACUAAUGCCACACAACUCAUAUGUCAUAAUGUCAUUUUGCUCUCAACUAUGUUCCUUGCCUUUCUAGAUUCUUGUCAUCAUUCAUGAUAUAUAGGGUUUCACAAGUUCUCACUAAUUUAUCAUCAUCUCACAUGCAUUUGUAUUCACAACAUCCAACACAUACUCACAUUUCACCCUAUAAUGCAUAAUGGUCAUAUAUAACCCAUACUCAAGAAAUGACACUUAGACAUAAAAGGAAAUUCAUCGAAUUCAGAAAGCACCACCCACCUUGUAUGGUUGCAAGGGUGCUACGGUUCAAUUCUCACGAUUUUUGGGCGCCUAUUCCACGUGAUGCGGCAAUCUGUACCAAAACCGACAUUUUCGUCAAUUUCUUCGCUUACACUCAUCGAAUCACCCAACCGAGUUCAUAUUCUAGUUAGAAAUACCCCUAAUUAGGUUUCUACAAGGUGAAUUUGCCUUUAAACCACUCUAGGGCAAAAGCCCCAAAUUUUGGUACCCUAACAAUGUUAUUUGCCCAAUACCUUAGUUUGCUCUCUAAAACAAGCAAAUGCAAGCUUGUUGAACCUCUAGGAACUCAUCUAGAACCAUUUCUAGGUCAUUCAAACUAUUUCUAGGGCAUACAAACCGAACCCUAUAAAUCUACCAUGAGAGCUCAUGAAGAAAACAUAGUUUUCAUGUGUUCCAUGGCCUCAACAAGAUUUCUAUACAUGUAAGAAGACCAAAACCCAAGAUCUAGGGCAUAAAAUCCAAGCCCUAACCUCAAUCUUACAAGAAAACCUCACCUUAGCCCAAAGCCCUCCAAGGUCCACCUUGUAGGAGAGUUCCCAAGCCUUCAAAAUCCCAAAAAUCUCCUCCAAAUCCUUCUCCAACUCCUCCUCUUAGUUCCUUGGAGAGAUCUCUAGAGAGAGAAAGAGAGGAAUGAGAGAGAGAGGGGUACUUGCUGUUGUGAAAAGGUGGGAGGGGUGUUGGGGAUUUUUAUAAGGUGCUACAAUGGCAGCUAGACCCCUCUCCUUUUCAUAUUUGCAGCAGACCAAAGUCUGCUGCGAGGUCCAUUUAGUAUCGGUACAAGCUCAGUUUGUCACCGGUAACAUGAUCGCGCAACAGCCAAACCCGAGAGCUGCUGUUUCAGGUUUUACACUUAGCACUGGUACACACCAGGGGUGUCAUCGGUUCAACAGCCGAAUUUUCUUGAACCCAAGAGCUGCUUCUCUCGGUCAGCUGUCUGGUAGCGGUACAAGCUCAAUGCAUUACCGGUGACAAAAGCUCCAGACUUGAGUUUUGCACCGUUUCGACUCUAAUUCGCAUCGAGCAAUUAAAACCUUUCUAACUCUUUUAGAACUCACUUUUAACUCUACCAAUAUUGUUGGAAUAUUAAAUUGACUUUGUCCAACUAUUUUCUCUCAGACACUUUGGUCAAUUUGACUAAAGUCCGGUAUACACUACCGAGGUUUCGGUAUAUUACAAAUUUUGUGACCUUUUGAUCAUAAGGUAAAUAAUGUCGAAAAAUUAUAAAAUUUGAUUUCUAGACGUUUUACAUGCUCUAGAUAACGUUUAAUGGUGUGGAUCGUCGAUUCGGAAGCUCUAUCAUCGAAAACAACUUAUUAGUACGAGGGCGAUUGUAAUAUACUGAAACUUGGAGUUGCGAUGUCAACUUUGAUCUAGAGGAUCAAAGUGAGGAUUGAGCUAGUUGGACAUCAUCCUUGAGUGAUUUGUGAUGCGUGUGAAUGAAUUCUGGAGAGAAAUAAGUGUUUCGGCGCAAAUUGGGCGCGAAACGAAAUAUAAAGAGAAUUUUCGGAUUUUCGACGCUAACUUUAAUUAAAAGAAUUAAAGUGAGGCGUAAGGAUAAAUUGUGGUAUCUCCGAAUCAAUUGUGAAGUUUUGGAAAAGCCAAGGGUGUGUUUUCACAGGGUUUUGAAGUGCUCAGUGCGAAGUGGUAGUGCAAAAAGGAAGAAAUUGCUGCCAUGUAAUGGAAUUGGAGCUGAUUCUAUUGCUAAUUCGGCUCAAAUAAUGUCAAAAUGAAAAGGAAUUGCUUCCAAAUUAAAUUAGUAGCUUGUGAAGGUCCCUUGGUAUUUUUUGGAAGUGUUUGGGCGAAAUCGGAGUGAAGACAGAAAAGUUAGAAUUUUCUGUAAAGGACGGGACUGAGAAAUUAGCAGAAAAAUGCACAGUGUCAGAAAAUUAUGAAAAUUGGCAGAGAUGUCAGGAACACCUACCUUGAGACCGUCCGUUGAAUCACCUUUAGGUGAUUUCGUACCCAAUUAAUGGUAUUACGGGGAGCUGAAUUCAGGUACAUCGCUGUGCCUAGUUCAUGGAAAGCAUUCGGGAAGACUGUCAGGCUAACUCGAGUUUAAACCGUCCGUACGAGCCAAAAGGAAUUGUUCAGGUGACUUUAAAAUUGUAAAGUCAAAGUUGGGGCAAACCAGUGACGCUUGACAGGGCUUGACAUUAGACAUAGUCUAUUGAAAGCCUACGGUAAAGAGAGAGAUGUCCACAGUCUUAUAAUACUUUGAAGUUUCGAUAGGAGUAUUGUCNUUGCGCAACGGACUUAAGUCGAGGGGCAUUAUGGUAAUUUCAGCAUGCUUAGUGGAUUUCCACUAAGUUCCCUGCCAGGGAACUUCGAUCAUUAUCUCCCCCUCUUCAUGCUGCAUACGUAGGGAGAGAAGAAGAAGAAAAGAGAAGAAGAAGAAGAAGAAGAAGAAGAAAAAGAAGAAAAGAGGUAAGAUUUUAACCUCUCCCUCUUGCCUCUCUCUCCCUGCAUCUUGCCUCUCUCUCCCUGUUGUCAGCUUCAGCAGCAGCAGCAGCAGCUUAGCCUAGCUGCUGAGCAGUCAGCAGCAGCAGCAACCUCAGCAGCAGUUAGCAGCAGCAGCCUGAGCAGGACCAGCAGCAGCAGUAAGAACAGCAGCAGCAGCUUCAGCAGCAGCAGCUGCUGUCAGCAGCAGCAGCAGCAGCUCAGCCUAGCUGCUGUCAGCAGCAGCAGCAGCCAGUCAGCAGCAGCAGCAGCUCAGCUGCAGGGGAAGCAAGAAAGAAAGAAAAGAAAUGAAAGAAAGAAAGAAAGAAAGAAUAAGAAGAAAAAUAAAAGAGAGAAAAUGAGAUAGAGAGAAAGAUGGAAUUGAAUUAUUUGGGGAUUGUUGUGAGACCUCUAAACUAAUUGUUUCAAGGUUCUUGGGCUAGUAAAGAGUUGAAUCACUCUAUUGAAAUUGUGAAAUUGCAUUGAAACAGGUUUCUAUAGAAACUGGCCUCGAUAUUGAACUUUUGCGGGAUAGAAGUCCUAAUGUGAAAUUGACUGCGUACAAACCUAAUUGAGGGUAAAAGAAACGCAUUGGCGAAGUCGGUUCAGCAAUCCGUCGAGCCUACACGAAGAUAUCGCCAAAAGAACAGUUUCGGCGACAAGUGUUGGGAGCGCGGGUCGCGAUUCGUGGAAAAGUGCGAGAAGUGGAUUUCUCUCAUUCCAGUACCAAGUAAAGGUGGGGUGUGCUUUACCGAAGUGAUUAGAUCACUUCCAUGCCAAAGUAAAAUAUGGUUUCAUUUGACGCAUAUAUGACUAUGAUUGUCGACAUAUGGACAUAAUGCUAAUAUCUAUGUAUAUGAAUAGGCAUACAUGAUUAAUGAUAUAUGAAUGCAUUAUGAUCAAUGCUAGAUGAUGUAUGAUGAUAAUCCGAUGAUGAACAUGCUAGAGGCAUAUGAAUAUGUUGUAGAGCAUGCUAGAUACAUAUAAUUGUCGAUAUGUGAACGUGAAAGUUAAAUGUAUAAUUAUGCUAAAUUCAUAUGUACAAAUACAUGAUAUAUCAAUAUUGAACCUGUAAAUGCCAAGGGCACGUAAGCUGAAUACGAAUUGUGAACAUAAGCUAAAGCCUACAUAAGUGUUGCCACGUAAAAGUGGAAGUUUAAUGCCUAUGUCUAAACAUAUAUAUAAGUGAAUGUCGACAAUUCUAAUUGACUGAAAACCUCGAUGGUAACAAGAUGAGUGAGAAUAUGAAAGCUAUGAACCUCAUGUUAAAUCCCUAAGAAUUGGGUAUAAAUCGACAUCUCCAAUUGAGUAGAAAUUUGGAUGGUAACAAAGUAAAUGAAAAUGUGCAAAUUAUAACCCUAGUUGUGGAUAACUAGGAUGAUGAAUAGAUCGAGUGGCAUUAGCCUAGUAUUAUUGAACAUAGGUCGGACAUUAACCUAGUGUCAUUGGACAUAGGUCAAGCAAGUAAACCUAGAGUUGAGAUCUAGGAGAAAGAAUAUUAAACCUAGUGUAAAUGAACCUAGGUUAUGAUGUAAAGAAACACUCAGUAAAAGUAAACUAAGUUAUGAAUUAUAAUGGUAAUCGGACCACUAGAAAGUGAAUAGUAUAGACCUAGAAAGGUCGUCAACAUAGGGUAAAAGAGUAAAACCCUUCAGUUGUGAAAAUGGAUUCCGGAAUCCCUAGAAAUGGUGUGAUGGCAAGAAUAGAAUCAUAACUACGGGAUUGACGGUUCUCCUCUCCCGGUAGUGAUUCAACGGGAUCGACGGUUCUCCUCUCCCGGUAUGCCAUGAAACAAGUGAAUCGGAAUUACGGGAUUGACGGUUCUCCUCUCCCGGUAGUGAUUCAACGGGAUCGACGGUUCUCCUCUCCCGGUAUGAGCUAACGGGUUUGACGGUUCUCCUCGCCCGUUAAGCUUGAGCGACUUAGGGUCACAGGGAUCGACGGUUCUCCUCUCCCUGUGAUGGACCUAGUGUCGCGUGGACUUAAGGCUGAGGUGCUUGUGAGACGUCCUUCACCUCGAGCCUGACUUGACGCGGUACUCCGCGGAUGAUUGACUCAAGACCGAGUCGAGUGGCAUAGAUGGCUAAGGUAAAANAGUAUUUGAAGUACUUAGAAAAUAAAUUUUAUGAUUUUUCGAUAUCAUUUGCCUAGUGAUCGAAGGUACUCAAAAUCAAUAAUUUUAUUGGUCGUGGUGAGCGUUUGCAAGUUUAACGGUAUAGAAAUAUCCAAAUCACUUGAAAUUUUGAUAGAAAUUUUUUAUACUAUAUAAAACAAGAUCAAUAUCUUUGAUCUAAAAUUUUAAUGUCGUAUUAUCACGUUUUGUAAGAUUUUUAUUUUCAGCCGUUGAUUUUGGGCCCCUUAGUUCACUAGGCAAAUGAUAUCGAAAAAUUACAAAAUUUAUUUUCUAGGUACUUCAAAUACUCUAGAUCAAUUUUAACGGAGCCGAUCGACGAUUCGAAAGUCGCAACAUCAAAAACAAUAUGGAAGCACGGAAGACUCCGUGCUUCCAGAAGCAUAGUAGCCUCACUCUAUAUAUAUAUAUAGUAGGGCUACUAUACUCUUAUGAGUAUUGGGCCCUUCGUACUCAUAAGUUGUUUUCGAUGAUGGAGCUUCCGAAUCGACGAUCUACUCCGUUAAAUAUGAUCUAGAGUAUUUGAAACCUCUAGAAAAUAAAUUUCGUAAUUUUUCGAAAUCAUAAUAAUGUCCAUCAAGCGGGCAUAAAAUGAACAGUCAAAAUCAAACGACGUCUUGAAAAUGGAUGAUCGGAUCCUUCACUUUAAGAUCGGAGUUAUUGAUCUUUAUCUAGGUAGUGAAUAGAAUUUUCUAUCAAAAAUUCAACCUAUUCGGAUUCUUUUGCACCGUUAAACUAGCAAGUAUUCCAUACCGGCCGUUAAAAAUUGUCAAUUUUGUGAGCUUUUGAUCGUAAUGAUAAAAAUGAUGUCGAAAAAUUGAUGAAAUCAUGAUUUCUAGAAGUUUCUUAAUGCUCUAGAAAAUAUUUAACAGUAUGGUAAUCAUCGAUUCGGAAGCUCUUAUCAUCGAAAACGACUUAUGAGUACGAAGGCGAUGUAUCGAUAAGAGUAUAGUCCCGCAUGCUAUUAUAUAUACUGAGUAUAUUAGCAUGCGACACGACGGUCAUAUAUAUAUAUAACUUAAUAUAUAUAUAUUAUAUAUUAUAUAUAUAUUUGUAACGUAUUGAAACUAGAUAGAAAUGAGAAACUUUUAGGCAAACUACUAAAGUGCUGGCGAAUGGAUUAAUUGGCGGAGUUUCAAUUAACUACCACACUGUUUGGAGGGUUAAAAAUGAGUUCUAGAAGUGUUUAGAAGGUUUGGCAUGCGAUCAGCGCAAAUAGAUCGACGACGAGCCAAAAUCAGGUUGGAGCAAUGUGUACCGGUUACAGCAAGCGAAUUGUCACCGGAUACACAUGCUGAAACCGGUGACACGAAAAAGUGUACUGGUACACUUUGGGCCGAACUGACAGGAUCUGCUCUCGGCGUUUGCCUUGCGUAGUCGUGUAACCGAUGACACGAAAAAGUGUACUGGUACACUUGGCGAAACUGACAGAUCUGCUCUCGGGUUUGCCUCUGCGUAGUCGUGUAACCGUGACACGAAAAGUGUACCGGUACACUUUGGGCCGACAGCAAAACGAGGUCUGCUGCAAAAUAUAAAGAUUGGGAGGUUUUUGGCUACAAUGUUGACAACAUGUUAAUAGCCCAAUACCCUUCCCUCACAGCCAAACACAUUUCAAUCUCUCUCAUUUUCCUCUCUUUCUCUCUCUAGAAAGCAAGCCCUAGAGCUGGAUGAAGGUGGAGAAGAUAUUGGAAAGUGGAUUUUGGUGGCUUUGGUGGUCCUGGAAGCUCUCCAACAAGUAGCUUUGGUGGAGCUUGGGCAAAGGUGAAUCCUUAUGCAAAAUGCGUUAGGGUUUGGGUUUAGACCUUAGAUUUUUGGUUUGAUCUCUCUACAAGGAGGAAAUCCUCUAAGGACAUGACUCCAUGAAAAACAUGGAUUUCUUAGACCCUCUCAUGGUGGAUCACUAUGGCUCAAAGUAGAUGCCCUAGGAUGGUUCUAAAAGUUAGAAACCUUAUUAGAGGCUCCAUGUGAAUCUAAGCUAAUCUUUUGCUUGGAAAUGAGAUCAAUCUCGAGAGAAAUGCAAAAAUAAAUGUGUUAGGGCAUGCAAAGAGGGGUUUGCCCAAGUUGGGUUUGAUCUAUUUUGAUAUGUAGAAACUAAUUGAGGGUAUUUUAAACGCGUUGGAACGCUCGGUUCGACAAUCGACGAGUGUACGCAAAGUUAUUAACAAAAACGUCAUUUUCCGUACAGAUAGCCGCAGCAAGCGACUAGGGCUUCAAAAUUCAGAAAAUUCACCGUAGCAUUCUUGUGACCUCUAAGGUAGGUGGUGAUUCCAAAGACAUCGGAAAUUUCUUUAUGUCUAAAGCGUCAUAUUUGAGCAUAUGUAUUUAUAUUGAGCAUGUUGCAUUGUAGGGUUAACUUGUAAAUUUUCUUUGCAUGAUAUGAGUUUCUAAUGCUUGAGAAAUAGUAGUAAAUGAAUCGAGAAUGAACCCUAUUAUGCAUGACAAGGGACAGAACUAGAAGGGUUAGUAAACAAAUGUGACAUAUUGACAUUGAUUUAGCAAGUGACAUUGAUGAGUCUAGAGGACUUAGAAAAACAAGUGUGGCAUCACUUGACAAAGAACAAGAACAAGUAGUGACAUUAAUGACAUAAACACCUUAGAUUAAGGUCAUAUGUACAAUGGUUCUCCUUGAAGUCAAGGAAUGAUAUGAAUUUAAAAUCUUAAAGUUAAUGGAUUGAUCGUAUCACCUAAUAGUCCUUGCCUCUCGAGUGCGGGUUUAGUCCCCUCGGGCGAUGUGCUCCGGAGUUGUCAUCACUGGGUCGUAGCGGUUAUCUCCGAGGCGCCGUCGGCGUUGUAGCAGUUUAUCUCCCCGACAAUAGGGAUUUGGGUUGGUGAGUUUGUGAGGGCGAAACCUACGGGUAGCCAUGAGAUUGGGUAAUGAAAAGUUAAUUUGCAUUCAUCAUGAGCAUUCUAUAGGCAUAGUUUUUAUUUAUUGUUCAGGCAUAUUAGCUGUAUUUGUUAGUUGGUUAUUAUCUAUUCUUUCUUCUAUUAUGCCUGAUUAGACCUAGUGGGAUAGUCGGCGUGGUUGAGUGAUCGAACCUGGGAAACUUUGUUGUAGUUCUCACCCCACUAUUUCCACAGAGCCGGGACCGAGCGAGCCGGCAGAUGAUCGCGGUAAGGGCAUCGCGCCCUAGGUAGAGACCGCCCGAGAUGGAUUCCAUUUUGUAGUUGCAUACCCUUUACUAUCAUCUUUUGUAUUUGAUGAUUUUAGUAUUAUGAACUUGUUUUAAUUAACGAUGUAAAGGAUAUUUACCUAAAUGCCAAAAGUUAUAUUUUGGGAGAAAUGAGAUGUAAAAAGAAAUGAUGCUGGAAUGUGACAGAACUUGAUUAUAGUUGGAUACAUAUAUGUGAUUUAAAUUUAGUCAUAUUACUUGUAUAUUGAAUUGCUAAUUCUUUCCCUUGGCUAUUGCUUGCCCUCGUGCAAGCCAUCGUGUAUGCUUCCACUUAUGCAAAUUUGUACUCUAUUGAUACUAGUGUUGAGUCUUGGGCGGACAGGGGAAGCUCUGUCCGUUCGGCGUCUGUUUGACGCUCUCGAACCGGCCAAAAAGGAUCGGGCUCGGAGCGUGACAUAUAUAGAGUUCGGCUACUAUACUAUACUAACGAUAGUACCAAAGCCUUAGUACUAUUGAGUUUUCUACCGUUAGAUCUACCCCUUGAUUAUUUCCACCCGUUAGAUUAUACUAUUAAACCAACUACCCACUCAACCCUAGGGGACCACUAUCAUCCUAACCGCACAUCCUUUCAUCCAACGGCCGAAAACUCAAUAGUACCAAGGGCUUGGUACUAUCGAUAGUAUAGUAGCAUAAUUCUAUAUAUAUAUGUGUGUGUGUGUGUGCGUGUGUUUGUGUGUGUAUAUAUAUAUGUAUAUAUAUAUAUAUAUGUGUAUGUAUAUAUAUGUAUAUGUAUAUAUAUGUACUUGACUUACUCCUAUAUGUUACUCCACUUUGUUGUCAAGGACUUCUGCUCUUUUUUCGAUUGACUUCAUAAAAGGUGGCUUCUGUUUACUUAGAGAAAGGGACAAUUUUUUAUUUUGGUGAAAUACAAAUGCAAAUUGGUUUAUCUUAUUCUUUUUGUAUCAAUAUAAUGACAUAAUCCAUUUGGAAUUAGGGUGUGAAUUUAAGAUAGCCUACUUUCUAUUCUGAACUGUUCUUUUGCUUCGAACUUGAUUGCUAGGUAUCUCCAAAAGAUGAAAAGGGUGUUCUCAAAGCUGUUGAGAAUGUGCAUGCGAUGAUAGACAAGGAGGUAGCUGCUGGGAUAAAUCCUGAAAACAUUUUUGUUUGCGGAUUUAGUCAAGGGGGUAGGCAUACUCACUGCUUGUUCUCUACAACAUUCUUUAAUAAGACAUGGAGACUUGAGUGCUAUUAAUGGCUUGGCAGGUGCAUUGACCUUAGCAAGUGUUUUGCUUUAUCCAAAAACUUUAGGAGGUGGUGCAGUUUUCAGUGGAUGGGUUCCUUUUAAUUCAUCAAUUAUUGAACGUAUUUCACUUGAAGCAAGAAGNGAUCUAGAGUAUUUGGAGUACCUAGAGAAUAAAUUUUAUUAAUUUUCGAUAUCAUUUGCCUAGUGAUCAAAUGGGCUCAAAAUCAACGAAUUUCAAUGGCCGUAGUGAGCCGUUUGCAAGUUUAACGGUGUAGAAAUAUCCAAAUCACGUGAAAUUUUGAUAGAAAAUUCUUUAUACUAUAUAAAACAAGAUCAAUAUCUUUGAUUUAAAAUUUUAAUGUCAUAUUAUUACAUUUUGUAAGAUUUUUAUUUUCAGCCGUUGAUUUUGAGCCCUUUCGUUCACUAGGCAAAUGGUAUCGUAAAAUCAUAAAAUUUAUUUUCUAGGUACUUCAAAUACUCUAGAUUAAGUUUAACGGAGCCGAUCAACGAUUCGAAAGUCGCAACAUCGAAAACGAGCUGGAAGCACGGAAGGCUAUGUGCUUCCGAUAGCAUAGUAGCCUCACUCUAUAUAUAUAUAUAUUAUUUUGGCUGCAAUAGGAGGAAGAGAGAGAGAGAGAGAGAGAGAGAGAGAGAGAAGGGGUGGGGUGGGGGGAUGAAGCCUCUCGUCAAGGAAGAAUUUUGACCCUGUCCUCCUCUUCCUCCCGUUCCUCAAUGCCUGGAUUCACACGCUUCCUAGUCAUUUUCUGCACCCCAAUUUCUUAUUCUCCUCUCAUCAAUGUUUGAAAUAUCCUUCCCUUCCCCUAGGACUCAUCCUAAUCUAGUUAGUAAAAAAAUAAAACAAAACUCAUUAUCUUGGGGAAAAAAAAAAAGAUAAAAAAAAAAGAAGAGAAAAGUCUCUGUCUGGCGACGACGGCGGCGAUGACGACGACGACGACGUCGACAACGGCGCGCUAACAAAGUCUCUGUCUGCGAGAAUCCGUUCAGAUUCGGCUUCUAGAAUCGGCCCUGAAUUUCUUGGUCUUCCGGUGCACUGAAAGGGACCGACCGAUCGACCUCCUUAAUUUUCUUCCGGGGAGAAGCCUUCUCUUCUCCAAAUCCCAAUUUGUUCUGCUAUCUCUUCUUCGGUCUCUUCUCCUCCAAUUCGUCAUUCUUCCUUCUCCUCACGGUAUCAGUUAUCAGUGAGGGAAAAAAAAAAAAAAAAAAAAAAACAGAGGUAAGGGAAGGGAAUCGGACGUCUGGAUGGGCAAUUGCUGUGCGUCCCCCGCGGCGGCGGGGGCGGGGGGAGGAGGAGGAGGAGGAGGAGGUGGUAAGCAGCGGGGGAGGAAGAAGAACAAGAACAGGGACAAGGCGAAGGGGAAGAAGCCGAACCCCUUCUCCAUCGACUACAGCAGGGGGCCCGCGGCGGCCGCCGGCGUGCCGAGGAUCACGGUGCUGAAGGACCCGACCGGCCGCGACAUCGCGGGGCGCUACGAGCUGGGCCGCGAGCUCGGCAGGGGCGAAUUCGGCGUGACCUACCUGUGCACGGACAAGGUCAGCGGCGAGGGCUACGCCUGCAAGUCCAUCUCCAAGAAGAAGCUGCGCACGGCGGUGGACGUGGAGGACGUGCGCCGGGAGGUGGACAUCAUGCGCCAGCUGCCGCCCCAUCCCAACAUCGUCAGCCUCAAGGACACCUACGAGGACGACUACGCCGUCCACCUCGUCAUGGAGCUCUGCGAGGGAGGGGAGCUCUUCGACCGCAUCGUCGCCAGGGGCCACUACACCGAGCGCGCCGCCGCCGAGGUCACCCGCACCAUCGUCGAGGUCGUCCAGGUACCACCCACCACUCCUCCUAUCUAUCUAUCUAUCUAUCUAUCUAUCUAUCUAUCUAACUAACUAAAUCAAUAAAUAAAUCAAAUAAAUAAAAUACUAUUCCUUUUUCUUCCCGUUCUCCGUGAAAGAGCCGUCUCUUCGUAACAGCUGUUUUGUGCUCUUUUAUUAGGAAUUCCGGUCUGCUAGCUACAAAUACUUUGAUUUAUGAUGUUCCAGCGUUGUUGUUCGAUAAAAUAUUUUUGUCCCCGACCAUUUCUCUCAUGUAUAUAUGUGUAUGCUUUUGAUAGCUUGACCAAAUUGGAACCUUACUAAAGAGUCCACAUGAUAAAUUUCCUGGCGAUGCUGUGCUCGUCGGCGGUCAAAUACGUGUCUCAGUUUGAUGUGCUAGCAUGUUGUUUAGUCUCUUUCAGAUGUUGUUUAGUCUCUCCUCUGAAAUAGUUGAUCUUUACUGCACUUUCGUACGGAAUUAGCUGGUUGAAUUCCGUUGCUUUUUCUUUACAGUUUCUUUUCCCCACAUGAUGAUCAUUGUGUUUCGUCACCCCUUACCUAUAUGAGUGUUUAUUUAAAAUCAUCAUUUUUAGAACCAUUCUCUACAAUCCUCCAGCUCUUUUUGGAGAUCCUCCCCGUGCAGUCAGUUAAUGAAUAAUAUAUAUUUGUAUAAUGACUGUUAUUAUACGCAAAUUCCACUAUCUUCUUUCAAUUCUGUUCAAAAUCAAUCAAAUUCAAAGUGAUUCCUAGUGCUCCUAAUAACAUUUAGGCGUGCAGUUCUUGAUCACAUUACCUUGAUAAUAAGCAUCUGUUCAGAUGAAUUUCGGAGACCCUUCACCAGUAUAUGCCGCCGUGUUUUUUGAUCUGUUUUCGUUCUCAAUGAUCAUGCACGGUAAGCAGCAUGUAAAAUCUAAAGCUCUUUCUUCGGUUGGUGUCCUUCUGCUUUCUAUAUUGUGACUAGCUCACUCUUGUUUUUUCUCAGCUUGUUGUAAAUAUGCCUGUGUAGUUAUACUAGCUGCUGGUCUGCAUUAUCUAAUAUUCUAUAAUUUGUUUCCUAGAUGCUGGAUACUUCUGUGUCGUAAGUUUUUCUUCUAUUGCUCCAUCGAAUAUCGAACAUUUACUUUGUCUUACAUUUGGCUUAUUUCAUGCCAUGUGAUGACUAUUUCCUCUGAUUUUACCUCCUUCGUGUGCUGAAAGGUAUGCCACAAGCAUGGAGUGAUGCAUCGAGACCUUAAACCGGAGAACUUCUUGUUUGCUAGCAAGAAGGAAAAUUCCCCUUUGAAGGCCAUUGACUUCGGGUUGUCUGUCUUUUUCAAGCCUGGUAUUUCCUUCAAAUCUUAGUGCUGACAAGUUCGAUUACAUUGUUAUAUAUUACUGAAAUUAGAUGUACAUUUGAUGAAUGAUGGUAAAGGUACAUGUCAGUCCUCCGUAAUCUCUUGCACUGACUUGUGAAAUUAGCUUUUAGGGAUGGUUGUAAGAGCCAUUUCAUUGCCUUUUCCAGAAAUGUUGCUAAUUAGCAUUUUAUUCACAGGUGAACGCUUUACUGAAAUUGUAGGCAGCCCUUAUUACAUGGCUCCGGAGGUUCUGAAACGAGAUUAUGGCCCAGAAGUCGAUGUUUGGAGUGCAGGAGUAAUCCUUUAUAUUCUUCUUUGUGGUGUACCACCAUUUUGGGCAGGUAAAUUUCUUUCUUUUUAUUUGCUGGGAAAGGGUAAAUUUAGCAUUUCUUGAUAUUGGCUGACUAGGAGAGCUCAUCGGACCUCGCAAAAUCUUGUUGGGAUCUUAAACCCGGAUUCUUUAUGAACUAUGUGACAGUAUUUACUGGCAUCAAUCACAAGAAAUACAUCAGUAGUUCUGAGGUUUCUUUAUAUAAUGCAGAAACUGAGCAGGGUGUAGCACAGGCCAUUAUACGUUCAGUCAUAGAUUUUAAAAGAGAACCAUGGCCCAGAGUUUCUGAUAAUGCUAAAGAUCUUGUCAAACGGAUGCUCGAUCCAGAUCCAAAGCGGCGGUUAACGGCACAAGAAGUGCUGGGUAAUAUUCUUCUCUUUCUUCUGAUCAUGCAGAUUGGCUACUCAACAGUAGGCGACUUGUAGUGGAGUAACAUCUCUUCUAACUGAUUAUAUUUACGAUCAUAUACAACUAGAAAUUUGAGGAGAUGAUGAUUACACAAAAUGUCUAUUAUUCUUUGUGCAAUUUCAGUGUCUGUAUAGUGCAAAAGUUACAAAUUUAAACAUAAUGUAAUAUUUUAAUUCUUUAGGAACUUGCACUUUUCAUGUUAAAACAUUGUUAGUUGACACGGUGACAUCUGAUAUGUUGGUGUAUAAGCAUAUUAUCUUGAAGCUUGAGAUUCAAGCAUUGGUUUCAAGUGAACAUUUAUUGAGUCUUUUUUUGGAUAUUUUAUAAGUAACACUUUUAAAACUAUUUAUCUGCAAAUUUGGUUUUGGAGAACUAAUAAAUGGCAAGUAGGCCUGAAAAAAUGUUCAAUUGUUUACAAAGAAGUAACCAUAUUCUUUGGUGCUAAGUGGUGGCAUUGAUUCCUAGGGAGCAGGGAUUCUUUCAAUCUAUUCGAUGCAGUUAAUUUUAAUUAGAAAAGCUUUCACGGACGGAUAUCUCUGUUAGAAAAGCUUUUUCACCAGCAUAUAAGGAAAUUUUGAUUUUCUGCAGUUAAAUAUGUAAAUAGGGUAUUUUGUACUUCGAUAUAAUCAUGCAAUAUUGUUUUGUUCUUCUUUGUAUGAACCAAAUUUUCUAGAACUUCUCAAGAUUUCCUGUUGAUUAAACUAACUGCCCUUGCAGAUCAUCCUUGGUUGCAGAAUGCAAAGAAGGCUCCAAACGUCUCCCUAGGUGAAACUGUUCGAGCAAGACUCCAACAAUUUGCUGUGAUGAACAAGUUCAAGAAGAGAGCGCUGCGGGUAAAAUGAUGAUAUGCACUUUGAACACAAUAGGAAAUCCUUACAUGAACACUGAUAAUCUUGUCUGCUCUUUCAACCUGACAGAAAUUCUCUCUUAUUUUUAUUAUUACAUUCAUAUUAAGUCUCAAUAUGAAGUUAUAGAAUCAUUGACUUAGGAGCUACUUAUGGCUUUGCAGGUUGUAGCUGAGCAUUUAUCAGUGGAAGAAGUAGCCGACAUAAAAAAUAUGUUUCAGAAGAUGGACAUACACAAUAAUGGUACAAUAACAUUCGAGGAGCUGAAGUAUGGUCUUCGUAAGCUUGGACACCAGAUUUCUGAUGCAGAUGCUCAAAUUUUAAUGAAUGCUGUAAGUAUUCCACAAGAUAUCAUGGAUAUAUAGAAUAUCAAAUUCUGUUAAAUCAUUAUCAAUUGAAUUAGUUGCACUCCAGUUUUGGAAAUGUGUGCAUCUUUGAUAUGAUAGUGCUAUGGGAAUGGAAGAUUAUGGAAAAAUAUGCAGUUACAGACAAUAUAUCUGAAGCAUUCAAUGGAGUCUUUUCUGGUCCAACUGGUGAUUCUUCAGUUGAAGAUUAAGAAAACAACAUUUGCAAUAUUUUAUAUAAUGCAAAAGGAUUCUCUUAAUAUGCUUUAUCUGAUGAAAUUAGUUCUGCAAAUAGAUAAAAAGAGAAACAUCAAAUUAUAUAUGGAAAAAAAAAAACAAUUUUGAGCUUCAAUACUUGCUAUUUUUGGCAAGUUUUUCUUGCAUUCUUAAAAAUUCAAGAACAGGUGUUUGUUUGUGGGUUCAUUGCAAAUCAGAUGUAUAUUCUUUCUGUAAUUCUGCUUUUAGACUACCUUACCAUUUUUCUACUCAUUCCACUCCCUGGUUGGCAUGUUCAAUGAAUGAAUAAAUUGAAGCAUUGCUCAUUCUUUUUUAACAUGUCACCGCAGGCAGAUGUUGAUGGAAGUGGAACCUUAGAUUAUGGAGAAUUUGUUGCUGUGUCUAUACAUUUGAAGAAGUUGGGAAAUGAUGAGCAUCUACGCAAAGCUUUUGCAUACUUUGAUCAGAAUAGGAGUGGGUACAUAGAGAUUGAAGAACUCAGGGACUCCUUGGCCGACGACUUGGGUCCAAAUCAUGAGGAAGUUAUCGAUGCAAUUAUCCGUGAUGUGGAUACUGAUAAGGUUUGUUUUAAGCUGACCUUCACACACUUCCUAUUCAUGUCCUAUUUCUGCUGUUUCUUUCAUUUUGCAACUUCUGCUAUUUGAAAAUUUUCUUCAUGCCAAUUAUAAAUCAGAAAUAAUUUAACUAAAAGAAUGAACAAAAUUAUAUCACUAGAUGACCAGAUUUAAGAGAGUUUACACUGUUGUUAGGGUACUUUUUGUAGAUGAAAGGAAGCGUUUGUUUCAGCAAGGUGUGACAAUCGUGACUCUUUGAGUUCAAAAUUUCUGAUCAUUUAGAUAUAGAAAAUUUGAAAUAUUUGUCGCAUAUCUCUCUUGAAAUCAAGAAGACAUCCUUGAGCUUUAGUAGACAUUAGCAACCUGAAAACAACAUCCUUUUUUUGGAAUGGAAAACAUGCAAAAGAAACUAUGGAUUUGCAGAUAAUUCCUUAAAUGAAGCAAUUAUCUUAUAACCAUCUUUGGGCGCAAGAUUGCUUUCGUGUUGUUCUUUCUUUUGCCAUCGUAAUAUCCAAGGAACGUUAGAGCAAACAAUUUUCACAUUGUGCAUCAUAUCAGCAUUGUGAGCGGGAAAAGAAAAUAUUUCUUCUCUAAUGCGUGUCACAAUAUAGAUGUUUUUACCCCUCUUCUCUAGCAUUUAACACCACUGUUAUUUUACUACCCAACAUUACUUUCAACCUGGCUGUACCUGGUAAUCGGAUCCAUCGUGUUGAUCUUUGUGAUCUCGUUCUAAAAGUUGAUUUGGCCCUUGUUACAAGAUGUUCUGCCAUGUUUUGAAUAGUAGGUUUUGCCCUAAGACAGGUGAUCCAAAUGAACUGAAGAAUCUUUUGGGGGGAUAGAGUACUUGCUUUUUCUUUCUAUUUAGUAUCACUUAAAAGGCCUAGUUUGGGAGUGCAUUUUCCAAUUGCAACUGUUUAUAAUGUUUUAGAGCUCGAUUGAAAAAAGAAAAAAAAAUGAAGAUGAUCUGGAGUUUCCCUCUAAUGCUACAAAAUGGAGGUGGGAACCUGGCAGAUGUUUUUUAUGGUCGAUACUUCCACCUCCAUGUCGAGCCAUUUGAUACUAUUAAAGGAGUAUGACUCGAGCGUUUUUGGAUUAUCUUUUGCUGCGCAUUUUUGGAUUAUCUUUUGCUGCUCUAAAGCAUGAGUGGUUACCAUUGGGAAAGUGGAUUGAACUUGAAAAAGGAAAAUGUUCCAUGCUAAUGGUAGCCCAGAUGUCGAGUGGUGAAGGGGGCCUAAUGCAUUGUCAAAACUUCUUUGGAUGAUUAUUCUAUUUUGACUCCUUACCUUUGUUGCCACUUGAAAAUAAAUGAAAAAUGAUUCAAACUUCUGGUUAAUGAUACCAGAAGUAACAAGGGGAGAGAGAGAGAGAGAGAGAUAAGAUGAAUAUAAUGUAUUUUUAAGGAAUCAUCUUUUCUAAUUGAAGUUGGUAUUGUCCGAAUUACUCAGGAUGGGAAGAUAAGCUAUGAAGAGUUUGCAACUAUGAUGAAGGCAGGAACUGAUUGGAGGAAGGCAUCCAGACAGUACUCGAGAGAGCGCUUCAGCAGCCUUAGCUUAAAGCUGCAGAAGGAUGGAUCAUUGCAGGUAGCAGCAAACUAGGGCAGACAAAAAGAGAUGAUAUAGAAACUGUGAACCGCAAUUGAAUAUUUCAGUUGCCUUUUUUCGCCAAUACAACAAAUUCUUUUCUAAUAUUUCUCAUUUGGGACCUGAUUCAUUUUGCGCCCUGCUUUUUCUAAGCUAGCUGAUGGUCAAAGGCUUGUUUCGCGUGUUUAAAGUCCUACAGAGUUAUUGUGUUAUGUGUAACAUUUCAUUUCAGAAUGUAUAAAAGGGCAAAGGAAAAGAAAUGAAAAAGGAAGAGCUCAAUAUUGUAAAUAUAUCUGUCUCUAUAAUCUAAUUAGCAGGAAGCGUGUGCUUGUUGUGGUUACAUCUUAUUGUUUACUAUUGUAAAUAUAUUUUGGGGUAUUCAAACACUAAAAAUUUAGGAACUACAAUUUGGGAUGACUCGUUUUUUAAAUGUAUUAUCAGUUUCAAACGUGUUUUAAAUUUAUUAUCAGUUUCAGAAGUUUUUGGUUUUAUUAUCUAAACAUUUCGAAGGUUUUGGUUUUACAAUCUAAAUUUGUGUAUUUUUUAUAUCAAGAAAUUUGUCCGAGUUCUGGUUGGAAUGUUUCUAAAAACACAAAGUGCUUAUAAUUUUUUAGCCAUUGGAUCUAUCUAUUUGGUCAUUGGAUCAAAAAUGAAAGAUGGUGGUUACUUAUGAGGCCCGCCAUUAUGCAUGAUUAAAGAGCUGCUUGGGUUAAUCUAACAGCUAAAAAGCAUAAAGAGCUGAUCUCUCUCUCUCUCUCUCUCUCUCUCUCUCUCUAUAUAUAUAUAUAUACACAAAUAUAUAUACAGGCCGGCUAAUAUACUAUUAGGAGUACGAUCGCCUUCGUACUCAUAACUUAUGUUUUAUGCUAAGAGCUUUCAAAUUGAUGAACCAAACUAUUAAACAUAAUUUAGAAUAUUUAAACAUUUUAGAAAUUGAUUUUAUAAUUUUUUGAUAUUAUAUCUUACGAUAAAAAGUGUAGUGUACUGAAUUUUCAUCUAUGUUUUCAAAUCUUGAUCAAAGUGGGCAAGGUAUGGAUGAAAUGGUGUGUGAGACUAUUUAAGAGAGUUUAGAUGGACCUCGGAUGAAUUAGAAAUAAGUUGGAGUGAGUUUAGAGUGGAAACAAGGUUUCUAGAGCAAAAGAGGAUGGAAAAAAAAAUUAGUGCGGUUUGAGUGAAAAUUUCUUGAAUAGGAGGGAUUAAGUUGUAAUUUGCUUGGGGGGCUUAUAAAUAGGCCACAACUCUCUCUUUCUCUCAUUCUCUCCCCCGCACACGCAAGAGAAACCUUUUCUCUUUCUCUCUAACACUCUUCCUCACUCUCUAUCUCCUCUCUCUCUCCCAAGUAAUCUCUCAAACAAGUAAAGAUGGGAAUAAGUGUCACGCCCGAGACCCGCCUAUUUGAUCGGAUUCGGGCUCGCUAACAAACCGCCGAACGGACAGAGUUUCCCAUGUACGUCAUAGGCGUCGCAAUCAAUACAAUACAAGAAGUUCCAAUCAGAAACAGAUUUCAAGAAGAGAUUGCAUUAGGAAAUAUCAAAAACAUAAACAACUAAGUUAUUACAAGUAUUCCACUCACUUGCAAUUUACAUUACAUUUUCAUCUUUCAACUUCCAAAUACAAUCAAGAUUAUUACAAGUUCGAUCUUUCUAUUUCCACCCCUAAGCUAGACUACUUCGAGGUACCACUAUCUCUGGUCUCGGUGGUAGGGCGCUAUCUACGGAGCUACGCCUUUUCUUACGCCGCUGCGCCGCUUGCGUGUGAACCUGAAACCCCCAAAACCACACGGGGGUGAGAACUAUAUAAAUAUAGUUCCCAGUGGGUACGGCCAUCCAAGGGAAGAGCUCGACCCACCAGGUCCAAGGAGGCACUGCAAUCAUGUUAGUCCAACAGAUAUCCACAGAUAUUUUUGCAAUAUUAAAUACAUGACUAUGCCUCACAACAUGCAACAUGCAAAUUAUGCAAACAUGCAACUAAUGCAACCAACUAAGUAGAUCAACCGAUUCUACUUUCUAUCUCGCUAUCCAAAGCUCGUAUCCACUAGCUUCUAAGGUUCCACUACCUUAGGUUCACAACUCAAGUCCAACUUGCUUCUAAGGUCUCUAUUACCUUAGCUCUUGCCAUUUAUCAUUAGCUUUUAAGGUUUCUACCACCUUAACCAAGCUAUCCACACGACUCGGCCUCGAGUCAAGCAUUCGCGAACUACCGCGCACUAGCUGCUACAACAGCCCACCGCACUCCAUGACUUAGCCACCUGGCAGCGAAAUCAUCGCACACGCCCAACACUGGCUCAAGUCACCUGGCGGCAUAAUCCAAUAGCCGGCUUAACCAUCUGGCGGCGAAAUCGUCGCACACGCCUAACAAUGGUUCAGCCCCAAGCAGCGAAAUCGUCGCACACACCCAACACCUCCUCUCGGUGUUCCAUAUGUCCUGGGAUUCCGGAAUCUAUUUCCACUUCUCAAGGGUCAUCUGUAACCCUGCAAUGUCGACCUAUCUAAGUUCGACCCAUAACAUCCUAGUGGCUACUACCACUAUAGUCCAUAACCUAAGUUCAACCCACUAGAUUCUAUGUCAUCUCUCAAUGGUAGGUAACCUCAACUAAAUAUAAUAUGAUUCAUGCAUUCAUAUUAUUAUUCACAACCUACCACUGUAUAUAUAUGCAUCAUCAUUAUCAUCCAAUGGUAGUUCAAAAUAGCAUUUAUUUCAUGCAUUCAUAUGUUUUACAAUUAACUACCAUUAUAUGCAACAACGAUAAAUCUCACUUCGCUUCAACAUGGAAGCGAGCUAAUAACUUCAGUGAGCACAACCCACCUCGCAACGCUAUCCGAUUGCUCGUCGACACUUGCAAUCGGCCUCCCGUAGCAUUCGUUGUCCGAUUCGGCUCGAAUACGCAAUCGAUCACCGAACGCUCCUUAAACUGCAACCUAGAGUCGUCCCAGGCCUUUCUCUAACCUUCAAUUAGAGAAACGAGGGAUUAAAUGAGAUCAAAACCUCAAAAAUUCCAAAACCCUCAUUCUCACCCUAGCAUGAAUACACUCUCCAAAUAACCCAAAAUCAAAUGGAGAAACAUGCUAGAAACACUCUAGAUACUACUAGAACAUCAAUCACGAAGGAUUUAAUCAAAUCCUAAAUACUUAUCGAAAUGCGAACGCCGAGACGGAAGCACCCCGCGCAAACGGGCGCACAAGGGUCCGAACCAUCGCCUCCAACGCAUUCGCAAUGCCGCUCUCCACCAAGCCUCCGAAUUUGGGAGAUGGAUCUAGAGAGAUGAGGGAGUAUUCUAGAGAGAGGGAGGAGCCUCUCUCUCUACCCCCAAAUGUGUGUGUGUGUGUGUGUUGUAGGUAGGGCUGUAAACGAGCCGAACUCGAGCGAGCUGGAGCACGCUCGAGCUCGACUAGUCGUCAAGGUCGGCUCGUGUUCGACUCGAGCUUGUGCCGAGCUCGAAAACUGUGGCUCGUGAUCGGCUCGAAACGUAAUUGAGCCGGCUCGUGUUCGGCUCGUUAGGUCGAUUAUAUCGCCGAAGUUCGCUGCUUCGCUGCCGCCGAAGUGUCGCCGCUGAAGUUCGUUGCUGGGGCUUUGCAAAUAGCGAAGAAUCGCUACGGUGCUUGUGCCCUUUGUUACAUCUGCCAGGUAUAGAUCGCGGAUUAGGAGCAGAAGUAGAGGUCUAGUAAUAAAGUAGUAAGACAAAUAAACAGAGGAAGUGGGGGGCUUAGCUUUUCCAUGUUGAUGCCGCGGACUUAGGAGCCUUCGAAACCUUCAUUCAGAGCAGAGAUCAGGCAAGAGAAGCAUGCAAGGGAAAGAGGGAGGAAGACCUAGGUGAAGCACAGUGAAUUUGGCGAAGCACAGGACAUUUGGGGAGUUCCUUGUGGAUUCGGGUUGCCGAGUAAUUAUCCAAUCCAUUAUGUCAUUGAAGAAGGCCCCGAUCCAAAGGGCCCAAAACAAGGACAAACGGACCUCAGCUGCUCAGAAUUGGAAGUUGGGCUAAAAAUUUAAAACUAAUAAUCUGUAUUAUAUAUUUAUAAUAUAAAUAUAAUUAUAUAUAUAUAAUAUAUAAAAUUAUAUUAAUAUAAAAUAAAUAUAAUCGAGCUGUUAUCGAGCCGAACACGAGCGAGCUGACCUUAGCUUGUGUUCGUCUCGUUUACUAAACGAGCUGAAAAAUCCAGCUCGUGUUCAGCUCAUUUACUGCGAGCCGAUCUCGAGCUCAUUUCGAGCCGAACACGAGCUGGCUCGCGAACAGCAAGCUGGAUUGCCACCCUAGUUGUAGGCUGGGGGAAAAUGGAGGAAGAAGAAAGAGAGUGGAGGCCUCUUCCCCUAUAAGUCAACACACAAUUGCCAACUAGUCCCUGCUGUUUCUAGGCAUUUUUCGGGCUUAGAGACCGAUCCUUGAAGCCAGGGACCGGACCCCGUAGGUCCAGAAAAACUGCACUUUCUAGACAGCCAAAAUUUCAGCAUUUUGCCAUUUCUUCUCUGUUUUCGCUCGUUUUUGCUCCAUGGGUCUCCGAUUCAUCUCAAAUCACACCGAGCCUCCCAAAACAUGUUUUCGAGCGCGUUCAAACCAUCUUUUCAUCCACGCCUUGCCAGAUUUUGGCCAAGAUCCAAUCAUAGCUUUUCGGGUUCCGUUUUCGCACCCGACGCGCACUGAAAAUACCCGAAUGGCUCCCGAACUUCACCGAAACCAUUCAAAUGGCUUUCCAAGCUAACAUACACCGUAACUUCAUAACUUUAAAAGUUCGGUAUGUUACAAUAAGUACCUUUACCUAACUUUUGCCUAAUUGGGUUUGUUCUACUCGCACCGUUGAGUCGUGUUGAUCACAUAAUCAGGGUGUUUAACUGGGGUUGUUGCUCUUUUUCAAGAAGUGAUGGUAUGUGGAAGACGACCACCGACAAGACCCACUCCAGCACCACCUGUAAGGUACCGGACUUCUAAAAUUAUAAAGUUACAGUGUACAUUUGGUUGGAAAGCCAUUUGAAUGGUUCCGGUGAGGUUGCGGUAGAAUGUAAUAUACCGGAUUUUAAAUAUAAAAAUAGAAAUAAAUAAAAAAUAGUAUGAGAUACCAUUUUUAUUAGAUUUAGAGAAGUGAAAUAUAAGUUGAAAAUGACCUAUGCUGAAAUCGGAGCAAAAACAGAAGAUUUAGAAUUUUCUGUAAGAGACGGAGUAGAUAAAUUAGCAGAAAAUGCACAGUGUCAGAAAAUUAUGAAAACUGGAGGGUAAGUCAGAAUUAUUUUUAUGAGGCUAGAUUUAAAGUUUCAUGUCAUUCUGACACCCGGAAGGUGGAAAAUAAAAUCCGACAGCUAUCUGAUAAAGAUUACAGUUCGGUACAGUUUUUAGUGACCAAACGGGGUCGAAACUGAAAACUUAAGAUAUAUUCUUACUCAGUACGUUAAACCGAGCCUGCCUGUCAAAUUUGAGCCCAAACGGACAUUCAGAAGGGCCCCGACUGUUCCGAACUGCUAAACUGCCCGGAGAUGAAUAGUGUUUUGAGGGUGUUAAUUAAAGAAGCCUUGCUUCUUCUUCCCUCUCAGCCGACCACCAUGGCCACACACGCACACAUGGGAAGGGAGAGAGAAACUCUCCUUUCUCUCUAUAAAGAUCUCUCUCAUCUCUCCAAAUCUCUCGCUCAAAUUCGCGCGGUUGGUGGAGAAGAUACUUGCGAACGCGUUGGAGGCGACGGAUCGAGCUUUCGUGCGCCCGUUGGAGCGGCGUGUUUUCGUCGCAGCGUUCACACUGGGGUAAGCUUUUGGGAUUUUGUUUAAAUCCUUCAUGAAUGAUGUUCUAGUAGUAUCUAGAGUGUUCUAAAUAUAUUUGCUCCAUUUAAUUUGGAUUAUUUGGACGUUAAUUGCACGUUAGGGCUCCGAAUGGGAUUUUGUAAAAUAUAAGGGUUUGAUCUAAUUUGACCCUCCGUAAACCUAAUUGCUAGGUAAACGAACGCGUUGGCGAAGUCGGUUCGGCGAUUCGUCGAGCUGUUGUGAAGUUAUUAAAGAAACGGACGUUAGGCUUCGUUUCCGCCUAGAGGGCCGAGGCGACAUCGUAAAAUCAUGAAAAUGGAUUGGAGCACCGUGACAAAUAACCGAAGACCUAUAAUUUUCGGAGCAGCGAUUCGACGCACGGUUGGUGAGUAUUAGCAAAAUCGGGCCAAACCGGACACGGGUGCCGCGGGAGGCCGAUUGCAAGUGUCGACAAGCAAUCGGAAAGCGAUUUGAGGUGGGUUGUGCUUACCGAAGCGACUAGAUCGCCCUUUAUGUCUAAGAAACAUACGAAUUCACAUUGAUGCAUAUAGUUGUAUUGGUAGACUUACAUGAUAAUAUGAAUGCUUGAAACAUACUAUGUAGUUGAUAUUACCUACCAAUGAGAUGAAAUGUAUAAUGAAUUAAAUGCUAAAAGAAUGCAUAAGAUGCUAAGUAUAGACUACUUUGGAUGAUGAUUAUAUAUAUGUUGACAUAUCAUGUGAUGCUAGUAAUAUAUGUGCAUGAUGAUAUAUUGUGAAUUAACAUAUUGUGGAUUAUGUUAAAUAGAAACAUAUACAUGAUGACAUAUAUUGCAUAUGAUAGAAGAAUUAUGCAUGUUGCCAUAUUGUGGAACAUAGUAGAUGAAUUAUGCAUGUUGAACUUGGUCGAUUAGAGAAAUUGACUUUCGAAAACAAGAACAUAUCGAAUGGCAUUAAUGUAGUGUAUUUGACACUAAAGGUUUGAGAACCUAGGGAUAGGUGAAUCCCUUAGAAAAUGCCUUGUGGAUAAAGAACUUAGUAAACCUGAGUACCCUCACAUGGAGAGGUUGUCGAUGAGUUAUUGAGAUAUUGACCCUAGUUGUAGGGCAUCCUCACUUGGAGAGGAUUUGAUUGGGUUGUUGACCCUAGUUGUAGGGCAUCCUCACUUGGAGAGGAUUCGAUUGGGUUGUUGACCCUAGUUGUAGGGUAUCCUCACUUGGAGAGGAUAGACCUAGCUCACAGUCUAUUUUUGGGGUGGUAUAGCCAUCCAUAUCCCCACAUGGAGGGGAUUGUCGUCGAGUACUCCGGAGUGUCGGGCGAUUUGGACCACUUGGAGGUUCGGACCACAUGGAGGUCCGCAAACGGUCCCGGGCUUGGGUGCACUUGGAGCUCCCUCCCCACUUUGGGAUUGAAAGGUGAGUUAUUGGCGAACCCUAGGACUUCGCUCCAGAUUGGGUAAAAGAACAGUGAACAAUGUCAUUGAACAUUAUUAUUUGAACAUGGAUCGAAUUCGUUAGAAUGAUAGUAAACCUUUACUAUUUGAUGCAUUACAUGAGUUUUAGUUGCAUCCCAGUUGAGUGGAUUUAGGGUUGAGGUGCAUGUGAGACAUCCUUCACCUUGAGCCUGGCUUUGUGCGGUAUUCCGCGUGUGAUUGACUCAAGACCGAGUCGAGUGGAUAGCUUAUAAAAGCAGGUUAAACCCUAUGAGCAGAAUUGUAAUUGACAGGAAUCUAAGAUAGAGGAAAACUUAGAAGUCAAUUGGUUGAACUGUGAAUAACAGGGAUAAAAGUAGUAUCGAUUGAACUACUAGUUGGUUGCAUGGUUGCAUAAACUGCAUGAAUUUCAUAUUGCAUAUUGUGAGGCACAACAUGUAUUUCAAUACUUGAAUAUAUAUAUCUGUUGGAUAUCUGUUGGACUAACAUGUUGUAGGGCCUCCUUAGAUCUAUUGGUCGAGCUCUUCCCUUAGGUGGCCGUACCCACUGGGAACCAUGGAGUUCGUUCUCACCCCACGUUGUUUUGGGGUGUUGCAGGUUCACACGUGAGUGGCGCACGGCGCAAGGCGAGGGCGUAGCUCCAUAGAUAGCGCCCUACCCCAGACACCAGAGAUAAAGGUACCCCGAGUCGGCAUAGCCUAGGGGUAGAGGGAAAAAAAAAAAGAGCAAACUUGUAAUAAUAUUUUGAUCAUUAAUUGUAUUUGGAAGAAAAUGUAAUGUAAUAAUGCUAAUGUGAUGUAAAAAUGAAUCUAAUGGGAAUGCUUGUAAUAACAUAGGAUGUGUUAUAUUGUUUGAUACCUUCCUUAUGCAAUCUUGCUUGAAUACUAUUCCUGGUUGGAACUUCUUGUACUUGUAUUGAUUGCGACCCCUAUAACGUACAGGGGAGACUCUGUCCGUUCGGCGGUCUGUCGGCGGCGCCGCGACCUCGGCCAAAUAGGCGGGUGGUCGGGGGUUGUGACACCACCUCCUGAGGUGCCUGGGCAAUUCGGGUCUAGCGAGGUUCAGGACCUAUAGGAUCAAGUCGCCGCGCUAGUUGGAGUGGUGCAGAGGCAGGCUAAGGCUUCUCAGCAAUUAACCGAGGCCUCCCGACGACAAGAGCAGCAAAUCAAGAAGCUCUAGGAGUUGAUGUCUUGGCAGGCGGCGGCGACGGCGACACCCACAACCCAGCUGUUGGCAUUCGGUUAAAUCGAAUCGGGUACGCCCAUAAGCGGGUUCGAUCCGACGGAUGUUAUGUUAUCUAAUUGGAUUAGAAUUAAUCUCGCUUUCAAAUUGAAAAGUUAGUUAGAGAUAAAUCCUAGUCAUAUUAGGAUAACAAUUAAUAACCGAUUUGGCUUUAUCUCCAACGCCAUUAGGAUUUUGGAAUUCCUUAUAAAUAGACGGGCGAUCUCACAUGAAACGAUACACACAAAAAUAAAAGAACGGAAAAAUAGAGAGAAACCACAUCCUCCAUUGACCUAUUAUUCUAGAGGGACUUGCACGGUGGAUUNGAUCUUGCGCUACUCGGGCCUAGCAAAUCUAACUAAGUGCACCGCGAAUCGCUUCCGCAAAAAGGUACGAACGAAUACUUCCGCUGCGUUCUACAUUGGUAUCAGAGCCUUUUUUGGUUGAUUUCGUGGUCUUGAUAUAUCCUUUAACGAGAUUACAUGCAUUAAAUUAAAUUCUUCAUGUUUUAGAUUUUUUCUUGCAUGUAUGUGAUCGUUCAUGGCGAUUUUUUCAUAAGUGAAUAUCUUUGCAUGAUUUUUACACAUCUUGAAGCACCGAAGUUGUAGAUUAGAUCUAUAAAUUUUGAUUUGAUAUGGUUUUGUAUUUUAUGAGAAAAACGAAACUCUGAAUUGGAACUUUGGGUGGCUUAUUUGAUGUGUGAUGCAUAUCCCAUUGUGAAACUUGUAUGAUUUUGAUGAGCUCCUCGUAAGCUUUGUAUUGAUAUAUUUCUUGCAAGAUUUGGUGUUCUAAAUCAUUAGUUAUGAAUUUUUGAAGAUAAAUCAUUAGUUCCGGCGCCGCAGACGGGCGCAGGCCGCCGGCAGCGAGGGCCACGCAGGUCGCACGGGCCGCACGCAGGCGGCGGGCCCCGAAGGUCGCACGGGCCGCGCGUAGUCGACGGGCUGCGCAGGCUUGUGGGGCGCGCUGGCCGCAGCCGCAGGGGGGGCGUCGCGGGCCGUCGCCACGCGCGCAGGUGGGGGCGUCGCGGGCCUCGCCAGAGCGAGGCGCGUUUGCCCGAGGUCAGCGGGCCGCGGUAGCGCGCGCAGGGCGCGGGCGCGGGUGUCUGGACGAUGGCUGAAGCAGGCAAGCGGGCGUGGGCUUACGCUCGCGCACACAGGCCACGGGCCGGCGCGGGCACGGAAAAGCGUGCUGCGCGAGGGCAAGCGGGCGCCAGGCACGCGGUGCGCGUGCCGGCGGGGCUGGGAUAAACGGCGCGGGCGGGGGACGCGUGAGGGACAGGCGAGGCCUCGGGCGCCAGGCAGGCAAGCCGGCGUCUGUGGGCCGCCGGCGGCGCGCAGCAUCGCGCGAUGCAGGCGCCGCGAGACCGCGCCUGGCGGGACCGCGCCCUAGCCGCAUUGCAGGCUGCGCGAUGGUCGAUGGGGACGGGGUGGCGAUGGCGGCUCAUGCGAGGGUUAGUGCACCUGCGGGGCUGGCAGAAGUGUUUUUUUUCUUCGCUUUGUAACAAAAAAAAAAAAAAAAAAGUUUAGAUUUUAUUAUAAUAUUUUUUUGAUGGCUAAAUAUGCUUUUGAUGAUAUAUGACGCAUGAUUAUCGUUUCUGCAAUUAAAAUAUAUAAUGGUACAUUAUGAGUGUAUGAUGUACUUUAGAUUUAUAAUAUAUUUUUUAUGCAAGCCUCUAUCUUGUGGGGGUUUGUGAAUUUGGUUAGAGUAAAUUAUAAUGGUUUUACUCUUUUUUUUUUUUUUUUGCGAUCUUAUUAAAUAAUUUAAAAUGUUUUACAAUUGGUGUGUGGAUGUGAUUACGAGCCAUAGCGAAAUUUUCUUUAGAUGUAUGAUCUAUUUUUUAUUUAAUUUAAUUAGAGAUGCGGCAUAAAUGUAAUACAUGUUAUGUGGUUACUGAAUUUUAAAAUGAUUUCUUCUCUGCGCAUUGCAGGAAAAAGUGAGAUUUAAUGGCUUACAACAAUUGUUUGGGAUUUGAACAAGGGUGAGGAAAAUUGGAUGGUGACAAUUAUGAUAUGGUGGCACCGUAAAAUUCAAUUGUUUGCUGAGCAAGAGUAGUCCUGGAAAACUCUGAGCAAUAAAAUGGACCAACACGGAGAGAGCACUAGUGCCAGGUUCGCGAGAUAUGGAGCCUAUAUAAUGGUUAAAAGAUCGCAUUGCUAGCCCAUCACUGUUGAGUGGAGCAGUAAUGGAGAAUUGAUCUCUUUGUGCGAGUGUGAGCAAGUAAUCGGAUGCGGUAUGAAUCGUGGGAGCUCUCAAAGCAGAAAUUGUGGUGAAAUUGGCUACAGGAUUGCGCAGGUCUGACUAUGCGGUUUUUGAAGUUAUAAGAAGCGUGUCAUCAGAUAUGGAGCAGGCACGUGUAGAACAAUGGUAAACAUGAUUCGUGGAGUUUAAAGUUGGCUGGCGGCACCUGUGACUGAUUAUGAGACAGAAUCAAGCUACGGAUUCGCUCUCUUCCAUUCGUGGGAUAUAUGGAGUAAAUUGCCCAUAACAAUAUAUUCAAAACUUUUGAGGAUGUUGAGCGGCAUUUGGAGAUUGGAGGAGGAGCGCUUGGAGGCUGUUAAAAUUCAAUGCAAUGUGUCGUGAGUCAAACUUUGCAGGAAUCUGUUCAAGCGAAAGAGGAUAUGGGGUCAAAAUAAUAGGGAUGGCUAAGAAUGCGAAGAACACUAAAAGAAAAAAAAGCAAAAGACGGUCGAGCUAAGAAGAAAUCAAAUAUUGUUUAAAACUGAUCAGUGGGGAUACUGAUCGCUCGCUGUUGACUGGAGCGAAGAGUUACGACUUUAUCCGAUUCUCGUCUUUUGGUUUUCUAAAACGUUUGUUAGUGAAAUCUUCCCUGUGGGAUUGAUGAUCAGGGCAAAGACAGUAGGAGGAAUCGAGAUGGGAUUAGUCGGAUACAGUGUGCUGCUAGGGAGAGAAGAGUUAUACAUGGUGCGGAAUGAUUCAAGUGUCAUUGUGUUAGGACGGUAGGCCAAGUACAAGUUGAUCAUGCAGGUGUAAUGUAGAACUUUAUAUUACAUUGAUGUUUACUUUAUGGCUCAGGAAUUCGGCGGAACUUGUUUUCGUAUUUUGUAUGUACAGUUUAGGCUUUUCUUUUCGUUCUGAGAGUGAUGUAGUUUGAGAUUCAUCUUUGGAACAUAUUUAUUAGUUAGAGUUUUAUGUCGAUAGUUUUAUGGUGUUGUUAGAAAUUGAUUUAAUAUUAAUUUAUUAGUAAUUCUUGUUCCCUGUAUUGUUUGUUGAGAAAUGAUCACAAUGUUUCAAUUAAAUGGCGAUGGAAGUAUUGGUCAUAUUGGCAGGGAUAGAUGACUAGAUUAGUUAGAGACGUUAUGAGGUCGGAUCAUAAAGGUCGAACCUACAUUUUGUGAACAGUGUUUGCGGGAAAAGCGAACCCGAAAAACCAUUUAAUAAAGUUCAGGGCAGAAUUUUCUUUUACAAGAUUAAUCAUCGCAUGUGGCCAAUGAUGUGAGGGCAGACAUGGUGUUUUUACUUCGAUCACAUUUAUAGAUGAACAUACGCGCUGUCGGUCAUAGUUAUCUGAUUCCUAUAAGUUGAAGCAGUUGGAUUGUUUUAGAGUUAUUUAAUGAGGCUGAGAAUCAGUUAGAUAUAAAUAAAUGCUUAAGAACUGAUCGAUGCGCGAUAUCUAUCUAACAAUUCAAGAAAUUAUUUAUGAAAAGGGAUUAAUCAGAAGUGACUCAAUCUGGCAGCUCGCGCGAGCAAAUGGGUGUAGGGUAGGAGAAGACAUAAUGCUAUUGCUUGAAUUGGGUUAGGUCGAAUUGAUGGCGCUAAGCAGAAUGGUGCUGUUUCUUUUGGGGAGAGAUUGUUAACUGUGCCUACAUUCUUAAUCGUGUACUCAAAACAGUUACUUAACCCUUAUGAAUUAUGAAGUUUCAGGAACCAAAUUUUGGAGUCCUGAGUCUUGGGGUUCGGGCUUUUUAUGUACAAAUACUUCUGAAGGAUGGGGAAUUGAGUCUAGAGGGAGAAAGUGUAUUUUAUAAGAGUAACUUCUGCAACAUUAAGGAUACGUGUUUAUAGGAAAGCAGCCUGAUGCGAAAGUUUGCUGAGAUUGAGAUCACAGAUGUUGAAUUCCUCGGAGUAGGAUUUUCUUAUAGAAGUGAGGUUCGAAAUGAAAUGUAGGUUCAUGAGAUGGAAUGAACUCUGAAUUAGCGUUUCUAUUCGCUUUCAAUUGAGGGCAGAGGAGGCAACUCGAUAAUUCUGGAUAGUAGGGAGCGAAGUACUUUAGAUUGUGAGCCGAUUAGUAGGAGCGACGGUGUAGGCUGCCCCUGAUCGUCGUUUUGAGAUUGAGAGGGGUUUCAUGGUUGCUGCACAUGAUAUGAAUGAGUAAAUCUUACAGAGGCUCUCUCGAUUAGCUAUAAUAAAGAAUGGAUUUGAUGCUAUGAUGGAGGAAUAGAAUCGUAUGAGUAAAAUUAAAUGUCUGGGGACUUGUUGAUUGCACAAGAAGCGCAAAACAAUUUGGAAGUAAAUGGAAGUUCUCAAGCAUUAAGCGCAGCAGAGGUUUAUCGAUAGGUACAAGGGCUCCCUGAUAGCAAAGGGUUUUUAACCAACGAGAAGGCUUGAUUUACGGAAGAAGAAAAUUUUUCGUCCUGUAAUGUAAGUUUGUUCGAUGUCUGGAUAUGGCAUUAGUCAACAUAUUUGCGAUUGGAUUUUAACAAAUGGACGUUAAACUGGAUUUCUCAAUGGAGACUGGAUGAGGAGAUCUAUAUGGAUCAGCUACUGGCUUCCUUAUGUAAGGAGUGAGGAGAUAAAGUUUGUAAGCUCGACGAUCCAUUUAUGGAUUGAAGCAGUUCCAGGACAGUGGUAUAGGUUCGAGUUCAUCGAGCAUCACUGAAGGAUGGGUUCGAUGAUUGAAGAAGUAUAACUGAUGUGUAUGUUAAGGGCCAGAAGGGAUUUUUUUUAUAUUUUCAUUAUAUGUUGAUGAAUCUAUGGGCCGGGAUAAUAAGAGAUGAUGUAGCACUUCAGACGUGGCUGUCCUCUAUUUUGAAGAUGGCAAGGACAGGGUGAAGGGGCGAAUUAUGUGCUCGGAAUUUAAGAUCCUACGAGAUCGUUCAAAGAAACUUUGUAGGUCUGUUCAAGGACUUACUAAGAAAGUAUAGAACGAUUCGGGAUGCCAAAUUUGCAACCCAUUGACAGUCCUAUUGCUAAAGGUGAAGAGUUUUGAAGCAUUGAACAGUGCCCUAAGCUUUCUGAGAGAGAACAAGAUGAAUCGGAUUCCAUAUGGUCUAAUGCGCGACUUGCUAUGUAUGCUAUUGAUGUGUACUCGGCUUAUGUAUGUAGUGGACUGGUGUAGCAUUUGUGUCCAUCUGGGAUGUUGGAACCAUCGAAGCAGUUGGCGCCAGAAGAAUAUAAUCUAGAACAUAUCUACGGUUAGGCGUAGGUUGCGCAGAUUUCUAACUUAAGCUGUUGUUAGGAAUUAUUUUUGGUCAUGUUAAAGAUCUUGGACUCGUAGGAUUUGGAUUGUGUAGCAGUGAUUAUUUUUGUAAUUUUUGGUUAUUUUAAUUAACAGAAUUAUUAUUUGGAAAAGAAUAAUUUGUAAAUUAGGUACAGUGAUUUGUAUUAUUUAAAUGAUUGUAGUGAUGUCACAGGAUGAUUGGCCCUCCAACGGGCAAUAAUUCUUUAGGCUGAUGUAGAGAGCGACGGAAAAUUGAGGCAUUAAUGAAGCUCGCCUUGGUUGGCACCAAGAUGAGGUAGUUAUUGAGACCGAUACCGAAAAAGUCACGAUUCGUAUGGCCUGCAAUAUUGAGAGCCGGAUGUUGAGCUCACCGUUGAACGUUGAGAUAGCGAAGUCAAAUGAGAGAACUCAGGCUAAACUUAUGGGAUGUGAUGAGACGUAAGAUCUGAUAUGACAUUGAAGAAAGACAUACGUGUAUGGAUUCUCUGUAUAGAUGUAUUUUCAUGCAAUGUGAGGGGAGACUAAAUAAAAAGUAUGAGUGGAAUGGAUCCAUGCUUCGCUCCAUCAGUGUGAGUUUUGCACGGACAUUAAUUUUGAGACGAUGUCCAUAUUAUGUUUAGGAUGGCCUUUAGUAAUUUUGACUGAUUGUCAUUAAGUGAAAAGAAUUGAAUGUUGACUACUUUGGCAUGUUACUUACGUGUCUGAUGAGUGAUGCGGCUUUACGGAGGCCAUUGCUGGGAAGGCAAUCAGUUCUCAAACUCAGUGGCGAUGAGGGCUCAGGAGACUGUGAAUUAAUUAAAACACUUUGAUCAUUGUCGACAGGUUGUAGUAUCGCUUCACCUGUAUAGCGAAAAAAAUCAUGAGUAUGUGUCAUUAAUGUGUCCGCAAUUGCGGUUAGCAUGGCUUUUAGAGGAUUAGAGAUGCUGAACUGAGUCAAGUUCAAUAUGUUAGGGCAUCCGGUCUAAUAUUUUUUUUUUGAGGGUUGAUGUCUCUAUGUGGCGGAGGCGGUUUCUAGUAUAGUGUCAGCUCCCAAAAGUGGCAGGACCUCGCUCGUCGCGGUAUCGCAUGUUAUUUCCUUGUAUGAUAGAUUAAUAGUGGUAUGAUGAUGUUGAGAACAAAAUUGGUUACGAUGGCCCAUCGAUCGUCAUGAUGCGAGUGAUGAGAUUUGGAUUUCGGUUAAAUCGAAUCGGGUACGCCCAUAAGCGGGUUCGAUCCGACGGAUGUUAUGUUAUCUAAUUGGAUUAGAAUUAAUCUCGCUUUCAAAUUGGAAAGUUAGUUAGAGAUAAAUCCUAGUCAUAUUAGGAUAACAAUUAAUAACCGAUUUGGCUUUAUCUCCAACGCCAUUAGGAUUUUGGAAUUCCUUAUAAAUAGACGGGCGAUCUCACAUGAAACGAUACACACAAAAAUAAAAGAACGGAAAAAUAGAGAGAAACCACAUCCUCCAUUGACCUAUUAUUCUAGAGGGACUUGCACGGUGGAUUUGCGAUCGCGCUCGUUUGUAGUUCGAUCCACCGCGAGUUUGGAGCGUGAGAAGAUAUUCAAGCACGAUCCGAGGACACGUGAAUCAAUCUAAACGAUCCGGGCUCAUCGCGUUCUAGCGCGAAUCGCUUCCGCAAAAAGGUACGAACGAAUACUUCCGCUGCGUUCUACACCAGCAAACGCCCGCUUCGCCUGUAGGUGCUCCCGAUUAGGUAGAGAGGGUGGGCGUGGCGGCAGCGCAGCCGACGGCGUGCCCCGUGCAAACAGGCACUGCGGUGAGCACUCCCCCAGCAGCUUCGGGUACCUCGGUUCCUGUUGAUCCGGCGUUGGAGGCCGAAGGGACCGGGCCCUUGCCAGCCUUACUGCCUUUUAGGAGGCUUAAUCCACCCACUUUUGACGGGGAAUUGGGAGACCUGUGGGGUAUGGAAGCAUGGGUGGAUUUAAUGGAAAAAUCGUUCGAGGGUCUCUAUACCCUCGAGCAAGAUAAGGUUCACUUAGCCACGCAUUGCCUUGAGAAGUCCGCCCGGGUGUGGUGGAAGGUGACCUGGCAUCGUUUUGGAGUACCCGAAGGAGUUCUCCCACAUUGUGAAUUGCAUUCCGUAUGUGAUUCAAGGUGAUGAGGACAAAGCAGGGUGUUUUGAGCGUGGGUUUCAACAAGAGAUUUAUGCGGCUAUGCAGCCCCUAAAGUUGAAGGCUUUUGCUGAAGUACAGGAUAGAACUGUAAAGAAGAGAAUUCUCGAAAUCCGAGAGUUGAACUUCGUUUGGAAUCGACUUAUCGUCGAUUUGGAAUGCUUCGGAAAGGCCGAAUGCGAUAAAAAAAAGCGAAAAGCACUUAGGGAGGACCUUGGAGAGUUGGUGUUGCAAAGAUCUACAAUUUGCAUAUUUUCCACUCUCGGGGUCCGGAACCUAACUGCAGGGUCCGUACCCCGUAGCUGCAAGAAACCUGAGAAGUUGCAGUCUGCAAUUUUGCAGAGUUGCCAACUCUCGGGGUCCGGACCCUAGCUUUAGGGUCUGGACCCCGUACCCCGAAAUGCCCAGAAUGGGCUGUCACAUGAUGGCAAAGUUGAGGGGGCUUAGUGCAAUUGUUACAUGAGUGGGGAGGGGGGGAUAUAGAGAGGAGAGGACCCUCUCUUUCUCAUUCUCCCAACCCUAAGUCUCUCUCUCUCUCUAGAGCUCUCUCUUUCUCUUCAAGGUGGAAAAGGAGAGGAGGCUUGGUGGAGGUUGAAGCUUAGAACAAGGAGAGCAUCAUCUUCUCCUUCUUCUUCAAGCUUGGAGGAAGCUUUGGAGGUAAGCUCCGAAACCCUUUAAUGGUAUAUCUUUAGGGUUUGGAUUUUAGACUCUAGAAAUGGUUUUGUUGGAACUCUAGUAUGUCUAGUAGAUGUUCCAUGCUUGAAUCUAAGGUUAUUGCGGCACGUUUGCGCCGUAGUUGCGAGCUAGGGCUCCGUAGGGGCUUUUGUGAAAAGUUAGGGUUUGAUCUCGAUUAACCCUAUGUAAAUGUGAUUGUUAGGCCUACGAUUCCAUCGGCGCAGUCGGUUUGCUGAUUCGCCGAGCGAGCGCGGAGUUAUUGGAGAAAAGGACCUUCCGACAUUCGUUUCCACCUAGAGGGCCGAGGCGGCGUCCGAAAAUCGCGAGAUUGGAUUCCGAGUAUCGUAACGAGAAAUCGAAGACCCUUAAUUUUCGAAUCGCGAAUCGGAGGUCGUUCGGUGGUCGCGAGUGGAUUGGGUCGAGCCGAGCGGCGUGCGCCGUGGGAAACCAAUUGCGAGUGGCGACGAGCAAUCAGAACGUGAUAGAAGGUGGGUAGUGACCAUCCCGAAACAGUUGAACUGCUCCCUAUGUCUAAGUAUUAUUAUUGAUCGAAUUGCAUAUUGCGCAUGAUACAUUAUAGGGUGCAUGAUUAGUCAAUACAUGUUCUUGUAUGCUAGGGGUAGUGUGAUGUUGUUUGCUUAACAUUUGAGCCUAGUGUGCAUGGGAUUGAGAGAUGUUGAUUAGUAACCCUAUAAUGAGAUGAUACAUAAUGGAUUGGAACCUAGGUAAAUGAUAACUUAGUGAUUAUGUACAAGUAAUGGAUUGGGAACACUUAAACAAGAAUGAGUGUCAUCUAGUUAGUGUUGAACACAAGGAACGGGUGGCAUUGGACUAGUGUAAUUAUUAUGCAUAAUAGGGUAUUAAACAAUCGCAUUUCCAUUAAUUCUUGCAUGAUCCUUAGUAGUGCAGCAACAUGAGUUUGGCACUUGACUUAGGAUGCAUGAGAAUAGGGGAAUUGUGACCUGGAACCCUAUAGUGGUAAAGUAAAUGACGGACUUAACCUUGUGUUAACGAGAGUGAAAGAACGAGUGGCAUCUAAAUAGUAUGAAAACUAUCACGAGUGGCAUGAUGAACUAGAGUGUAGGUGAAACACUAUUGCAUGUUGAACUUAGAGAUGAACUAGUUCCCAAGUGAUGUUGUCUAUAGUGGCAGGGUAUCCUCAGUGUCGAGGAUUUGAUCAUAUUCACAUGUCUGUUCAAAGCUUGGGGUGGUCGCUCCACACAAGCAGUGCACUCCGGAGUUGUCACAUGAUAGAGAUAGCCUUUUUGGGUCCCGAGGGGUAAGCCUUUUUGGGCCCCGCAGACAGUGUCGGGUGAGUGAGUAGAUUCUCACCUUGAGUGAGCGGUUCCUCACCUACGGUUGGAUUGUGAGUCGGGCGAGUGAGCGGAUCCUCCCCGUAGAGAGUAGAUUGUGAGUCGGAUGAGUGAGCAGAUUCUUACUUUGAGUGAGCGGUUCCUCACCUACGGUUGGAUUGUGAGUCGGACGAGUGAGCAGAUCCGCCCCGUAGAGAGUAGAUCGUGAGUCGGGCGAGUGAGUGGAUCCUCCUCGUAGAAAAUGGCAUCGUUGUUCGACAUAGUAGCAUGGUAGCUAGCCUUAUACUAUGUAGUGCAUGCAUUCAUAGCAUUGGAUUGAGGCAUAGUAGGAUAUUUGCAUUUCUACUUGUUGUAGUUGCUGUUUCAUAUAUAGCUAUAUAUCUAUCUAUCUUGUUGUCUUCCUAUGCCUGCUUAGACCUAGUUGGGAGAUCGGCGGAGUCAGCGGCCGAACCCACUGGGAGCUAUUCGUAGUUCUCACCCCACUUUGUUGCAGGGCCGAGUGCGAGUGCGCCAGCUGAGGAUCGUGGUUAGGGCUUUGCGCCCUAGUGUUGAUAGUUUACUUUUCUUUUGUAUUAGAGCUACCCUAUGUACUUGAGAGCAGAUGAUGUAUUGGGUGAGAUGAGUCGGAGAAUUGUAAACUUUAUGUUUAUAUUUUGGAAAAAAUGUAAAGUUAAUCAAUGUAUUAAAGUUGAAUGGUUGUAAUAAUUAGUAUCUCUCUUUUAUUCACUUGUUUAUUACUUGUGAUGCAUGUUCUUGAUUGUUUAGCACUGGUUGUGCUCUCGCUGUUGUUGUUUGAUUGUGUAUGUAUUCAAGUAUUUUUCUGGGCACUUGUUGUACAUAAUCGUGUUGUUUAGCCUUGGGCGGACAGGGGAGGUUCUGUCCGUCCGGCGUCUGUUCGACGCGCCCGAACCGGACCAAAUUGGUAGCAGGUUCAGGGCGUGACAAGAACGCUUUGGGCGGAGCAACGGCUCGCUUAAAUACUAGCAGAGUGCGAAGUCGGGGACAAGAAUAGAUAGAAGAAACGGAUGGCUAGCGGCACCGGGGACCGUCGAGAUUCAAGAAACCCUUGAAGUAUCCAUGGGGACCGUUAAAGAACCAUGGACCUUCUCUAUGAUGCCUCAACUUCCCAGGGAGUCACCCAUCCUGGGACUACUCAUAUCCUAGCACGCUUAACUCUCUUAAUGUCACGCCCCGCGACCGCUACCAAUUUGGCUCGGCCCGGGCGCGUCGAACAGACGCCGGACGGACAGCACCUCCCCUGUCCGCCUAAGGCUAACGACGAGAUUGUGUACAACAAGUUCCCAGGAAAACACUUGAAUACAUACACAAUCAAACAACAACAACGAAAGCACAAACAGUGCUAAACAAUACAAGAACAAGCAUCACAAGUAAAAGACAUACAAGUGAAACAAAAGAGAGAUACUUAACUAUUCUAUUACAACCAUUCAACUUUAAUACAUUUAAUUACAACUUUACAUUUCUUCCAAAAUAUAAACAUAAAGUUUACAAUUAUCUCAAAAUACAUCUCACCCAAUACAUCAUCUACUCUCAAAGCAUACAAAAGGUAACUCUAAUGCACAAAUAGAAAAGUAAACUAAUGCAACACUAGGGCGCAAAGCCCUAACCACGAUCCUCAGCCGUGCGAACUCGCACUCGGCCCUGCAACAAAAUGGGGGUGAGAACUAACUUCAAUAGCUCCCAGUGGGUUCGGCCGCCGACUCCGCCGAUCUCCCAACUAGGUCCAAGUCAGGCACAAGAAGACAACAAGAUAGAUAGAUAUAUAGCUAUAUAUGAAACAGCAACUACAACAAGUAGAAAUGCAAAUAUCCUACUAUGCCUCAAUCCAAUGCUAUGAAUGCAUGCACACCAAUGAAGUAGGUAAGCAACUAACCUGUUAUCAUGUCCAAAGGUGAAGCUAUUCACUCAUUCAUUAACCUCAUUCACUUGUUCAUUAAUCUCAUGGCUUACCCGAAGGCUCGCCUACAGCUCACUAGCCAUCUCGAAACGUAGGGAGAAUUCACUCACACUACGGACCCGAGACCGUCUGGCGGGGCCAUAUAGGCAAUCCCUGGCGUGACCAACAUCCGGAGCGCACUACUUGUGUGGGGCUUCCAUCACAAGAUUUAACAGACUGUGAGCAUGAUCCCAUCCUCUAAGCUUGAGGAUACCCUGUCCUCUAGGGUCACAAACAUCAUAUAGUCCAUAGGUUUCAUAUACACUAUGACUCACAUAUGUGUCAUUUGUUCUUUUGCUUACUAUCAACUAGAUGCCACUCGUUCUUUACAAGUUUCCAAUGCAAUAGUCAACUAGAUGCCACUCGUUCUUUACAAGUUUCCAAUGCAAUAGCCAACUCAUUACUAAAUUCCCAUCCACACUUAUCAUCUCAUUAUAGGGUUCCACAUCACAUAUAUAAACCUCAAGCAUGCUAGAUAUAAGUACUAAGCCAAAUACAUUAUUCUACCAAAGAACAUGCAAGGUAUAGAACCAAACCCUCAUUUAUCACCCUAUAAUGCAAGAUGUCAAUAUGCAAUUUGAUCAAUAUAAACUUAGACAUAAAAGGGAGCCCGAUUGCUUCGGGAUGGACACCACCCACCUUUUAUAGCGUUCCGAUUGCUCGUCGUCACUCGCAAUCGGCCUCCUGCGGCGCACGCCGCACGGCUCGACCCAACUGACGCGCGACUGCCAAAUGACCUCCUAUCCGCGAUCCGUCUGUUCUGGAGUUUAUUCCCCGACACCACGAUGCUACGAUUCCAUUUCCAAGAUUUUAGGAAGCUUUCGCCGCGAGCUGCGGCAAUCUGUACCGAAAUCGGCUUCUUCUUCGAUAUCUUCGUAACGGCUCGACGGAUUGCCAAACCGUCGCUUCCAUCGCGUUCAGUGACCUAUCAAUUAGGUUUACAGAGUGUUAAAAGAGAUCAAACCCUCCUGUGAAUCAAAUCGCCAUUUUGGAGCCCUAGAUUUGUACUACGGCAAAAUCCACCAAAUUGAUCUCCCAUUCUUGCAACAAACGUCUAUUAAGCUUGCUAGAAUUCAUCUAAAUCCAAUUCUAGAGCAAAAGGCUCAAGCCCUAGAGAUCUACCAUUGAAGGGGUUAGCAAGCUUACCUCUUAAGCUAGCACAACGGAGAGGAGAAGAUGAGAAGAUGAAGCUCCACCUUGUUUGCUUCCUUCUUCACCAUCUUCUUCUUCUUCUUCCUCUUCUUGUUCUUCUCUUCUCCUCUUUCUUCUUCUCUUUCUUUUCUUUCUUCUUCACGUUAGAGAGGGAGAGAGAGAGGUGUUUUGAGUGAAGGAAAUGAGAGAAAGAGAGAAAGACCCUCUCUAUACACUCUCAUUAGUGCAAAAUUGCAUAAAAGCCCCUCAACAAAGCUUCCCUCGCAACAGCCCAAACUGGGCCAUUUUCGCGCUCGGGGACCGGUCCUUGCGGUGAGAGACCGGUCCCUGAGAGACCGGUCCUUGCGGUGAGAGACCGGUCCCCGAAGGUCCAGUACUCAGCCUCAAGGACUUAGCCAAAUUUCAGCCUUUUUCACCGUUUCUUCUCCGUUUUCGCCCGUUUUCGCUCGUUUGACCUCCGAUUCGUUUCAAAUCGAACCGAGACUCUUCAAACAUGUUUCCAAACAUGUUUUCAUCAUCUUUCCAUCCACGCUAAUGCCGGAUUUAUCUCACGGCCCAACAUAGCCUUUCGGCUCCGUUUUAGCGCCUACGCGCACCGAAACGCCCGAAUGCCUCCGGGCCUCAUCGAACUUCACCGGAACCUUUCAAAUGGUCUUCCAACCAAAUGUACACCGUAACUUCAUGAUUUUAGAAGUCCGAUACCUUACACCUAACCUUUUGGACCUAGCCACCGCCCAAAAUGCUUUAGCUAAAUUAAGAAUUUUAGCCCUAUUAUAUCUUAUAUAUAAGACUACCUAGGGUCUCUCACAUUCUCCUCCCUUACCCUGACGUCCUCGUCAGGCUCAGACGCACAAGUAUCAGGCGAUGUGAGACUUGUCUCGCUAGUCUAAACUGACCUUGUGGUGAGCUACACUCCACCCACAACAGUCAACAGUAUGGGAGCCUCACUCUCCCCGCUGUAUAAUCCUAGCUCAGCUCAGACUCGUCUCAUACUUCCAGCUCGUAAUUGGCUCUAAUACCAACUGUGACGCCCCAACUUCCCAAGGAAUCACCCAUCCUAGGACUACUCCCGUCCUAGCACGCUUAACUAUCUUAACCUCUUGGGCAUAGCCAUCAUCCAAAAUGCUUUAGCUGGGUUAAGAGUUUUAGCCCUAUUAUAUCUUAUAUAUAGAACUACCUGGGGUCUCACAAUAUAGAUAGCAAUUAACAACGCAUCUUCCCAAAAUCUUAUAGGUAGAUUUGUCUAUGUCAUCAUUUACCUAACCAUGUCUAGCAGAGUACGAUUCCCAUGUUUAGUAACACCAUUUUGCUGCGAUGUGCCAGGAAUAAUUUGUCUGUGAAUGCCCUUUUCUCGCAAAAUGUCUUGAACUGAUCAGACAAAAACUCGCAACCACGAUAACUGUGAAGCACCUUCUUCUUUCUAACUGAUUCUCAAUCUCUGCAACAAAGAAUUUGAAGUAAUCUUGUCACGCCCCGAGCCCCGCCUAUUUGGUCAGGUUCGGGCACGCCGACAGACCGCCGAACGGACAGAGUUUUCCCUGUACGUCCUAGUCGUCGCAAUCGAUACAAUUACCAGAGGUUCUAACCAGGAACAGUACUCAACAAGCAGAUUGCAUAAGGAAGUAUCAAAACAUAACAGCUAAGCUAUUACAAGCAUUCACAUAAAUGCUUUUACAUUCCAAUUCAAAUUCUUUUCAUCCAAAUGCAAUCUAAGUUAUUACAAUUUACUUAUUACAAUUUGAUACAUUUGAUCUCUUCAUCUCUAUACCCCUAGGAUAUGUCGACUCGGGAUACUGCUAUCUCUGGUCUCUGGGGUAGGGCGCUAUCUACGGAGCUACGCCCUUGCCUCGCGCCGCCGCGCCGCUCAAGUGCGAACCUGUAACACCCCAAAACAACGUGGGGUGAGAACCAACUCCAUGGUUCCCAGUGGGUACAGCCAUCUAAGGGAAAAGCUCGACCAACAGGUCAAAAGGAGGCAACAACAGGUUAGUUCAAUAAACAGAUAGAUAUAUAUUUUAAUUAUGCAACUAACAAUACCAUGCUUUGCCUCAUGAAUGUAAUAAUGCUAUGCUAUAUGCAAUCAUGCAAGAAUACAAUGCAACAUCUCAAGUAGAUCACUCGAUUCUACUUCUAUCUUGCUAUCUCGCUCAGGUCCAACUAACCUCUAAGGUUUCUAUUACCUUAGAUCCAUUACAUUACCACUAGCCCCUAAUGUUCCAUCUACUUUAUUCAAGCUAGCGAUCCGACUCGGCCUUGAGUCAAUCAACUGCGGAUAAUCCGCGCUCUGUCCUCGAGGUGAAAGAACCCUCACUUGCACUUCAGCCUUCAAUCCAUAGUCACGUCGCCCAACGGGUCGCCCAGAGCUACGUACACCCGUGGUCAGGGAUCUUUCCGGUAGAAGGGGGAACAUGCCACACUCGACCUGCAGUCCGAGACCCCCGAUAGGGAGGGAAACAUGCCACACACCCUAGCGAAGCACGAUUCUGCCGACGGGAGGGGGAACCUGUCACACUUGACCCGCGGCCUCGAAUUAAUCAACAGCUCAUCCUCGAAGUUCGUCCAAUGGGAGGGGGAACAUGCCACACUCGACCCACUGCUCUAGAACUAUCAAGUUCACAAUCCUAGGAUUCCCGAAUCUACUUUCCAAGCCUCUAGGGUAGUCUCAAACCCUAUAAUAUCGACCUCUCUAGGUCCAAUGCACUUUCCACCCUAGGUCUAGCUGACUCUAGGUUUAAUGCCCUUAUCACAUAACCUAGGCUCAUUCAAUUCUAGGUUCAAUCCACAACCUAUGCUCUUUAAACUAGGUUAAUGCCUCUCUACCUAGAUCUUAUUAACUCUAGGUUCAACAACACUAGGUUCGAUAUCAACCUAUGUUUACCAACACUAAUUUUGAUAUCAAUCUACCUAGAUCUUGAUUCUAGGUUCACUCUGUUCAACCUAUAUUCACGACACUAGGUUAAUGCCACUCGAUCUACCCUAAGUCCACGACACUAGGUUAAAUGCCACACCUCUCUGACCUAGGUUCACAACACUAGGUUUAAAUGCCACAUGCCUAUUUACAUAAUCUAGCAUAUAUAUUCUAUGAUGCCAACAUUAUCAACAUGCAUAAUACAUUUCGCAUUUUCUCAUUAUGUCACUAUGCAUUAUCAUCUAGCAAUAUACUCACAUCGUUCACAUGCCUCAUAAACUCAUAUAAUUAACGAUAUGUUUACAUUACUCUAUAUGCUCUAGCAUGCUCUAGUACAUGUCAACAUGAAUCUAUGCAUUAGCCUGUAUUCUCAAUGCAUCAACAUGCAAUUAUCCACUAGCAUAUAUUCUAUUACUUGCUCUAGCAUGCUCUACAAUGCCAUCAUGCCCGUACAUAUGCGUCAACAAGAACUCGUAGUUCACUUUGACAUGUAGGCGACCUAGUCGCUUCGGUAAGCACAACCCACCUGUUAUCGCAUUCCGAUUGCUUGUAGUCACUUGCAAUCGGCCGCCCGCGGCACCCACUAUCCGACUCGGCCCGAACUCGCAAUUGCGCACCAACCGUGCGUUGCUUCGCAGCCCCGAAAAUUAUAUGUAAGGUACCGGACUUCUAAAACUAUGAGAUUACGGUGUACAUUUGGUUGGAAGACCAUGCGAACGGUUUCGGUGAGGUCCCGGUGAGGUCCGGAAGUAUUCGGACGUUUUCGAUGCGCGUAGGCGCUAAAACGGAGCCGAAAGGCCAUGUUGGGCCAUGAGCCAAAUCCGACUUUAGCGUGGAUGAAAAGAUGAUGAAAACACGCUUGAAAAUACAUUUGGAGAGUCUCGGUUCGAUUUGAAAAGAAUCGGAGGUCAAACGAGCGAAAACGGAGCUAAAACGGGAAAAAUGCUGAAAUUUGGCUAAGUCCUAAAAAUGCUGGAAUUCUGGACCUUCGGGGACCGGUCUCUCACUGCCAGGGACCGGUCCCCUAUACAAAAAUGGGCCCCCGCGGGGGCAAUGCAGUAUACAUAAAGUUGAGGAGUCUAUUUGCACUUGUAACAUCAUUAGAGUGCAUAUGAGCCAUAGAGAGCUCAUUUGCUCUCUCCCUUUCACUAUGCAAACCUAAAAGAAGACCUCUCUCUCUCUCUCAAGCUCUUCUCUCUCUCUCUACAAGGUGGAUCUUGGAGGAGGAUUUGGUGGAGAAGAAGUAAAGGAGAAGGAUCAUCAUCUUCAUCUUCUCCUUCUUGGCCAUUGGAGUUAGCACAUAGAGGUAAGCUUGAUGCUUAUUAAUGGUAGAUCUCUAGGGCUUGAAUCUCUUGCUCUAUAAUUGGUUUUAGUGAACCUCUUUGAUGCUAAAUAGAUGAUUAGAGCUUGAAUCUAAAGCUCUAAUGGUGGAUUUUUGUCUAGUAGCAAAGCUAGGGUUCAAAAUGGGAUUUUUGUAAAUACUUGGGUUUGAUCUAAAUUGAGUGGUUGUAAACCUAAUUGCUAGGUAUUCUGACGCGUUGGCGAAGUCGGUUCGUCGAUUCGUCGAGCGAGUGCGAAGAUAUUGAAGAAAAGGCUUGUUGAGGUACAGAUUGCCGCAGCUCGCGGCGAAAGCUUCCUAAAAUCACGAAAUCGGAAUCGCGGGCUCGUGGCAUCACCUAAAGGUGGGGGGUGUCCAUCCGAAGCAAUCGGGCUUCCUUCUAUGUCCGAGUUAGAUUUUUGGUCAUAUUGCACAUAUGGUUCUUAUGCAUUGUAGGAUGUAUGUAUUAUUACAUUUCUACUUUCCUUGCAUGCAUGUCUAGUUGUGUAGUAUUAUGGAUUUGACACCUAAAUCUAGAAUGCGUGAGGAUUAGGAUUGUGACAUGAGAUCCUAUGAUGAUAAGAGAAUAGAGAACUUGGACUUGAUGAUGAAAACUAGUGACAUGUGAACUAAUAUAUAGAAAACAUUUAUAACUUGGACGAGUGGCAUGUAGAUAAUGUUAAAUACAUGACGAGUGGCAUCGGAACCUAGUUGUGGCAUAUUGCAUGAAAACCUAGUUUAGAGAACAGAGGUGGCAUAUGAACCUAGUGUUAUUAAAACAUAGGUCGGAUGUGAACCUAGGAUUGUUGAACCUAGAGUUAAUAAUACCUAGAUGAGUGGUACUUGAACAUAGUGUAAAGAAACACUUGGCGUGGAACAUAGGGAUUAGUGGAGUUUCCCUAGUUAUGAUACAUUGCAUGAUAAUUGUACACUACGGCAUUGAACUUAGGGAUAGUUGGAUUCCCUAGUGUGAUUUAAUUAGUAUGGUUGAGACACUUGACAUGGACUUAGGGAUAGGUGGACUUUCGAGUGUUUGUUAACCCUAGUUGACAGGAUAUCCUCAGUUGGCGAGGAUUGGAUCAUACUCACAUAGUCUGUUUUGAGCUUGUGGUGGUCGCUCCACACAAGCAGUGCACUCCGGAGUUGUCACACGAGCGGGGUAGCUCAUCGGGUGGGAUACGAGCGGGGUAGCUCCUCACCCAUUGGACUGGGACGUGAGUUGGGGUGAAGGGCGGGGUAGCCUUUCCCCUAUGAGAUUGAGCGGGGCAGCUCAUUAUCUAUGAGAUUAGAGCGGGGUAGCUCUUCAUCUAUGACCUUUGAGAUGCGAGACGGGUGAGAUAAGAGCGGGGUAGCUCCUCACCUAUGAGAUUUGAGAUAUCAGUCGGGGCGAAGAGCGGGGUAGCUCUUUACCUCUUCACCUACUAGAUUGUGGUGUGAGUACCUAUGAGAUUUGAGAUCUUAGGCGGGGUAGCCUAGUGGAUUGGGUAAUAACAUGAAUAACAUAAGUGGAUUUGCAUUCAUCCCCUGAUUAAACAUAGUAUAUGUUAGUGGAUUGCAUAACUAUGUUGUAUUUGUAUUCAUUACAUUGUUAAAGCAUAUUAUCAUGAUAGUAGGCUUAUUGCUAGACGAUAUUUCAUGCAUUGCUUGCAUUUGAUGGCACAAUAGAUCAUAGUUGCAGUUCAAUAUCUAUCUAUCUCUCUAUCUAUCUAUUUGUGCCAGCUUAGACCUAGUGGGAAGAUCGGCGGAGUCGGCGGCCGAACCCACUGGGAACUAUAUUUUUAUAGUUCUCACCCCGUGUGGUUUUGGGGUACAGGUACACACGUGAGCGGACCGGCAGGUGAUCGCGGUAAGGGCGUAGCGCCCUAGCUAGCUAGUAGAGCUUUCCUAUUGUACUAGAGCACCCUCGUGUGCAUGGUUAUAGAUGACAUGAUGUAUUUGGGAUAGCUAGCAUUAUAUAUAUGUGAGAUGAUUAUGUAUUCAUUUUGGAAGCUUAAAUGUAAUCAAGUUGUAUUAAAGGUUGAAUGAAUGUCAAAUGUGAUGUAAUAGCCAGUUUAUAUCUCUCUUCUAUUUCACUUGUAUAUUUAUUACUCGUAAUGCUUGCUCUUGGUUGUUCAGCACUGUUUGUGCUCUCUCUAUUGUUGUUUGAUCAUGUAUGUAUUCAAGUUGAUUUCCUGGAAACUUGUUGUACACCAUCGCGUUGUUUAGCCUUGGGCGGACAGGGGAGGUGCUGUUCGUCCGGCGUCUGUCUGACGCGCCCGAACUGGACCAAAUUGGUAGCGGUCUCGGGGCGUGACAUUAUAGGUCUUCGGUUAUGUGCUACGGUGCUCGGAAUCCAACUUCAUAAUUUUCGGACGUCGCCUCGGCCCUCCAAGCGGAAACGAAGCUCCGAACGUCCGUUUUCCCUAUAACUUCGCGUAGGCUCGACGAAUCAUCGAACCGACUUCGCCAACGCGUUCGUGUACUUAGCAAUUAGGUUUGGUUAAUUUAGAUCAAACCCCAACACAUAGCAAAACCUCCAUUUGAACCCUAGAUGCUCACUAUUGCAAAAAUCCACUAUUUGGACUCUAGAUUUAAGCAAUUAACAUCUAUUUAGUAUCCUAGGAUUCAUCUAAAUCCAUUUAUAGGGUAUACAAACCGUUCUCUAGCAAUCUACCAUUAUUGGACAACAAGCUUACCUCAAUAAGCUAGCUUCAACCCAAGGAAGAAGAUGGAGAAGGUGAAGCUUCACUUCCUUUGCUUCUUCUCCACCAAUCCCUCUCCUCCUUUCCUUCCUUGAUGAGAGAGAAAGAGGGUUUAGAGAGAGAGAGCUAGAGAGAGAGCUAGGGUUGAGGGAAAGUAAGAAAGAGAGAGAGCCAUCGCCUCUCUUUAUCUCCCACUCAUGCAACAAGUGGAACUAACCCCCUCAACUUUUAGCUUCACCAAUAGCCCGAAAUGGGCAUUUUUCGCUCUCGGGAUCUGGACCUUGGAGUCAGGGUCCGGACCCCGUAGGUCCCGAAAAACUGCAAAUUUCAGCUUUCGCUGAUUUCGCUCCGUUUUGGUCCGUUUUCACUCCGUGGGUCUCCGAUUCACUUCUAAUCGAACCGAGACUAUCCAAACAUGUUUUCGAGCGUAAUUACAUCAUCUUUUUAUCCACGCUAAUGCCGGAUUUAGCUCAUGGCCCAACAUAGCCUUUCGGGUUUCGUUUUCGCGCCUACGCACUCCGGAAACGCCUUAAUGCUUUCGAACUUCACCGGAACCAUUCCAAUGGCUCUCCAACCAAAUGUACGCCGUAACUUCAUAAUUUUAGAAGUCCGGUACCUUACAAAUCUAAUCUUUAAUCUUAAGAACGAUAAAAAAUCAGGUUCACGUAGUCAUAACGAGAAUAAUCAUAAGUGAAUAUGAGAAAAUAUCUAACUCCUUGCUAGGCCCUCACAUUCAUUGGCCCACAAAUGUCUGAAUAAAUCAAAUCUAAAGCAUGGGCAGUAUACGGCUUUACCAAAAGGCUUCUACAUGCCUUUCCCGCCAGACAAGAUUAGUACACAGCUAGAUCAAUCUUGACAACAGACUCAAACAGGCCUACUCUAGCCAGUCGAUUCAUUUGAUCUUGACCUUUAUGGCCUAAUUUGUCAUCCUAUUUGACGAAUACAACACACGAAUUAUCAUCAGAAGAAGUAGUAACUAAUGCAAGUGGAUUGUUCAUUAAAUCCAAUCUAAAGAAGUCAUCAAUAAAUGUACUAUGUCUAAAGAAAGUACUAUUAAACAAACUAGUAAGGUGGUCACUAUCAAAAAGAAAUGAAUAUACUAAACUCAACAAAACUGAAACUAAUACUAGAUUACACUGAAUUCCAAGAGCGCAUAGCAUGUCUUGAAGAAGUAAAGUGUGGCCAUUGUGCAACUUGAGCUAGUACUGUGAGGUACCGGACUUCUAAAACUAUGAAGUUGCGGUGUACAUUUAAAUGGUUCCGGUGAGGUUGCGGUGUAAUGUAAUAUACCGGAUUUAGAUAUAGAAAUAAGUGUAAAUAAAAAUAGUGUUAUGAGAUGGGCUAAGGUAUAAUUGUGCAAAUGAGAGGGGCUAAGGUGUAAUGGUGCAAGUAAUUGAGCUUACUUGGAGGGCAAGUUUUCUAUGUACCUAUGUAAAUGAGUUUACUUGUUGGGCAAGUUUCCUAUGUAAUUGAGUGAAUCCUUGCCUUUUUCCCCAAACCGUAGGAGAGAGAGAGGAUGGAUUUUCUCUCUUUUUCUCUUUGACUUUAUGACCUCUCUUUCUCUUUGGUUCUCUUUACCAAAGAGAGGAUUAGAGAAGAAAGAAAAUUGAGGCAAGCUUGAAGAAAAUUGAAGUAGCUUGGAGUUGAAGCUUCAUCUUUAUCUUCUCCUUCCUUGGUCUAAGUGGAAGCUUGUGUUGAGGUAAGCUUCAUGAACCUCUAAUGGUGGAUUGCUAGGGAAUAAUAUAUAUAUCCUAGAAAUGGAUUUAGAGGACUCCCUAGAUGCUAAGUAAAAGCUAUUUGCUUGAAUUAAAGGCUAAUAUGGCUAUUCUUGCAAUAGUAGCAUAUUAGGGCUUCAAAAUGGGAUUUUUGUAAAUGAGGGGUUUUGAUCUAAAUUGAGUGGUCAGAAACCUAAUUGCUAUGUCUCCGAAUGCGUAGGAAGCGACGGUUUGUCGAUUCGUCGAGCCGGUGAGAAGUUAUUAAAGAAAUAGACGUUUAGGCUUCGUAUCCGCCUGGAGGGCCAAGGCGGCGUCGGAAAAUCGUGGAAACGGAUUAGAAGCAUCGUGACAAGAAACCGAAGACCUUUAAUUUCCGGAUCGCGGAUCGGAGGUCAUUUGGUGGUCGUGCGUGGUUUGGGUCGAGCCGAGCGGCGUGCGCCGCGGGAGGCCGAUUGCGAGUGGCGACGAGCAAUCGGAACGCGAUAAAAGGUGGGGGAGUGCCAUCCCGAAGUCAUCGGGCUUCUUCCUAUGUCUUAGUACUUAUCCAUUCACAUGUAGCAUAUUGUAUACCGAUACCUUGCAUUAUAGGAUGACAAUAUAUGCAUUCCUAAUCCUUAUAUGAUGUUUAUGAUCAAUAUAGUAUUAUGAUAUGGAUAUAUGAUGUGAUGGACAUAAGGAUUAUGAGGUGACAUUGGUAAACCUAUGAUGCUAAAUGAAAGAAGAACCUAGUGUUGUGUUUAAAGACAUAGUUUACAAGUGGCAUUGAACUCAUUGUGCUAAAAACACAUAUGACUUGAGCUAGUAAUGGAUUGGUUGUUGCACUAGAAACUCUAGUAACAUUGAUCAAGUUGCAUAUUGGGAUAUUGCAUUAUAGGGUACUAGUUGGCAAUUGUUACAUGUCAUGGCAUGCUAGUGAGAGUGUAGUGUUACUUGAUUAAUACUUGUACCUAGUAUGCAUGAGAUUGGGACUUAGUGUGGUGAAACCCUAUAAGGGCAUGAUUAAUGUGGAUUAAACUUUGUUAAGUGCAUUAAUCGAUUAAGUUGCAUAUUGUAUUUAUUGCAUUUAGAUGCUAAAUGAUUGUGGUCAUUGCUCAUAUUUGCAUGCUAGUAGCUAUACAUCUUGAUGAUUGAUUCAUGAUCUAGUAUGCAUGAUGAUUAUAUGAUGAAAACCUUAUGAUAAAGACCUAGACCCUAUGUGAGAUAAUUAAUGCUUAUGUUGCUAAAGAACUAGUAUGAUGUAACUGGUGUUGAAAUGAGUCUAAAUGACGAGUGGCAUCUAGUUUAGAAAACUAUGAUGAGUGGCAUAUGAUUGUUGAUAACCUUGACAUGAGAACCUUAGUGUAGUUGAAACACUAUGAGAUUGGGUACAAGAACACCUUGAUUCCAUGAUGAGAUUACCCUUAGAGGGUAGGUUGAUGUUGUUCGUGAGUUGAUCAUGCUCACAUAGCCUGUCUGCGCUUGGUUUGGGGUCGCUCCCCACAAGCUGUGCACUCCGGAGGUUGGUCACUCGAGGGACAGUCUGUGUGCUGUCUGGACGGUCUGUGUGCUGUCCGCAGGCGGUCUCGGGAUGUAGUUCUGUGAGACUUUUCCCCUAUGAGACUUACACGUGAGAUAUGCUUGUGAACCCGUGUUCACUUUGAGAUUGGGUUACCUAUUGAGCCAUACCCAUUGUUGUUGUUCAUGAUAGCUUGCUUCCAUAGUUGUUGUUGUUGAUCAUAGUUGCCUUUGGCUUACCGGCUGAUUGGGUGGUCUAAUGAAUAGCCCUAUUGAUGAGCCUAGUGGUAUGGUAGUUAACCUUCACUAGACUUACCUUGAUAGCGAAAAUAGUCGCUUGGUAGUUGCUUAGACGGGAUUUUGCCUAUAUACAGUGAGUGGUAUACUAUCCUGUCGCGCUAUGAGAUAUUGAGUGGAUAAAUUCCUGUACCUAGUUUUGGAUUUGAGUCGGCAAAGUGCGGGUAGCCUUUGCCUAGGACCUAGAGAUGUGAGUCGGGCGAGAGGCGGGGUAGCCUCUUUGCCUGGGACUCACGAGAUUGGGUCAGACCUUUGAGAUAUGAGUCGAGUGAGACAAGAAUGAGGUAGCUUUUCACCUACUAGAUUUGAGAUCUUAGGCAAAGUAGCCUAGCGGAUUGGGUAAUAACAUGAAUACCAUAAGAGUAUAGCAUUCAUACCAUGAUUAGACAUAGUGCAUUGCAUAACUAUGUUAUAGUUGUAUUCAUUUCACUGUUGAGGCAUAUUAGCGUGUUAGUAGAUUGUUGCUAGAUGAUGUUCCAUGCAUGCUUUGCAUUUGAUGGCAUAGUAGAUAUAGUAGCAGUUAUUUCUAUUUAUAUUUCUAUCUAUCUAUCUGUGCCAGUUUGGACCUAGUGGGAAGAUCGACGGAGUCGGCGGCCGAACCCAUUGGGAACUAUAUUUAUAUAGUUCUCACCCCGUGUGGUUUUGGGGUAUAGGUACACACGAGAGCGGACCGGCAGAUGAUCGCGGUAAGGACUUAGCGCCCUAAUGCUAGUUGGUAGAUGCUUUCCUACUGCAUUAGAGAUUACCCUAUAUGUUGAGAGUAGAUGAUGUAUAGGAUGUGAGGUACAUUUUGAGAUAAAUGUAAACUUUAAGUUUAUGCNGAAUGUAAGAAGUUUUCUAUUUGUAAUCAAAUGUAAAUAGUAAGCUUAUAUUCAUAGUUUGGAAAAGAAUGCAAGUUGUAAUUAAAUGUAUCGAGCUGAAUGGUUGUAAUAGAAUAGUUAAGUAUCUCUCUUUUGUAUACUUGUAUGGUUUUACUUGUAUCGCUUGCUCUAGUUGGUUGUAGCACUGUUUGUGCUCUCGAUUAUCGUUGUUUGAUUGUGUAUGUAUUCAAGUUGUAUUCCUGGGGACUUGUUGUACACAAUCUGUUGCUUAGCCUUGGGCGGACAGGGGAAACUCCGUCCGUUCGGCGGUCCGCCGCCGCGCCCGAAUCGUGCCUAAUCGGUAGCGGCCUCGGGGCGGGGCGUGACAAGUACGAUCCAACUCUUGGUACCUUUUCUUUUGUGCCAUUCCCUAGGGUGAAAAACUAUGUGCCCUUCAAAACUCAGUGAUAAUCUACGAAGCCCCCCUCAGUGUGUUUGUUUGCUCCUGUAUCCACGAUCCAAUUAGGAAAGGAAUGGCCACUAAAGCAUGUGAGCAAACAAAACAAGGUGAACAGCUCUGCCCCAGACAAUCUAGAGCAAAAUGACCCUUCUUCUUAGAGUUAUAGCACUUGAGCUUUGACACAUCAUGAUUGCCAGCACAUUUGCCUUUACGGUACUUUCAUAUCCCUUCUUGAGGAGCUUGAUUCUUGUUCUUCUGUCUAACAUUGUCGCCACGCUUUUCACACUUGAGCUUGAAUCCUCGGCGCUUAUGAGAGUGAGCAAGAAGAGCCACGGAGUGAUUUGCCUCCCUGUGUUCCGUUUCAAGCUCGAGAUGACACGAGAUAUUACUAAACGUAUUAAUGUCCUCGCUAUGGGACCAUUCAGAAUCUGACAGUGAACGAAUCACAGCAAGAACCUGUUGCUCAUUAUUGAGCUCAUUUUCAGUAACUUUAAAGUCCAGAAUCAUGACGCUCAUCACAUAAAGAUGCACUGCCAUGUUGUGCUUCGAGUCUUCAUGUGCUGCUCGAACUUCAGAUUUAAGGCGCGUAACCUUGUGGUUGAAGUUUGCCAAAAGUCGCUUUGAGCUCGUCCUACAUGUCUUUGGCAGUUGCAUGGACUUCAAACUCCCCAAUGAGGUCAUCUUGCAUAGCACUCAACAAAGUGUACCGAGUGGUUCUAUCGUCAUUGAACCACUUGUCAUAGACCUCUUUAUCAAGACGAUGCUGUGCAAUGUUACCUUUCAGAAGUAGUAAACCUUUUGACAAUAAGGUGUUCUAAAACAACAUGUUCAUUAAGCAAAAAUGUUAUUUCCUUCGCCAAAUAUUGCAGUUUUUGUCGUCCAAUUUUUCACUUUUAUUUAAAUCGGUAAUGAUAUUUUUGGAAGCCGUUCCAUUACAUAAGAUUUGUAGGAUAAUAAAAUUGAAACAUUCUAGCCUACACAAUAGGAUCAAAAAUUUUGCUAAGCUCAUACUCAUCACCCUGUACUGGCUUAAACAUUCAAUUCUAUUAAUUUUAAUUUAUUGGAAAUUGAUCUAUAAAUUUUAAUAAAGGAACAAAUCCAUUACAUAUAUCACAUAGAUAUUAUACAUUACCAAGAUACAAAAAAACUAAAUAUAUGUAUCAUAAAACAUAAGUGCUUAUGCCAAAACUUAAUCCGAAAAAUAUUAAUGAUGUGUGAAACACAUCCCCUUUAUAUCACUCGGGCCAUAUUAUAAUUUUUUUUGCAUGAAGAAAAAAAAAUCUAUUACAAAAUCUGUAAGAUAAGAGAACAUAAUAUCAUCCUCACUUAGGAAAUGCGGCAUAGUCGGCUCAUUUUUCGACAAAUUAAGUUUUAUAGAAAACCACAAAAAACAUAAGUACUUUAUUUUGGAAAAGCCACAACAUGUACAUGGCAAAAAAAAAUGUUACGUAGCUAGUUAACCAUAAUUAGAGAGAGCACAAAAAUAGGAGAUUAAACUAAUUAAUAAGCUGCAAAAAACAACUCCUCAAAAGAAAUUAGCAUAGCUGGGUGGUAGAACGAAGCUAAAGGUUGUAGUUCGCCAGGCGUGUAGAGCUGGGCCAGAUCGGGUCCAAUGGCCCGCACAGCCGGGUGAGCGGGUCAGGCUGGACCCAUCGGUCCACGCUGCCGAGCAUGCAGACUCAAGCCGGGCCUGGCCCACCAGCCAGCUCAGCUGCCACCCGCGCAACGGCCCGCUCAACUGCCAUCAUGGCUGAGCAAUUUUUUUUUUUUUCAAAAAAAAAAAAAAAAAAAAAAAAAAAAAAAAAAAAAAACAGAAAGUGGAUCUACAAAAAUCAAUUUUUGAAAAAGUACAGCCAGAAAGUUUACGAAAAACUCGCAUAAACUUCUUAGUCGGAUCUAAUAUACAUCUAUCAGUAAAAAGUAAAACCAUAAAAGAGUUCAUGCUAAAAAAAAUAGGCGUUAGUUGAUCACAAAAUCGAAUCCAAACAUUGCAUUGUAGAUCUUAUCUACCACUUUAAGAGUUACAACAAGAUUUUUAACAAAUAUAUGGCAAAAGAUUCACCAUUAGGUAUCUUGAACGAAACUUACGAAAAAAAUUUCUCAACAUAAAUCGAUUUUCAAAGAGCAUCGCAGAUUAAAAUCGAUCACCAAAAAAAUAUAAUCUAUACACAAAGAUGGAUCAGCAAAAAUAGAUAGAUCGACGUUAAAGGCGAAAAUGAGUAAAACCUUGCCUUGCUCUUUUAUACCAAUUGUUGCCAAAAUGAGGAAACAGCUUAGCUUCGAUGAUACCCAGACCUCCCCCUAUGCUUCUCGCGAGUCGCGAGCACCCAUUCUUCUUCCAUUUAGCCAGCGAACCUCAUGUUUACCUUUCCAGAAAAUCUUCGAAAAAAAUACCCUCUAAUUUCGUAAAGACUAGUGUAUUUUAAUACUUUAUAUUCGAUAGAAAUAGAAAUCAUAAAAGGAAGGACAUUCAAGCAACACCGAUUGUUGCAUGACUUAAAAAGAGUUCGACAUCAAAACAAUCCAUAAAGAAAUUGGAUUGUGAAACAAAAUAAUUGUUCCGUACAUGCGAGGAAAAGAAAGUAAGCUUCCGUACGUACUACGUAGGCACCUCGACGAAGGAAAACAUAAAAUUAAUAUGUACCAAUUGUAACCACUAGUGUCUUCAUUUUUUUUUUUACUUUUUUCUUUUUUCUUUUUGAGAAACACUAGUAUCUUUGUUUUUGGAGGCUAUUUUGACGGAUUUUCUUUUUUUUAGUACAAGAUCAAAGAACAUCAAAGCAGAUAAUCAAUCUGCAAAUAUCUUCCUAGAAAGCUUUCGAAUAUUAAUCGGAACUUGUAUCUUCCCCACGCAUUACGAAUCGAAUCUUUAGUGUUAGGAUUUUAGAUACGUAUUUUUGGUUGAUGACAUUGGAAUAUUAUUAAGCUAGAAGACAAUCAAAGAUGAACAAGGAGACAACACUGUCAAGUUCAUUGCGAAAUUGCUUUCAACUGUCGAAUUUUCAAAAUAAUGCACAAGAAUAUCCCAUUUCUCUGAUACAAGGAUGAAGGUCCAAAAGAUGAGUGAUUUAAAAUGCACGUCAGACUUUCCCUUUCCAGUUGAAAGAACUUAUGGCUACAGCAGCUCUAGUGUAGUAGAGGUUAUCAGAGCACAUCUUUCUAGCAGACAAAUUGCCCAUUCUAAUAAUUCUAGUGUAAGGAAGUGAAUUCUCGAAACUCGAGGAUUAGACUUCGACCAGAAUCGACUAUUCGUCGAGUGCGUAGGCUUCGGAAAGUCCGAAGGCGAUUAUAAUGCAUAAAGUGCGUUAAAGAAGGGUCCGCGGGAGCACCAGUGCAAAAUCUGCACUGGAGCAGAAAUGCUCUCGGGGACCGGUCCCUGGCAGGGAGGGACCGGUUCCAUCAGGCGUGGUUGCGGAGGUCUCUGAUGAGACCGGUCCCUGAUGGGCAGGGACCGGUUCCCGAACGUUGGCCCGACGAGAUUUAGCCAAAUUUGGCUAAGUCCCGAGAAUGCAGCUCUCGGGAACCGGUCUCUCGGACAAGGACCGGUCUCCCGGGGACCGGUCUCUCAGGUAAGGACCGGUUCCCGAACGCGAAAUCCCCUCUGCUCGAAAGGGCAGCCUUCGGGGACCGGUCUUCCCGAACUGGGACCGGUCCCUCGCUGCGAAAAUGCCCAGAGAGGGCUGAAUCAGAAGAUGAAAAGUUGAGGGGGUUAGCUGCAAAAUGGCCUUUAAUAGGGCUUGGGGACCCCUCUCUCACCCUCAGUUGCUCUCUCUCUCUCUCUCUCUCACUCUUUCCCUUUCUCUCUCUAGGAAAGAAAAGAAAAGAAAGAAAAGAAAGAGAAGAAGGAGAAGAAGAAGAAAAGGAAGGAGAAGAAGGGAGGAAAGAAGAAGAAAGAGAAGGAGAAGACUAAGAAGAAGAAGAAGACAUCUUCUUCUCUCCCUCUCCCUCAAGCUUGAAGGAGUCUUGAAGAGAGGUAAGUUCUAAACCCUUUAAUGGUGUUUUUAGGGUUUUGGAGUUUUGUUGCUUAUAGAUGGUUCGAAUAGGACCUAAUGGAACUAGGGGGAAGGUUCAAGCUCGCAAUUGAAGCUCGCACCGUGGAUUUCCCUCUCGUCACCAUUCUAGGGCACGGAUUGGGAUUUUGGAAAAUCUAGGAUUUUGAUCUAAUUUGUUGGGUCGCUAACCUAAUUGCUAGGUCUCGGAACGCGUCGGCAAAGACGGUUUGCCGAUCCGACGAGCGGGUGCGGAGUUAUCGCCGAAUCGGGUACUCGAGGGCUCGCUUUGCCCCGAGGAGUUUAAGCGGCGUGCAAGAACCGCAACGUCGAGCUUUCUACUAUCGCGGCAUCGCCAAGAGGUGGGUGGUGUCCAUCCCGAAGCAAUCGGGCUCCCUCCUAUGUCUUAGUAUAUUUGAUCUUACAUCUUGUAUUAUUGCAUUAUAGGAUUAUGUUGCAUUGCCUUUCCUUAUGUUUUUCCUUCAUGGUAUUGUAGCGUACAUCGGAUAAUUGAUAUAUUGGAUUGAUAAGGAUUGGGUCGAGAUUGUGAAUCCUAUGAUGUAGAGAAAAUGAUGAACUAUGAACGAGUGGCAUCUAGUUAAUAGUAAACUAUGAACGAGUGGCAUCUAGUCGAUAGCGGACAAACGGACAAUCUAGUUAAUAGUGUAUGCGACACCUAUGGACUAUAUGAUGAUUGUGACUCUAGAGGACAGGGUAUCCUCGAGCUUAGAGGAUUGGAUCAUGCUCACGGUCUGUUAAAUCUUGUGAUGGAAGCCCCACACAAGUAGUGCGCUCCGGAUGUUGGUCACGCCAGGGAUUGCCUAUAUGGCCCCGCCAGACGGUCUCGGGUCCGUAGUGUGAGUUAAUUCUCCCUACGUGUCGAGAUGGCUAGUGAGCUGUAGGCGAGCCUUCGGGUAAGCCAUGAGAUUAAUGAACAAGUAAAUGAGGUUAAUGAACGAGUGAAUAGCUUCACCUUUGGACAUGAUAAUGGGUUAGUUGUUUAUCCAUUUCCUUGUACAUGCAUUCAUAUAUUAUGAUUGGGCAUAGUAGCGUAGCUUCAUUUCCGUCAUUUACAGCUUUCCUUAUCUAUCUAUCCAUCUAUUGGUAUAUCUACUUGUGCCCGCUUGGACCUAGUGGGGAGAUCGGCGGAGUCGGCGGCCGAACCCACUGGGAACUAAGGAAGUUAGUUCUCACCCCCAUUUUACUACAGGUUCCAGUUCGGGUGUCCCCGGUGAGCGCGAGGAUCGCGGUAAGGGCCCGGCGUUCUAGUCGCAUUAGCUACCUCCUCUUCUUGCAUUAGCCGUCACCCCUUUUGUAUUUGAGAGUAGAUGUUGUAUAGGGUGAGGGUUGAUUGCUUGUAUUUAUAUUUUGGAAGAAUGUAAAAGAUGUAUCUAAAUGUAGUAAAUCAAAUGAAUGUAAUAGAUAGUCUCUUCUCUCUUAUGUACUUGUAUAUGUUUCUAUACUUGUAUCUUGCUCUUGUUUAUAGCACUAGUGGUGCUUAUUGAUCGUGUAUUUAUGAAUUGAUUCCUGGGUAAAUUCUUAUACAUGAUCUGUUGGUUGCCUUGGGCGGACAGGGGAGGUCCUGUCCGUUCGGCGUCUGUUCGACGCGCCCGGGCCGGACCAAAUUGGUAGCGGUCACGGGGCGUGACAUCUAGACUGCGAACAACUAGUUUUCCAGGUCUCCCAGAUAAAUGAUAGAAAGUAAAAAAAAAUAAUGAUUUCUCCUAGGAGGCCUAUUAUGUCGAACGAUAUUCAUUAGACCACAUCAUGCAUAUAACACCCACCUUCUGGACCAUGAACCGUUAGGGUAGAAGGGUUAUUAUUAUGCUCCAGUGCUUUAAUGUAGCAUAUUCGCAAUCAUCCCACUAUAGAAUUCUCAAUCUUCUUCCACUUCAACCAAUUUCCCACAGACCCACUUCACCUUAGUCUUAGUUGCAGACGUGGAGAGCUCGUCUUUGUCGAUUCGCAAAGAUUCGUCUCCUCUUGCAGGUACAAUUUUAUUGUGUACGAUUGAUCCAUUGACAGUAGAUGAGCCGGUGAGCAAAUUUAUCGGUGCCACAUCUUUUCUCCCGCUUUCAGAUUCAGAUGACGGUGAAUGAUAGUGAUGAAAUACUUCUGUAGAAUUUUCUGCAGAGUCAGAUGCGCAAGACAACUCCCUUCCAUUCAAUACUACCUGAAGUGUAGAUUUAUCGAGGUCUUUGUAGCUCCCAUUAUUCGACGAGAAGAGAUGAACUUCGCCAUUUAUCGGUCGCUCGUCCAGUAUGUCUUCACAAGUUUGGCUCCCCGCACUUGUUUCUGAUAUAGCAGAAUCUGAAGAUAUAUCCUCAGCAGUAUCCUGCAUUGGUAUUUGGCCAUGCUUUAUGCCUUCAAUGGACCUCGUCGCCUUGGCAAUAAGUUUUCUUGUUUCCAGAAGUGACGCUCGUGCAAGUGGGCUCUUCGACGCUGCCAUCUCGAGAGCCUUGGCAGCCUUCUCUGCUUCAGUAAUAAGCAACCUAACAAAAAUAAAAAAUGAGAAAAGACAGUGGGUAGUAAUUCUGAUGAGUAUUGUCAAACAAAAGCAAUCAGAGGAACGUAGCACGUAUGGCAGGUUGUUAUGAACAGCAUUGCACUUUAUGCUCCUGUAAAUAUGUGUUGAAGUAUUACAUUAAAUCGCACACGCAUUAACUUACUUUGCCCUCUCAAUGGCAUCUUUCUUCUUUGUUUCCAGUGCUGCUCUUCGCACUCUUAUCUUCUUUAUCAUCUCUAGUUUAGUACUUGCCAUGGGGUCUUUGUAGGAAGGAGUAGUGUUUUUCUUCUUCUUGGAUGCUAUAUGCUUAGUAAUCUUUGUCUCAGUGCUGGAGCUUUUGGGUUGCAUAGGUUUCUUUAUCACAGGUUCCUUCUCAACAGCCGUUUGAGUCGGUGGCUUUCUCCUUCGUCUUCUUUCAGCUCCAAGGGGAGUACCAUGAUACUUUGCCAAUGCAGAGCAAACCCGUUCACGAUAUCCCUAGCAAGAAGGAAAGAAUAACUAUUCAGAAUAUAACAUACUAAGAUACUGUUUCCGGAAAAAGUUACCAGCAACAUAUCAUAAGCAAUGCAUAGUAAUGGAGUAAAUUUAGUUUAAAACACUAAUUGAUAUGCUACUUCUACGUGGCCAACAUGUUAUACAAUCUCUCAAUGGUACUGAGAGUUUUCAAAAUUCUAAAAAAUCCUUUUAAAAGUCGGACAGCACAAGAAAAAUCUAUUGCAAAACCUAUAGGUCUAGGUGAAUUAAGCAUGGUUUGAAGUUUUGUCAAAAACAUCCAAAACCGAAAUCGAAACAAUUUCGUUUUGGUGUGUUUGUCUAAAACUGUAGUCAGAAUCAAAACACUUCCAUCUCAGAUGCAAUGGGAGUCAUGGGACUAGAAAAAGUUUAAUUUUUUUUUAAUUUCAAUCCAAGUACCUUAUAGGAUCUCAAUUUCAAUCCAAGUACCUCAUAGGAUCUCAAUCAUAAAUUUAUUAAUUUAUGAUUCUUUCAACGUAUUUUAAUCUCUAUGACAGAAAUUGGUUUGAAAGUCAACUUCGUUCUUAUAGUAAGUCAUGAAAUAUAUUAUUAAUACUCUAAGAUGUUGUGAAAAUAUGUCAUACUCUGACAAUCCAAAUUCUCUAAAUUUAUUUGAUCCUUUUUGUAGUUUGAUGGCAUGCUAACAAAUAUUUGAAAUUGAGACUUGAAGCUGCCUGAAAGCAGAGAUAAUGCUGAAUCAUUUUGUUUUGAAGACGGGAAAAAAACUGAAAUGGAAAUUGGAGCGACUUUUUUCUUGAUUGAAAACUGAAGGAGAAAAACACCCUUCCUCAGACAAUAUUAUAAAAGAAACAAUAGUCAGUACAAAGCACAACGAAAAGUGGGUUUCGCCAACACCCAAAACAGCCUACAAAAAUCACCUACUAAAAAAAAGGCCAACACUAAACAAUAGGUGGACAAAAAACCUAACAUACUAGCUACAGCAUUAGUACCUAAAGGAAUGUACAAGCGAAACAGCAAUCACCUAUUUACUCUUCUAACAGCAGAAAACAUACUCUGUUUUCAGAAGGUGCAUAUACUUGGGGCCUGUUUACUCCUUGGAGUUGCUAAAGAUGGAAGGGCAAAUGGAAGUAUAUCAAGAGUGUAGUAAGAAAAGAAUGCCAAAAAUGAUUUUCGGCAAAAGUACAAAAGCAAGUCCUUACAGGAUCAGCCCAUUUAGCGGAAAUGGACUCUGAAAUUUUUCUUCUCUGUUCGGGUGAUUUUGGUGCUCUCUUGCUGCCUUUUAGUCUGGGCAUGGUUUUCCUCCUUUCGACACUCUCCAACCAUUCCUGCAUCAACUGUUCAUCCAAGAUUUUGUACGAAUCCCAAUGCAGCUCCUCUUCACCAGCAAGACCAUUUCUGGCUACCUGUGCAAUCGCAUUCUGCCAUUCAAUGCAGCAGCCUUCUUGUACCAUCAGCUUCUCACGACGCUUCUGCCAACCUUCUCGCACACCCACUCCUAUUUUUAACCGUGUCUCCUCACUGGAACAGACAAAAAAAAAAAAAAAAAAUAGCAGCUAAGUAAGCAUUUAGCAAAAUAUAAUGCUUUUAAACUAAUGGCAUACGGAAAGCAGGUCAGGCACUACAACAGCAGUUCAACAUAGGAGCUAACACAAGUGUGAGAAACAAAUAUUCAUCAAAUACCAAAAUAUUCAAGAAGACCAUAACAAGUUUGUCAGCACCCAAGAAAAAUACAAACAUGAAAUAACCAUAAUAUGAGCUGAAAUAAAUAUAAUCUAAAAUGCUAAAAUAGUCCUUUAGAUAAUUUUUUGUCAUAUUCCAAUAUUUCUAACAGCUUCUGGAGAGAAUGUGAUGAAAGGUGAUCAGGUGCUUACAUUAUAAAUGAGAGUUAGAUAUAGAGUUCUUUAUUUUCAAGAGCAGGUAAAGUGAAAAUCCCAAUAUUCUCAUGAGGCAUCCAAACUAUAUAUAUAUCUAUAUAUAUAUAUAUAUAUAUAUAGAGUCCGGCUAUGGUGCUUGUAAAAGCACCAAGCAAUUGGUGCUUGUAAAUUUUUUACCGUUAGAUCUACGUCUUUAAUCAUUUUCAACCGUUAGAUUUCAUUAUACUAUUCAACCAACCACCCACUCAACCUUAGGGAGCCCAUAUCAUCCUAACAGUACAUUCGUAGAUCUAAUGGUAAAAAAUUUACAAGCACCAAUCAUAGUUAGUUAAUUCGGAUUCGGCAAAAAUUCAGUACGGAUAUAAUUUGGUUAAAAUUCGCCUUCUAAUUUUUAAAUUCGUUGAAAAAUACGGCUAAAAAACGGAUUCGGUAAUUAUUCGGAUACGUGAUUUAUACGGAUAUUAUACGUUCACCAAUUAAAAAUUCAGAAUUAAAAAUUCGGCUAUUAAAUUAAAUUUUUUUCUCUCAAAAUUUAUACUAUUAGUAUAAAUACUCAUAUUUCUUAAGAAUAUAAGAAUAAAGAUAUACAAAAUUAAGCUAAUUAUGUAAAAAAAAAUAACAAACUAUAUUAUGCUUAUAAAUAAAAUAUUAUAUAAUAAUAUUUCUAUAUAAAAAUAAAAUACUAUAUAUAAUAAAUGAAUAUAUAUUUAUAAAUAAAAUUAUAUAUAUAUAUAUAUAUAUAUAUAAAUGAGAGGAGGUCCACCGUGACCUACCCUCUCAUGCGUCCAAGAGCCGACGUGCCUCGGGACCGUGCGCGACCAUAGCCUCCCAAAUGCGCCCUUUCCUCUUCGUCUUCCCCAUGGACUGCACACAAAACCAAUUUUCUCAAAAAAAAAUUUUACGAACAACCAAACAUGGGAAAAAAAACUGUCAACCGAAAAUUUUUUUUCGGAGAGGUAUUACAUAGAUCCAAACACUCGCGAGUUCGGCGACGAGAGCAGCGGAGGAGGAGGAGGACGACGAUGACGACACGGACGAGUUGGCGAUGAGAGCGGCGACGACGCUACCCGCGAGUCCGCCAUUGCCCUUUUUUUUAGGCGAAUUGUUCGCGAAUCGCGAAUAAUUCGCAGAUAACUAUUUUUGAUAAAAAAAAAAACGCAUUUUUUUUUGAAAUUUUUGGAAAAAUACGGAUACGAGCGUUUAAUUCGGUUAUUCAAAAAUUCGCGAAUAAUUCGCGAAUUAUACGCAAAUUAACUAACCAUGGCACCAAUAACUUGGUACUUUUAAAAGCAUAGGAGCUCAAUUCGUAUAUAUAUAUAUCUAUAUUAUAUAUAUAUAUAUAUAUAUAGAGAGAGACGAUGAGGACGAGAGACGAGAGAGACAGGACUGCUGGCUGGCCUCCAUGCCCUGACCUUUUCGUUGAUGGAAUUUCGAUCGACGAUCAGCUCCGUUAGACUUGAUCUAACUAUUUGAAGUUUCUAAAAAAUAAUUUUUGCGAUUUUUGAUAUCAUUUAUCUAUGAUGAAAGGGCUUCAAAAUCAAUAAUUUUAAUAGUUAUAAUCUUGCCGUUUUCAAGUUUAACAGCGUAGAAGUAUUCAAAUCAGAUGAAAUUUUGAUACAAAAAUCAUUAUACUAUCUACAAUAGAUCAAUAUUUUCUGAUCGAAAUUUUAGUGUCUCUCACCACUUUUUAUAGACGAUUUUUAUUUUCAGCCGUAAAAUUAUUGAUUUUAACCUUUUGAUUGCUAGGUAAAUGAUAUCAAAAAAAUUGCCAAAAUUAUUUCUAGAAACUUCAAAUAACGCUAGAUCAAAUCUAACGAAGCCGAUCGUCGAUUCGGAAAUUCCAUCAUCGAAAACGGCUCAGGAGCUCGUGUGCUCUGAGAGCACAGCAGUCCUGCCUCUAUAUAUAUAUAUAUAUAUAUAAUAUAUAUAUAUAUUAUAAUAUAAUAGAGAGAGAGAUGAUGAGACUAGAGAGAAGAGAGAGUGAGCAGAAUACUAUCGGUAGUAAAUGAGACCGAUUUACUACCGAUUGUUUUUCGAUGUAGAGCUUCCAAAUUGACGAUCGGCUCCGUUAAAAUAUCGAUAUACAUUUUAAACUAUCUAGAAAUCAAAUUUCACGCACUUUCGAUAUGUUGUUUAUCCAUCAAGUGAACAGAAAAAUGACAGGCUUGAAAAUGAAUACUCUUUAAAAAAUGAUGAUAGGAGUCUUGUAAUCAGAUCAAGAGUAUAGAUCUUGCCUUAAAUAGUUAAAGAAUUCUAAUAAAAAUUCAAUUGAUUUGGAUAUCUUUACGCCUUAAACGACGAAACGCCCUCUUAUCGACAUUAAUUACAAAUUUUGAAACCCUUUGAUCAUUAGGCAAAUGAUGUCGAAAAAUUUGAAUUUUUGAUUUCUAAACAUUCAAGUGGUAUAGAUCAUGGUCAACGGAGCCGAUCUCAAUUUGAAGGUUUUUCAUCGAAACAAAUCGGUAGUAAAACGGCCUCGCUUACUACCAAUAUAUCUAGCCUCCUCAACUCUAUAUAUAUUAUAUUAUAUAAUAUAUAUAUAUAUUAUAUAUAAUAUAUUAGUUGUAGAGCUACUAUGCUAUCGAAACAUAGAGAAUUUGAUGCUUCUAAUUUUGACCUUGGAUCAAGAAUUUUACGUGCGAAUAUUUAUACCCCCCCCCCCCCAGGGUUGAGUAGAACCUCUAGGGUUUAGUGGUCCCUACAGGAUACCAGUAUUAAUCCAAAGGUUAAAAAUGAUUAAAGAGGUUGAUCUAAGGGCCAAAAAGUCGGAAGUAGCAAAUCCUCUAUACUUCCGAUAGUAUAGUAGCUCGACUCUCUCUCUCUAUAUAUAUAUAUAGUCCGACUAUGGUGCUUUUAAAAGCACCAAGCACUUGGUGCUUGUAAGUUUUUACUGUUAGAUCUACCCCUUUGACCAUUUUCACCUAUUAGAUCAUACUAUUCAACCCAACUGCCCACUCAACCCUAGGGGACCACUAUCAUCCUAAUCGUACAUCACUUCAUCUAAUGACUUGGUGCUAUUACUAGUAUUCUAGCUUAGUUCUCUAUCUGUUAGAUCAUACUAUUCAACUAACUAUCCACUCAACUCUAGGGGAUUACUAUCAACCUAACUGGGGACCACUAUCAUCCUGACCGCACAUCUCUUAAUCCAAGGGCCGAAAACCUACAAACAUCAAUGACUUAGUACUUUUAAAAGUAUAGGAGCUCAAGUCAUAUAUAUAUAUAGUCCGACUAUGAUGCUUCUGGAAGCACCACAGAUGUGGUGCUUUCAAUUUUUUAACCUUUGGAUCAGCCCUUUGAUCAUUUCUAGCCCUUGGAUUAAUAUUAUUCCACUAGGGGGACCACUAAAUCCUAGGGAAACCACUAUGUACAAUCCUUGAUCCAAGGGUGACCACUAAAUCCUAAGGGACCCACUAUCAUCCCAACCCUACAAUCCUUGAUCCAAGGGUCAAAAAGUCGAAAGUACCAACUUCUUUAUACUUCCGGAAGCAUAGUAACUCUACACUAUAUAGUAAGGCUACUGUGCUCCUAAGCCGUUUUCAAUGAUGGAAUGUUCGAAUCGAUCAGCUCUGUUAAACUUGAUCUAGUGUAUUUGAACUAUCUGAAAAAUAAAUUUUGUGAUUUUUCGAUAUCAUUUACCUAGCGAUCGAAAGGUUCAAAAUCAAUAAUUUUUAAUAGUAGAUGUCUGGCGUUUGCAAAGUUUAACGGUUGCAAAGUCUCUAUACGAUCUACAGCAAGAUCAAGUCUAAUAGAGUCGAUCGUCGAUUUAGAAAUUCUAUAUGUAUGCACAUAUAUAUAUAUAUAUAUGUAUGUAUAUAUGUAUAUAUAUCGAAAUAUGUAUAUGUGUGUGUAUAUGUAUGUCGUUAGGUCACUUACCUUUAAUUAAUCCGAGUAUCGUUCGAUCAAACGUAAGGCAUCAAAUUAAUCAAUGUAACCUUUUCGAUGACGAUGAACAAAAUGACUAAGAAAGUAAGAAUAAGAUGUCUUUAACGAUACAAACAACAUCAGCCACAAACAAAACGACGCCAACAAAGAUCAAGGAGUGCGGCAGUGGAGGCGGUGUCGAACAAAGAAAUCGAGGAUUGUGCAAGAAAGAGAGAGAGAGAGAGAGAGAGAGAUCGAUCGCAUGCGGAUAAGGUUGAACAAGAGAAAAAGAGAAUGGCCUGUUGGGGAGAAAAAGAGAGAUUACCGCCGUUCCGUAACGACCUUUGAACUGAGUGGAGAAGGCUUUUUAUUAAUUAGGAUUGCAUAAUUGCACUAACCCCUAAACUUUUUAAGUUGAACAAAAUAAUCCUUCUCUAUCAAAUAAAUAAAAGUAUGGGGUAUUACAUUCCAUCACCUCCUCUCGCUAAUCUCGGUACCGAUAGGCUCGAGCAUCUGAAAGCUCAUCUUGUUGUGCAGGGCUAUAAACAACAACAGAGGAUCAACUUUGAUGAGACCUUCACCCAUGUUGUUAAACUUACCACCAUCCAAACAGUUAUUUUAGUUGAUCUCUCAUCUAGAUGGACUUUUCGUCAACUUGAUGUGAAGAACACCUUUCCCCAUGGGGUUCUCAAUGAAGAAACACGAAGCAACCACCGGGCUUUGAGCACACACCAUUUCCUCAUCAUGUUUGCAAGCUCCGGAGAGUUAUUUAUAGUCUUAAACAGGCACCUCGUGCAUGGUUUCAGCAAUUCACAUCUUUCUUAUCUGACCAUGGGUUAAUUGGGAGCACUGACGAUCCCUCCAUGUUUGUCUCCUACAGGACUGACGACAUCCUUAUUUUAUCAUUGUAUGUUGAUGAUAUUAUUAUGAUAGAUAGCUCAACGUCUUUACUGAUGUCUUUCAUCUCCACUCUCCAAUCUAAGUUUGCUUAGAAAGACUUGGGCUCUCUCCACUAUUUCCUUAGGGUGAAAGUUUCAGGCUUUAAUAAUAGCUUGUUGCUAACACAAGAGAAAUAUGCUCAUCAGGUACUUGAGCAUCAUUAUAUGCUUUCUUUCAAGCCUAUUUCCACGCCACUUUCAUUGACAACUCAUCUCUCUAUUAAUGAGGGUCGUUUUCUCGGUGAUCCCAAUACAUAUCGGCAGAUAGUUGGGCCCUUACAGUACCUUAUCUUCACUCAGUCUGAUACCUCAUAUGUUGUCUAGUUGUACAAUUUCUGCAUGCACCUCGUGACACUCAUCUACAAGUAGUAAAAGAAUUAUUUGUGAUAUUCAUGGGACUCUUUCUUAUGGACUUCAUUUUCUCGAUGCGUCAAUCCUUCUCUUAUUGCAUAUUCAGAUGCUCAUUGUGCGGGAUGUCCUAAUGCUCGACGCUCUACCUUCGAUUAUUGUGUUUUUCUUGGCUCAAACGACAUUUUGUGGUCUACUAAGAAGCAACCCACUAUAUAUCACUCAAGCUCCAAAGCUGAAUAUCACUCUGUUUCCUUUACCCUCGCUAAGACUGUCUGGAUUUAUCGACUCCAUGAUCUUGGUGUGCCACUAAAGUGACUGGUUACUAUCUAUUGUGACAGGCUUAGUACCAUAUAUCUUACCGUCGAUCCAAUGUUACAUGUACGCCAAGCAUAUCGAACUUGAUCAUCACUUUCCUCACGAGAAAGUGCAGAUGAGUGAUCUCUCUUUGAUUCAUAUAUCAUUGGGUACGCAGCUUGCUGACAUAUUCAAUAAAUUACUCUACACUUCUCGUUUUUGUGCUCUUCGUACCAAUCUUCACAUCUAAUCUCGAGAUGCUCAAAUUGUAUGGGGAUGUUAGAGUAAUUAGUGCAUACGCAUUUGGAAUGAUUGAAAUUAGUAUAAUAUAAGUCAAUAUUUAUAUUUAUUACUAUUUUAUCAUUAAUCCAGUUGCAUGACAACUAGCUUGUACCUCGUAUACACCUAUACCUAUUAUAUCUAAUACAAAACUCUAUAGGGUUGUGUGGUGGGUUUUACCGAACCUUUCAGAAACACACUCAGAGUCGAGUUGUACUUGUUAGCCAUAGCUUCGACAACAGCUGUUUUUCUAAAUUACCACAAAAAUGUGUAUAUCAUGUUUAUUAGCAUUAAUAUUGAAAAUAAACGUCAAACUAUUCAUUUUGAAUUGAGAUAGCAAUGAGCAUAUACUUAAGGGCUUUUUUUGCAUUUAGCCCCCUGGCAAAUUUUUAUUUUAAAAAUAACCCUGUCAAAAUUUAAUUUGCAAAAAUGGCCCUAGGCCAGCCACGCCGGCGCCACGUCAGCGCCACGCGGGCGGGGCUGGGGGCGGUAGUUAAGUUAAACACGGUGAACAAUUCACCGUGUCUAAACACGGUGAAUGGUUCACCAUGUUUACUACGUAUUUUUUGUAUAUUGAAAAGAGGAAUAGGGAAUUUGUAUUUCUUUUCUUCUCUUUUUCAAAAAUCCGAACCCGAACCCGAAAAUCAAAUUAAAAUCCAAACCCGGAUCCGAACCCGACGGAUUUUAAAAAUUCAUACCCAUAUCCAUAUCCGACCAAAAACUCGAAACCCGAACCUGAAUCCAGCAGAUUUUAAAAUCUAUAUCGUUGGAUGAAGAUCUAAGAAAUAAAAAUUAUUAAAUAUUUUAUAUAUUGUAUAAAUAAAUAAAAAUAAAUUAUGUAUAUAUAUAUAAUUUAUUCGUGUUUGGAUUCGGAUAAUAUUUCGGAUAUCCAUACCUAUUGACAUCCCUACUCCCUAUUCCUCUUUUCAAUAUACAAAAAAUACGCACUAAACACGGUGAACCAUUCACCGUGUUUGAACACGGUGAAUGGUUCACCGUGUUCAACUUAACACGCGGGCCGCGGCCCUGCCCGCGUGGCGCUGACGUGGCGCCUGCGUGGCAGGCCUAGGGCUAUUUUUGCAAAUUAAAUUUUAACAGCGCUAAUUUUAAAAUAAAAAUUUGUCAAGGGGCUAAAUGCAAAAAAAGCCCUAUACUUAAAUAAAAUGGACAUGCAAUUUUGUGUAUAGGUGCAUAUUUAGGAGGACCUUCUAUGCUAAUAUCCUUUUAAUCUCAAGUUAUAACCAGGCUAUGUAGCUAAGCAAGAAAGCAAAUAGAAAAUCUUAGAUAACAAGAAAAAGAAGCAGAAAAAAGCAAUAAUUAAAAUGGAUUCUUCACAUCCUAGAAUAAGACUCAAACAAAUAAAAAAGUGAGCUUUGGAAGAAUGUAUAUUAAGAUCCAAUUAAAUGUCAAUAAUCACCAAUCGUCAUUGAAAUAUUUUAACUUCGUUAAAAUAAAAAGCAAAAUGUAAUUCAAGGCCAACGAACCUUUGAGCAUGUCCCAAGUUCACUAGCUUCAUUUUGACCUGCACAUUAAGCUUGUUGAUUAUACCGCAUGCAUAGAGACUAUCGAGAAACAACAUAUCUUAUAAAGAUAAGUCCUUAAGUGUAUGACUAAUUACUGGAAAUAAUAGUGUCUCUAUCAACAAAGGAGCAUAAAAACUAGAAAUGUGUGUUGAUACACAUCUAUGUAGAUUGCCUAAUAGAUAUAUGAAUUAAUUUCAUACAGGUCCCUGCAAAUAUAGUGAAUUGCAAAUAUAUCCCUACAAAAUUCAACUUUCAUAUGUUGUCCUUACAAAAGUCCUAAUAUUUUCAAAUAUAUCCUUGCCGUUAUGAUCCGGUAGAAAAAAUUAGUUAACCAUAGGUAAGAUACUUAACUCUAGUUAGUUAAUGAGGUGAAUUGACCUUUUUACCCCUCUUCAAUUAACAGUUGGGACUUUUAGAGGGACAUAUUUGUGAUAACAAAAAAGUUAUUUCACUUAUCAAAUAAAUAGUUCUUUAACCGUAACAAACCAGAGGGACAUAUUUAAAAACAUUAGAACUUUUGGAGGGACAACAUAUGAAAGUUGAACUUUGUAGGGAUAUAUUUGCAAUUUACUAUGUUUGCAGGGACCUAUAUGAAAUUAACACAUAAUAUAUAAUUGAAGGUCAGAGUAAUUACAUGUCACUCCAGAAUUUUUCUAAAACUGAAGAAGCUUCAGCAAAACUAGAAGAGGCCUCAGCAAAACUAAAAAGCCUGAAAUUACUAUGCCUGGUUUGACAAAUCUCAAUGGCAGCAUAAAGAAUAAUGUCAAUAUGCAUAGGAAAACAAUCUUUCGUGUCAGAUAAAUAAUCUUGCUUAUCUAAAGAGCCAGCAUGACAAAGAUGUCUUCAGUAAUUAUUGUAAAACUCUUCCAUAUUAAGUUGAUUGUACAUAUAUAGAUACCAUCAUGUAUGAUACAACAGUGCAAAUCUGCAUUAUUCUUACAUGACAUCACCUUGGGAUCCUGCAUAGCUAAUUUAGUCCUCUCUCGAAUGCGUUGAAGAGUUUCUGCACGCAAUUCGUUAUAAAGUUGAUCGGUUAACGGAAGUUUAAAAUUUACGCAAUGAGAACAGGCUAUCUUUACAAAACUAACCUUGACUAUGUUUUCUGCCUUUGUUCCACGGUACAUUCCCCUUAUUUGCUUUCGAGAUUCUCAUUCGUCUCAACUUUUCUCUAUUAUCUAUUUCAGAAAACUCUUCAUGUGAAAAUUGAGAUACUUGACACACACCAUAUUCCAAAGUGGUAGUGCACAUCUCAUCAUCCGGGGUGGGAACUGACUUAGGUUCAACAGUAGCAACUGCCUUGAUAAGAUGUUCAUCCUUCUUAUCAAUAGACAACCCUCCAAACGUUGACCUUUUGGGGAUUUGAAUGUGAUUUUUCCAUCCAAAUCCUAUUUGCUUAUUCCAUAUAAAAGGAAGUCCGUGCGCAAUCUUCCUAUAGCUUAGCAAUUGACUAUUUCUUGCACUCAUGUAGUUCGCAAAGGAAGAUUUUGAAGUGAAAAUAUCUGCAUAACAGUUAUAUGAUACAAAUAAAUUUAGACAAACAGAUGCUUAGAGAAGAAAUAGAAAAAAAAUAAAUAAACAAAAUAAAAGACAACAGCAAAAUCUAUCAUAAGAACUUGUCUAAAUUGAUGUUUUCUGGGCUUAAAUAACAUCAAAGAUUUGUCAACAAAAUAAGGUACUAAAAAGCAACUAAAUUUGUAAUUUCUUUAAAGAAUUUGCUUGAAUUGUAACCUUUUCAAAUUAAAAUGAUUAUGUACAAAGAACUUAAAUGAUAGCCAAACCACAAAAGUUCCUAUCUCACAACAGAUGUUUUGAAUUACACCAAGAAAAAUGGUAACCACAAAGUACAUGAAAGUUGACAAAUUUGCACUUUUAAAGUACUUCAAUAAGCUCAAUUUGUAUCUUCCUGUCAAGCUCCAGAGCUCUUUUAUAAACCUUUUAUAGAAAAAAUAGGGGAAAACGUGUACUUUUUCUUUUAAAACAAAGCCAAAGAUGGAGCAUGUACAGACCUGCUACAUGGACAGAGUCUCUCCUGUACAAACAGACAGAGUCUUCCCUAUACACGCACGGCAUAGAAACCUAGAAUACAUCAUCAACCAAUGCAUCAAACACAAAGAUUAACAACAAUAACAACCGAUAGAUAAACAACUAAACAAAAGAUAGUAAGCGUACCAAACAAAUCGAUAGUUAAUUAUUUGAAGAUACUAAUACUGAAAGAAACAACCGAACUACUGAGGAACCUACAUCCACCAUUAUUAACAUGAAAUAGAGUUAAAUAACAUUAAUCUGAAACAUAAAAGCAAGACUAAACAUGAAAGAUAAACUAAAUCAUCAACAUCACGGCCUGGGACAUGUCUAUCUACUAGCACCCUCAUGCACUGUCCUGACCCUCACUCCAGUAUCACCUAUAAAAAACAGGGAGUGAGAAACAUGUACACAUUCUUCCCAUUGGGUAUCGCAAGCCGCCAAAAGUAAGCUAUACUCACCAGUAAACAAGAGAGAGAAUAUAAUUUGAAAGGUAUGAAUAAAUAAGACGAUACAAUAGCAAUAAGUAUAAUAGGAAAAGAAUACACAAAUAAAUAUCUAAACUAAUAUCGCUAUUGAGAUAAGAUAAAUAAUGUAUAUAUAUGUAUCAACCGGAUAAAAAGUCCAAUAUCCAAACACAAUCUAAAUACCAGUUUGUUGGUCUAAAAACCUCAGGCAAUGCCACAUUGUGCUCAGUCACAGGGCACAUAACCCCAUUGCAAAAUAUACUGCAUAGAGCUCACAGAUCGGAACAUGACCACUUCUCCCCAAAAAAAACCAUUACGGUGGCCGAACUGCUGGUGUACGUGAAAUGCUCUAUGAACAGCGGUGAUUGAUGUUGUAUGCUCAAUUGCCAAACCAUCGGCAAAUAGCCGAGAGAAAUUAAUAGAAUGUCCACCGACCAAUCAGACAAUGUCCCUAAAUCAUAAUGUGAUGUUGUAUGCUCAAUUGCCAAACCAUCAGCAAAUAGCCGAGAGAAAUCAAUAGAAUGCCCACCGACCAAUCAGAUCAAACAAUGUCACUAAUAAUGUGAUACCGACCUACCGGAUAAAUGGUCUACCGCUCUACAACUCAAAAGUAAUCUUAAUGGUAUAUAUCAAAUAAAGUAGAGCAAAUAAAAUAAAGAUUCCAUUGAUGCAAAAGAUGUACUCAAUAAGAAUCAUAGAGGAGAAUAAAGGGGAAAGGAAAGUAACAGAGUAGGCACCACUUUACCGACUUAAGAUUGUAGCACCCACCUCAAAACCAACAACGAGUCCGCGACUCGAAAGAUGCUCCUAAACGUCGCCCGGACCUUCGAAAGAUCUCACGGAGUCACAAUCAGCUCCACAACCCAAAACCAACACCAAAUUGACCCGAAGUCACUUUAAUCACUAAACGCUACAAUCAAACAAUCAGUUUCAUUUACCAAUUUUUGGAACCUGCUGCCGGAAUUCAUGAAAACUCACCAAAAACACUUUCGCAAUCCACAAAGUAUCCCAGAGGAUGCCAUCCAUCUUCUUAACCCAUCCACUACCCCGAAACAAACCAUUUUGGAUGUUCGAGCAACUACACGCGACGAAAAUGCUAAAUAGGUGUAGCUAAAAACAUGUUACAACGAGUUUCCGAAAGUGCCGAUUGGUUUCGGAACCAAGGAUAAAAGUACCGCCUCGUGCCGUACAUCGGAACCAAGGAUAAAGGGGUCGCCCCUUGCCGUACAGCACGAGGCGGAACGUACGGUACGAGGGGGUCUCGCAGGAUCCCCCUGUGUUGCCAUAUGCAAUGAGCAUCGUGCCGCGUUCUCUUUUUUUUGUUUUGAUUUGUUAGUUAGGAUUUUUUUUCUGGCUUUUUUAGUUGUGAUUUGUUAUUUAGGGUAUAAGAAUGGAUGAUAACUAAAUCACACUAUCUUAUCGCUAAUUUUUUAAAAAAAAAUUUAAUCCCUUCUCUCCCUUUGAUUUAGUUAUCUAAUGAUUAUAAUCUUCUCUAUUCUAAAAUCUAAUCUAAUCUAAUCUAGAAUUACCAUAUUUAAUCUAUAAAAUCUAGUCAAAUCUAAUAUAAUCUAGAAUCUAAUAUAACAUAUAUUUAAAUUUAUCUAUUCUAAUUUACAAGUAUGAAACCUAAUCAAAUCUAAUCUAGAAUUAUCUAUUAGAGUAUUAAAUUCUAAUCUAAUCUAGAAAUAUAAUAGAAUAUAACUAAUUAAAUUUGAUUUACGAAAUUGCAAAUUACCUAAAUUAAUAGUUUAAAAAUUCUAAUCUAAAACGACCUUAUUUAAUCUAAUAUUGAAUCUAAUCUAAUCUAUUGUGACGCCCCACUUCCCACGGGGUCACCCAUCCUAGGGCUACUCUAGUCCUAGCACGCUUAGCUCUUUUAACAUCUUAGGCCUAGCCACCGCCCAAAGUGCUACAGUCGAGUUAAGUGUUUUAGCUCUAUUAUAUCUUAUAUAUAGGACUACCUAGUGUCUCGCAUUCUCUCCCUCUUUAAGCCCUAAUGUCCUCGUUAGGCUCAAACUCACAAGUACCAGGCGACGAAAGACUCGUCUCGCUAGCCUUUAACUGACCUUGUGGGGUAGCCACGUGUUACUAAUAACAGUCAUCAACAUAAGAGCCUCGCUCUCCCACUGUAUAACCUGGCUCAGCCGAGACUCAUCUCACACUUCCGGCUAAUAAUUGGCUCUGAUACCAAUUGUGACGCCCCACUUCCCAGGAAUGGAAUUGUCAUUGGAAUAGGUUGUCUAUAACACCCCAAUAGCCCCACAUCAGAUAGGAAUAAGGUUAUCAUUGGGUAUAUAAGAGGAUUCCACCCUAGUAAUAAUAACCGGGCUUAAGCAUUUUGGGCCGGUGAUUUUGGCCCAAUGAAUUAUUAUUGCUAGUAGGUCGAAUCGUUACAUUUGGUAUCAGAGCCGGUUCACCAGCCGGAAGUGUGCAUACGUGAUUAAGCAAACAAACACCACAUUAGUGGGAUUAAGCAUGCAAAAUAGAAAAUUUCCUAACUAAUUAAGUAUAAUUUUCAUACUAAAAAUAUAAUAACAAUGACUGGGUUCACAAAAUAUUACAAAUCUCAUUUCGCAUAUUUUAUGAAAGAACUGAGAGAAACAAAAUGUUAACAAAAAUUAAUCUAAUUCCAAAAUUAGAAUUCGAAACAAAAGUUUCCAGUAACUAGCGACCCAUUGGCUAAGGUCCUAAGCACACAUUAGAGGCAUCCGAAGGGGCGAUCACAAAAUGAAAGCACCCAAAGAUAAAUAGCAUCAAGAGGCGCAUCACAAAAUUGCACUCGAAAGCGCGUUACAAAAUUUGCAUUUGAAAGUGCGUCACAAAAUUGCAUUCAGAGGUGCAUCACAAAAUCGAAACUAGCUUUUAUCACAAAAUUCAUGUCGACAUGGCCAAUAUUAUUAUAGCAAUAUACCCAGAGACAUCAUGACUUCAAAAUUAUUUACCCAAAUUUAGAAGGAAACAGAUUAUCAAAUACUAAAAUUUAAUCAAAUAAGCACAAUUUCUAAAGCACAUAUUUUAAAUAAAAUUGUACACUUUUUAGAAAUUUUUUUCUUUCAACAAUUCGUAAUUUAUAUAAGCACGCCUAACCCUUAUUUUAAAAAAUAAUACAAAAAGGAGGUACUGUUAUUGUACCAUAUUUUUAUAAUUUUGCCAAAAAUAAACUAACAGCUGCUAGGUUGCUUACCUUUGCUUACCUUUAAGUAAUCUAAGAAUCUUUCUGUCAAAUGCUAAGUAUCAAUUUUAAUCAACGAACCUUUUUUAAAGACAAUGAAGGAAACAACGGUGAAUGAGGUGUCACCGAACACAAUCCAAAAGCGUCGAGAGCGAUCAAGUAUAAUGGCAACGCCAAAGGACGAGGAACGAAACCGACGUGUAUGCGCACGCAUGAGAGAUAGAGAGAAAGCACAGAUUUGCUGGGGAGAGGGAGAAAGAGAGGAGGAAACAUACUAGAGAAAGAGAGAGAGAGACUAAAUAUUACAUAAUCCUUAGGACUAAAGCCCUUUUUUGAACAUAAAUCCCUAAGGUUUAUAAAUUUUGCAACAUAGUCCAAUUCUGUAAACAAACAAAUAAAUAAGAUAAAUAGAGAUAUGGGUAUUACAGUGCGCCAAGUAAACUUGAUGACAUAUAAGGAUGAAAAACAUAAGUGAAAACAAGGAAGAACAAUUAGAUGAUGAUCAUUGUGAAACCGAGGAACCCGACCUAAAAACAAAUUAAUAGAAUAUGACGCCUAUAAUGCAGUUGAAAGGAAAGCAUUCGUCAUGCAUAAGAUUUAAUCCUAUCGUCCCAAAUGAUAACAAAUGUCAUAGGCAUAAUCUUUUUCGAACAACUUGUGCAUCUAGUGGACGAUUGUGUAAAUUGAUAAUAGAUAGUGGAAGCACUGAAAACUUCGUGGAAAGAAAUGGUCGAUGAACUAGGCUUGAUAAUUAAAAGGAUAUAAAGUCCAAACAAGAUGGUUUAAGGAUGGUGGAUAGGUCCUAGUUGACCAUAUGUGCUUAGUUAAAUUUUCUAUGGGAAAGUAGUUUGCCACAUCCUGUUAGGCCGGCCCUAGCAAUUUGAUAGGAAAACCAUUCAUGAUGGGGAAAAGAACACAUAUACGUUUACAAAGGAAGGACAAGUUCAAAAUCACAGUGCACCCAGAAAGAAAGACACCAAAUACCAGUAGAGAGGAUCAUUCCAUAAACCAUAAGAGUGGUGGAAGAGAAUGAGUAAUGACUCUUAGUGAAAAGCAAUUUCAAGAGGACCUAGAGGAGUCGCCCAUAGUUUACGUGAUAAGCAAGGAAGUCUUUAAGGCUAGUGCGAUUCCAAGGAAGUUCAACCAUUGAUCUCUAAAUUUUCUGACAUCACUCUAGAAGAACUUCCUAAUGGAUUGCCACCAAUAAGGGACAUCCAUGAUCCAACAUUGCAUAGAUUUAGUUCUGUACACUAAUCUUCCCCACUUGCGCCAUUAUGGAAUGAGUCUUUUUGAGUACGAGGAGCUACAUCGACAAAGCGACAGAUUUAUUAAAGAAAGGUUACAUUAGAGAGCGUCUUACUCCGUUUGCGGCACUACUCAACAAAGAAAGAUGGAUCUCGACAAAAGUGCAUCCACUGUCACGCAAUUAACAAAAUAACCAUUUAAGUAAAGGUUUCCCAUUCAUCGGCUUGGCGACAUGAUAGGUAUGCUUAGUGGUGCAAAAGUCCUUUAAAAACUAAUCUCGGGAGUGGAUACCAUCAGAUUAGGAUAAGACUUGGGGAUGAAUGGAAAACAGCCUUUAAGACAUGUGAGGUAAUGUAUGAAUGAUUGGUUAUACCAUUUGGUCUAUCAAAUGCAAAAAGCACUUUCAUGAGAGUGGUGAACCAAGUGCUUCGCCUUUUUAUAGAAAAAUAUUUUGUUAUCUAUUUUGAUGAUAUCCUAAUAUAUAGUUCUUGCCCCAAAAGCCAUUCAGAACACUUAAAGAAAUUUUGCAAACCUUGAAAUACAAUCAUCUUUUUGUCAAUAUGAAGAAAUGCACCUUCCUCACUAAUAACCUAGCUUUUCUUAGAUACAUUGUAUCGUCCAAAGGACUAGAAGUAGAACCCUUUUAAAGUAGAUGUCAUCCAAAACUAGCCAACUUUGACUAUGGUUAGUUUAAGUUACGAGUUUUCAUGGCCUAGCUUCCUUCUACCGUCAAGGGAGAACAUGUUCAACAAAAGGGAUCUUGUUAUGGUCAUACUUCCAAAAGGAAAGAUUUCCAGUUGGCGGGCAUAGCAAAGUAAGCCGGAGGAAUUUUAGUCCUUACCGCAUCAUCAAAAGAUUAGGGCCUAAUGCCUACCUAGUCAAACUUCCAGCUAGCAUGACAAUUUGGCUAGUAUUCAAUGUAGCCAACUUAUACAAAUUCCAUGGAGAUCCAUAUAUAGCACAUGAAACAGAUGCAUUGCCUUUUCAAGACACGAGCAAAAGUACCAAAGACCAGAUUGAGGACAUCAUGGAUGUGCGUGAAACUACCACACGUCGAGUGACUCGAGAUUCCUUUUUAAGUGGGAAGGACAGCCAUCAUCAGGUUAUAGCUGGCCGGAAGAAGUUGAACUUCGGAGUCUUCUCAACGACUUGUAUGAGAACUACAUCGAAUCUAUCUCCACAGGGUCGAGAUCUCUCCACCACGGAGGAAAUGAUGCGGGCAUCAACUAGCUUUUAUUAGUGGUAAGUUUCUUAAUAAACUUCAGCCAUAUGUUUUAAUUGGACAAGUUGAGGUUAACCCAACAUAAAACACAUCUAAACUAAACCCUUCCUAGACCACAUUUUAAUUGGCUCAUUCUUUUCUUCUCCACUUGAGCCUAUAUCGAACAUUCUCUCUCUUAUGACUGCUGCCAUUAUCUUUGGACGUCUCAUUAUGAGUUGAUAGCUGAAACACCGGCUUCCACUACCUCUUUGAAAGAUGCUUUGGCCUCCCUAUUCGCUGCCCCUGUCGUAUAGAGCAGUAAAUUACGGCUAAAGCAAUUUGUUGCUGAUUUGCUGUUGAAAGUUGAUCCAAAACAAGAAGGAAAUGGAGUUACAAGCAACUAAAAGGAACUAUGAUGCUUUCCAUGGUAUUUCAACAUAUCCAAGUAUCUUGAAUUUCUAAAUGAGAUUACAACUGAUGCUACAUUAGCACGUUUGGUUUAACGCAGUAUAUAUUGCUAGAUUGCAAUAUUUAAAGCAUUACUAUGUUUGGUUCAGUCUAUAAAAUUUAGUAAUCCUGACAGAAAAGUAGUCUUUUCCAAAACUACCCUUGGGGUCAUUUGAAUAUUAUAUUUUACUAAAAUAUAAGUAAAUAUAAUUUGCACUUGUAAAUUAAUUAUAUUAAUACGUAGUAAAAUAAAGAGACCAAACAUGAAAAUAAAAAUUAUGUUGCAAAAAAUUAAUUUCAACCCAUAAAAGAAUAAAUAGAAAAAAGACCAUUAUACAUAAUCAAAAAUCAUACAAUAACAAAUAAAUUUCAAUUUAGAAACUCAUCUAUAAACAAAAUCAUUAACCAAACAUCACAUAAAGGCACAUUAGCAGCAUAAUAUCAAAAAUAUUUCUCAUGUUUAAGACCAAACAGUACUAUUACCAAGUUAAGAAAUUAACAAAGCACCAUCUAGAAUAAAUAUUUCAUAGAGUCGAAACUUCCACACACAUCACAAUACCAUCCAAAAGUGGAAGCUUAAACACUUACAUUAUAAAAGUUUAUAAGUUCUUGCACUAAAAAAAGGCGAGCCAAAAAUGUCUAAACCCAACUAGUCCAACUCUAAUAACACAAUUUCUUCAAUCACGUCCACCUACGAUACGGAAAAUGUAUUGCUUUCUGUAAUGAUCGAGCAUGCAGUAAAAUGUAUGUAAUUUUGUAGAAUUGCCCUUUAGGAUUUCAGUGGCAUCCAUUAUUUGUCUGUCCUCAAGUCCCUCGAUCUUUAGUAUCUCUUCAAACAACUCCUUUUUGGUCUCAUUAUUUGCCAUGAAUUGAAAGCAAUUAGCAAGCCGACCUAAGUGCUCAUUGGCAUCGUUAAAUGAAGUUUCAAGCGUACACAAGGUUGAACAAAAUUGUUCAUUGAUUGAAUCCUCUCCAAGUAGUGACUUUUGCUUCUUUAAUUUUGCCGAUGUGCCACCAUUCAAAGUGUUUACUCGAGCACUACUUUGUUCCAUAAAAAACAUCUCGACAUCAGGAACUUGGGUGGAUGCAUGUGUCAUUAACUCUUCCUCUUCGACGUUCCUUGCAGCAUCAGCAGUAGAUUCUGCACCAGCACUAGUUGUACGAUCUUUUCCAAAUCUAAUCUCACCUAUUGGGACUCAUACCUUGGGGAACCUUCAAUCCAUUUGGUCUUGAUAUUGCAUCUCGAAGCACCCUAGAGUCUACCGCAGAACCCUCCCACCCAGGUAAGAUACACAUAAAUUGCAUGUCUUGUGUACAUACCCCUAGAACAUUAGUGGUAAUAUUCUUAUCCCGGUCUCGGUACCUAGCCUUAUCAAUUUCUGAAACAUGGACCUUAAUAUGAGUCCCAUCCAGUGCACCCAAAUAAUUCUGCAAAUCAGGUGUACAUAUGAUAAAUUUAUGGUUGGUUUGACAAAAAAGGGCCGUUCAAAAAAGUGAACGCAAGGAUAAAAGUUUGCCUACCUUGAACCAUUUCCACCUCUCAUCACUCGAGUUUUCAGGGCCACGUUCAGGCUCCCUUAACAAAACGUCAUGACAACGUAAGAUGGUGGCUAAGACUUUACCAAAUUGUCUACUUAUUGUCUCUCCUGAUCUAACAAAUUGCCUUUUAAUUAUCCUAUUUUUAACAUCAUGUAUAACAAUAUGUAAGAACAUAGAAACCAUCUCCUCUCUUGCAAUCUCCCUCUUGUUGAAAGUAGAUCAUAAAGGGAGUGAAAUGUGUUACAAUCCGUACAUGUUCUUUCAUAACAUGCAAGAUCACUAUCAUAAAUUAUUCUCCUAAUGUGCACAUAUUUUAUAAAACGCUUUUCCAUUGCUUGCCUUCCUCCCCAACGGUGCUUAUUGUGCUGUCUAAAAUUAUAUAGAGUUUGAAGUAAUUUUACAACGCAAAGAAGCCUUUGCAUAUGGAUGAAUGUGGCAAUAAUGCACGCUAACAUCAGGACAAAUUCAGGGGAAGUUGGAUCCAUCUUGAUCUAUACUAAAUUAUGACAAGUGGAAUACGCAUAUAAGUCAACAAGCGCUUAUCAAUAGAUAUAGAGCAAACCCAACAAAUAUAGCAAAGUUAUAAACAACUAACAAUAUAUGCAUAUACAUACAUUUCAAAAAAUGAAUAAAUGUAUGCUCUAUAGGUGGAUAAUCUAGCAUAUAAGUCAACUGCCAUUUUCUUUUAUUAAUCAAAUUUUGCUAUUUAUUAUUUGAAUUGAAACUGGACUCAAUGAAACUAGUCCAAUUGAACUCCCUAAAUAGAUAAUCUGCUGUUCUUUUACAUCAACACACUAUAUCAAUUUUAGGGCAUCAAAAAUCAAAAAUCGAAGAGAGAAAAUAUAAAUAAAAAACUAAAACAAAAAUUAAAUGAUAAAAAAUUAAAUAAAAAAUUAUCAUUUACACAUAAAAAAUUAAACUAGGGUUUUUAGGCCAACACAUGAUUAAUUAGGGCAUAAAAAAAUAUAUAAAUUGUUCCCUAACAUUUCCAAAUCAGAUCCGGGAAAAGGGAGACAGAAAAAAAACGAGAUCCAAAACUAGAUUAAUAAGAAUCAAAAAUACCAAAGUGCUUGUUAAGCAUGUCCUGUAGAAAGAUUGCAACUAAAUGAAACAAGACAUGGCUUCAGAUCUGACGAAGUAUUGCAACAGAUCUGUAAUAAACAUGUGAGAAAGAGGCAUAAAAACUCCUUAAAUCGACGAAAAAUGAAAAAAAAAAACAAUUCUCCAAAUCGGAUCUAACUUCAGUUCAUUUCGAAAAGAAUGGGUUUUAGCGACAGAGAAGAAGUGUUUAAAUAUUUAUGCGAAAAUGGCGAAUGGAGGGAAGGAGAUCGCGAAGAUUACCUGGGACGACGGAGCAAUAGAAGGGGAUAGGUGUUCGUGCGAGAGAGAGAGACAGCGUCCUGCGUGCGCGCGCGCGAGAGGGAGAUGGAAACGAUGCGGUUGAUAGGGUACGGCGGGUGUUGCAGGGUAAAAUUGUCAUUUUAUGACAUAAUAGAUAACAUUAUCAGCCUCCAGUCAACUAAGGUACACACCAGUUUGAUAAUAUUUUAUGUUGAAUCUUAGGGCGUGUUUGAUGCGCUUCUUUUUCAUCCCCAAAUCAAAAUUGAAACGAGUAAAUUCGUUUGUGAGUGUUUGAUAUGCAUGGAUCUCAUUCCGAUUUCGAUUUCCGAGUGGAAUGGAAAUUCUCUAAUCACCUUUUUUUCGAAGUUGAAUCCAGACGGAAUGGAUAUUUAUUCGAAUUAAAUUUAUUUUUUCAACUUUUUUAAUUAAAAUUUAAAUUUAAAUUUAGAAAUUAAAAUUUAUAAUUUUAAAUUUUAAUUUUAAUUUGAAUUAAAAAUUAAAAUUUAAUUAAGUACUUUGAAUUUAACUUAUAAAUUUGAAUUUAAAUUAAAUUUUAAUUUAUAUAAAGUUUUAUUUAAAUUUUAUUUAAAACUUAAAUUAAAUUUAUGGAUUCAAAUUAAAAUUUAAAUUAUAAUUUUAAGUUUAAAUUUGAAUAAAUCGAAAUUUAGUUUUAUAUUUUGAAUUAUCCACUUAACUUCAAAGUUUAAUUUUUUAAAAAUAUAUAUAUUUAAAAUUUUGACAUUAUUUCAAAAUUUUGAUAUAAAUUUUUAAUAUUUAAUUUUCAAUUUGAAUUUAAAUUAAUAUAUUAUAAAGAUAAUGUUAGUAUAUUAAUUUGAUUACGCUUUUUUUAUCUACGUGAACCAAACACCGACAAUAUGAAUGAUUUAUUUCGAUUCCAAUUCAGGUAACGAACCAAACAGAAUUAGGUAAUGAGUCAUUCUGAUUCCGAUUCUAGCUUAUUUCGAUUCCGAUUCUGAUUUCCGUUCCAACUUCGAACCAAACGCACCCUAAACAUCUUUUGUAAUACUGUAAUAUCGAGCAGAUUAUAUACCAUAUGAAUCAAACACAGCAAUCAUGGCAUGAUUGUUUGUAAUACUGCCAAGAUAACACAAACCAAACAUACCUUUUUUAAAGGCGUGUUUGGUUCGUGUUAUAUAGCAUUACAAGAUAUUUCAACAUAACUAGGUAUAUGAGAUUUCUGAAUUAAAUUACUACUGAUCUUACAUUAUCACGUUUGGUUUAAUACAGUAAUACAAUGCUACAUUAUAAUAUGUAUGGAAUUAUAAUAUUUGGUUCAUUUUAUAAAAUUUAAUAAUCCUGACAAUAAAAUAUACCCACAAUCGCCCUUAUGUUAUAUUUGACAAAAUGUAAAACUUAAAAUAUAAAUGUGAAAUUUAAAAAUUUAAAAAUUUAUAAUUUAUAAUUUAAAAUUUGAAAUUUAAAAUUUGAAAUAUAAAUUUAAAAUCUAAAUUUAGAAUUUAAAAUUUAAAAUAUAAAUUUGAAAUUUAAAAUUUAAAAUUCAACAUUUAAAAUUUAAAAUUUUGAAAAUUGAUUAAAAUUUUAAAUUUUUAAAUUUAGAAUGUGAAAUUUAAAAUUUGAAAUUUAAAUUUACAAUUUGGCAAUUCAAAAUUUUAAAUAAAAUUUUAAAAAUGACAUAUACAAAGAGUUUGGGAGAGGGGUUGGGGAAGUAAAGUUGUAACUUAACAUAACAUGCAAAAUUACUCGCCAUCAUUAAUACAAGAUACUCACCCCCCUGCUCGGUAAUAUUUUUGAUGUAAUCCUGCACCAUUUGUAAUACUACAUUACCGACCAGAUUAUAGACUAGAAAAAUCAAAUGUAGUAAUCCUGAUAGGAUUGUCUGUUAUCCUAGCAAGAAAGCCUGAACCAAACAUACCGUAAAAAAUUUUGCAAACCUUGAAAUGCAAUCAUCUUGUUGUCAAUACGAAGAAAUGCACCAUCCUCACUAAUAACUCAGUUUUUCUUAGAUACAUGGUAUCAUCCGAAGGACUAAAAAUAGGACCCUUUUAAAGUAGAUGUCAUCCAAAACUAGCCAACUUCGACUAUAGUUAGUUUAAAUUACGAGUUUUCAUAGCCUAGCUUCCUUCUACCAUAAAAGGAAGAAUGUGUUCAACAAAAAGGAUCUUGUUAUGGUCUUACUUCCAAAAUAAAAGAUUUUCAGUUGGUGCGCAUAGCAUAGUAAGCCAGAGGAAUUUUGGUCCUUAUCGCAUCAUCAAAAGAUUGGGGCCUAAUGCCUAACUAGUCAAACUUCCAUAUAGCGUGUCAAUUUCACCGGUAUUCAAUGUAGCCAAUUUAUACAAAUUCCAUGAAGAUCCACAUAUAGUACAUGAAACAAAUGCAUUGCCUUAUCAAGACGUAAGCAAAAGUACCAAAGACCAUAUUGACAUCUGUAAGGACUGAGAUUUUGAUAGUGCAAUUAGACUCACUGUUGAUGAUGUUUAUGUGUGUAAUUUAAUUACAUAAGCAUUCGUCAAGUUUCAGGAGAAAAUGAGUUAGAACGGAGAAGUUACGCGAUUAUUAGUUUUCACUUAAGUGAAUAGUAACUCCGGUUUUCCGGAGAAGCCACGGAGCAGAGUUGGCUUUCGGCGCGUAUCGGACUCCGUUCAUAGCGAUCCAAUAGCUCGUUUCGACCGGUUCAGCUGUUCUGGAACUACUGGCGUUGACGGAUUUUGAGUUUGACGCACGGAUUUCGAGAAAAUCCAAAAAUACGUGUUUUAUAUGUAUUUUGUGCGUAGUUUCUUCUGUUGGAGAGAGGAACGGAUUUCGUUGCGAAUCCGUGAUCAUUCGAGGUGAUCCAAAAUAGUAGCUUUGUUGUCUCUGAGGUGCUGAUCGUACUGGUGCGAUCCGUUCGCAAAUCUGACGGACGGAUCUGCGGAGAUCGCACGUUGAUCGAGGAGAGGUCGGUGUUGGUAAAACGAUAUUUUCGCAAAAGUCGCGACAUUUUAUGUACCGUUUCGCGUGAAAUCGCACGUGGAGGGGUAUUCAUGCGUUUUACUUGUGCUGUGAGGGACUAGGAAUAAAUUGUUGAGUCUUGGUGAACUUUUUCGCAAAGUUUCUCCUUGGUAUAGAUUCAUUCUAGGGUUUUCUUGGAACCCUAACCCUACUAGCCAGUUCCAGCAAACCCUAGCCGCCCCCUUGCUUCCCUUGCCCUAGCCGCUCGCCUUCCGGUCGCUACCGACCAAGUCCGGCCGGCCGCCGCCGCCGCAGCACCACAUUCCUCCCUCCCCAUCUCUCUCCAUCUCCUUUUUCUUCCGGGUUGGAGCUCGGGCCGAGGUUAUAUUGUCUCAAAGCACCUUGUCGAUGUCGCCCCGACCCCUCAGCGUCCCUCUCCGCCGAUCGCCGCCGCCCCGAGCCGCCCGGAGCGCCGCCGCUGCCGCUCCAGCCGCUGCUGUAUCCUGCAGCUUCCCAGCCCGAGCCCAGGCCGAGUCUAACCCGCGGCCUCCCCGCGCGCAGCCACCGCAUGAACCCGCUCCCGCCGCCGUCCCCGGAGUCUCGGUGGCCCUCCCCGCAGGUCGCCGGCGCCCCUGCGGGCCGCCACCGCCGCCUCGGCCAGCAGCAGCCGCCCCAGCCCGAGCUCGGGCUGAGGUCUCUGUGCGCCCUCUCCUCCGCGCCGCAGCCACCUGGGGUCGCUCCCGCGGCCGUCUCCUGUGUCCCACCGACCUUCCCGGCCGGUCGCCGCCGCCCUUCGGGCCGCCGCCGCCGCCCUGAACCCUGGGCGCCGCCGCCCAGGUCUGCAACCGAGCCUAGCUCGAGCGGCAGCGCUCGAGCCGUGGGCUGCCGCUGCUGCCGCCCGCCGCCUCCCUUCUCCUCCUCCGGCAUCUGGGGACCCGCCGCUGUCGUCCCCGACCUGUCCCGGCCAUCGCCGUCGCUGGGAGGAGCCGCUGGACCGUGCCCUAGCUUGUGCGGGCUCGGCUCGUUCCGCCGUCGCCGCCCCCACUCUCCGCCGCCAACCGAGGUGAGCAUCGUGUUCCUCACCUCCCCCGCACCCAUCUCUGGCCUGCGCGCACCUCGGCGUGCCGCCGGAAGCCGGCCGGAGCAACCUUGCUCCGGCCAAGCCCGAAAUAGGGCUUAAUUUGAAUGCUUUACUGUUCCGAGCAACCCGAGCCUCCCCGAUCUCUGCGGAAGGGAGCACGAUGAUCGUAGUAAAUUUCUGAUCAUCGUGCUCACCUUAUUUUCUGUCGGGGAGACUCCGUUCCGCUUUUUCGGCAUUGUCGACCCUGUAGAGCCUGUUUGGCUGCUGUUGCGGGUUUGCACACACUUUGGCGGUGAUCCGAGGCUGUCCCGAUGCCUCUGGAGGUGAGCACGGUGAUCGUGGAUCAGUGCUGAUCACAGUGCUCACCUUAUUUUGGAUCAGCGGAUGUCGUAUCGUUCUGUUUGGUGACUUUUUCCCCGACUACGCGCUGUUCGCAGAACCUUCGGGUUGCUCCCGCGCUUCCCACAGUGACCUGUUGCGCUCCAGACCGUGAGCACGGCCUCCGGCACGUCGAGACCUAUCAGUAUGUGUCUCAGCAGAACUUAGAAGUCCUCGGUUUGCGUGUACGGGCUAUGUUAUUGCCCGAUUUACAUAAAAUAUUGGGAUUUUAUGUAAAUUCAGGGGCUUUUGUGCAAUUGUGCGCCUUGGGGCUACUGUGGACAGUGUGUAGACAUGUGUGGUGUCCUCUGGACUGAUUGUCCAUGAUCCGUUAGCUUUUGCAGAAAUCGAAGAGUCGAUUUCGAUGCGUUUUUCGGCGAAAUUCGCCGAAAGAACGCGGUUUCGGUUCGGAUUUCUUCCGACGUCGUUUGGUUGCUCUGUGAGUGGUCAAUAAGCCUUGUUGGCUGGUCACCAUCAUCACCUUGUGGGUUCGGUGAUGACGGGUGAGCGACGGUGGGUUCCGGUGUCGAAUUUGACACUUCCGGGAACCCGUAUUCGUACAAUUAUCCGGCGAUAAUUGUGUCGUGGUGUUAUCUUAUGUUUGCUGCCAAAACAUCCAAAUUGGAGUGUUUUGUGGCAGCGGGUGACUUGUAGCAUGGGUCGGUGCGUUCCGGGACAUUUCAAUGGUCCUGACGGAGUCCCGGUGCGAUUUUCGGGACUUCCGGCAAGUUACGGUAGUCGGUUUUGAGAAACUGAUCUCCGUGGGUUUGUUAGAGGGAUUAUGAUGUAGUGUUUCUUAGUUGUGGGUUAGACACUAACCCAGUGGACCCUCCUUAGGUCCUGUUGACGUUCUUUUGCAGUCAGGAGACAGGCGCGACAGUUGUACAGGUGGGUACUUCGAUCCGACGUUGGUACAGUGGUGCACGCUCGGUGAUGGUUUCUUACCCUUGCUCUUUUGUUAUUAUCCAUGCGUAUAUUAUAUGUUGAGCUUUGCACCUCUAUCGUUUACAUUACACCCACGUUGUUUGAUUUUACUCUACUAAGACAUUUCCAUGCUUAGUAUCAUGUGUAGGAGUAUAGUCUAUCCGUAUGUGAUACCAUGUUUCCUUGUUGCUCUACUUAGCUAUUCUGCAUACCCUGAUUCGUGUUUAUAGUAGAGCGAUUUCGUGAUUAUCUAUGAGAUCAGCGAUCUAGUCGGUCGAUUCUAGUAUUCAGUAUUUAUGACCUAUUCGGUCGAGUUGCUACAGUUCUAUCUAUAUCUGUGAUUUGGUUGGGCGGUUCCCCUAUUUUGAUAUCUAUGACCUAUUCGGUCGAGUUGCUACAGUUCUAUCUAUGUCUGUGAUUUGGUUGGGCGGUUCCCCAUUUGAUAUCUAUAACCUAUUCGGUCGAGUUGCUAUAGUUCUAUCUUUACAUACGUAGCCGAUUAGUUGCUGAUGGCCUAUACGGUCGGUGUACCCUGAGGGGCUGGAUUGUCGGCUAGUUGCCGAUGGAUGAUCUUUGAGCAUACUACAUUGAUCGCCACUGCAGGUACGCAUUUCACGAACACCAGCGGUCUGAUCCACCGCAAGAGGGUGUUCUUUUCCGGAAAAGUGGUUGGAUUGCCAACCCGUGAGCCCGGGGGCUUUAUUGCGAGGGUAUAUGCUUCUGACCCAGGGGCUUCAUUGCGAGGGUCAGGUACAUGUUUCUGACCCAGGGGCUUCAUUGCGAGGGUCAGGAACAGGUUGAGCAGUGUGACAUGGGCCUGAGGUCCUCGGACCAAUAGGGCAGCGAGAUUGGGUAUUUUUGAGGUUAUCGUCAGUUGACGCAUGCAUACAGUAGCUGUAGUGUUUAUUUUCAGUACAUCCUUAUCUGUUUAUUGUAGCUACUGUUUUAUUUACCUGGAUCUAUACUUGUCAGCUCCUUACAUAUCUCUUUCGUUUACUAUUGUUCCUACUAUAUUUUCACUGACCCGUACUGUUGUUUAGCUAUUCCUGAUCUGGUGAGUACUCCUCGCCUUCAUCGGCUUGCGGUACCCACUGGGAGGGGAGACAUGUUUACAUGUUCUCCCCCCCCCCACCAUUUUUCAGGUAUCGCAGGCGAUGGGUAUUGAGACGAGACGUGAGGCACGUAUGUAGCGGUCGUUAGAUCUUCCGACCCAGGUUAUUCGGUUUAGCUUUUACCCUUAUUAUUUAUGUUGAUAUAGAGCUUAGUUGACUUAUAUGGUUCAGUAUUUUUAUUACAUUUGAACAUGUGGAUUUUCAUGAAUGUAAUAAAAGGAUUUUUGAAUUUUGUAAAAUCAAAGGUUUUCUACCCCUCGUGGUAGCGUUUUUUUAAAGAAUAAAGGUUUCCGUGUAGGGAACAGUUUUCAAAAGAAUUUUCGUGGAUUUCGGUUUAAACACUGAAUGUAAAACUGUGAUGUGAAUGGUGAACGUAUGAAUGUAUAGUUAUCUUUAUAUUCAUCUAGUUGUGGUUGUAUCCUGGUUGUACUUUUGUACUUGUGCGACGCCGUGCAAAUACAGGGGAGACUCUGUCCGUGUGAAUUAACAGUGGAUUCCCUGUAUUUGUGGCGGAUCUAGCAUACCCUGGGGUCAGGUUUGCAAAAAAAAAAAAAAAAAAAAUUCCGCUGUGUUUUUAAACUGAAAUGGACCCCGGGGCGUGACAACAUCAUGGACGUGCGUGUAACAACCACACGUCGAGUGACAUGAUAUUCUUUUUUAAGUGGGGAGGACAGCCAUUAUCAAAUUGUAGCUAGCUAGAAGAAGCUGAACUUCGAAGUCUUCUCAAUGACUUGUAUGAGAACUACAUAGAAUCUAUCUCCACAGGGUCGAGAUCUCUCCACCACGAAGGAAAUGAUGCGGGCAUCAACUAGCUUUCAUUAGUGGUAAGUCUCUUAAUAAACUUCAGUCAUAUGUUUUAAUUGGACAAGUUGAGGAUAACCCAACAUAAAACACACCUAAACUAAACCUUUCCUAGACCACAUUUUAAUUGGCUCAUUCUUUUCUUCUCCACCUGAGCCUAUAUCGAACAUUCUCUCUCUUAUGACUGCUGCGAUUAUUUUUGGACGUCUCAUUAUGAGUUGAUAGCUGAAACACCGGCUUCCACUACCUCUUUGAAAGAUGGUUUGGUCUCUCUGUUUGAUGCCCCUAUCGUAUAGAGCAGUAAUUAUGGUCUGAAGCAAUUUGUUGUUGAUUUGCUGUUGAAAGCUGAUCUAAAAUAAAAAGGAAAUAAAGUUGAGUUAUUAGUUAUGAUACCUUUUCUGAAAAAAGUACAAACCUAAUCCAAAGCUCUCCACUUCCAUUAGUGCCUAUCUAUAUCCACUUUGAAACCCCUCACUCAAACCUAAACCAUCAUCCUCCACUCAACAAACAUGAACACAAUAUAAUUAAAACUCUGGACUUAAGUUUGUUUGAGACUAGUUAGGAAGUUUUGAUUUGUUGCUUUGUUAUUGAAAUGUUACUUUAAUAAGUCAUGAUUUAAUUAAGUUUUUCUUUGGCCUUAUUUCCUGUUAGGAUUCAUCCGCAUUGGAACUUAUCAAAAAUAUUUCUAAUCCAUAUGGGAUAAGAAAUAAAUAUUGGUACUUAUCUGAGAUAUUUCUAGUCCACAUAGGAUAAGGAAUAAAUCUAACAAAUAAAUCCUAAUCUGUUUUAAUCUCUAUCUAUGAGAGAUUUAGUUAGAAUAUGAUUAGGAUUAAUGUCUCCCUUGUGUUUUAAUCUCUAUCUAUGAGAGAUUUAGUUAGAAUAUGAUUAGGAUUAAUGUCUCCCUUGUGGCCUAUAAAUACAUGAGAUAUUGACCACAUACAAGAUACGAAAAAAAAAAUUAGAAUCAUCUCUCUAUAAAAUUCUCUCUUGGGUUCGCUCUAGGGCACCAUCAAAAACCCUAGGGAUUUGCGCGGUGUGCUGCGUUCGUAUAACAUACCGAAAUAUAGGUGGAAUAUAUUGGACUUUAGCCAAAUUGGCCAAAGUGCCCGAAAGAAAUAGUUGCACAAGUUCCGUUAACAUUCCAACCGUGUUGGAAGGGCUAAAAAGGAGUUCUAAAAAUUAGGAAAGGUUUUAGCGAUAAUCAGAGCUAAAUAAAGUCAAAAAGACGCAAAAAAUAGAAAUCUGGAGCUUGUGUACCGGUACCAUGUGAUGGUUGUACCGGUACAACCAUCGCUUACCGAGGGAGAAAGCUCUCGGGUUUGAGCUGGAAAAAGGCUGUGUACCGGUGACAGGAUUUCGCAUACCGGUACGCAGUGUAAAAUCCGAGAAGAUGGCUCUCGGUUUUGGCUGUUGUGCGAGUCGUGUACCGGUGACACCAGCCCGUAUACCGGUACGCUGUAGACCUGACAGCAAAAAAUUAGUCUGCUGCAAAUAUGAAUGUUUGGGGGGUUUAUUUGCAAUUGUUACCUACUAACAAAUAACCCAAGCCCUCUCUCCCUGCAGCAGCUCACCCUCUCUCUCCCUCUCUCGUGUUCCCCUCUCUCUCUCAACCGUGGGAAGGGAAGGAAGGGAAAGAGAAGGAAAAAGAGAAUAGAAGAAAAGAAGAGAGAAGAAAGGAAUGAGAAGGAGAUCAAGAAGAUGAGCUCACCUUCAUCUUCAUCUUCCUCGUGCUUGGAGCAAGCUAGUGAGGUAAGUCUUUUACCUCCUCUCAUGGUAGGAUCAAGGUUAGGGUUUGGGUUUUAAACCCUAGAUCUAGAGAUUUAAAGCUUCUUGCAUGUUUAGAAGCCUCUUGAGGCCAAGAACAUCAUGAAACCCAUGGUCUUCUCAUGAUGCUCUAAUGGUGAAAUUCUAGGGCUAGCUCUAGGUGCCCUAGAAAUGGUUUGAAUGCUCCUAGUGGAACUCCUAGAUAUUAAACAAGCUCUCUUUUGCUUGUUUUGUAAAUCAAAUCCGGAAUAUUGAGCAUAAGUCAUGUUAGGGCAUCCCAAAGAGGGGUUUUGCUCAUAUGAGGUUUUGAUCUAUUUUGACCUCUUGGAAACCUAAUUGGGGACCAAACGAACGCGUUGGCGAAGUCGGUUUGACCAUUCGUCGAGUGUACGCGAAGUUAUUGACAAAAUAUUUUGUCGUACAGAUGGCCGCAGCACGCGGAAUAGACGCCUAAAAAUCAUGAGAUCGGAACCGGAGCACCUUGGAGUCAAGGAAUAAACUCCGGAAAAGACGGAUCGCGGUUCAGAGGUCGUUCGCUAGUCGCGCAAGAGUUCGGGCCAAACCGGGCAACGGUUGCCGCGGGAGGCCGAUUGCAAGUGACUACAAGCAAUCGGAGUGCAAGUCAAGGUGGGUUGUAUUUACCGAAGCGACUAGGUCGCUUGUAUAUCUAAGAUACAUAUUUAUCAUUGAUGCACGUAGUGGUUACUAGUGUUAGAACACAUGAAUGUUAUGUUAAGCUACCACAUUUUGUAUAUGGAUACAAUGUAAGAAUGCUAAGUAAAUGCUUAGAACGAUAUUAGCUAAAGACAUGAGAUAAAGGGUUAUUGCAUGUUAAUAUAAAGUAGAAAGCAUGCUAGUGAUAAUGCCUAAUGGCAAGUUGAGAAUGAUAAGUAAAGGACUUGUGUAUAUGGACAUAAAUGCACCUAUAGAUCGAGUGGCAUUGAACCUAGUGUCAAGAACAUAGGUCGAACAAAUGUGGCAUGAACCUAAUGUUAGUAAACAUAGGUUGGACAAGAGAAAUAAUGAACCUAGUGUUGAUGAACAUAGGUUAAAUAGGAAUGGCAUUAAACCUAAUGUUAGAGAACAUAGGUUGUGAGAUAAAGAUAACGAAUCUAAAAUCACAUGAACCUAGGUGGGCUAAGGUAAUGAACCUAGAGUUAAUAAACCUAGGCUAUGAGUAUGGAGGCAGCGAACAUAAAGUAUUAACUUAGGUUGAGUAAAGGCUUGGACCUAGAUAGGUCAAAUCUAUAGGGAUAAGACCAACCCUUAUGUGAUGUGAAAUGGAUUCCGGAAUCCCAAAGCUAAAUGGAUACACUGAGAGGGGUGUGGGGUGUGUGCGACGAUUUCGCCGCCCAGGGGCUAUAGAACCAUUGUCGUGGCGUGUGCGACGAUUUCGCCGCCGGAUGGUUAGCCGGUUAGUGGAUCAUACCGCCUGUUGACUGAACCAUCGACGUAGCGUGUGCGACGAUUUCGCCGCCGGGUGGCUAAGUCAAGACCUAGGCUGUUGUUGGGUGAGGUGCGAUGCGUUCGCCGCCAAACGGCUAGGACAGGAGUACGGUAGGCUGUGGUUACCUGAGGUGCAUGUAAGAGUUCCUUUACCUCGAACUAGACAGUGCGCGGACUAUCCGCGAUUGAUUGACUCAAGACCGAGUCGAGUGGCAUAGUUGGCUAAGUUAAAGUAACCUUAGAAAAGAACAGCAAAUGCUAAAGUAUAUCAACGAUCAAGAAUGUCAAAGAAUAAAGAAUCGCCAAUGAGUAUAAUGUAACAAGGAAAUAAUGUAAAGAAUAGCUAAUGAAUGAGAAUAGCUAAAUACGUAAAGAACGGUUACAUGUAAAGAAUGACUAAUAAUAUGUAGUAGAAUCAAGUAAACUACUUGCAUGAGUUACAGGUUUUGCAUAUCGCAUUUUGUGAGGCAUGUUAUCUGUUAGUUGCAUAAUAACAUGAUGAUAUAUAUAUAUAUAUAGAUGUUUUUGGACUAAUAUUGUCACGCCCCGAGACCGCUCCCAAUUUGGUCCGGUUCGGGCAUGCCGACAGACCGCCGAACGGACAGAGUUUCCCCUGUACGUCCUAGGCGUCGCAACAAGUACAAUACAAAGGUUCCAACCAGGAACAGUACUCAGCAAACAGAAUUGCAUCAGGAAGGUAUCAAUCAACAUAAACACAUCCUAUGAUAUUACAUCCAUUCAUUUUACAUCACAAUUCCAUUACAUUCAACUUCCAAUACAAUUGUUAUUACAACAUUUAUUGAUUAUAAUUUGAUACAUUUGCUUACUUUCAUUUUCUAUACCCCUAAGCUACGUCGACGGGGUACUGCUAGCUCUGGUCUCUGGGGGUAGGGCGCUAUCUAUGGAGCUACGCCCUUGCCUCGCGCCGCCGCGCCGCUCACGUGCGAACCUGUAAAACCCCAAAACAACGUGGGGUGAGAACCAACUCCAUAGUUCCCAGUGGGUACGGCUACCCAAGGGAGGAGCUCGACCAACAGGUCCAAGGGAGGCAAAUACAAGUUAGUCCAAUAAACAGAUAGAUAUGUAUAUCAUAAACAUGCAACUAACUUUACCUUACUUUGCCUCACAACAACAAUGAUGUCAUGCUAUAUGCAACAGGAAUAUAUGCAACAUGAAUAUAUUCAACAACUAGUAGAAUUGUUGAUUCUACAAUCGAUCUGGCUAACUCUAGUUCAUAUCAUCCAACUCUAAGGUUUCCACUACCUUAGGUUUAUCACAUUUACCACUAGCCCUCAAGGUUCUAUCUACCUUAUUCCAGCUAGCCACCCGACUCGGCCUCGAGUCAAUCAACAGCGGAUAAUCCGCGCUCUGCCCGGCUCGAGGUGAAGGAUCCUGUCGCAUGCACCUCAGCCUGCAAGCCAAGAACCACAUCGCCCAACGGUCCGCCCGAAGGUCCGUGCACCGUGGUCAGGGAUCCGUUAGUGGGAGAGGAAACAUAGCCGCGUACACCCAUAGCCAAGAUCCCCGAUAGGGAGAGGAACAUGCCGUACACCCUAGCGCUCUUUGUUCUUGCUUAGUCAUAAUCCUCAAAGUUCUUUCCGGUGGGAGAGGAACAUCGCCGCAUACACCCGCGGUCCAAGAACUAUUGAGUUCACAAGUACUGGGAUUCCGGAAUCGACUUCACAAGUCAAGGGUCCAUAUCCAACCCUAUACUAUUGACCUAUCUAGGUCCAAUGCACUUUCCACCCUAGGUCCAACUGACUCUAGGUCUAAUGCCUCAAUUUCACAACCUAGGUUUACCUUAACUCUAGGUUCAGUUCUCAACCUAUGUUCUUUAACACUAGGUUAGAUGCCACACACCUAGAUCCCGACUCUAGGUUCAUACUCAACCUAUGUUCUUUAACACUAGGUUAGAUGCCACUCGUUAUUUAUCCUAGGUUCAACAACACUAGGUUCAAUGUCAUCUAGGUUCGACCUAUGUUUAUUAACACUAGGUUAAUGCCACUCGAUCUACUUGAUAUCCUAUUUGUCAUAUCGAGUCCAUAUGCACAUGCAUCUUAUCUAACAUGCUCACAUGAUGUUACAUGCACCUAGCAUACAUUCCAAUGCACACAUACAUAUCACUUGCAUUAUCACUAGCAUGUAUUCUAUAUCAUAUCAUUUUACAUGGAUCUACUUAGCAUUUGCAUCAUAUUAUUAACAUGCAUUAUUUACAUUUAUAUGCAUCAUCUAUAUGCCUCAUUUACAUUCAUAUGCAUCAACGUGGAUUCUUAAUCAUCUUAGACAUAAAGGGCGACCUAGUCGCUUCGGUAAACACAACCCACCUUAACUCGCGUUCCGAUUGCUCGUCGACACUUGCAAUCGGCCUCCCGCGGCACCCGUGACCCGGUUCGGCUCGAACUCUUGCGCGACCACCCGAACGGCCACCAAUCCGCGAUCCGUCUAUUCUGGAGUUUAUUCCACGACACCACGAUGCUCCCGAUCCGUUCUCAUGAUUUUUGGAGGCUUAUUCCGCGUGCUGCGGCUAUCUGUACCAAAACAGACCGUUUCGUCAAUAACUUCGCGUACACUCAUCGUAUCGUCGAACCGAGCGCACCAACGCGUUCGUUAUACCCCCAAUUAGGUUUACAGAGGGUUAAAUGAGAUCAAACCCAUCUAUUUACAAAAAUCCCAUUUUUGAGCCCUAGUUUGCGACUACGGCAAAAUACCCCAAAUCGAUCUCCGAUUCAUGCAUUAAUCUACUCAUAAGCAUGCUAGGAUUCCAUCUAAACCAUUCUUAGAGUGUAUUAACCAAACCCUAAGAAAUCACCAUUAAAGAGCUUCCAAGAAGCUUACCUCCUAAAGCCUCUCCAAGCACAAGGAAGGAAUGAAGAAGAUGGAAAACUCUUCCUCUUCUUCUUCUUCUUCUUCUUCCUCUUCUCCUUCUUCUUCUUCUUCUUUUCUUCUAUUUCGUUUAGAGAGAGAGAGGGGUGGUGUUGGGGUUGAAACGGUGAGGGAAAGAGAGAGAGAGAGGUUCUACUCCUCUCUAUACACUUAACCCAUGUAACAUUUGCAGGAAAACCCCUCAACAAAGCCUCUCUUGCAACAGCCCGAACUGGGAAUUUUCGGGGUUCGGGGACCGGUCUCUACAUGAGGGACCGGUCUCUGAGAGACCGGUCUCUCUACCUGGGACCGGUCCCAGAGAGACCUCCAGCCCAGACUUAGCCAAUUUUCAGCUUCGUCCGUUUUCGCUCCGUUUUCGCCCAUUUUCGUUCGUUUGACCUCCGAUUCGUCUCAAAUCGAACCGAGACUCUCCAAACAUGUUUUUAAACAUGUUUUCAUCAUCUUUCCAUCCUCGCUAAUUCCGGAUUUAGCUCACGGCCCAAUUUAGCCUUUCGGGUUCCGUUUCCGCGCCUAUGCGCACCGAAACGCCCGAUAGCUCCCGAACCUCACCGAACUUCACCCGAACCAUUCAAAUAGCUCCCCAAUCGAAUAUACACCGUAACUUAAUAGUUUUAGAAGUCCGGUAUCUUACAAAUAUGAUUGCAGUGCCUCCUUGGACCUAUUGGUCGAGCUCUUCCCUUGGGUGGCCGUACCCACUGGGAACCAUGGAGUUGGUUCUCACCCCACGUUCUUUUGGGGUGUUACAGGUACACACGUGAGCGGCGCGGUGGCGCGAGGCAAGGGCGUAGCUCCGUAGGUAGCGCCCUACCCCAGAGACCGAGGUAGCAGCACCCGAGUUGAUGGUCUAGCUUGAGGGGUUUAGAGACAAAGUACAAACUUGUAAUAAAUUGUAAUAAUUGUGAUUGUAUUUGGAAGAUGAAUGUAAAAGAUAAUGUGUUGUAACAUUUAUCUAAGUUAAAUGUUGUGAGAUCGGAUCCAGAUAUUAUUUUGGGUUAUUUGCAUACACGUCCCUACAAACAUAGUGAAUUGCAGAAAUAUCCCUGCAAAUUGGAAACUCCAUAAGUUGUCCCUGCAAAAGUGCAAUGUUAUGCAGAUAUGUCCCUGCGGUCAACAUCCGUUAGUGAACUGAUUAUUUUUUAACAGUUGAAGAGUGAAAUGACAUUUUUGCCCUUGCAAAUAUAUCCCUCCGAAGCCCUAACUGAUAAACAUUUGCAAAAAUAUCCUCGCAAAAAUGACAACGGUCAUUUUUGUUCUUUAUAAGUGAAAUGUCCAUUUUGCCCUCACAAAUAUAUCCCUCCAAAACCCAAAGUAAUAAAGUUGUACAGAAAUGUCCCCAAAAAUGACCCUAACGGUCAUCUUUUUCCUCUAUAAAUUCAUCACUCCAUUGCAACAUAUCAUAUAACUCUUUUUUUGCUCUUUUCUCCUUUAUUGAUCCACUAUUUUCCUUCUUCUCUCAUUUUGAUCUGUUAAAUCGCAGCAACUUUACUUUUCGAUUUUUUUUUCUCUUCUAAUAUUUUUAUGAUGAGUGAAAGAUCAGCGGAUUCUUCUUCGAGCAACCAAAUCCCUAAGUGCGAUUGCUUUAAAACUUGUAGAAUUUGGGUUUCAAAGCAACCGCACACUAGAGGUCGUCGGUUCUAUGGGUGUCCAAACUGGGGGGUAAGAUAAUUUCUUUUGCAUUAUCUGCAGUAUUUAACCCUAACUUUAAAUUUUAACCAUUUACUAAUUAGUUUCAUAUUUUGCAGAGUAAUGAGCACUAUAAUUACUUUGGUUGGAUUGAUGACGCACACCACAAUACUGUUGACUUAAAAUACCAAGUACAAGCAUUUCAAGAAGCAGUGGAGCAUCGUAUUCAGAAGUUAGAAAAGAAAGCUUUAUUUCUACUUAAGUUGCUUGUAUGUUUAGUAUUGACUAAUAUCUUGUUUAGUUUGACAAUGUAAUGUGAGUGAUAAUUGUACUUGUUGUAAUGCAAGUGAAUAGAGAUGUGUAAGCUUUAUUUCUACAUGCAUUUUACAGAGUAAUUGAAGUAUCCAAAGUCAAUGUUGUUCCACAAAGUAUAAGCUUUAUUCUACAAAGUAUCCAAAGUCAAUAUUGUUCCAUACAAACAUAGUAUCCAAAGUCAAUGUUGUUCCAUACAAAUAUAGUAUCCACUGUCAAUGUUGUUCUAUACAAACAUAGUAUACACAAUCAAUAUUGUUUCAUACAAACAUAGUAUCCACAGUCAAUGUUGUUCUAUACAAACAUAGUAUCCACAGUUAAUAUUGUUCCAUACAAACAUAGUAUCCACAGUCAAACCAAUAUAAAGUCAAAAUGAUCCACAAAAGUAGAACCAAAUACAACACAUAUCUAUUCAAACCAAAACAACUGCUAUUCAAGUUUCAAACCAAUACAAACUCAAAACUAUUGCAUCAAGUUUCAUAUCUAUUCAAACCAAAAUAUUGCAUACAAAUCAUCCAAGGGUCUCAUUUCAAGUACCUAUUUCGAAUUGAAGUAUCCAGAGGCUGAUUUUGCACAAGCAUCUAGAGGCUGAUUACAUACAAACCAAAAUAUUGCAUCCAAAGGCUGAUUGCAUACAAACCAAAAUACUAGAUACAAGCAUCUAGAGGCUGAUUGCGCUUCAAGUAUCGACCAUUUCAAGUAUCUACCAAAAUACAUCCAUUCAAAUCUACCAAAAUAAGGCUUUUACUACAUCAGCUGUUUUUCUAAACCAAAUCUUAAUUUUCUAGAGAACCAAGUGCAUCAAUUUCACUUAUAGCACUUCUUUGUUGGGACUGCAAGUGUUUUGAUCUCGAUACUACCCUUUUUCCUCUACGCCUGCAAUUUUUAUAUAGUUACUAACUAUUGUAGCAAAGAAAAUAAAUUUAAAGUGAACAUUGUUGGUCAGUAUAGUACCUUGUGCGACUGCUAAUACUUGCUUGAGAUGGUGGUUCAGAGUGCGGAUUCCCUGCUUGAGACGGUUCUGUAAGCUGUUGAUUUGUUGCUUGAGAUGGUGCUGCAGCAGGCUGUUGAUUUGCUGCUUGAGAUGGUCCUGCAGCAGGCUGUUGAUUCGCAUCGACAGGGUUCUUGCAUGUUUUUGCACGGUGGCCUAAUUUAUUGCAUCUUUUGCAUCGAUGCCUCUUCCUGAUUGUCAUCUCGUCUGAUCCUCUAAUUCGCUUGUUUCGUGGUCUUCCAGCUGGCCUAUUUAAAAUAGGAGGUAAUACACGAUGACCGAUGUCAAUCUUUACCCAUUGAUCACAACUGGGUAAUGGUGCAAUGGAACUAGCAUAGGCCUCCUUAUAUUUGGCCACUGUAAAAUAUGGGUGCACAUAUUUUUCCCACUUUUCAUGUUUUAAUUUACCUAUUACUGCCAUUGCAUGAAUGCAUGGCACACCUUUCACUUGCCAUAACCUGCAGCUACACUGUGUUUCAUGUAGUCUCACCUCAAACCUUGAUUGAGGUCCAAUCACUUCUGCUGAAAAUUCAUCACUCCAUAGCACCUCAUAUUGACCCAAACCCUAAAAUUAUGACGAUGGAUAGCAUAAAUAAAUUAGAUUAUAUCUAAUAAAGAGGCCAAAGUAAUUAGAUUAUAGCUUAAAGGUAAAGAAAAAAUUAGUAAUCAUGAAAAGUAAUUAGACUAUAGCUUAAAUUAGAUUAAAUUAGAUUAAAUUAGAUUAAAAUCAGUGUAAUACCUUGCUUAUAUAUUGUUUACAUAUUUGAGAACCGUUUGUACAAUUUCAUGAUCCCAUUUUCUUGCUCUAUUUUUUCUAUCCUCCAUCUUAACCAUUAUUUUUUGCCGGAUAGUAUCGAGCAUAUCAAUCUGUUAAAAUCGGAACGGCGAAAAAUAGAUCCAGAAAAUAAUUUAAUGCAAGAAAAGAAAAGAUAAGAAAAGAACACACCGAUAUUUACGUGGUUCGGCCAACGGCCUACGUCCACGGGCGAAGACGGAGCAAAUAAUUUAUUAAUGUCGAAAAGGCGGAGUACAAAGAAGAUCUCUCAAAAGACCAAAACGUAAUUAGAUCCGAAACGCCGCAAUUAGCAUCCGUACAAAACUUAAGUGGCUCGACCCUCUUACCGAAGCGCACCACGUCGCACGUCCCAGUUGUGGUACGGACAUAAGCAUCAAAGAAGAGAUGGCUCGACUCAAUAGAUACUUUAAUUAAGCAUCACCUCUUAAUUAAGGCUUCGGCUCCUCGUAGAGACCAACCUGCAUGGCUCGGUCAACUCUCCUCAAAUAUAUAGCUUAAUUACAUCAUAGCUUAAUUUUGAGUCGAGGCUGCUUCUUUACCGGACGGAGCACCAACACCUUAAUUAAUUUCCAUGGCUCUUAAUCUUUUGGUCGCGACUUCUUUAAUUUGGCCGUAGCAUGUAUUUAUAAUACAUGUCUCCUAACUAGAGUCUAAUUCUAAUUAGAUUAGAAUUACACUCCUAAUUAUAAUCCAUAUAUGCCAAAUUAAAUCUAAAUAAUAUCUAAUCCCAAUUAGAUUAGGAUUUAUCCUCAAUUUAGAUAACUACAAAUCUAAACCAAAUAUAACACAAUCAAUGGUCUAUGCCUAUCAUUAGAUAUCCAUGCGUUGAAUGAUUCAGAAAUAUUGUUAGUCAAGUAAUCACACUUAGCAAUCGUUCCGAAUUUACUUCGACUCCACAAAUAACUAUGGUUUUGCCGCAAGUAUUCAAUAGCCAUUGGAUUUGCUUCAUACACCUUAGCGAUGCUAGUUUCGUAAACAUUAGGUAUAUAUGCUUUCGCUGCGGCCCACAGAUUGUCUCUAUAGCAGUCCCCAAGAAAUUUUUUUUUGAAGUUGCCAUAAAGAUGGCGCAUGCAUUCUCUAUGUUCAACUCUUGGAUACACAACUUGAACGGCCUCAUCUAAGCUUUUUUGUCUAUCCGAGAAGAAUACUAGGCCUUCGGAUUCUCCUAUUGCUGUCUUCAACCCAUGAAGAAACCAUUCCCAACUAUUCGAGUUCUCCGACUCCACAACACCAAAAGCUACUGGAAAAAUUGAUUUAUUUCCGUCAAUACUUGUGGCCGAUAUCAAAACUCCUCUAUGCUUUCCUUUGAGAUGACAUCCAUCUAAUGCAAUAUAAGGUCUACAUCCAUUGAGGAAUCCUUGUAUGCAUGGACCAAAUGCAAGAAAAACUCGCUGAAAAUGAUGCUCUUCAUUAAUCACUUGCAGCUUUACUUCCACGUGGCUGCCGGGAUUUCUUCUAACAAUUUCCUCUUUAAAAUUAUAGAUUCUUUGAUACGAAUACUCCCAAUGCCCAUGAAUCUUAGACAAUGCCAUUUCUUUUCCCCUAAAUAUCUUGGAAUAGGUCAAGUCCACAUGAUAUUUUUGUUGCAGUCUCUUCCGCAAUUCAGUUGUAGAUAAAUCUCCUUCCAACCGUAGCCACUCAAUAACCCUAUUGCACACCCACGAUUGUGUUGCCACUUUGUUCCGACACCUAUUGGCCGACGUGCAUGUGUGCUCUCCUUGUAAAGUCUUUAUCUAUCACGUAAAUGUUAGUUAGAAAUAUCAGCAACUUUCAUUUAUAAAUGAAUGAUACUAAAAGUACAUUCAAGAAUGAAAAGUGAAAAUAGGAUAAUGUUGGUAUUACCUGAAAAACUAAGGAAUCUUGAAGUCGAGAUGCAUGGAUUCGCCACUUGCAAUUAGAUUUUGCGCACGUUGCAGUUACCCUCAAAAGAUCACUUUUUUGUAGGUUAUACUCAAACUCAUUUAGUAGGGCAAAAUGAGUCAAUGCAUCUCUAAAUGAACCUACAUUUGGAUAUUUUGCUCCUACUUCCAUAAUAGGGUUAUUCACAUCAUAUGAAAAUGUUCCUACAUGAUCCAUAUUAUCCUCUAAAUCAGAAUCAUCAGUUUUAAGAGAACGAAAGCUAUCUUCACUUAACAUUGCAUCUGAUUCAUCAACUGGUUCUUUAGCAACUUGACCAACAUCUUCACCAAAUGCUUCACCAAUAUUUUCACCUAUAUCUUCAUCAACUGCUUCUUCGGCGACUUGACCAACAUUUUCACCAAUUGCUCCACCAAUAUCUUCACCAACACCUUCACCAGCACCUUCACCAGUACCUUCACCAACACCUUCAUCAACACCUUCACCAACACCUUCAUCAACACCUUCACCAACACCUUCACCAAUACCCACAAUGUUAUCAUCAAUCAUAUCAAUAUUGCCCUCUUGUGUUAGAGUUUUUUCACCAUUAUAGUUUAAUGAAAUGCCUUGCGACUGAAUAGUUAUAAAAUUUCUGCUUCUUUCAUGUCAUUGUAUAUAGAAAAUAUAGCCAUCAACUCCUGCUCAGAGAUUGCUUGAAUGAAUUUCUUUGACUUAACAUUUCUUGCUAUAUACCAUAUACCAAUGUUCUCCGUAACACCACAAUCCCAUAGUGAUCGUACAUCUCGACAAAAUUCAGUAAGAUUGUAACUAUCAAGGUCUAUCAUCAACGAAUGCUUCUUACCAUCACAAUAUCUCAGUCCACAUGCAGUUUUUACUGUUUUAAAAUACCCAGCAUAAUUGAACUUCACUUUGGAAAAACCAUGCUCCUCCCUAUCUAUGAUCAAACUGCCACUGUAGAAACAAAAAAAAAAAUAAAAAUGACUAGGUUCUAUACUCGUAUGCUCUAUGAAAAUAUGACAAUAAUUAUAUAGAUCUAACUUGGAUGAUUCAAGCCUACUUCUUAAGGCCAAAAUUAUUUUAAAAAAUUAACCUAAAAUACUAGGGUUUUUUUUCCAAAACUAACAAUCAGAUAAAUCAAGUUUUUGAUUUAUAGUAUGUAGUGCACUAACCUUGCUCUAGUAAUGAAAAAAAACUAACAAUCAGAGGAGCAAUACACCUCGUUGAUGAAUAUGAUGGAAAAAACCCUAGUAAUGGUAGAUCUGAAGCUUGAGGAAGAGGAAUAGGAAAAGGAAAAGGAAGAGGAAGACGAGCAAUAAACCUCGUUGAUCUGAACCUCGUUGUUGCGCGAGGAAGACGAGCACUAAACCUCCUCGAUCGCGGGCGCUCUCCUUGCAUCGCGGUCGCUCUCCUCGCACUCUCGGGCGGAACACCUGAGGGCUCUCCUUACGGUUUGGUUCCACUCAACUAGGGUUAAGGGCCCACCAUAGUAGUUAGGUAAGUUAAUAGGAUAUAACAUAAGAGGGGCAAACUAGUCAAUUCACACUAUUAACUAAUCAUGGUUAAGUAGUUUAACUGUGGUUAAAUAAAUUUCUCUAACAGACUCUAACAGCAAGGACAUAUCUGCAUAACAUUGCACUUUUGCAGGGACAACUUAUGGAGUUUCCAAUUUGCAGGGAUAUUUCUGCAAUUCACUAUGUUUGCAAGGACGUGUAUGCAAAUAACCCUAUUAUUUUUAUCUAGAUGUGAAUAGAUAAUAAGAGGUUGUUUUGUUCACCUAUUUUAGAUUAAGAAAUUAGAAUGAGAUUCAUUAAUUUUGUUUUAUAGGAAUUAGAUGUCGAUUUCCACUUUGGAAUGGGAAUAAGCCCAAUAUCCAUUUAUGGCUUAAUCCGGAUUAGAAUCUCAGACGGACACAUUCUAAAAAUAAUCAGUCAAAAUGUUCUUUCAUAAACGUCUCCCUCACCACCUCCUUUAUCACUCUUCUCUCUCUGAAUCAAAACAUUCUCUAUCAAAUUUGUAAAUAUUAAUUUUAGUUUUUAUUCUAAAAAUAAAAAGUUUUAGAUGAUUCAUUGUUUCAUUUUUUAUUUUAGUGCAAUUCAGUUUUAUUUUUUAUACUAUUUCUCUUACCAACCAAACAUGCCCUAACUAUGGGUAUGAAUGUUUUGGAUAUAAUAUUUGGUUCGUUUUCUAAAAUACGGAGCUCUUUCACAAAACCAGCUAGCUAGUCUUUAUGGGUGUUUGGUCUAGCUUUGAAAAAUGAUUUUCAGGCCAAAGGUAAUUUUUGGCUCAAUAGAGAUUUUGAUAAUCUCGUUUUUAAAAUUCGAUUCUAAUUUUUAGAAUUAGAUUUUAAUCUUCAAGGACCAAAAUUAGAAGCAACUAAAACCUGUUACUUGGAAUAUGAUUCUUAUUUUAUACUCAAAAUUCAAUUUUUUUUUAUUUUAGAUCCAAGUUCUAAAUUUAAAUUCAAAUUUCAAUUUUAAUUUUUAAAUUUUAUAUUUAAAUUUUUAAAUUUUAAAUUUUAAAUUUAAAAAUUGAAAUUUAGAUAUUCAAUUUAUAAUUUUAAGUCUUAAAUUUAAAUUUCAAAUCUCAAAUUUUAAAUUUUAAAAUUCAAAAUUUUAAAUCUCAAAUUUAAAAUUUAAGAUAAUUUGUAUUUUAAAAUUUUAGAAUUUAAAAUUUAAAAUUUAAAAUCUAAAAAUUUUAUAUUUAAAAUUAUAAGUUUUUAUUUUCAAAUUUUAAGAUUCAAAUUUUUAAAUUUCAAAUUUAAAAUUUAAAAAUUUUAAUUUAAGUUUUAAAUUUUUAAUAUUUAAUUUUAUUAUUAUAAAUUUUAAUUUAUAUUUAACUUUGAAUUUGAAUUUAAAUUAGAUGUUAAAAAUUGAAAUUUUUAGUUUUAAAUUUCAAAAUUUUAAAUUUUUUUAAUUAAAAAUUACAAAUUCAUUUUUCUUUUGGCUAAAUUCUCAUACAAUUACAAUUUAAAUUUAAAUUCCAAAAUUCAUUUUUAAAUAAAAUUUAGUGAAAAAGUUAUUAAUAGCACAAAGUCUUUUUUUUGCAAAUAAUUGUUAUAAAAUUAAUUUUUUAUUUAAACUUAGUUAUGCUUUAUAAUUCUUAUCAAAUUAAUUUUUCUACAUUAAAUUUAAUUUAAUUUUUUCAAAAUUUAGGGAGAACGGGCGUCCUCUUGAUUCCCCAGAUGAUUUUCAGUUCGCUCCUCUUAGUUUUUUUUGGUGCAAAAGCGAGGCACUCCUCGGUUGAAUCGCCAACUCUCUUGCUCGUUCACAAAACUCUGCGAUCUUUCCUUCCACUUUCUCUGUCUGUCUCAAUCUUGCUCGCUGCGUGCUCGCCUUUUGGCCGGGCGUUGUCAAGGAUCAAUCAGGGAAAUUUUGUUACCUAUCCAUAUAACUUUUUGCUUUGUAUGUGCUGCUAUCUAUGAUUGUUGGAUUUGCUUGACUUUAUUUAUUCUAAUUUCAUUUUGUUUUUUUCUAUAUAGCGUAUUAUUUUUGAAUUAUACUGCAGUUUUAUUCGUUUGAUGAUUUAAUAUAUAAUAUAAGUAUUAUCUGAUAUUAAUAUACAAUAUUAUAUAUAUAUAUAUAUAUAUAUAGAACUAGGCUGGAAUACUAUCAAUAGCACCAAACUAUUGGUGCUAUUGAUUUUUUAGCCAUUGGAUUGAGAAAUGGAUGGUUAGGAUGAUGUGGGCCCCCUAGGAUUGAGUGAGUGGUUGGUUGAAUAGUAUAAUCUAAUGGGUAAAGAUAAUCAAAGGGUUAAAUCUAACGGUGGAAAACUCGAUAGCAUCAAAUCCUUGGUGCUAUCGAUAGUACCCCAGCCGGACUAUAUAUAUGUGUGUGUGUAUAUAUAUAUAUAUAUAUAGAGUGUAGUGUCCCUAGUGUUUAGCGGUCUAUGUAAUUUCAGCAUCUGUGGCUUGUUGGCACGUCUGGUGGGUAUCGAGACAAGUCGGAAUCAUUUUGGUGCGAAAUUGACGCAAAACGGACUUAGCGCGAUGCGAGAGUGGAGUUCUGACAUUGAAAUCUGCAAAGUGCAGGAUUUCAGUGUUGAGUACCGGUACCUGAGGAGGAGUACCGGUACCCCAGUGAGAUUUCAGAACUGGAUGCUCUCGGGUUUGCGUAUGUUGAUGCUGAGUACCGAUACCUAUUGUCGAGUACCGGUAUUGAGCUCGGGUACCGAUACUGCAUCGGGCUGGUAUUGGUACCCAGUGUGCGGGAUUAAGGAAAGAGAGGCCGAGUACCGGUAUCCAAGUUGGGUACCGGUACUCCAAAAGGCAAAUUGAGUAGAUAAGGAGCUUUUUGGUCUUUUGUUAGCGUUAAAACCAAACCAAACCCCCCAGCCUUCUCUUUUGUGCCUGAGGUUGGUGAAACACAGGUUGGCUUCUCUCUCUCUCUCUCUCUCUCUCCUUAAUUUUUCCUUGCAUUUUGUUGGGAACCUGAGGUUAGAGCUCGUCAUUUCCUUUGUGUCGUAGGAGGGUUGCACGCGCGCCGUGGUGGAGUCCGGUUGAACCGUCGGAGGUCGAGCGAGCGCGCGAGGUGUCUCCUGUCGACUUCUUGCCGACGUUGGACGAGCACUCGAGGUGGGUUAAUAUUUACCGAAAUCGUCGGAUUUCCUCCUAAGUCGUAGUGUUGUCAGCAUGUGUGUCACGCCCCGAGCCCCGCCUAUUUGGUCGGGUUCGGGCACACCGACAGACCGCCGAACGGACAGAGUCUCCCCUGUAUGUCCUAGGCGUCACAAUCGAUACAAGUACAAGAAGUUCCAAUCAGGAACAGUAUUCAAGCAAGAUUGCAUAAGGAAGGUAUCAAACAACAUAACACAUCCUAUGUUAUUACAAGCAUUCCUAUUAGAUUCAUUUCUACAUCACAUUAGCAUUAUUAUAUUACAUUUUCUUCCAAAUACAAUUAAUGAUCGCAAUAUUAUUAUAAGUUUGCUCUUUUUUUUUUCUUUUUCCUAUACCCCUAGGCUAUGCAGACUCGGGGUACCUCUAUCUCUGGUCUCUGGGGUAGGGCGCUAUCUAUGGAGCUACGCCCUCACCUUGCGCCGCCGCGCCGCUCACGUGCGAACCUGCAACACCCCAAAACAACAUGGGGUGAGAACCAAUUCCAUGGUUCCCAGUGGGUACGGCCACCCAAGGGAAAAGCUCGACCAAUAGGUCUAAGGAGGCCCUGCAACAUGUUAGUCCAACAGAUAUCCAACAGAUAUAUAUAUAUUCAAGUAUUGAAAUACAUGUUGUGCCUCACGAUAUGCAAUAUGAAAUUCAUGCAGUUUAUGCAACCAUGCAACCAACUAGUAGUUCAAUCGAUACUACUUUUAUUCCUGUUAUUCACAGUUCAACCAAUUGACCUCUAAGUUUUCCUCUAUCUUAGAUUCUUGUCAAUUACAGUUCUGCUCAUAGAGUUUAACCUACUAUUAUAAGCUAUCCACUCGACUCGGUUUUGAGUCAAUCACACGCGGAAUACCGCACAAUGCCAGACUCAAGGUGAAGGAUGUCUCACAUGCACCUCAGCCCUAAAUCCACUCAACUGGGAUGCAACUAAAACUCAUAUAAUGCAUUAAAUAGUAAAGGUUUACUAUCAUGCUAACGAAUUCGAUCCAUAUUCGAAUAAUAAUGUUCAAUGGCAUUGUUCACUAUCUUUUACCCAAUCUGUAGCAAAGCCCUAUAAUAACAACAACAAUCUGCGGAAUACGCAAAAUCUGCGUACCGCCCAGACCCGUGCACGGCCCGCCCGAAGGCGACCCAGGGCCCCGCACUGUGGUGUGGUGCACCCGUCCACUGUUCAACUGCGUCCACAUAGAACUGCUCUAUCACUCUGACGUAACCCACGGUUUCAGCUAUUACAACCUAGCGUUGGGGGCCAAAUGGAGUGUGAAGACCUUCUCGGACGUCUUUUGGGAAUCGUAUGCCGAGCUAAAAUCAUAUCGUAAGGUAGGAGUCUGUCUACCCGUUUAUCUUUCCUGGUAAAUUUGAGACCUCCUAUACGACGUCCGCAUACAGUAGCUGAUAUUCCCCUCAACCACACUAGUAAACGGCUACCGGCUCAAGCGGAUGUUGUUGUCAAAAGUACGUUCAUAUCUCUACCGUGGCAAACUCCGGGAGAUACCCGCCUUCACAGCCAGAGGAUAUGUGAGCCCACUACACCCACUCGUACAUCUCAAGCCGGGUCUGCACAACGCUCUUCGUCUCCUCUUUCAGGCGGAACGAGCGUUCGCUGACGAGUGCCGCGUCAGCUCUGUCUUUUCGAUACGACUAUCCGCGGCAGCUCUGUAUCUUAGAUGCCACCCACUGGCGCAUAAGAAUUUUCAAAGCGGUUACACCCACACUUCGCCAAACCUCACGCCCUUUCAAUUCAGGGGACAUAUAACUUGGUAUACUCUAUAACCUCGCUCAACCGUGCCAUCGGAUAGCUGAACGGAACGGUGGCUUCGAGCGCCUACAUGUGUUACACAAGGUACAGAGGUUGGAAGCGUUCAUGUAAAUACUGGAGAUCGUACGCUACGAUAUACUUGGCGGCCUUGAAGUUCUUCUGAACUCGAUGCUCCUUAAAGGCCACUACCAAUAGCGGGUUCUUCACGCUUUUGACGCUUUAGCGCUCUAAGGGAUGUACUUCUAGGCCACCUCGUUAGUACUACUAGCGCUCCGGUGGACCCUUGAGCUCUUAGACUACUCUUUCGUAGUAGGAGUGAAUAAACUCCUUAUUCCAUAUCUUUGACUCAAAAUUAAUUCAAGUUAGUCAAAGCUCCUACUUUGAGGAAAAUUCCUCCCCUCCUACAUUCCUUCACUUAAGAGCUUUAGGCUCUCAACCUGAAGUAGGUCUUAGCUGAUUAACAGCUCACCCAUCCGAAGCCUUUUCAAUUUCUAAAAGUUUUGUGUUUUUCAUGAAACCUCAGUUCAGGCGCUCUCGUUUCUACGUUUUUAUACGUAAACCGUCCAAGACGAGAGCCCCUGGCCAGGGACCGCCACCCCUGGCCAAGGGCAUUCGUUCUUACGACCGUCUCUUCCCCAGACGCGACUCAACGAGAGCCCCUGGCCAAGGAUCGUUCCUUCCUGGCCAGGGGUAUUGACUCCAACGCCGUCUGUCGAUUACGUUGGCCAGGGACCGUUCUUCCCGGCCAAGGGUAUUCGCAUAAACCGACUCCACGAGAGCCAUCCCUACGUUUACCUAGGCCCAACCACCUCGAGGUGGGGCUAGGCGGGGCUUACCCCACCAUUCACCCUUUUGUUUUAUAUCUUUUUAUAUUGGGCGGGGCUUAGGCGGGGUUAGGCGGUUCAUUUACCUCGCCCUCCGCCCUCUGAGAAAAGAAGGAAGUUAGAUGGGGCUAGGCAAUUUUUAGGCGAGGGCGGGGCGAGGGCGGGAUUAGGCGGAGCUUACCUCGCCAUUCACCCUCGGUUUUUUAUUUUACUUUUCAUUGGGCGGGGCUUAGGCAGGGCGGGUCUAUUUUUUACCUUGCCCUCCACGCCCUUGAGAGGGCGGGGGCCUAGGCGGGGCAAACGUAGGGAUCGAGAGCCCCUGGCCAGAGAGUAGCCCUCCUGGCCAGAGGGUCCCUGGCUAGAGAGCACGUCCCUGGCCAGAGAGCACGUCCCUGGCCAAGGGCAUACGCACUUCCGACCGUCUCUCGGAAGGAGGGCGUACCUAACGAGAGCCCCUGGCCAGAAGGGCUGCUCCUUGGCCAGGGAGGCACGCUUUUGACGAGUCCGUUUCGUCAAACUCUUUACUUUUCAACUCCCCGAACCGACGUUAAUACGGAAUCAAUCUCUCAUAUCUCUCGUUUCCCGAGAGAGAGGGAGAGAGUAAAGGGAGAGUUGAGAGUAGAGAGAGAGGGAGAGAGAGAUCUUCUUUUCUUUCUCUUCUUUUCUUCCUCUUCUUCUUCUUACUCUUUACUUCCUUUUCUUCUUCUUCUUCCUCUCGCUCGAUCCCUUCCGAACCUCGUAGAAGAGCAGAAGGAGAGGAGAGGUAACCUCGAUUGGAUCUCCAUUCGAGAACUCGGGAUUACCAUCUUGAAUUCCAAAAACCCAAAAACCGAAAACUCUACUCCAGUUUAUCUGGAGAUCGUGAUAAUUAUCACCUUAUCUCGAUCUUCGAUCCCAAGAUAUCACGAUUAACGUUCUACACUUGGAAUCCUGUGGGUUUACCCCCAAAAACCUUUAUGUACUCUAACUAGAGUAAAUCACCGAACAUUUGGAUAAACUAUCCACAGAUUUGCGCCCCCGCUUCAGCCUAAAAGCCAAGUAGCUCGCCCAUUUUUCGAUAGCCGCUUUAUAUCAGCUAACUCGUGGCAAAACCUGGUUCCUCCGGUUCUGGAGUAGCAUUGUAAGCAACCCUUCGCAAAGAUCUUGGAAGUAUGGAGUUUUCCACCUCCCACAGUAGGGUUUCGUUGGCUUGAAAAAAGAUACAGAAUCUUUAUGUAUUAAAAGUAGAGAACAUACAACGUAACAUCCUAACGUAAUAUCAUGGAAAAAGAAUACGAAGAUUUACAAUUGGAUCACACGUACCUUAUGAACCACUUUAACUAUCCAUUCCUAACCCAGCCUUAUACCUAGGAUAUCACGGUUUUCUUUCUCUACUUGAGCUACCAAUAAGUCACUGUAUCUCUCACCGUAAUUACAUCACAUGAACUGUGAUUUCCAAGUACUUGAAUCCCUAUUCACCUAAAGGAUCUUUUACUGAGCACUUGUUACUUGAAUCAUCUCGAUUUAUUGAUACGUACUUACAGCUUUAUCCACUCAAGGCUCUCUUACAACCAGGAUCAAGCAUCCCAUAGGAGUGCACCUCUCCUAUCUAGUUCGAGUGCCAGACAAUAAGCCCUAUCAUUUCGGUAGGUAUAGGAGUGUACCUCUCCUAACCAGCAGCUCAUGAGGCCUCACAGCCCGCUAAUCCUGGUGAACCUCCAGGCCUGGUGUACCUCCAGGUAUCUGCCAGGGCUCGAACCCACGUGAACCUCGAGGGAGGGGUGAAACCCUAACUUUUCACUCAAUAACCGCUUGGGUNACAUAUAAUCAUCAUCCAAAGUAGUCUAUACUUAGCAUCUCAUGCAUUCUUUUAGCAUUUAAUUCAUUAUACAUUUCAUCUCAUUGGUAGGUAAUAUCAACUACAUAGUAUGUUUCAAGCAUUCAUAUUAUCAUGUAAGCCUACCAAUACAACUAUAUGCAUCAAUGUGAAUUCGUAUGUUUCUUAGACAUAAAGGGCGACCUAGUCGCUUCGGUAAGCACAACCCACCUCAUAUCGCAUUCCGAUUGCUUGUCGACACUUGCAAUCGGCCUCCCGCGGCACCCGUAUCCGGUUCGACCCGAUUUUGCUAAUACUCACCAACCGUGGGUCGAAUCGCGGCUCCGAAAAUUAUAGGUCUUCGGUUUUGUGCCACAAUGCUCCAAACCCAUUUUCAUGAUUUUACGAUGUCGCCUCGACCCUCCAGGCAGAAACGAAGCCUAACGUCCGUUUCUUUAAUAACUUCACAACGGCUCGACGAAUCGCCGAACCGACUUCGCCAAUGCGUUCGUUUACCUAGCAAUUAGGUUUACGGAGGGAGGGUCAAAUGAGAUCAAACCCUACUAUUUUACAAAACCCCAUUCGGAGCCCUAAUAUGCAAUUAGCCUCCAAAUAAUCUAAAUUAAAUGGAGCAAUAUGCUAACAAUGUUCAUUAGAGGCUAUUAGAACACUUAAUGUGAAGGAUUAAGCCAAAUCCCAAAAGCUUACCACAAUGUGAACGCCGCGACGAAAACACGUCGCUCCAACGGGCGUACGAAAGCUCGAUCCGUCGCCUCCAACGCGUUCGCAAGCAUCUUCUCCACCAACGCCCCGAAUUUGAGCGAGAGAUUUGGAGAGAUGAGAGAGAAAUCUAGAGAGAGAGAGAGAGAGCUUUCUCUCUCUCCAUCAUGUAUGCGUGUGUGUGGUGUGCGGGUGUGGUCGGCUGAGGAAGAAGAAGCAAAAGGCUUCUUUAUAUAUUACACCCCAAAACACUAUUCACUUCCGAGCAGUUCGAAAUCUGAUAUUUUUUGCCGGAACUCCCUGAACAUCCGUUUGAGCUCAAAUUUGACAGUCAUAUUCAGUUUUACUCAACGAGUCCAAAGAAAUUUUAAUAUUUCAGUUUCGACCCCAUUUGGUGACCGAAAACUAUACCGAACUGUAAUCUUUAUCAGAUAGCUGUCGGAUUUUAUUUUUCACCUUCCGGAUGUCAGAAUGACAUGAAACUUGAAAUCUAGCCUCAUAAAAUUAAUUCUGACAUAUCCUCCAGUUUUCAUAAUUUUCUGACACUGUACAUUUUUUGCUAAUUUAUCUGCCCCGUCUCUCACAGAAAACUCUAAAUUUUUUAUUUUCGCUCCGAUUUCAGCACAGGUCAUUUCCAACUUAUAUUUCACUUCUCUAAAUCCAAUAAAAAUAGUAUGUCAUACAAUUUUUAUUUAUUUCUAUUUUUAUAUUUAAAAUUCGGUAUAUUACAUUCCACCGUAACCUCACCGGAACCAUUCAAAUGGCUUUCCAACCAAAAUGUACACUGUAACUUCAUAAUUUUAAAAGUCCGGUACCUUACAAUGUGGUUCUUGGUUUUGGUUAUUACGUUGUAACUCAAAUUCAGAACAAGCAUGUUUUAUGAAAUUUGAGUUUUGGAGCAUGAUUUAGUAUUUUAGACAAAUUUAUAUGCUGAACUUGGAAUUGACUUAGGAGAAAACUCAUUAAACCUACACCGUCAUUUUUCGAAAAGUUACCAGAUUUAGCUUCGGGAGCUACUGUACUUUUGUAUCCCCGCUGUUAGUACGUAUUGGAUACUCAGAUUAGUGUAGGGUGAGUUUACGCUCGUGCUAAGGGCCCGAGCUCGUUUUACAGUAGAGUGUAGACUGUUCUGUACUGUCGGGUGCCGUCGUGGUUGACGGUGGACCUAGAAUUGCAUCAGACUGUGCUAAGGGCACGUGUGUCACGCCCCGAGCUCCGCCUAUUUGGUCGGAUUCGAGCACGCCAACAGACCGCCGAACGGAUAGAGUUUUCCCCUGUUCGUCCUAGGCGUCACAUAUCCAUACAAUGCAAUACACGAGGUUCCAAUCAGGAACAGUAUUCAAACAUAGAUUGCAUAAGUAUCAAAAAUAUAAAUGCUAAACUAUACUAUUACAAGCAUUCAUCUCACAGUUUCUUUUUUUACAUGUUACAACUUCCAAAUACCACUACUGGGCGAGGAGAACCAACAUACCCGUUGAAUCACUACCGGGCGGGGAGAACCAACAUAUCCGUAGUUCUGAUUCACUUGCUUCAUAGCAUACUGGGUGAGGAGAACCAACAUACCCGUUGAAUCACUGUCGGUCGAGGAGAACCAACAUACCCGUAGUUCUGAUUCACUUUUUGCCAAUCCUCUUGUCUCAACCACUGCACUUGCAGUCCCCAUUCCUAGGGAUUCCGGAAUCCACUUCCAAAAAAUUAAAGGUUUAGCACAUGCCCUAUUGUUAACCUUUCUAGGUUUAAACCAUUCAUUUCCUAAUGGUCCUUCUACCACUAUAAUCCACAACUUAGUUUCAAAUACACUAAGUGUCACUAUACAUCAUGACAUAGGUUCAAUCACGCUAUGUUCUAUGUCAUUUCUAUCUAGAUCUCGACUCUAGGUUUCCUUAUUCAACCUAUGUUCAAUGACACUAGGUUCAUGUCCAACCUAUGUUUAAUAACACUAGGUUCAUGCCACUCGAUCUACUUAUCAUCCUAGUUGUCACACCUAGGAUUGUAGUUUACAUAUUCUCACUUUAUAACUGUCGAGUUCUCUAAUCAACCUAGAGUUAUCGACCCAUAUUCAACUCAUACGAAUCUAGCAUGUUCACAAUAUGUCAACGUUCAUAUAUCAUAUAGCAUUACUGUAAGGUGCCGAACUUCUGAGGUUAUGAAGUUACGGUGGAAUAUGAUGUACCGGAAUUUUGAAUAUAAAAGUAAAUAUAAAUAAAAAUAGUAUGAGAUACUAUUUUUAUUGGACUUGAAGAAGUAAAAUUAGACCUGGCAAACGGGCGGGUUGGGUAACCCGUGUGUGGGUCAUUGUACCCACGAGUCAUAUGGGUAUGGGUAAAAUUUAUCCGCAAAUUUUUGGGCAGUCGACAUCAUUACCCAUACCCGCCCGCGGGUGGGUGGGUGGGUAUGCGGGUUACCUAUAAAUUUUUUUUUCUUUUUUUACUUCUAUACUUUCUAAAUACAAAACACAUAUAUAAAAUUUUUAAAAGCGUAACAUAAUUCACUGCGUAAAAUAUCACAAAAUACAAUAAAAAUAUUUAAAGCCUUAAAGCGAAUAAAUUUCAUAAUAUAAAAAUAUUUUACCAUCCCAAAUUUUCAUGAUAUCAAAUUAAUAAAUUUUUCAUAAUUAUAGAGUCAAUAUAAUAAAGAUAAACCACCAAAACUCAAUCCACAACUGUCGCUUUAGUAGUUGAUUCUCUUGAUUCUGGAGUUUCACCAAUAUUCAACAAUGGCACCACAAGAUCGUUGUCGUCGUGUUCAUCUACAUUUAAAAUUUGAAAUAAUUAAUUCUCAUAGAAUAAAAAAUAUUAUAAUAUUAAUUUAAAGUAAAUAAAUUUAUUACNGUAGUGUAAUCUAUUGCGAUCGUUAACACUGUUCUACCUCCCCUAGAACUUCUCAGUCGAGACAUACGUUUUACGUAAUAAUACAUUACCUUUUAUAAAAGUACACGCAACAAGACGAGUAUAGAAUUUGAACUAACAAGUUCUCCCAAAUUUUCAAAGAUCAUACCGUGAUGUAUUCUAAGCUCUUUCAUAAUUCAUGGAAUUCUUGUCACUCCGUUCUAACUAAUUUAAACGUCUUGAACGUUUCGUUUGUCUACAAUGAUGAAGUUACGUAAACGCGUACCUAUAUACGUGAUCCACCUUGAGGUGUAUAAACUACGAUCUCUUACGAGAAUGUAAAGCUGUACAAAAAUACGUAAUAAGAAACAAACUAAGUGUAAUAUUUAUAACAGGAAGUUUACUACUCACCCUAUCCCGCCUUUCCUAUACACUAAAAAAUCUUGGUAAAAUACUCUAAUGAUGAGAAAAUAGGCCAAGACUUAUAGGUUGACGUUUAAACAUGAAAGGUUCGCACACCUUUUAAGUUUUCGCGGAAGAACUUCUUCGGCUCUCACUUCUACUUUAAUAUUCACUGUACCGUUUUGUUUACUUUAGGUUCAAACUCUUUAUAACCCUAUUAAUAUUACACUAUAACCGAUAACGUUAAUAAGAACUAAUCCGGAGCGUUUACUCAUUCGGCCGAGCGCAAGCCGAGCGCAAGCCUAGCUAUAAGCUGAGAGAGUUUUAGUCCAAAUAGGUUGAUCUAUGGAUCUUCUACGUGUUCCGUCUUUCUAUGAGUGUUCGGUUCUUUCACAUUGUUAACAAGCCGUUCUUAACAUAAAUGAAAAACUUUUUAUACAACUUUUCAAAAGACACGUUCGGGUUCUUUUUAGAAGUAGUUGAUGAUUAACAAGAUGACCACGAUUUUCUUUCUUUUUACUGUAAACACAUUCAAUAAGAAAUCGAAAAAGAAAUAUCAACGUCAAUAAGUUUAUGAAUUGAAAAAACAUAUAAAUAAUUAAAAAAAACAUAUAAAUAACAGAAAUUAAAAAUUUACAAAGUUACCAAAUCCUGAAACUACCGAAACUAUCACUUAAACCGCAGUGAUCGUUUAGACUUAAUCUAGCUAUAAACCUCCUCUGUUUCAAGCUAGCAUAUUUUGUACGAUUUAACUUAUAAGAACUAAAAACCUUCCUAUUAACACAAGCCAUAGGUUAAGAAAGAUUCUACCGCGCACUAUAAUACUCGUAUGGUUAUUGUUGGCAACGAAGUCUUAGACGAACAUCGUAACCUUCAUUUCACGAGUGUUUCAUGGCUUCAAGUGAAACUGGUCUUUUACGAGUUCAAAACUAGACGUGUGCUUCAACCAACAUACCUAUACUUUAAUUUCCAUUAUUUAAAUAAAUGAAAUUUAAUUAUAAUAUUAUAAAAAAUAAGAAAAUAUUUUUUUCUCAAUUCCCCAAUCUUUUAAGAACUCAAAAACUUUUUCAGAUAGGACAGCACCCGAGUGUGGAGGAGGAAGAUGACAAAAAUUCAAAAUUUUACUAUGCAAUAUCCAAUUUUCAUCUACAAAGUGUGCUGUUAGGCAAAUAUACCCUUCACUUGUGCAAGAUGACCACAAAUCAGAAGUAAGACAUAUUCUACUAGAAACCUUCCCUAGAAUAUGCUUAAUAUUUUCUUUCUCCCUUUUAUGUAUUUUCAGGCAAUCGGUCUUUGCUGUGUUUCUAGUAUAGGGUUUGACGUCCUCAUUCAAGUAAAAAUGCACAUCCCUAAUUCCUUCAUGCGCAGCAAAUGAGAAAGCAUAAUUGUGUUUCAUAAUUGCAAUCGCCAUCUUCUCACGAUAAGUUUCUUGGUUAAAUUUUUUUCCACGUAAUUUUGCCUCGUAACCUGUAAUAUACCGAAAAUUCAGAAAAUAAAUGUCGAACUUUAGUCAAAUUGACUAAAGUGCGAGGACGGUACAUUUCGGAAAGUCCGAAGGUGUUAAAAUGAUUAAAAGUGAGUUGCGGGAGGUUGUCGAGAGCUAUAGAAUCAAAAUCUGCAAACUGCAGACUUUGAGCUCUCGGGGACUGGUCCCUGGUGGGAGAGACCGGUCCCCGAACGCGUAUGAUUUGAGACAGCCGAAAAAUCGGCUAAGUCCUGAGAAAUUAGCUCUCGGGAACCGGUCCCUGCCUGAGAGACCGGUCCCCGAGAGACCGGUCCCCUAAAGAGAGACUGGUUGCACCGCGCGCGGCAGCUCUGGCUGUGCUGGGACGACCUUCGGGAACCGGUCCCUGAAGGAGAGACCGGUCCCCGACUGCGCGAACUGCCCAGUUCGGGCAGUGUAAUGAGAUCAAAGCUGAGGGACUUAUCUGCAAAAAUGCAUUAUGUGGGUCAUGUUUAGGGUUGAGAGAGCCUCUCCCUCUCCUUCCCUCACACCUAAACUCAUCCCUCUCCCUUCCUCUCUCUAGAAGACAAAGAAGGAGAAGAAGAAAGGAAGGAAAAGAAGGAGAAGAAAAAGGAGAAGAAGAAGAGGAAGUGAAGAAACUCCCUCUCCCUCAUCUCUAGCUUGGAAAAUGAGAGCUUACAAGGUAAGCCUUGAACCCUAAUUAUGGUGGGACCUAAUUUAGGGUUUGGAUUAAGCUUAAGAUGGGUUUUAUGGAACCAUUUGAGUAUUUGAAGUUUUCUUUUGCUUCUUUUGAGAUCAAAACCAUGGUUUAGCUCAAAGGUGAGCUUCAACCCACCUCUCAUGGUGAAAUCCAAACUAGGGUUUGGAAUGAGCUAGGAAUGGUUUAGAUGAACUCUUUAGAGUACAUUGAAACUACUUUUACUUCCCAAUGAGAUCAAACCCUAGGUUUGAUAUAUGUAUUGGAGCUAGAGCACCAAGUUGGGGCUUUUGCUCAUGGGAAUUUCUAAGUGCAAUUGACCCUCUAGAAACCUAAUUGGGGGUAUUUCCGACGCGUUGGUGCGUACGGAUUAACAUUCCGAAGAACCAAUGAAAAGAUAUGAGCAAAAUGACCUAUUAGGGCUUCGUUUUGCCGCAGGUAAAGAACGAGAAGCCUAAAAAUCCCGAGAAAAUCGUCGGAGCACCUUUGAAAGCCUACAAGGUGGGUGGUGCUUCUCAAACUCAUUGAACUUCUCUUUAUGCCUAAUGUGUCAUUCAUUUGAACAUGUGUAUAUAUAUUGUUGCAUGCAUUUUAGGGUAAAGUAAUGAUAAAAUGUGAUGAUGCACGAUUGUGAGUACAAUUUGCAUAAUAUGAUGAAUGAGAACUAAGUAAACGUCGAAAACCCUAUGUGUAUGCAUGAGAGGAAGGUGAGCACCCAAAGUGAGCAAAAGAACAGAGUGACACAAUGACAUAGAUCGAGUGGCAUUUGAUAAAGUUAAAGUGAAAUGACACUAGAGAUAGUGUGAGGUAAAGAACCAACGUAAUGUAAAGAAUGAUGAAAAGGAUAAUGUGUAAAGUUAAAGUAAAGUGGGGCAAUAAGAACAAAAAAUGUAACGAACAAGAAUGCUAGAGCUAGCAGAAGUAAAGAAAUGUAAAGAAUGUGAUUGCAUGAGUUUGCAACAUAAAGUGAUGUAAAGGACACUAGAGCUAGUGUAAAGUCAAGAUUGAACUUAUAAAUCCUUUGAGUUAAGGAUAUGAUCAUACUUGCUAUGAGUUCCGUGCUCGAGGGCGGUCGCUCCCCCUCGGGCGAUGCGCUCCGGAGUUAUGCAUCACGGGUUGGAGUAAACCCGAAGGACGGUCCUAGCGGGUGAGUUCCUGCGAUGAUGGACUUAAUGUGAAACAAGUUAAUGUGGCGAAACCCCCGGGUUAGCCUUGAGAUUAAAGAACAAAGAGCAAAGAACAAAGAACAAAGUGUAACGUGAAAAGAACAAAGAAUUUGCAUAAUCUGCAUUUAUUCAAUGUUGAGCAUAUUUCUGCUUAUUGUUCAGGCAUAUUAGCAUCAUGUAUAGAUUGGUUACUAUAUGCAGCUUAUUCUUUCUAUUAUGCCUGAGUUAGUCCUAGUGGGAAAGUCGGUGAUGUUGAGGCCGAACCCACUGGGAACUUUGUUGUAGUUCUCACCCCACUAUUCCACAGAGCCGGGACCGAGCGAGCUGGCGAGCGACCGAGGCAAAGGUAUCGCGCCUUAGUCAGAGGCCACCAAAGUUGGAUUUCAUUUUGUAGUAAAGUACCCUAUGAUCAUCCUUUGUAUAUGAUGAUAAAUGAUGUAAAGAAAAGAAUGUAAUAUGUAUUUUGAGGUAAAUGUGAUGUAAGAAAGAAAUGAUGAGAUGAAAUGGAAGAAAUUCAAAGAUGAACCAGAUGAAUGAAUGUAUAUGAUCAAAAAUGAAUCAUAGUACAAAUGAAUGUUUAGUUUCCUUAUUCUUUCACUAAUGGCUAUUGCUUAUCCUCGUAUAAGCCGUUUGUGUAUAUAUUUCCGCUAGUGCUUUUCUCUAUUGAUGAAAAUGUACAUGUGAUGAGCCUUGGGCGGAUAGAAAAAACUCUGUCCGUUCGGCGUCUGUUUGACGUGCUCGGGCCGGCCCAAAUUGGUAUCGGUCCCGGGGCGUGACAUAACCAAAAUGUAGUUGCUUUACAUCUUGGUUAAUUUUCUUUGGACAACUUUGGAUAUGGCGUUUUAAAUUUGCUGUCCCAUGAGUAUUAGUACCUAUCGCAUAAGAGGCCUUGCACAAUAUACACCUUGCCCUAUUAUUCCCAUCAUCAUCAACAUAUGUGUCAAAACUGUUCCAUACAUCUGAAUAUUUACGAGGUUUUUCUUGCAGAAUCACUAUCACUAACCCUUUCUUGUUUAACAGUAGUUUGAAUAAUAUCAGGCUGUUGUGUCUCACAAUUAUUAUUUUCGUCCACUAUCUGCACAUGUUCUGAAUCCAUACUACAUAAUGGGAAAAAAAAAGUUACUCCACUAUUUUUGAAAAUUUUUCAGAUUUCAGCAUAUUAACUUUCAACCAAAUAAUGUAAUGAGCAAUAUGAAGCUAGCUAAUUUUUUAUUUCAUAUUUGUUAAAAGCUACAAGAAAAAUUAAAGGGCCAUUGCCUAAACAUUUGUAUUGAAAAUAAACAGAUGUAAAGUUGGAGAAGGACGAUGCAUUAAAAUUAGAAAUCAAAUCACUAGCAAGUUUUAUCUUCAACAAGAAAGUAAUAUAACAUAAACUUAUUCUAUGUAUUCGGAAUGCUAUAUUAUCUACUGCAAUGUUAUUUACCAACAAUUAACAAGAAGGAAGAAAAAGCCGAAAAAAUCAUACAUUUUCCAGAUAAACACAAAAAAGCCGGAGAAGGUGCAGGCGAAGAUCGUAAAUAAGCACUUGGUGGUUCGAUGUAGGUCGGGCCACCAGAGAAUAGUAGAGGAGUGCAGUUGCAAAGGCGACACAGUAUGAGAGGUGGCCACAACGAAAAAAAGAUAAACGAAAGGAAAUUAGGAUUAGGGUUUUUAGGAUGGGUAAACAAAAAAAAACAUUUUUUUAAUUAAAAAUAUAUAUCCGGGUACCCGUGGGUACCCGCGGGUUACCCAGAAUGCCCACAACUUAAUGGGUACCCACCCAUUUUACCCACAAUUUUUUGGGUAGGAAAAGUUGGUACCCAUACACGCAAUUUUAUGGGUAACCCGCGGGUAUCCGCGGGUUUGGGUCGAGAUUGCUAGGUCUAAGUAAAAUAUAAGUCGGAAAUGACUUUUGCCGAAAUUGGAUUGGAAACAGGAGAUUUAGAAUUUUCUGUUUGAAAUGGGGCAGGUAUUUUAGCAGAAACUUCACAGUGUCAGAAAAUUAUGAAAAUCUGAAAAUAUGUUGGGAUUAUUUUCAUGAGGCUAGAUUUAAAGUUUCAUGUCAUUCCGACACCCGGAAGGUGGAAAAUAAAAUCUGACUGCUAUCUGCUAGAGAUUUCAGUUUGGUAGAACUUUCGGUGACCAAAAAUGGUCGAAACUGAGAAGUUAAGAUUUCGUUCUUCUAGUUAAGAAAAAUCGAGCCUGACUGUCAAAUUUAAGCGCAAACGGACAUUCAGAGGGCUUCGGCAAAAAGUAUCAGAUUCUGAAGGACUAAACUGAAAAUUUCAAUAGUUGUUGGGGGGCUAUGUGUGUAACAAAUGCCAUACCCUUUUGUUGUCUUGGUCUGAACCGAGAGAGAGAGAGAGAGCAAGUUUCUUUUCUAUCUUUCUCUCUUUGUCUCUAAAAUUUCUCUACCUCUAAAUAAUCUCUCGACUAAAGAGGAAUUGGAGAAGAAAUUGGAGGAGGAAUUGGAGGUUGAGCUUGGAAUUAGGAAGAGAAGCUUCAUUUUCAUCUUCUUCUUCCUUGACUCAAGAAAAGGAAGCUUGUGAGGUAAGCUUCUUGAGCUUCAAUGGUAGAUUUCUAAAGUUUGAGUUAUAAGCUCUAGAAAUGGGUUUAAUUGAAUCUUAGGAUGCUAAAUGACUGUAAAUUGGAUGAAUCAAGUUCUAAUUUGGAGUAUUCUUGCAAUAGUAAACAUCUAGGGUUCUGAAUGUGGUUUUGUUAUAUAGAUGGGUUUGAUCUAAAUUGGACCCAUGUUAACCUAAUUGCUAGGUAUUCUGAAGCGUUGGCGAAGUCGGUUCGGCGAUCUGUCAAGUCUGCGCAAAGAUAUUGGCAAAAAGGACGUUUUUGGCUUCGUUUUCGCCUGGAGGGCCGAGACGGCGUCCAAAAAUCACGAAAACGGAUUCCUAGCAUCGCGGUAUCAAGUUAUAGACUUUUAAAAUCCAAGGUCGCGAAUUGACGCACGGUUGGUGAUCAUUUGCAAGAUCGGGCCGAACCGGACAACGAAUACUGCGGGAGGCUGAUUGCAAGUGACUACAAGCAAUCGAAAAGGGAUUUGAGGUGGGUUGUGCUCAUCGAAUUGUUUAGCUCGCUUCCAUGUCGAAGCGAUGUGAGAUUUACUAUUGAUGCAUAUAAUGGUAGCUAGUUGUAAAACUUAGGAAUGCAUGGGGUGAAUGCUAUGUUAGGCUAUCAAAGAAUGCAUGUUGACAUAAUAUAAAAUGCUAGAAGGAUGCAUAUCGACAUAAUGUAAGAAUGCUAAAUGAAUGCAUGUUGGUAUGUUAUAGAAAUGUUAGAUGAAUGCAUAUGAUUGAUGCUAGUUGAAUGCAUAAGAUAAAUGGCAUAUGAAUGUUAGCAUUAUGAGAAUUAUACUAGAAGGUAUUUGAAUGUUACCACCAUGGGAAUAUACUAGAAAGAAUGUGCAUGUUGACAUAUUAUGGAUUAUGUUAAAGAUAAUAUGCAUGUUGGCAAGUUGUAGAAUAUGCUUGAUUCAUAUGAGUUGAACAUGGGUCGAUAACUCUAGGGUGAUUAGAGGACUCGACAUUGGAAAACAAGAAUAUGAAAACUGUAAUAUUCGAUAUGGACAAGUAGAAUAUCAAGUAGAUCGAGUGGCAUGUAAAUUAGUGUGGUUGAGACACUUACAAUAUAAUGAUGUAAUCGAGUGGCAUUGAUAUUAGUGUAGUAGAGGCACUAUUAUUUGAACAUAGGGAUAGAUGAGUUCCCGAGUUGAUUGAUAUGUUGCAUGAGAACUUAGUGUGGUAGAGACACUUGUGACAUGAUGACUAUAGGGAUAGGUGGAUUUUCCGAGUCAUUGUUAUCCCUAGUUGACAGGGUAUCCUCAGUAGGCGAGGAUUGGAUCAUACCCACAUAGUCUGUUUUGAGCUUCGGGUGGUCGCUCCACACAAGCAGUACACUACGGAGUUGUCACAUGAGCGGGGUAGCUUACCGGGUGGGACACGAGCGGGGUAGCUCCUCACCUAUGAGACUUGAGAUGUGAGUCGGGGCGAAGGGCGGGGAAGCUCUCCACCUGUGAGACUUGAGAUGUGAGUCGGGGCGAAGGGCGGGGAAGCUCUCCACCUGUGAGAUUAGAGAUGUGAGUCGGGGCGAAGAGCGGGGUAGCUCUUCACCUAUGAGAUUUGAGAUCUGAGUCGGGGCGUAACCUUCGGGCUAGCUAAGUGAUUGGGUGUUAUACAUAUGACCUGUAGUUGAAUCCCAAUUGAGUGGAUUUAAGGCUGAGGUGCAAGUGAGAUGUCCUUCGCCUCGAGCCUGACUUUGCGCUGUAUUCCGCAGAUGAUUGACUCAAGACCGAGUCGGGUGGAUAGCUUUGAAAAGGUCGAUGAAACCUUAUGAGUGGAAUUGUAAUUGACUUGAAUCUAAGAUAGAGGAAACCUUAGAUGUCAAUUGAAUGAGUUAUGGAUAGCAGGAUUGAAAGUAGAAUCAAUCGAUCUACUAGUUGGUUGCAUAGUUGCAUAAACUGCAUGAUUUGCAUUGUUGCACGUUGCGAGGCAUAAACAUGAUGAUUGUUAGUUGCAUAUAUAUAUAUAUAUAUAUCUGUGGAUAUUUGUUGGACUAACAUGUUUGCAGUGCCUCCUUCGGAUCUGUUUGGUCAAGCUUUUCCCUUGGAUGGUUGUACCCACUGAAAACUAUGGACAAUAGUUCUCACCCCCGUGUUGUUUUUGGGGGUACAGGUUAACACGCGAGCGGCGCAGCGUCGCGAGGUCAGGGCGCAGCUCCGUAGAUAGUGCCCUACCACCGAGACCAGAGAUAGCGGUACCCUGAAGUGGUCUAGCUUAGGGGUUUGAAAUGAACUCAAAUGAAUGAAACAAACUUGUAAUGGAUUUAUAAUAACUAGAUUGUAUUUGGAAGGAAAUGUAAAACGAAAAUUGUAAAUGUAUAACCUGGGAUGAAUGCUUGUAAUAGCUUAGUUGUUUUGUAUUUUUGAUACUUCCUUAUGCAAUCUAUACUUGAUUCUGUUUCUGGUUGGAACAUCGUGAAUUGUAUUAAUUGUGACGCCUGGAAUAUACAGGGGAGACUGUCCGUUCGGCGGUCUAUCGGAGUGCCCGAAUCUGACCAAAUAGGCGGGUCUCAGGGCGUGACAAUUAUCCACAAUAUGUCAAUAUGCAUAUUCCAAUGGUAGGUAACAUUAACUAACAUAAUAGGAUUCAUAUUAUCAAUCACAAUCUACGACUAUACAUAUAUGCAUAAAUAAUAAUCAUACUUUACUUUGGCUUCGAAGCAACCUAAUCGCUUCGGUGGAGCACAACCCACUUUUAAUUGAUACCGAAAUGCGAGAAAUUCACUUUCCGCAAUUUAUGAACGAUCGCAAUCCUUUCUCGCGACAAACGAAGCUAAAAUGAGGUUUUUCCUCAUUAGCUUGUCGUAGGCUCGUCGGAACGUCGAUCCGAGCUUUUCAACGCGUCAGUUUUACCCUCAAUUAGGUUUCCACGUGAUCAAUCCCAAGCUAGAGCUUCAAUCCAACAAUUUAGUAUUUUCAAGUUAGAGCUUUAAACAACCUGCUACUAUACAAACUUCAACUUAAUACAACCUGUUUCUAUACAGGUUCUAUAAGAAUCUAUAUAGAAAUCUCAGCUUUAACCAUUCAAGAAUCUCAAAACCAAUUCCCUUAAGGUAUUUAUAUCAAGCCUUAACCAGGAAUAACAACUUACUCACCAUGCUCCCAACUGCCAGGUUCAUAUACAUGAUACAUAUAGGCCUAUUCUAGGCUUUUCAUGUUAAAAACAGCACUAGCAACCCAAGAAAACCCAAGUUAAACCCUUUCUAGGUGAUUAAAAUGAUCUUUAAUCAGGAAUUACCUCAACCCUACAUCAGUUUAAAACUCCAACAGCUUAUUUAUUUCCCAGCUGCAAACAAUCACACAUAACAUAAUACAUAGCUCUCUCUAAGUUUCACAUAGCAAUUUCAGUUUUAGAAACCUAAAAUUUCAUUGUCUACUCCUCCUUUAGGUUAAAUACCAUGAACCAUAACCAGGAAAUAUGUCUCUCCUACCUCAGGUUUCAUCCCAACAAAUAAUUCACAUGUAUAUAUAUCUAUAUAUAUGUUGUCAACACACAAUUCUUUAGGAUUUUUCUAAUAGAAGUUCUAAUACCCCAAAAUCUGUAGCUUAAUCUCUUUUAGAGCAAUAACCUAACUCUAAUAUGAAAUUAGAUCAAACCUACCUCAACUUGGAAGCUCCCACAAGCUGCUCUCAACUCCUGGACCGUCCUCUCAGCUCAAACCAUCAAGAAAACCCAACUCCACACGAACCCUUUUCACUAACUUCAGCCACCUUAGGCUUGUAGAAAGAAAAGAAGAAAAAAAAUGAAAAGAGGAUGAAGUGGAGAGGAGAGAGGAGAUUUAGUACAUAGCAGCUACUGGGGUAAGCUGCGGUUCAGAUAAGAUCAGCUAAUUUCUCAUAACACCCCUCACAAAAGCUGGGUUCAACUCUUUCACAUUUUGAUUCGUGCAGUUUUCUGCACCUGGCAGCAGCUGGAAGCAGCAACAAUUGCCCUCAAAUCCUCACACAAAGUUGAAAUUCUGUUUUACAGAUUAGUCCCUGUGGUUUCCUUGCAUUUGGCAGCAGCCGGCAACAGCAGCAAUUGCUCUUAAACCGCCUACAAAGCAGAAAUUCUGCUUUUACAAAACAGUCCCUGCAGUUUUUAGAAAACAGUCCCUGCAGCCUCUUUUUGGCACUAGACAGCAGCAGCUGGCAGCAGCAGUAGUUGUAGCAGCAGCUGCAAUUAGCAGUAGCAGCAGCACUCAGCAGUAGCAGCAAUUGCACUUAAACCCCCCCAAAAGCAGAAAUUCUGCUUUUACAAUUUAGUCCCUGUAGCUUUUUAGUACAGAAACUGCACUAGGCAGCACUUCCAAGUCAUUUUCUCGCGUAAACUUCGUUCUAACACCUCUAAACACUUCUAAAUUUGCCACUUAACUAUCCCCACAUCUCCAAAAUGAUUUGGAGAUACCAUAAAUUAUCCUCAUUGUUCACUUUGAUACAUCCAAUCAAAGUUAGCGUCGUAAGCCGGAGAUUCAUUUUCGAGUUCGUUUCGCGCCCAAUAUGCACCGAAACAUUCAAUCACUUCCCAAAAUCAUUCCCACACCUCUAAAAUUAUUCGGGAACGAUGUACAUCCAGCUCAAGCUUCAUUUUGAUCCCCCAGAUCAAAGUUAGCAUUACAACCCAAAAUUUUCGGUACAUUACAACGUGAGCUUUGGUUGUUAGACCAGUUAAACCCUUUUGCAUUGACUACAGCCUGUAAGAGCCUGAUUGGGCUUGGCAGAGACACGCUUACAUACUCGGUUGGAUCGCGCCGACGAGUGCCGCUUCGGAGUGAGGCUUUGACUUGCGUUGAUGUCGCAGCCAUCCUGUUUGGACCAUGUUCUUGGAUCGACCAUCCCCGUGGGUGGUGUACGGUGUAGAAGGAAAAUGAGGAGGAUGAAAAAUGGUGUAAAUUUUGCCCAAAAUUGCACCAUUUCGCCCAAAAUUGCACCAUUUCGCUCAAUUUUGCACAAUUUCAUCCAAUUUUGCACCAUUUCGCCCAAAAUUGUACAAUUUCUCCUUCUCCUCCUCUUCCUCUUCCUUCUUCCUUUUUACACCAUUACACCAUUUUCUACACCUUAGAAAUUGCAUUCUUUGGACAAUCUCAUCUCCCUCAUCGGAGAGUAGGACUCGGACGACGAUCUUGAGGGCAUGGAUCUACUUCUUCAUCUUGGAGUCGAGGGUGCCCCACUCAGUCCUCUGGACCUCCUCGAUGCUCAUCUUGUCGACACUGAGGGCGGCGAGGGUGUCCGCGACGGACGGCGUCGCGGCGGACGGCGUCGCGGCAGACGGCGAUGUACAUCUAGCUCAGCUCCUGGCCAUACCCGGUGCGGAUCAUGCGGCUGGCGAUCUCCGCGAGGUCAUUGACGGCGUUGGCGUAGAGGAGGUCGGAGGAAAAGUGGUUGGCGAAGAGGAUCCCCGGCCUCCUUCUCUGCCGCUGCCGUCGCAGGAGUCCUCAAGAUUGGCGCCGUGGGGGUGGGGGUCGGAUCUGAAGGAGGAGGUGAGGGCGUCGUCGUGGGAGAGGGAGAGGCGGCGGAAGGAGGAGGUGGGUUCCUCGAAGGUGGAGGAGGCGAUAGGGAGGGUGCUGCGGAGGAGGUGGCGGAACAAAAAAAUAACGAAGGAAAAAAAAAGAGAGAGAAAAAAAGAAGAGAGAGAAAGAAAAGGAAUAAGGGUAUUUUCAUCCGAUGUAAAAACUUCGGUCCGAAUUUGCAAAAUUAGAAAAGGUGGCUUAGUUUUGCAAAAAGUCAAAACUUGUGGAUUUUUUUUUAUGCAAAUGAACAUUUCAUAGUAAUAAUAAUAGAGAAAAAACUGACCGUACCUAGAGCAAGUGACAAAGGGCUUGGUGGUUGGUACCCGAGACCUAAGUUCGAAUCCUAGUUGAUUCAUAUUUCUAGCUAAGUUUAUUUCUAAAUAAAAUAAACGAAGCGGAUAACGUGCUACCUAUCUCUUAAAAAAAACAAAAAAAAAGGAAAAAAGAAAAAAUAGAUCCGAGCAGCGUAAAAAUUUAAUCUAUUUGCUGUGCCCUCGCAUUACUUCAUCUUUCCCCAUUCUCGCUGCCCAAUCCUUAUUUUUCAACCCACUCUCCCCUUCUCUUUUGCCCUAGGUUUCCCAAAUCUUCCGGUCUCUUCUCCUUUCCCUUUCCUUGUCUUCUUCUUCACGGGCUGCCUCUGUGAUCCAAGAGGACAUCCUCACCCAUGGCGGCGUCUCUCCGGGCAAGAAGCUCCCGCCGCUACAACACGAGGCGCCGAGCGGCUGCUGGUGCCGUCGCCGCCGUGUCCGACGCUGCCGCCGCCACUGCUGCCUCCGCUGGCGCCGCGACCGUAAAUGAUUUUUUUUCUUCUUUAUCCUUUUCAUUCAACCAUUAAUGCAACCGUAAAUGAUUUUUUUUUUUUAUUUUGCAUUUAGAUGGUGUCUGAUCAUAUUUUGAUUCUUAUGUCUCUAUGUCUUGGUGGAUUUAAUUUUAUCUUAUGUAAAAGUAAAAAUAGAGUAAUCUUUUAGAAGAUAAACCAAACGCUUAAAACAGUAUAAUUUUUUUAUAUGAUAUAGAGUUUUUCAGAAUAUCAAAUACAAUGUAAAAUAAAGCUCUAUUUUAUUUUUCAGUAGUUGCCAUCAUAGUUAGUUAAUUCGCGAAUUAUUCGCGAAUUUUUGAAAUGCCGAAUAAAACUUCCGUUUUCGUAUUUUUUUCCAAAAAUUCGGAAAAAUUCGCAUUUUUUUUUUUUGGGUAAAAAGAAUUAUUCGCGAAUUAAACGGAAUUCGCGAAUAAUUCGGCCCAAAAAACCGGCCCAGAACCCGUUUUGCCUCGCCCAAAACCCGCUUUGCCUCACGAGUCACGGCCCUCACCCUGUCGCCCAAAAGGCCAAAAAAAAAAAAAAAAACUUUCUGAAAUCUGAAGUGAAAAGAUCGCCCCCCUCCCACCACGAGUCCCACACCCCUCCCAAAAAAAGGGUUUGCCCUAACUUCUCACCCCUGCGGCGGUGCGGCGCGCGGCCCUGCCACCGACCCUGCGGCGGUCGCGGUCCCUUCCCCUCCCCCUCUUCCCUUCCGGCCGCUCGCCGAACGCCAUCGGAAGCCCUCCUCUUCAGAAAUCGAAGAUCGAAGAUCGGGUUCUUCACUCUUCAGAAAUCGAAACCCUCCUCGUCGCCUCUUCCUCUUCCGCUUCCGCUUCCGCUUCCGCUAUCCAACGAUAGAUCAGUAAUCGGGUGGUUCUUUACAAACCAGGUACGAUUUGAAGUUUCAUUCUUCAAAGCAAAAGUUGGGAGCUUUUAGUCCUGAUGGAUACUUUUUUAUACACAAAUGUCUCGAGUGCUUAAUUGAAUUGAAUGUGUCUAUUCCAUAGUUAGUUAAUUCGGAUUCGCAUUUUGAUAUAGUCGAGGAUUAAAUCAUCAUUUUCUAGUUUAUUUGUACAGAUUCGCAUAUUGAUUUUAAAUUUUUAUUUUGGGCAAUAACUUAAUCUCGAGUGCUUAAUUGAAUGUGUCCAUUCUCUGUUAUGCACAAAGAAGACCCAAACAUAGAGCUAAAUAAUCUUAAUUAACUUAGGGACCAGGAACUCUUCUAUUAUACCUAAUCAAUUUCAUUAUCUUGUACUGUCGACACUUGCAAAAGGAAAAUUUUGUUGUGGUCUUUCAUGGACCAUUGACUCAGUGGGGUUUCUACUUAAUUUUUGAAACAUAACUUUUUAGUAUUAGAAAUGCAGCAAUUUAAAUAUGGACUAUCUUGAUCUCUAUUUGCUUAAUUAUUUCUAUAUUUUGAGGCUUAAUAUAGUAUACUAUUUUUUUUACUUACUUAGUUCAAUUUUGUAGCUCUUUAUUCUUAUAUUCUUAAAAAAUAUGAAUAUUUAUGCUAAUAGCAGAAAUCUUGAGAGAAAAAAAAACUUAAUUUAAUAGCCGAAUUUUUGAUCCCGAAUUUUUAAUUAGUGAAUGUAUAAUAUCCGUAUAAAUCACGUAUCCGAAUAAUUGGCGAAUCCCUUUUUUAGCCUUUUUUUCAACGAAUUUAAAAAUUAGAAGACGAAUUUUAUCCGAAUUAUACCCGUACCGAAUUUUUGCCGAAUCCGAAUUAACUAACUAUGGUUGCCAUACAGGCCCUGUCUGUAGAGAAACUUGUGUAGAUUUGAACCGGUUUGAAAGAAAACUAGUGUCUGGUAGAAUCAAUUCCCGGAGCGGUUCUGAUCCAUCCUGUUAACCUUGGCUGAUGGGUUCACUGCUGUGCCUAAACGACGGUUGAAUUUUAGCGAACAAAACCUCACAACCUGACAUAUCGAAACCUUUUUGCAGUGGCGGCGUUUUAGACUCUUAAUAUUAAGGGAUGGCGAUUUAUGGAGGGUUUGGUGGCGGGACGUGCGGAGCGGCCAUUCGCCUUCUUGAACCGGUAAGUUCUCUGCUUUGCUCUCUCUCUCUCUCUCUCUCUCUCUCUCUCUCUCUCUCUGAAUCGUAACUCGUACGGUGGUCUAGCAAAUUAUGAAUGUGACUUGACUGUGAUUGCCACCGUGUGGCGAUUGUUUUAGUUUUAUCUAAUUAACCUAGGAGGCUUCUUAGAUUCUAUGUCAAAUGUGUCUCUUCCUUGAACAUGAUGAGAAGAAGGAAACAUUUGUUUUUCGUCAACACCAAGGAAGGUUAUGGUCGUUAUUGUGAAAUUGUACGUCUAAACUCGUCAGUCCUUUUAUGGAAGAUAGUGUGGUAUUGUGUUAGUUUAGCUUAUUCUGGAUAUUAGUACAGGAAAUAGUUGAUUAUUACGUGUCAAUCAAGGUUUUCUGGAAUAGGUACAUUUCAAUUAGUCGGUCUCUCAUGUUAGAGUUUGUAUUUUGAUGGGAAAAUGAUGCCGAGCCUAUCAUAUAUGGUGUCUUUAGUUAUAUACUUGUUUUCUGCUGCUUAAGAAUGCAACAAAUGAUUAUUUGUAAUAGUGCCAAUAGUUUGAAAAGUCCUACAAGAUACCUUGUGAUAUAUCUCGAUGCUUUGCAAACUGUACCUAUGCAGUUGUUUUGAGUGACAUAGAUUGUAAAGUAAUUUUCCCGCUCUAAAUAACUAAGAUAGUUUGUUCUUAUAUUGGAAAUGAUCUGAAAUGCAUUAAAAAGAUGGCCUAAAAGUUUGUAGUUGGUCCUUCAGAUUGCUUGUCGUCAGAUCACAAACUUUGUGGUUUUUAGAUAUGUAAUCAUGCAUUGAUAGGGAAUAACACAAUAGAUUAUUUUUAUUUACAUAAAUGUUGAAAUGUGCGUAUGUAGGUUGGUUGUUAUAGUGGGUUUCAAAUUUGUAAAUUUUGCAUAUCUAGGAUGCCACUGUUUGAAAUGCUAAAAUGUUCUAAUAUAACAUUAUAGUGUUUGUUGUUUUUACACGACAAGUUAUCGAGGAUGAGUAAAAGGUAAGCACAAAGAUAUCAUGCCUAUGACCUCCAUAGAAUAUUACUUUUCCUAGAUAUUGUUUGGAUACUCACUUAAACCCUUGAAUUGAUUUCUUUUUUCCUUUGAAAAGCCAAAACAAUAUUUGAAUAUUGUCAGUGCUUAUUAUUUUGCUAAUAGAUUUCUCCUAUCUGCUUUGUCAUGAUACUUCCAAAUUAUGCAUGACCACUGCUUAAAAAAGCCCAAGGCGCUCCUAGGCGCAAAGGGCUGUUGGAGCCUAGGCGCAAGGCGAAAGGCGCAGGCGCGCGCCCGAGAGAGGUCAAGCUCACACUUUCAUAGAAUUUUGAAAUAAGUAAAGAACCAAGAAGUGUCUUACUAUACUUUCUAAUAAUUAUUAAGUAGCACUAAAUAUACUCUAUAAAAUCAUAUUAUCACAAUAAAUAUUCUAUAAUUACCCAAAUAAUUACGUUUCCAAAAGGAAAAAAAUUAAGAAAAGAAAACAAGCCAAACAACAUAUAUGAUAAUUUUGAAAAAGAAAAUAACAUAGAUAAAAGUAAAGAACAAAUUACCUUUUUUAUCUCCAAAUAAAGGCCAACAUAAAGGUAACUAUUAAUUCACAAACAUAUAGGAAAUUUUGAUGUGAAAAUCAUAUAAUUAUAAGCACAAGAUCAUAAAAAGUAAUAUGCAUAAAAGUUUAAAGUUUCAAGCCAAAAAUCAUUAAAAAAGCAUCAUAAUCAUCUGAAAGCAGUGAUUAAAAAAGCGCGCCUUAAUAUAGAGGGAGAGGCGAGUUGAGUUGAAGAAGCAGAGAGGGAUAGCCGGAGGCAAUCGGAGGUGAUGGACGAGUGGCAGAGAGGAUCGGUCCGAGCGGAGAGAGGGAGAGGGAGCAGACUCAGCGAGAGGAGAGGGAGCAGACUCGGCGAGAGAGAGAUGGAGCGGAUAGAUGUUUAGGGUUUAGAACUUUAGAUUAGAUUGGUUUUGGGUUUAUUUUACAUGUUUUAAACCCAUUAGACCAAUAAAUAUAGGAUCCAAACCCAUUAAAGCAUAUAUUUUUAGAUCCAAACUCGGUAGUAUCAAAUAUAUAUUAAGUGCGCCUUUCUUGCGCCUUGCGCCUUGCGCCUUGCCCUAGGCGUGCGCCUAGGCAGCCCAGGCGCACACCUAGAGCUAGGUGCAAGGUGCGCUCAAGGCGUGCCUUCUUCAUAUUUGUCAUAAUGGGUUUGGAUCUAGGGGCUGCCUAGGCGCUGGCCAGUGAGCCUAGCGCCUAGGCGCCUAGGUGCGCGCCUAAGGCGUGCUUUUUUAAUCACUGUGCACGACUAUCUGCUUUAUGUUGUAAUGAAGGUACGAAUUGACUUGGUUAUUGAGUAAUAUUGUUUCAUUGCUUAAUUGUGAAUAGGUGGGGCUGCCGCUUUUGCUAAGCCCACUUGGUUCUAAUAUCGUAAUUCGAACAGCUUGGUGAGUUUCAUAUCCUCUUUAGGUUUACUUUUAGAUGAUGAAACAUUUUUGAAAUGCUUACUUUGUUUGGUAUAUUCACUAAGGACUAUGAUUUUUGGCAAACACAACUAGUUAUAGCUUCCUAGAUAUUGCAUCUUGUCUCCUUAAUUCUUUUUCUAUAAAGUAUGAAAUUGGUGAGGUUGUGUCAAACUUGUUGUUCUAUGUCUUUAUUUGGCUAUAUCUAUGUGGUGCAGUUGCACUGUGGGGAUUGCUUUGCCUGUAUACUCAACUUUCAAAGCUAUAGAGAAGAAAGAUCAGAAUGAACAGGAAAAAUGGCUUUUGUAUUGGGCAGGUUGGUAGUGUAAUAUAUGCCAUGGGUUUUUUUUUACUAUAAAUGCAUAAAACACUACCAUUUUCAACUUUCUCUGUUUUAUUUGUUUGAUUGGAUUUUUUUUUUUAAAGUUUUUUAAAUGUAAUGCCUUUGGUGUAGUUCAAAAAAUAAUAACUCAAUUAAAAACCUAUAUUGUUUUGAAAGUUAAACAUUCUGAUGUGAUACUGAUAAUAACUGAAAAGAAAAUUAAUCAAAUUGGAACGAGAACUUGUGUUGUGCUUGGAGCCCUUGGAAUUUCUUUUAUCUUCAAAAGUUGUGCCAAGAUAUAAUAAUUUUGAAGUUGUAAUGAGUUAUGGUUCAGUUCAAAUCAAUUCCAAUCCAAAACCACCAUCAACCAAUCUAUAGAUUUGAAAGAACAGCAGCACAAGGCAGCAACAAAUAAACAACAACAAGGGGAGGGUUGCAUAACAGAAGAAUACUGAUGUAGUGCAUCACAAGAAAGAAAUGAAAGGUGAAAAGUCAUUCUCGGGUUAACCCAGUUAGCCUAUGCAUUGUUCAAUGUUUUUGUCAUAACUUCGACCUAGUUAGCCUAUGCAUUGUUCAAUGUUUUUUUGUCAUAACUUCCUCUAGAAUUAUCCAAAUUGCACUUUGUUUGAUGCUUUGGAAACUAGACUUGAAGCACUUUUCAAUGAUACAAAAUUCCAAGGAGUUAGGGCCCGUUUGACCUAGAUUUUGAAAAGUGAUUUCUACAGAAUUGAUUUUGGUUUGAAGAAUUGAUUUUGGUUAAAAGCUGUAGCGAUUGGUUGAGUUUUGGAUCGAAAACGAUUUUUCUGAAGUGAUUUUGGAAUGCUGUUUGGCGAAGUAUUUCUGCUGUUUGUAAAUAAUAAAUUUUUUUUACUAAAUCUUAUUUUAAAAUUAUUUAAAAUUUGAAUUUAAAUUUUAAAAUUUAAAUUUAAAUUAUAAAUUUGCACACAAUUUAAUUUGAUAUUUUAAUUUAAAAUAUAAAUUUGAAAAGUUAAAAUUAAAAAUUAAAAAUUAAAAUUUUAAAUUUUAAAUUUCAAAAGAUUAGAUUUGAAAUUUGAAAUUUGAAAUUUCAAAUUUAAAAUUUUUAAUUUAAAUGAAUAUUUAAAAUUUAAAACUUGAAAUUUUAAAUACUAAUGUUUACAAUUUAAAAUUUAAAAUUUAAAAUUGAAAUUAAAAAAUUUAGAUUUUGAAUUUUAAAAAAUUAAAAUCCAUUAUUUGAAAAUUAAAACUUACAAUUUUAAAAUAUAAAUAUAAAAUUUAAACUUUAAGAUUUAAAACUCUAGAUUUGAAAUUUGAAAAUUUCAAAAUUUAAAUUUUAUGUUAAAUUUUAAAUUUCACAAAUUUAAAUUUUAUGUUAAAAUUUAAUUUCACAAAUUUAAAAUUUUGAAUUUUUAAAUUUAAAAUUUGAAAUUUAAAAGUUUAAAAUUGAAAAUUAAUAAUUCAAAUGUGAAAUUUAAAAUUUAAAAUUAAAGCUUGAUUUAAAUUUUAAUUUUGAAUCUAAAUUUAAAAUAAAAUUUAAAAUUUUUCCAAAAUUAGAAUCAGAUUUCAAGAAGUAGGUUUGGCUACUAAUUUUGGCCUCGAAAAUAAAAAAACUGAUUCGAAAAAUCAGAAUCAGAUUUUGAAAACUAGGUUGCCAAACGCUUUAUUAAACCAAAAAUCACUUUUGGGCCCAAAAUCUCUUUUCAAAAUCUAGGCCAAACAUCUACUUAGUUUACAAUCUUGUGCAGAUUUAGGAUGGGAAACAAAGCGACUUUCUAGUUUUUUUUGUGGUUCUCCUGCUUUGUAACUAGCAACUAGUGUUUUGAAUGUUUAUGGAGUCUAAGGGUUGGGUUCAUCAGUCAAGAAGUUCAUAAUUAGCAACUAACAUUAAGAGAUCUACAUAAUUAGCAACUAACAUUAAGCAACUAACAUUAAGAGAUCUAUAAAAGGGGUCUAUAGCAUCGGCUUGAGUCAGUUUGGUCUUGAAUUAUCUUUGAUUAAUGAAUUGAUAGUGAGUUUGUUGACUUCAACUUUGUCUAGCUUUGCUUUGUUGUGCUUUAAGUUUCUUCUUCCCUUUCUCUAUCGUCCACCCUCAUCAUCUGGUAUUAGAGAUUGAGUGAGGUUAUUAGAUGAGUUCUUGUCUCAUGGCGACAGAAGGAGGAUGGGGAAGGCAUGGAGAUCUGAUGAUGGGCAGUAUAAGAGAUGAUAAAGGUGAAAAAAUUCGAGUUCUUUGAAGGCAAGUUGAGUAGCUUACUGUGCGCUUUGAACGACAGGAGGCUCAUAGCUCUAAAACAUCAAGCUAUGGGUAUUCCAAUGAUGAAGACGAAGAUGUGAAUCCAUUUGCCAGCUGGCAGGUUCGGGAGGAGACAAUUAAGGAGAGUUUUCUCCAUACAUUUGAUACCAUCAAGGUUGGUUUCUUGGAAUUCGAUUAUCGUCUUUGGCCCGAAGAGUUUCUUGACUGGCUUUGUGCUGUUGAGAAAUUCUUUAAAUGUAGGGAUGUCGUUGAGUACUACAAGAUAAAAGCUAGUGGUCACUGACUUUGUGGCUGUGCUUCGACUUGGUGGGACAAGGUCGAAGAAUUGUGACUUCGCAAAGGCAAGUAGGGGUGAAAACAGAUCGGAUACGGUCUGAUAUUGGACAGAACCAUAUCCGCAUCCAUAUUUUUUUAUUCGGGUGUGAAUUUCCUUUUGGAUAUUUGUCAGAUGCUAAAUUUUCGUUACCUUAUCCGCUAAAAAUGGAUUCAGAUAUAGUCAGAUACUUUUUCGAAUUUGGAUAUGGAUUGGAUUUGGAUUUGGAUAUGGAUAUUAUUCGGAUAAUAAUAUAUACUAGUACGUACAUAUAAAUAUGAACUAGAGUAAUUGCCAAUACAACUUAAGUUUCACACUUAUGUUUAAAUUUUUAUGUACCUAUAUUUUAUUGAAUAAAAUCUAAGAUAUAAUAAAUAUAAAUGCCAUAAUAUAAAAUUCAUAAUAACAUAAACAAAGAACAUAAAAAAAAUCACCUUAUUUUCCCAUAAUAUAUAUAUAUAUAUAUGUAUGUAUGUAUAUAUAUGUAUGUAUGUAUAUAUAUAUAUGUAUGUAUGUAUAUAUAUAUAUAUAUAUAUAUAUGUAUGUAUAUAUAUAUGUAUAUAUAUAUAUGUAUAUAUAUACAUACAUAUAUAUACAUACAUAUAUAUAUAUAUAUAUAUAUAUACAUAUAUAUAUAUAUAUAUAUAUAUAUAUAUAUAUAUAUGAGUAGGUCUUGUGUGCUGCUAUUAGGAGCACGGAGGCCUCGGUGCUCCUAAGCUGUUUUCGAUGAUGGAUCUUUCAAAUCGACGGUCGGCUCCGUUAGACUUGAUCUAGCGUAUUUGAAGUAUCUAGAAAAUAAAUUUUGCGAUUUUUCGAUAUUAUUUGCCUAGCGAUCGAAAGGGUUCAAAAUCAACGGCUGGAAAUAAAAAUCUCACAAAAAGUGGUGAUAUAGUACUAAAAUUUUCGAUCAGAGACAUUGAUCUUGCUGUAAAUAGUAUAAAGAAUUUUCUAGCAAAAUUUCAUAUGAUUUGAAUACUUAUACACCGUUAAACUUGCAAACGGUAUACAUCAACCAUUAAAAAUUAUUUAUUUUAAACCCUUUCGAUCGCUAGGUAAAUGAUGUCAAAAAAUCGUAAAAUUUAUUUUCGAGAUAUUUCAAAUACGCUAGAUCAAGUCUAACGGAAUCGAUCGUCGAUUCGAAAACUCCAUCAUCGAAAACGGCUUAGGAGCACGGAGGCCUCCGUGCUCCUAAUAGCACACAAGACCUACUAUAUAUAUAUAUAUAUAUAUAUAUAGAGAGAGAGAGAGAGAGAGAGAGAGAGAGAGAGAGAGAGAGAGAGAGAGAGAGAGAGAGAGCGAGCGAGCUAGGCUGGUAUACUAUCGGUAGCACGGAGGCCUCCGUACUAGCAAGUUGUUUUCAAUGAUGCGGCUUCCAAAUCGACGAUCGGCUCCGUUAGACUUGAUCUACACUAUUGAAAGUAUUUGGAAACUAAAUUUCAUAAUUUUUCAGCAUCAUUUACCUAUAAAACGAGUAGUCUGAAAAUGAACGGUUGAAAAUAAAAAUCUCAUAAAAAAUAAUAAUAAAAGACUUGAAUUUAAGAUCAGAGGUACUGAUCUUACUCUAAAUAGUGAAAAAAAUUUUCUAUAAAAAUUUCAUUAGAUUUAAAUUGUUUUACACCGUUAAAUUCACAAACCCAUCACAUCUACCAUUAAAAUUGUCAAUUUUGAGACCUUUUGAUCACUAGGUAAAUGAUACCGAAAAAUUAUGAAAUUUAGUUUCCAAAUAUUUUCAAUGGUGUAGAUCAAAUCUAACGGAGCCGAUCGUCGAUUUGGAAGCCGCAUCAUUGAAAACAACUUGGUAGCACGGAGGCCUCCGUGCUACCGAUAGUAUACCAGCCUAGAUCUAUAUAUAUCUGUUAGAUUUGAUCUACACUAUUGAAAGUAUUUGAAAACUAAAUUUCAUAAUUUUUCGGUAUCAUUUACCUAUCAAACGAGUAGUCUAAAAAUGAACGGCUGAAAAUAAAAAUCUCAUAUAAAAUGAUGAUAAAAUAUUUGAAUUUAAGAUCAGAGGUACUGAUCUUACUCUAAAUAAUGAAAAUAAUUUUCUAUAAAAAUUUCAUCAGAUAUGGAUUGUUUUACAUUGUUAAAUUCACAAACGCAUCACAUCUACCAUUAAAAUUGUCAAUUUUGAGACCUUUUGAUCACUAGCCAAAUGAUAUCGAAAAAUUAUGAAAUUUAGUUUCCAAAUACUUUUAAUAGUGUAAAUCAAGUCUAACGGAGCUGAUCGUCGAUUUGGAAGCCGCAUUAUUGAAAACAACUUGGUAGCACGGAGGCCUCCGUGCUACUGAUAGUAUACCAGCUUAGCUCUCUAUAUAUAUAUAUAUUAUCAUCCCAUACAUAUUAAUGUAAAUGUAAAUAUGUAAUAGUACUAAAAAAUCUAGAUGUCCAUAUUCGUAUCCUUUUUUUGUGGACAUCUUUGACUCUCUAAAACCAUAUCCAUAUCCAUAUCCAUAUCCAACCUGAUCCAAAUAUUUUCAAUCCAGAUAUGGAUAAUAUUGAAUAUGGAUGCGAAUAUUUUCAGAUAAUAUCUAAUCUGUUUUCACCUCUAAAGGCAAGCCUAAGAUCUCUUCUUGGGAAAAGAAAAGCUCCAAGCUUUGAGAGCAUUUUCUACUUGCGAAUUUUGCUCAAAACAUGUUUUUGCAAUUCAAGAACCUUCAAAAAGUAGAAGUGUUAUCGAGUACACUGAACAAUUUUACCAAUUGAUGGCUCGCAAUGACAUUCAAGAGACGAAGGAGCAACUUUUUGCAAGGGGUGGUAUAAAAGUAUCAAUUCGUGACGAAGUAGAAUUACAAACAAUGAAUAUGCAGGUUACAUGAUGCUUUUCAACUUGCUCUUAAAUUGAAGCAAAAUUAACUAAAAGUGGUUAAGAAAAGUUGUUGAUGUGUGCAGUCUUUAUCCACCUACAAAGGAUGAGUCCUCACAUAUGAUGUUGGUGCUACAAAAUUUGGUGGUCCUGCGAAGACCACGACCAAUCAUGGAGGAUAGUCAAGUCACACCAAACAAUCUUCCACUUGUUUUAGUUAAGUAAGGUGGUCGCUAUGCUCGUGAAUGUCUGUUGAGGCGAGUGGACGUUAGCAUAAUAAUUGUUGAUGUAGAGUGCAAUGAAGAAAUAUUACUUGUUUUUAGUUAAGUAAGGUGGUCGCUAUGCUCGUGAAUGUCUGUUGAGGCGAGUGGACGUUAGCAUAAUAUUUGUUGAUGUAGAGUGCAAUGAAGAAAAAUUGAGAUUUUUUAGAAGAACCAAGAUGUCACGCCCCGCGACCGCCCGCCUAUUUGGCCGGGUCGCGGCGCCGCGAACAGACCGCCGAACGGACAGAGUUUUUCCUGUAUGUCCUAGGCGUCGCAACCUGUACAAUACAAGGGUUCUAACUAGGAACUGAUCUCAAUCAAGAUUGCAUAAGGAAGUAUCAAUAACAAAAAACUAACUGCUAUUACAAGCAUUCAUUUCAUACACUUUAUACAUCACACCUUUUCUUUUACAUGUGUUUAACUUCCAAAUACAAUCACAUUAUUUACAUUUAAUACACGUUGGUUGUUGUCAUCCCAUUCUAACCCCUAAGCCCUGCUGACUCGGGGUACUACUAUCUCAGUCUCUGGGGUAGGGCGCUAUCUACGAAGCUACGUCCUUGCCUCGCGCCGCCGCGCCGCUCACGUGUGUACCUGAAACACCCCAAAACAACGUGGGGUGAGAACCAACUCUAUGAUUCUUAGUGGGUACGACCACCCAAGGGAAAAGCUCGACCAAUAGGUCCGAGGAGGCACUGCAACAUGUUAGUUCAACAAUAUACAACAAAUAUAUAUUCAAAUUGAAAUACAUGCCAUGCCUCACAAUAUGCGAUAUGAAAAUCAUGCAACUAUAGUAGAUCAAUUGAUUCUACAUUUACUUGGCUAAUUUUAGCUCAUAACAUUCAACUCUAAGGUUUCUAUUACCUUAGGAUCACACUCAAGUCCACUGGCUUCUAAGGUCUCUAUUACCUUAGCUCUAGCCUCUAUCACUAGCUUAUAAGGGUUCCACUACCCUAUCGAAGCUAUCCACCCGACUCGGCCUCGAGUCAAUCAUCCGCGGAUAUUCCGCACACUGGCUGCUCAACAGCCUACCGCUCUCCGUGACUUAGCUCUUAGCGCUGAAAUCGUUGCACACGAUGAACCCGGCUCAAGUCCCUUAACAUAGCCAUUCUGGCGGCGAACAUGUUGCACUUACCUAGCGAGGACUCAAGUCAUGAUCUAUCCAUCUGGCGGCGAACUAAUCGCACCUCACCCAACAAUGGUUUCAGUCACGACUCAGCCACCUGGCGGCACCCGUAUCGUACUUACCCAGCAAUGGUUUCAGUCAAUCCCGGCGGUCUGAUCCACAAUUGGCUUAACUAUCCGGCGGCGAAAUCGUCGCCCACGCCACGACAAUGGUUCAAGCCUCGGGCGGUAAGCCCCAUGUGCUCGCCCCCGAUCCUCCCUAGGUAUCAACCUCGGCGGCGAAAUCGUCGCACACGCCCUAGCCUUGAUACCAGGGUCAUCACAAGUUUUGGGAUUCCGGAAUCCGCUUCCACAGGUCGAGGGUCCAUAACCAACCCUAUGCUGUCGACCUAGAACAUCCUUGUCGUCGCUACCACUAUGCUCAACAACCUAGGUUCAAUGUCACUCUAGGUUUAUUACAUACGUAGCUUAGGUUCCAAUACUCUAGGUUCUAUAUCACCUCUACCUAGAUGUCAACUUCUAGGUUCACUUGUUCGAUCUAUGUUUACUAACACUAGGUUCGAUGCCAUACACACCUAGAUUUGUUCGACUCUAGGUUCACUUGAUCAACCUAUGUUCUUUAACACUAGGUUAGGUGCCACUCGAUCUACUUGACAUCCUAGUUGUCCAAUAGAGUAUCUAAUUGUCCUCUAUCCGGUUCUCUUGUCAAUCAACUCUAUUAAUUCUAGAGUUAUCAACCUAGUUUACGUGCAUAUCCUCACAACGCUAAUCAUGCGUUCUAUGAUCUCUAUAUCAUUUUAUAUGCAUCUACUUAGCAUUUUACCACAUGCAUCAUCUAUGUCAUUUUAUUAACAUGCAUCAAUAUGAAUUCAUUUUACUUAGACAUACAGGCGACCUAGUCGCUUCGGUAAGUACAACCCACCUUAGUUUGCUUUCCGAUUGCUUGUCGACACUUGCAAUCGGCCUCCCGCGGUACUCGACAUCCGGUUUGGCCCGAUCUCGCAGUUGCGCUCCAACCGCGCGCUGCUUUGCAGUUCCGAGAAUUAAAGGUCUUCGCUUUGUUGUUACAGUGCUCGGGACCCAAUCUCGCGAUUUAUGGACGUCGCCUCGGCCCUCCAGGCGAUAACAAAGCCGAAAACCCUUAUUUCGGCAAUAUCUUCUCGUAGGCUCGUCGGAUCGUUGAACCGACUUCGCCAACGCGUUUCGUUACCUAUCAAUUAGGUUUACAGAGGGUCAAAUGAGAUCAAACCCUCACAAAUACCAACACUCCAUUUUGGGUGCCCUAGAUGCUACUAUAGCCAAAUCCACCAAAUCGAUCUAUGAAAUGAGGGGAAUCUAUCUAGAUAGCAUGCUAGGGUUCCAAAUAAACUAAUUUUAGAGAUAAAAAAUCCAUCUCUAAUGAUCUACCAUGAGAGGGCUUGGAAGCUUACCUCUCCAAGAAGCCUCAACCAAGGAGAAGAUGAAGAGGAGGAGGAAGAUCUCCUUCUUAGUCCUCUUCUUCUUCUUCUUCUUCUCUUCUUUUUCCUCCCUUCUAUUCUUCUUCUCUUUCUUCCUCUUCUUCAUGCACAGAGAGAGGGAGCGGCUGAGGGAGAGUGAGGGGGAAAAUGUGAGGAGAGAGAGAGACCCCUCUCAUAACCUUCUAUUGUAACAAUAUGCAUACAAGUCCCUCAACUUUCCACUCUGUGCACUGCCCAGACUGGGCAAGACCCGCGCGGAGGGAUCCGUCUCUCCCUGCCUGGGACCGGUCCCAGAGGACCUUCCUCAUUUCCACGCGCUCGAGAAUCGGUCUCCCUGGCCCAGGGACCGGUUGCCUCGCGCGUUGCCGCAACCACCAGCCGAUGGGACCGGUCUCUCCUUGCCAGGGACCGGUCCCCGAGAGCAAACCCGCGCAGACCAUGUUCGGGAACCGGUCCCUCCCGCAAGGGACCGGUCCCCGAGAGCAGAUCCGCCCAGUGCAGGUUUUUGCAUCAUUUGCUCUCGCGGACUCCAUUCAAAUGCACUUUUUGGGUUUCGUGCCAUUCUGGCUUUUCCGAAGGCUACUCGCUCUACAGUUAGUCGAUCCUGGACGAAGUCCAACUCUCGGCUUUCGAGAAUUCACUUCGUCACACACGAUUUGAUGAAGGGGUUGAAUAGUAGUGUGAAGAGAUUGCACCUAAGGAAGGAGAAUUCUUAGUGAUGCAUAGAGCAGUCAUUAGUCCAAAGGAAGAUUGUAAUGAUGGGCUUCGAAACAAUCUCUUAAGAACUCCCAGUAGAUCCUAUGGCAAGGUGUGCUCUCUUGUUAUCGAUGAUGACAGUUGCUAGAAUAUUGUCUCAAAUAUGAUCAAGAAGCUCAACUUGAAAACGGAACCAUGUCCUAGGCUGUAGACAAUUGCAUGGUUUAAAAAGGCAAAAAGUAAAGGUUACCAAGUGUUGUCUUGUUUCCUUUUCCAUGGGUAAAACCAAGGAUUAAAGUGCCGUGGCACGGGGUUAUGCCGGAAACAUGCCGGCACAGUGCGUGUCGGGCUGUGCCGAUGCGUGCUGGUCAAAAAAAUAUAUGUGUGCCGAAACGUAAUGGCAUGAAAUAUUUAUUUUCUUUAGCAACAAAAAAUAUGCCUAUUAUUUAUUAUAUAUUUUUAUCAAAUCUUUUGAACUUUGUUGAGAAAAUUACCUACUAAUUUUAAGAAUAGAAGGUUUUGAGUUGUGCCAUCGGCAUGAGAGCUGUAUCGUGUCGAUAUCUUGCUAGCACGAUACGACACGGUGGAUACGGCCCGUGCCAAUAGGCACUUUAAUCCCUGGGUAAAACUUAUAAAAAUGAAGUUUGGUGUGAUGUAACUCCUAUGGAUGUUGGCCAUAUGCUCUUAUGUAGUUCUUGGCAAUUUGAUAGCAGUGUUAUUUAUAUGGGGGGUAAAGUUAGAAUUUUGGAGAAAAUAUUUUUCAAAACCCACGUGCAUCAUCGAGAUGGCAGACCACAAACCAUCUAAUAACAAAUAAACAAUAUGAACCAAAUUGUAAAUUCAUAAACAAAGAGUGAAAACUAAACAAAUCUAAAUAAAAUAAAGAUGCUUCAUUUAGUCUUGCAUCAGCCUCCAAGAAAUUAAUUGUCAAAGAUAUUCUAAUAUUCAUUAUGUUCAUUAUUAUAUUGUAUAUCUUUCUUUGUGACUUGUGCUACAUCUAGUUUAUCUAUAAUUUGCAUAUAAACUAUAUGCCUUCUUGAACCUUAGUAUAAUUGUUUGGCUUGACUUUUCAUUUGACUUUGACAUCAUUUAAACUACUUUUACCUAACAAAGCAGCUUGUCAGGCUCACUUGAAACGAUUGACCAAUUAUACACUUGUGUUUUGGCUUAAUUUCAUUGAUCGUGAAAUUGAUGCCAUAUUCCUAUCAACCAACAUAAAAUCUAUGAGGCUAAUAAAUGCCUAUGAAAGACUAUUAAUUGAAUGACUUCGAGAGACUCUAAAAUUCUCCUUAAAACCAUUCAUAGUAGGGGGAUGGUGGGAAAAUUUGAUUUUCUAGCUUUGUCCACAAAUGCAAGUUUGAAAAUAGAUUAAAAGAGUUUUCAUGUACAUAAAGAACCGAUGUCGAAAGUUUUACUCAGGGAUUCAAGUGCUGGCCUGUGGCGUAUGGCAUGGGGCAACACUUAUCGUGCCCCCAGUAUGGGGGCACGGUACAAGGGGAGUCUUACAGGACGCUAUACCCCAGUGGGUAUCGCGGCACAUUAUCAUGCCGGUUUUAUUUUAUUUUAUUUUUAUUUCUGUUGUGGUUUUUUUUUUCUCUUUUUGCACACUCACCCCUCUCCCUUCGAACGCACACUGUGCUACCUGUGGGGAGUGGGAAUCUUUUUCCUUUUUCUUUUGGUGGGCCUUUGUGUCCCCUUUUUUUUCUUUUGUCGCUUAAAAAAGAGGCAAACAAUUGCAAAUCGAAGAUUUACUUAUUAUGUAAGCAAAAAAGUUAUAAUUUAAAUUUUUGUUUAUGUAUUUUGAAUAUUUUUUAUUUGUAAAGCUCAUUUUUUGAAGAAAUAUAAAAUUAGGCAGUUUUUAAUCUAUAGUUUAUAAAAAGUUAAAAAUAGAUCUUCUUGAUUUAAUUAUAUGGUCAAAUUUUUAAUUUUUAAUUUUAAAAAUUUAAAAUUAAAAAAAUUUUAAUAUUUAAAACUAGGCCGAAAGCGGUGAAUGAUUUACCGCUUUUAGAAAGUGGUGAAAUUCACCUAACUUGUAUGUUUUCUACAUCAGAAUUUCGAUGAAUGUAUAGUAUUAAACACUAAAAGUAAUUUUAAUGCUUUGGAAAAAGCGAUGUAUGAUUCGUCGCAUUUAGAAAGCGGUGAUUCAUUCACCGCAUAGGCCUAAUUUUGUAAAUAAAUCUUUGUAAGGGCUAUUCUUAUUAUUAUAAGAUUUUUUAGUCUAUUAAUGAAAACGAUUUGGUUUGUACCGUCUGCUAUGACAUCCGCUAUAUGUUUUCCGCUAUGAGAUUGCCCAAAUGCUAUGUGCCUGCUACUUGCUAUUUACAGCCUUGUAAGGAAACAAAGAUAGCAUACAAUUGUAUAAAAUGUUUUCAACUUUACUUUUAACUUUUGUAUAAUCUCCUUAUAAAUGAGAUAUAAUUGCAAUUUCUUGAGAGUUAAGUAUUCUAUUGCAAAUUUGUUUACUUUAUUGAUGAAUGUAGAAUUGACUUUUGGGAUGAACUUUUUGAGACAAGGAAGAACUUCUUAGUAGAUAUUUUCUUUUGUUUGCCUUUUGGCAUCCUGAUUUAACCUUUUCAUUUAACCCUUUGCGAAGAGUUCCAACUUACCACUAUUUGAAUGAAGAAGUAAUUUUCCUGUGAAUGCAACUCAGCUUGACGUAUGAUCGUCUAAAGGCUCCUAACUUGUGAUUUGCACUCAAUUUAUGUCCUUUACUCAUGAUCUAGAAUGCAGCAAAUAGAAGACAUCGACAUGUUGUUUGCAUCAUUGAAUUAUUGGUUGUUACUAUUGGUUUCUUCUGUUCUAGUUUAGCUUUUACGUCCAACAAUUUGUAAUAGUUUUCUUAAAUGUACGUUUUCUGCAGCUUAUGGAUCUUUUAGCCUCGUGGAGAUCUUCUCUGACAAACUUCUUUCGUGGUAUAUUUUUCUUUACGUGAAAAAUUGCACUUAUAUUUUACUAUCUUUUACGGAUGAGUGCUGACAGUUUAGUUAUUUGAGACAAGCCCUGGAUUUUGUUAUUCCUCUACCCGUUAAUAUUUCAUUUUGCAACUGAAUGGCGACAUGGUUGAUAAUUAUGUGAUUUUUCCUUCCUUCUCCUUAUGGAUUCUUCACAUUUCCUAAGAUAAUUUACAAGUUUCUUAUCAAAACAAAUAUUACUUGUGUAUGUUAAAACUAGGAAGUAUCUAUUGUUGUAAUGCUUGUGUUUAUACCGAAUAUUCUUAGCAUCGCAACUUAUGGACAAAUUAUACUGCCAAAACCCAGGUUGUUAUGCUGUUAGGCAUUUGCUAGCUGCCGCUAACGCAAACUUUGGUUUAUUCAUUUGGACUCUUUUCAUUUUUAGUUUUCUUUUAGUUCUUUUUUACUAUAUAUUUCUAGUAAAGAACUAAUAUAAAAUAGAGAUACAAAUGCCCUGACCUAUUAGAUCUAGGCAAUACUAGUUGGUAAAGUGGUUAAGGAAGCAAAAUAAUAUGGUUUGAUAUGAUAAGAAAAGAUUUAGUCUUAUUUGUUUAGGAAAGGACAUAACUCAAAGUGGAAUUCAUUGGCUAGAACAGAUACAUGUACCUUACCCUAUAUAAAUUCUUUUAAAGAUUCACAUUACUGAUUCUAAGCUUUGAAAAAAGGCCUAUUUGAGUUGAGUAGAACAACACUAAACUAGUAAUAUUUAGUAGUUUUAAAAUUAUGGAAUUUGGAUGAUGUGUAUUGCUGGUUUCAAUUAAUGCAAGCUAACACUUCGUAGGGUAAGUGUAGAACAUUAUUACGUGUAGAUUAUGUGAACAUGAUCGGCAGCGAUUUUAGUAUACAACAUUUGAGUUGGUGUGGUAGCUCUAAUAUCUAGGUAUGGAUAUGUGCAACCUUGUUGCUGUAGGUUUCAACUAAUCAUAUUCAGUAUGACAAAAAGAACCAAUGUUGUUUUAGGGUACGGAAUUGGUAUCACAUUGGUUUGAACUAUUAAGUCUAACAAUUUUGGUCAAUGAUUUAAGAAACUAUCUACCUAUACGGAUGCUACUACUGCCGCAUCAGGUGUGAACUGAUCAUUUGAAUAAUUAGAACUCGCAAUAGACUCCAAAAGUUUUGGGGUGUUUGACGAAAAUAGACAAGAAAAAAAGCUGUCCUAGAUUUGGAAUUAGAAGUUGGCUCCGUCAAUAUUAUGAAAUUCACAAUUGUUUUGUGCCCAUGAUACAACGUCACGAACUUCCUCAUACAUAAUUUACUUCUAGUUUAGGAACCGUGAGAAGGUUUGCAUCCCAUACUAAGUGACAAAUUUGCUAAUGGAAGGGCGUAAAAUGUUACCCUCAUGCGAAUCCUUAGUUAUGUUGUCAUGUCUUAAAAGAUGGACAUUGGUGAGCUUUCAUAGUUCUCAGAUGUAUGAAAGCUUAAUUUGAGUUCACAUUUAAAUUCACAAUUGAAAUUAAUGAUCCACAAAGCUCUGGGUGGUCAAGUUUGGUUUGAGUCAAGACAGCAACAUCGUCCGAAGGGCAUAUCUUCCACAUACAGAUGUCGAUCGAGACUAUUAUUUGUUUUAUGUGUGCGGAUCGAGAAGGUCUAGUCAGAUUCUGGCAACGUAACUUAGUACGCGUCCUAGGGCAUUUUGGGGUUGUUUGGGCGUUCAAAAUCGCAGUCAAUAGUUUGACUUUCUAUCUAUAGAAAGUUUGACCAUGAUUAUCUUCUUUUCCGUAAAGAAGUAGGAUUUCAUCUUUUAGUCAAAUUUGAUGUACUUAAUAUGCUCUUCCCAAAUAUGAUACUGUUGGACCGACUUCCCAUAAAAGGAAAAUACGGAGUCCAAGGAGUAUCACUCUGAAUCGGGGUAGGAUUGUGGAUUCUGUUCGGGUUUUUAUAAAUAUAACUCCUGUAAUCUUUUUAAUUGAGGAAAUGAAAUUAAAAGGAAAUCUUUUUUUGUCUAAUAUCUCUCUCAUCUCUCCUCUAAUAUUCUACAUCUGAGCAUUUUUUACGAAAGAUCACAGACCCACUUACAAAUUGAAUUCACAUUUCAAAUCCAAAUCAAGUCAUAAAAUUCACAAUUUAAAUUUCAAAUUGGAAUUAAAGCUAAAGUUAAAUUUAAAACUAGAAUGCUUCUAGGAAGAGCUUGCUCACUGUAAGGAUUAUUACAAAGAUGAUUACUAAUCAAACACAUCAAUUUGACACUUCUUGAGUUUUGACAUGAUAUACUGUGCAAAUGAAACAGAGAAAUCCUAUAUUUCAAGAAAUCUGAUCAAUACAAAUAAAAUUAUGGACGCUUUAACAUUCUUUGUUAAUCUUGCAUAAUGUGAACCAAACGGCUCCUUACUGAUAUACAUUUUGUAACCAAUCUUGUAGAUUGGAUAAAGGAGGCCGAGGUAAGUAGCUUGAUAGCUUAUGUAAAACGUUUGUCAAGCAAAUUAUAUAAAUGAAUACCAUGGAAUUCACACUUUUAGGCUGCUGUACAUGGAUGAUCCAUUGCGGCUUCAUUAUCUAGACAUAGCCACAAGCUACAAGCAAACUAUGGGAUGUUGUGCAUCAGGACCUGGAGGCAAUGUUAUGUAAUCGAUGGUUUUCAUAACACUUCGUAUACAUAGAGGUAAGAAAGUUUAUUCAGGGAAAAAAACCUUUGGUUAGUGACUCGAAUAGUAGGUCGCUGUGAAAAAUAUGCAAUUGGUAGCCAUGAUGGCUAGCAGUGAAUUAACAUUGUUAGUCCUAUUUUAUUAUCAAUUUUCAUGAGCAAAAUAUGUUUAGUCUCUUAUGCUUGUUUGAAGUCAAAUUCAUGAAGUCAUGAAGUUUAUGAGUCUCCAGACCCCUCAAUAGUUAGGGAGGAUACUUAAUUAAUUUAACAAGGUACUCCAUUUGUGACCAAAUUUGUAUUUGAUUUAAGAUCUAGGGUUUGAGACCGUCUUGAUAUUGGUGGUGUCUUGAUUUCUUAGUAUUCAAAUUAGAAGGCGGACCUAUGUAAGAAAAGUGGCUUGUCCACGACUGACUAAUCCAAAUAAUACAUGAGUUUAAGGCUUGAUAGGUUGAGAUAAAAGGUGGAUGGGAUGAUGAUCGAUUAAUUGAAUAAAGUUUAUAAGUUUGGUGAGGACAUUCAAUCAAUUUGAUAAGGUAAUUUGGUAGUUGGUCUAAGAUAUACAUUGCAUUUUGCUUAUUUGAGAUGUUUCUUGUUGUGGUCUUUAUUUUUGUGACCUAUGAAGGAAAGUGAACAAAGUCUAUGAUCAACUCAUCUGGACAAUAGAUGAGGGGUUCAGGCUUGAUUAGUUUAGAUUAAAGGUGGACAGAUGGAGGAUUGAUUAAUUGAAUAAAAUUUUAAUCUCUUGGCAAAUCAUAGAUCGACUUCGUUUGGAUUGCGGGAGAUUGCAUUAUGCGAGGUGGGAAAGUAUGAUGAAAAAAUAUAUUGUUUUUUUCUGUACGUAAUAUCACAUUGUGCAUGCCACAAUGAGUAGGUUAUGAUAUAUAUUUUGCUAUUCCAUUGGAAAACGGAGAAGCAAAUUCCUAUAUGCUUUUGCUGCAACUACAUUUUGCCUAAUAGCAUUAGAUGGACUUCAAUGCCAAACGGGCCUAAGAGAUGUCUACUAGUCCACCACUGUGUUUACUCUUUGACUACGAUACCUAAUGAGCUUUGAUCUCUAUUAGCACACUUUAGCGUUUGUGAGAGGGGUAUAAAAAGGGUUCCAUCGGAAAGCGGCAAAGCAUAUUCCUAUAUGCUUUCACUCCAACUCCAUUUGCGCAAUAGCGUUAAAUGGACCUCAAUGCUAAAUGGUAAGAGAUGUCUAGUAGUCCGCUAAUAUGUUUUUAACCAUCGACUACGAUACCUAAUGAACUUUUAGCUCAGUGAUCGCUAUUAAUGCAUUUUAUGGUUUGUGAGAGGGGUAUAUAAAGGGUUUCAUGAGUAUUAUUGUUCUCUCUUAAAGAAAGAGUUCAAUAGGGACAACUUUAAAAAUCAAACUCUAUUACAAUGAUAGUUUUUCAUCUUCAAUAAAUUCAUGUAUAUUAACUAUAAUACAUUAUAAAAUUGGUCUACAUGGACAUCACGAUCAUAGCCUGCAAGACUGCAAAUAGUUGGAUUUCUCAUGCAAGCCUAGUGCGUUGCAGUGGACUAAAUUGAAGACCUUAUUAUAUUUGAAGUGGUUGAAGAAUAUUCAUUAAGAAAUUCAGGUGGGACAAAACUAACACAACCUUGGAAUGCUCCUGCCUAUUGCACUAGUCAGCAUAGUGAGAAAUGUGCUAAAAUUGCUUUGGCAGAGUAGAGUAGCCCAUAUCAAGGUACCUCCUGUGCCAUAAAGUAUUGAACCUUGCCAACAUGUAUCAAGGUGUGUAGGGAUAUAUCGAAUUUCAUCAAUGGUAUUGAACAGUAUGGAUGGUUGCUUUUCCCUAUGCCGUGAUAUUCAAGGUACUAAUUUAAUACGACAAUUCUGAAGUACGUAAUUUCUACAUUUGUGUGUUGUUAACAAGUAUUUGUUACAUAGCACUUCAAUAUUUAGCAAGCUACUUAUUUAUACAACUUUAAAAGAUACGGAAUUCUAAGCACAAUUAGUUCCAAUUUGGUACAUUAGGGCCUUGAGAAGUUAUUAUAUGGUGGCCAUGGUUGCGGCGGCGGCACCAGUUUUUUCUUCUUUUUUUUGGGGGGGGCGGGGAGGGGAUUAUUGUUCUUGUGAAUUUCACGGGCAUCAUGGGCAUAACAACUAAAAAACUUGGAAGUAGCUGAAUUUUUGUAUAGAGGGACAUACAUUAUGGGACUUGAAGUCCUUGGAAAGCAUCUAUAGAUAUAUUAAAUCCUGAGUUUUACUGUGGCCGACGUGUCGGCUUCUCAGCGCCUCUCUCUCUACCGUUCCCUCUCGCGCCCCUUCGGUUUCUCGCGGUUGGCGGGGGGCUUCGGUGGGACCACUAUUUNUUAAAUAAUUUGAAUUUAUCAUUACAAAAUUUUUAAAUAGUGAUACAAAAUUAAUGUCUAAAGUAGAUCAAUUCUAAAUUUUUUUAACAUAUUAAAUACAUUGAAUUUAUACAUAUAUUUUUUACCUACAUUCAAUUUUUUUAAAAUAAGUGAUACAAAAUUAAUGUUUAAACUAGAGAAAUUUAAAAGUUUCUUAAAUAUAUUAAAUAUGUUGAAUUUAAAUAUUUGCCAACAUUAAAUUUUUUAAAAUAGUAAUACAAAAUUUCUCUAACUUAAAUUGACAUUUGUAAAAUUUAAAUGUUUAAUAUUAAAUAUUUAAUAUUUAAAUUCAAUGUAUUUAGAAAUAGUACUAUUUCUAAAAUUUCUAUAAUUUAAAUUAAUGCCUAAAUUAGAGAAACGCUAAAAUUCCUAAAAUAAAUGGCUAAAUUAAUGCCUAAAUUUGGGAUAUCAAUCAAUUUCUAAAAUUAGUAAAAACUUAAUCCCUAAGUUUAGGAUAUCAAUGAAAAAUUUAUUUAAAUAUUUCAUUGUUUAAUUACAAAAAUAACGAAGUAACCCUUUUACCUGCUAUAUGUUAAAAUUACAUCUUUACCUCCAUUGAUCAAUGGUUAAGAUUUUUUUUAUUUUUUAUAAAAUAAAGUACCGAAUCAUUUCUCAUUGAAUUUUAUCAAGAGUCGGUAGUAGAAAAAAUAUUAUUCAUUUUAACUUCAGUAUCAGUAAAAAUCAAUCUCAACUUGACAAUCAAUUAAUAAGUAAAUAAACAGGCCCUUUGAGUACCUUGGAAUAUCAUGCAUCUCACAAUUCCAAAACUUCGAGUAAUUGCAAGAGCUCAAUAUUUUCAAUUUUACAUAUUUAAAUUUUAAAUUUCAGUUUCUAAAUUUUAAAUUUUACAUUUUUAUAUUUAAAUUUUGAAUUUUAAAAUAUAAAAUAUAAAAUAUAAAAUUUAAUAUUUGAAACCUAAAAUUUUAAAUUUGAUAUUUGAUAUUUAAAAGUUAAAAAUAAUAUUUAAAAUCUAAGCUUGAAAGAUGUUCAUUUAAAAUUUAUCAAUUUUGAAUUUUAAAUCGGAAUGAUAAUUUAAAAUUCAACUAUGAAAUCAAAAUUUAACUUUUUAUUUUAAAUCGAAAAUCAAACUGAAAUUUUAGGUUGCCGAUGUUGGUCCGUUGCGAAACGUGGGCCCUAAACUAGUCUGAUUAAAAGCUUGAUUUUGUGUUGAAGUUGGCUUUGUCACCAUGUGUUAAAUAACAUUUGUAGCAUCUAUGAACUAAGUUUGUGCAUAGCACUCCUAUUAGAUCAUGAGUUUGUUCUACACUACUUGUCUGUCUCCCUCAACAAAUUAUGGUCCGCAUAUUCGCCUCACCCCUAUAAAGCUGUCAGAUAGAAUCUAUUUGCAGAAGAGAGGAUAGAGAUUUAGAGAAAUUGGAGACAACAAAUAGAAACAUUGGUAUAGGAUAAAAAUAAAGCACAGAAAGCCUGUGGGUUUUUUUAUAGACGAAAGCCUAAAAGAGGUCGUGUUAUUAGCUGGAAAGAAAGAUGGUCCUCGACAAUCAACGAUUUAUGAUUUACUAAUGACAUGGUUUAGCAUUCCUUUUAAUCAAGAUUGCAAUUCGUGGGCGUAUGGCUGCUUUUGAUCAAGACAACUAGUGAACGGAGUUAUAUUUAAGCCUGUGAUUUAGGAAGAAAAUAUUUGAGAAUGAAUUGAACAAUUUAAAUAGCUGGUCAGCGCAUAGUUAUCUUGAGAUACAUCCUUGUAUUACUUGUUGAUUCUAGAAUUCUUAAAUUUUCUCAAUUCUAUCAAUUAUUUUUUAUGAGUGACAAAUAGCAUUCCAUUGCGCUUUUCUUGUACACCAGCUUCGAAGUAAAUUUAAAAGUAGGAAAAAGAGUCACAUUACGUGGCUAAAAUCAAACAAAUUAAUAGAUGUUUCAUGAGCUCUUCCGUAAUUUAAGGCAGAUUACAGAUAGUUUAAUUGUAAUUUGUUUCAUACUUAAUCAUUACAGUAAAAAGCGGCUGAUUGAUCAGUGUAUUUACCUGCAUAUGCAGAUGCAGUCACCGCAGUGCUCUGCAUAAACUGCAUUCGCAUGUGGAUCUAGUGCCACAUAAUGAGCACAUGGGAAAGCCGCUUACUUUCAUCUACUUUAACUGUAUAUAUAUGUGACAUAUCUAUAUUAGUUAAUCAUACACUUAAAUGAUUAAACUAUUUUUUAUUAGUCUUUUUUCGUACUUGGACACAUUUUUUAUAGCUAGAUGGAUAUUGACAUGAACUUUAUAGUGGACUUGUCCUACAAUAUACAUUUUCAUAGAAUGUUUCAUUAUUGUUCUUUUAUCAUUUGUUUUUAUUCAUAUUUUGGUACUGGGUACAUUUAGAGUUGACAUGCUAAACAUGAUAUUUGGACUUUCUAGGUAGUGAAUUCGUUAGUUUCAAAAAAUGACAUCCCAGUUCAUUAGCUAGCGUCAAGAUGAACAGUUAAAAUUGAAUAACCUUCAAAAAAUAAAUUAAAGUAUUAUUUCAAAAUUAGGACUGUAAAUCUUGCCUAAAGUCUAAAUAGUUAAAGAAUUAUAUAUAAACAAUUUAAUUGAUUUGGAUUGUUCGACAUUGUUAAACAAAAAACGCCCUUUUGGCCAUUUGAAUUGUCAAUUUAGAGAUAAUUACUUGAUCAGUAGGUAAAUUAUAUUUAAAUUAUAUCAAAAAAUUAUGAAAUUUAGUUCCUUGGAAGUUUGAUAGCCUAUAUCAUGUUUAGUGGUGUCUAUUGUCCAUUGUGAUGUCCUAUCAGUGGAAACAAAGUGGAAGUGUGAAGGCAUUUUUACAUUUAUAUUUUAAUUUACGUCUUAUGUAGAUCGCGUAUGCUUUCAUCUUCUAAAUAGGUGCUAUGUGGUUUGUUGACCAGCUAGGACUUGUUUUCUGUGUUUUAUAACAUCGUCCUUAAUUGAAACAGAGGGUAGCAUAUAUGCUUCAACCACCCUUUUGUUUGUUAUAACUUGUUUGUUGCAUUCAAAUGGCUCCUUUUUCUGUUUUGUGCAUUUUAAACUUUUCUUUUUUAGCCAAAAUCCGAGCAUGCCAAUCAGAUGGAGCUUUACUUUUCAGACCUUUUCUUUUUGCAGGUUCCCUUUCUAUUAUCAUACGAAGUUGGCUUUUCUCGUUUGGCUCCAACUCCCCAGUGGCAAUGUAUGUAACUUGAAAGAUGCAUUAGGAAAUCUUUGGCCUCAUCUCUCCCCUUUCUUGUAUAACAUAAUGCAAGAAAGGGAUAGUUCUGAUGGAAUGUGGUUCAUAACAAAUUAUAAAUGCUUCUUUGCUUUGAAAGUCUUGUGAUGCAAUAUAUGUGCUUUUGGCUUUUUUAAGGAAAACUGCUCCAACAAAAUGAAUUCACAAUGAAUAAAACUUGUUGCAUGAAUUAGAAUUUCCUGACAUGGUUUUGUCCAUUUCGCUGGAUUCUUUGUUGAAAACUAAUGGUUCAAAUUUUAGCAGCAAUACAUUUACAUGCAUGUAAAGUUGAGAGUGCGGUUGCUGAUGGUUAGUUUGUUCAUGUUACUGAAUAUUGGAAACCUUCUGUUGUUCUAUCCAUUUAUCUCCUUGAAAACACUAUUAAUGUUAUUUUAACUGACAAUUAACCAAGUAGUAGCUAGUAUAUGGAGUGCGAACGUAAUGCCGGAUAAUUUUGGGCACUGCUAAACCAAAUGCGGAGAGAACAAAUAUAUAAUUAGAUAAUCAGAUUCUGAAAUCAAGAUAGAUUGCUCGGACAAUUGCUUACACAAUAAUUUUAGUUGUUUUAUAAUAGUAAAACCGUGUUGGCCAGUGGAAACUUUUAUUCUUUAAAUCCUUUUAUUUAAUGUUCGACAAGCAAGAAUUUAAGUAUCCAUUGGCACGGGCUAUAUCUACCGUGCUGUAUCGUGCCAACAAAAUAUCGGCACGAUACAACCACUGUGCAGAUGGCACAGCUCAAAACCCUCUAUGCUUUAAAUUAGUAAGUAAUUUUCUCAAUAAAAUUCAAAAGAUUUGAUAAAGAUACAUAAUAAACAGUUAGAAUAUUUUGUUGCUAAAGAAAAUAUGUCAUAUAAUAUGUAUCGGCACAUGUAUUUUUUGUAACCAGUAUGCAUCGACACGAACUGGCAUGCACCGUGCUAUACUAGCCGGCAAGUUUUCGGCACAAUCCCGUGCCACGGCACUUAAAUCCUUGUCGACCAGCCAUCUUAGAUAUUGUCAUUCAAGCGAUAGGUAUUUUUGUUAGAUAUAUUAUGAGUUACAUUGCAUAUCAAAAGUAUGAUAACCUAUUUGGGACCGGAGCAUCUAUGAUUUGUUUGGAUAGAGUGGAGUGGCACCCAAGGGACUGUGUGGGGUCCAGACAUUCUUUUGCUAAUCAAACCAUCUUUUCCUAGUUUAUCGGUUAUAGUGGAAAGUAUAGGGUUUUGUCACCUAUUUUGCUCUCUUCACUGGGAACAAGGAUUUGUUUGGCCAAGCCUUUAUCUUAUGAGGAGAAAAUGAUCCAAUUGAUAGGUGGGCAUUUAAUUUCUUGCUUAAAAUAUUGCAGUGUUAUUUGCAUUCUUUAGAUCCAUUACAUAUCAUAAGAAAGUUAUUUUAAGCACCUUAUCCUAAAAAAUUAAUUUUUGCAUGUGGCCUUUGCAUCAAACUCAAACAAAUGCACGCUCUCGUUCCUAACUACCAUAAGAGCAUGGUUAUGUGCUGUUUGCAUGUGCAUGGUAUGGUACCUUUUGUGUGUCUGCUGCAUUGGUAUAAUUGGUGUUUUAUAAAUUGAAAGCAGAAUCUUCUUCCGAUAGAACAUGGAAACUCUUCUUUCCAGACAGUGCGAAAAAAUUGUGAGACGAACACUAACAGAUUACAAAACAGUAAGAACUAGAGGCUGUUGUGAUGCUCCACUUCCCAAGGGGUUAUCCGUCCUAGAACUACUCUAGUCCUAGCAUGCUUAACUCUCUUAACCUCUUGGGUCUAGCCACCACCGAAAAUGCUAUAGUUGGAUUAAGAUGUUUAGCCUUAUUAUAUCUCAUAUAUAAGAGUGGGGGGGUGUCACAUUCCUCCCCCUUUUAAGCCCUGACGUUCUUGUCAGGCUCAAGCACAUUCACAAGCACCAAGCGAUAUCAGACUUGUCUCGCUAACCUUUAACCCACCUUAUGGGGAGCUGCGCUACAACAACAACGGUAAUCAGUUGGAGAGUCACACUCUACCUGCCGUGUAAUCCCAGCUCACUCGAGACUCAUCUUAUAUUUUUGACUGGUGGAUGGCUCUGAUACCAACUGUGAUGUCCUAUUUUCCAGUUCCCAGGGGGUCACCCAUCCUAGCACUACUCUAGUCCUAGUAUGUUUAACCAAGAAUUUAAGUGCCCAUCGGCACAAAUUGUAUUCACCGUGUUGUAUCGUGCCAACAAGAUAUCGACACGAUAUAGUCCCCGUGUCGAUGGCACAACACAAAACCACCUUUAUUCCUUAAAUUAGUAAGUAAUUUUCUCAAUAAAGUUUAAAAGAUUUGAUAAAUAUGCAUAAUAAAUAAUUAGAAUAUUUUGUUGCAAAAGAAAAUAAAAUAUUUCAUGCUAGUAUGUGUCGGCACAUAUGUAUUUUUUGUGACCGGCACACACCGUGCCGGCAAGUUUCUGGUACAAUCGCGUGCCACGACACUUAAAUCCUUGCGCUUAACUUUCUUAACCUUCUGGGCCUGGCCACCAUCCAAAAUGUUAUAGCCGGGUUAAGAGGUUUAACCCUAUUAUAUUUUAUAUAUAGGACUAGGGGUGUCAUAGUUUAGCUGACUCAAUCAGCAAGACAAGCAAGAACAUUUUAUAGGCUUUGAAUGUACUUGGAUUUCAGGCAUCUACAAACGAUGGUAGACCUUGAGAUAACCUUGAGAUCAAAACUUAGUUCAGGAACAUAUAUUCAGUUGAUUUUAAUGGUCUACAUAAAGAGAGCUUUUUGUAUUGGUUUACUGUUUCAACUGAGACAAAACCAGAUCUAGUAUUUAGUAGUCGAUACUUGACUUUUGCUAAUUUUAUUAGUAUACUUAUAUUGUCUGACAAUAUACUAAUUAACCAGCACUGUUAUACUUGUUAUUUGGUUUGUGUUUUCUACUUUGUGAUGGCACUGAUUACUAAUGUUCUUCCUUUUUCAGGGAUCAAAACAUUUAUACUCAAGACACUUGCGUCCAUUUCUUCUCAAACAUCAAGCUAGAAUUGAUCGACUGCUUAAUCUCUUGUCCAAUGAAAUUGUAUGCUCCCCAUGCUACUUACCUUUGCAAUGCAUAAAUUACUUAUUUUCACAUUCGAUUCAAGGGGUGUUUGCUUGCUAUAAUUAUUUCUCUCGCAAUGCAGCUUUUUUCCUACUUGUAAUUUGUAAGCAUCUGUCUAGCUGCUUUAAUUGCCUGCGUCUGUACAAAGAUCAGAUAUGAUCUUUGAUCUUCAUUAAACAUACUUUCUUAGUAAUUUUUUUAUGGAUGAUCUUGAUAUGUAGAACUGUUAGCUUUUCCAUGCUUGAUCCAUCCAGUAUAGUUUUGUAUUGAAACAAGAUAAUGAUUUUAUUUUGUUUUUAAUCAGAACAAGUUUAUUAGCAAUCACAGAGGAGAAAUUCAUUUCGUGAAAGCUGCGGCAAUUAAAUGUGCAACAACAGGUAUGCAAAAUUCUUCCAGCUGUUUCUCAGUAUUUUUCUUCUCUAGCAUGUGUUUUUCUUACAGAGUGCAAAAUUUUGCCUCUAUGCUAGGGUUGUGGUAUUUUUCUGUUUCUUCAUACUUACCAGAUUUUUAAGAUUAGCUACUCAUUAUUUUUAUGCUUAAAAAAUCACUAGUCAUAUUUAGGAGAGUCAUAUGAACCUAUGGCAUUUGAGUAGGGAAGCCCAUGAAUUUCCACCCCAUGAAUUUCCGCAGUAAUAUCUAAUCUGGGCUCUGGUGUCUCUUUCUUCUCGUUCCUAGUUAGGGUUUUCGGUUAGCAAAUCAUUCGUAUGCUGAGAAAUUAAGUGAAUAUGGUGGAGACUCAUAUAAAGCUGUUACUGUAUGUCACAGUAAGCUUGUACAUUUCUACAUUAAGGGGUGUUGGAGUGACGCAAGUACAAUUGGUGCCACGCCCAGGCACGGAAGCUCCGCUGCCCGGACGGAGUCUUCCCUGUUCGUGCAAAGCAGCCAACUGCUAGUAGUACAAUCAGCUUGCAACAUGAAAUACAUGCUAGUAGUACAAUCAGCUUGCAACAUGAAAUACAUGCAGACGAAUGGCAAUAACUAGGAAAAGGGAGUUAACAUUGAAAUCCUUCCAAAUAUUGCAAUUUCUCUUAUAUCCUUCUAUUCAAAUUGGGACAACACCUUUACUACAUAGUUUCAUGUCCAAACUGCACUAAAGCACAUAAAGAGUAGACUAGCUAGCCGCAACUCCCCGCGGUCACACAUUCCUCCGCUUAUGGUUGAAUCUGAAAGUAAGCACCAAAAGGGUGCAAGAACUAAAGACAAUAGGUUCCAGUGGGUACAGUUGCCGAGAGGGGUGAUCUGCACUCAUUCGAUCUGGACGAGGCAUAAUAGUGCAAGUUAAAAGUGAGAAAUAACAACCGGAAAUGGGAGUAAUAUAAUAAGUAGUGCCGAAUACUAUGCCUCUGCAAGUACUCAUGCUAUGCUAUCGUGCUCGCUCAACUUGUUCAUGCAUCAAGUAUAUUAAAAAUGACGUUUGCUAUCAGCUUAAGCUUUUAAAGGCAAAUGGUUAUUUCACAUAGUAUCAAAGCAAAAUGUGCCGACUUCAAAUCUUACCAGACUCCUAGUUAAUUUAAUUUCCUCCGAUUUAAUUCAAUACACAUCCUCGGCCUAUCAAAAAGCCUCGAGCCUUAACAUGAGGGGAGUGUUGAAUAUGAAGUAUUAAAAAUACCAUUCUCUAGCAAUUUAGGCUUUAGAGUAAUUGGUUGUUCCACGUUAUCUUGCUGCUCUUUCUGAGGGCAGGUCCUCAAGGAAAACAAGCAGAAACCACAUGGCAGCAAAGUGAUAUUUAAAUCUUGACCGCAGUGUGCUAUUCUGAAUUGAUGAGUGUCAAACUGCACAUACACUACACCAUAGGGUGAGUUUUUGACCUUUUUUCCGAUGAUAAUGGAUUUGCGUCCUUCAUGGGACUGAAUAAAGAAAAAAAGUCCAAUUGGUCGAAAUGGUUGAAGCUUUUCUACUGUUGUCGUCAUUUGGGAAACACCUGAAUUUUAAAUGUUGCCGUCUGAUGAUUACUUUGUUGCGUCCAUACAAGUGAUGUUCCUAUAGCAAUACUUGGUCAACUUAGUCUCAUAUAAUGAGGUCCCGUUUCCUCGUGAAAAUAGCAGUCAACUUGCUGGCUCACGGAAAUGCAGUUUCAUUUUGUCUGCAAUCACUAAUUAUUCUGUUUGACAUCUGAACCAGCAAAUCAGAUGGUCAACGACAUCGUUCAGAUGGCACUACCUGGAGGGAUGAGGAAUACAGUUCAGGACCAAAACUCGCGCUUGAGACAAGAAGCAGACGAUUCAGAUGGUGAGACCGACAAUUGAAGUUGCAGCAUGAUCGACGGCAUAUCUUAGAAGUAGUAGUUAUGAAAGCAUGCUAAUGUCCAGUUGUACGAAAAGUUGUUCUAUUGAUGCUUUCUUAAGGCUAAGUGUAGAGUGACAUCCUGAUAUUUUGUAAUUAUCACCUUGCUCUCCUCGUAUCUGAAAAUCUACAUUUAAUUCUCCGGAACAUUUAGCUGGUUUGCAAGCGCCUUAUCUUCAGUAAAUAAUGAUAUUGAAUGUGGAUGUGUGAUGGAAUGGUGCUAAGCAGGGGUGUUAAACGAGCCGAACAUGAGCGAGCGAGCUAGGGCCGGCUCAUGUUCGGCUCGUUCAGCCGAAAAAUUUAGUUCGUGUUCGACUCGUUUAUUAACGAGCCGAAUACGAGCUGGCUCACGAGCUGCCCAACCAACAAUAAGUUAAAAAAAAUUAGAUUAAAUAUAUAUAAAAAAUAAAUUUAUAAAAUCUUAUUCCUUGGACUUUGAUCUAAUAGUUAAAAUUUUACGUAUAAAUGAGUCUUUUUAUAAUUAAGCUCGUAUUUAUAUUUUUUUGGCUAAAAAUUAAAGAAUAAAAAUAUAUAUUAUAUAUAAUUAUUUAUUUAUAUAUAAAAAUAUAAAUUAAAUAAAUUAUAUAAAUAUAAAAUAUAUGUAUUCGAGGAGCCGAACACGACACGAGCUAAUCUCAAGCUCCGUGUUCGCAUCGUUUACUACAACGAGCGAUUUGAAUCGAUCAUUUAGACCCGAACAUGAACUGCUUGCAAACAGCGAGUUGGAUUGGUCCCCCCCCAUCCCUAUGCUAAGUGAUUAAAUUCUUUGAUUUUUUUUUUAAUUUUAAAUUUUUUAUUUUUUCGGGAUAAAGCCAUCCCUUUGGAUGGGGGUUUGGCAUUGGCCCCUACCCGUUCAUUUUAAAUCAAAUAAAAGUCAAAUUGGGAAUUCUUGUGCAGUUUCCGCCCCACCGCAAAGAAAAAUAAACAAAAUCUAAAUAUUGACGAGAGGUCAAGUAUAGAAUUUUGAAAAUUAUUGUGAACACAAGCGAGAAUUGCUAAAGUGUGAAGGAGGUUUUUAUGUAUUUUAGCUUCUCCUUAAUACCUCUCUAUCUCUAUCUAGGGGUGGAAACGAGCCGAGCCCGAGCGAGUUUGCCUCAGCUCAAAUUCGGCUUGAAAUUAAUUUCGAGCCUAAAUUUAAGCUCAAGCUCGGCUUGAAAUUAAUUCGAGCCGAGCUCGAGCGAGCCUAAUUUCAAGUCGAGCGAGCUCGAGCCCUAAGCGAGCCGCUUGAAAUUCUCAACAUCGUACGAUUAAUAGUUUAAUUUGUAUAGAACAUUAUUUACAAUUUGAUACAAAAAUAUAUCUAAUAGUUCAAGAUACAAAAUAAUUAUAUGAAAUACGGUAUUAUAAUAUGAAGAAAAAUAAUUAACGAGUUGAAUAUCUAAUCUUUUCAGCUUCGCAUGUCUUCUUUUCCGCCUUCAAUUUUCAUAUUAUUCUUUUUCAUCUAUGCGGUCAAAAAAUGAAUAAAUUAUAGACAAAUAUUAGAUUAAACUAUCUAAUUAUAUAUAACUAAAAUCAAAAUUUUAUAUAAACAAUAAUUUUUUAUCUUAAAAGUAUUCUGUAUAUUUUCUCAAGCACACAAUUAAUGGCAAGGUAGGCAACAGCGGACGCGUGCUGUUACUUGAUAACUUGGGGGCUUUAGGUUUGACCACUUGAGGAGAGAGAGAGAGAGAGAGAUUAGGAAUUUAAGGCUUUGUAAAAGAAAAAGAGGGAGAGAGUGUAAAUUUAGUAAAAUUUUAUUUUUUUGUUGGCAUAUUGGGUUUGUUCUUAUGGGCCAGUAAUAUUGGCUCAAUUUUAACUAAACUUAGGUUACUCACUUAGCCUAUAUAUAUAUAUAUAUAUAUAUAUAUAUAUUCGAGCUUUUCGAGCCUAAUUCGAGCGAGCCGAGUAAUACUCAAGCUCGGCUUGAAAUGAAUUUCGAGCUUUUUUUUUUGUUCAAGCUCGGCUCAUCUAAUUUCGAGCCGAGCUCGAGCGAGCCGAAUAUCGAGCCGAACGCGAGUCGAACGCGAGCGGGCUCGCUCGUUUGCCAGCCCUAUCUCUAUCAACCUUUGGAAAGUUAAGUGCCUAUAUAAUGUUGACACUUUUGCAACUUAACAAAGUAUUCCAAGACCGAAUGUCCCUAGCGCAAGUGGCUAAGGGUUUGGUGGUUGAUACUGGAGAUGCCAAAUUUGAAUUCUAAUCGAUUAACAUUUUCAGCUAAGUUUAUUUCUAAAAAAAUAAACGAAGCGGUUAACAUGCUGCUACCUUUCUCUCUCUAAAAAAAAAAAAAAAAACCAAAAGUGUUCCAAGUGAGUUGUUUUUCUUUGGCAGCUAGCUAGGUGGUCGACAGUAGCUUUCUUAAGAUUGAUUGUAAGCACCUAGAAACUGCGGAGUUUUAUUUUAUUUCUCUUAUUUUGAAAAACAAAAUCUUUCCAUCUCUGUUUAUGCUCACUGAGUUCAAAUUUGUACUAGGACUAUUAUACCUAUAAGAUUAUCCUAGCUUAAACUCUAUUAACUCUAUUAUAUAUAUAUAUAUAUAUAUAUAUAUAUAUACUUAUACUUAUACUAUAUUUAUAGGUGAGGCAUUUUUCUCUACUUGUCUCUUCUUGGCCGGUGUGGCCACUCCCUUGAAAUAUAAUAUUAGUGCAGUCCAAAUUAUUGAAUUUUCGGCUGUUUUUUCUACUCUAUAUAUGUAAAUAGCCCAUCAUCAUCUUAUUUAGUUUUUCAUUAGACUUUAUAUAUAAAAACUAGCUAUUCUAAAUUCAAAGAGUGUAAUACAGGCUGAUGGGCUCAUAAUAAUCGUUGGUGACAUGAUAUCAAAAUAUGUAGGAUCACGUUAACACAAGGAGUUGUUAGCUAGAGUGCACGCGAUGCACAAACGCAGAUCGAUUGUACCGUCUCACAGUUUGAAUGAACGUACGAUAGAAAGGGCCGGGCCGGGGGAAGAGAGAGGAAAUUUAGUCUGUAGUUGGCACAGAGAUGACACCAUGGCGGGCGAUGGCUGCUGAUAGGUGCAGAGACGAGACGGAGUUACAGUAGUGAAUGGUGGGCGCAUAGAGGGGACGAUGCUAGCUAGCCUACAGACAAGAGGUGCAGAAACAAAAUAAGUGAGGAGGGCGGUAGGGAUCGAAACGUACCGAUCGAAUUUGGAUAAAUAUUUGAUGAAACCAUAUAUAUUUGUAUCCUCCGGUUUUUUCUUUUUUUCUUUUUUUUUAAAAAAAAUAUGAAUUCAAAUUCGAAUAUUUGUUGGAUGCUAAAUUUCGUUAUUAUAUUCGCUAAAAAUGAAUUCAGAUACAGUCGAACAUUUCUUUUGACCAAAUAUAGACCCGAUAUGUAUAUUCGGGUAUUAUUGGAAUAAUAAUAAUAUAUGCACUAAUAAUAUGCACUUAUAAAUUGCAACUAAAGUUUCGCAUUCAUUUUAAACUGUUAUAUACCUAUAUUUGAUUGAAUCAAACAUAAGAUUUAACAAUGACAAAUGUAAUUUUUAUAUGAAACUCACAAAUAAAAUAAACAAGGAGCACAAAAACCAUCUUGUUUUCCCAUAAUAUAUAUUCUCUCUCCACAAAAAGUAAUUCAAACUCUGUAUUUCUCCACAAGUCGCAAUUAAGCUGUCUUUAAUCUUUAUCUCCUGCAGAAAAAGAUAGUUAAACACUCUUUAUCUCCCCACACAUAUUACUAAUCAAAUAAUCUUUUGUUUUAAAAAUAUCUCUAAAAAAUGUAAACACAAUAUUGAAAUAAAGAAAUGAGAUAUUGGGAUAAUGAGAAUGGGAUAUUAGAAUGCAAUUUAUUUAAUUUAUUAAUAUAAACUAUGAUAAUAUAUAAAAAAAAAAUCUGGAUAUCCACAACUAUAUAUAUUCUGUGUUUUCAAAUAUCCGGAUAAUUUUGACUUCUUAAAAUUCUAUCCGUAUCCAUGUUCGACUGAAUUAAAAUAUUUUCGAUGCAGAAAUAGUUAUUAAUGAAUAUGAAUAUGAAUAUUUUUGGAUAACAUUCUAUCCAUUUUCACCCCUAGAGAGAAAAGAAGAGAAUGACGGACCGAAAAGAAAGGCGGAGAAAAGAGGGUGAGCAUAACAUCAAUUUUUCUAAUUUAAUAUUAGAAUUUCUGAUCCACGAUAGAAAAAAAAAAAAAAUCAUGCUAGCCCUUAUAUUUAGCAGGUGUAAAAUAUACACCCUAAAUUAGGAUUUACAAUUAGCACUACUCUGACAAAAAUCAAACAGAUCGAUAUCUAUAUAAUCUAUACUAUGUUAUUAUUUUAUAUCCAAUUCUCCUCUCUCUCUCUCUCUCUCUCUCUCUCUCUCUCUCUCUCUCCCCAAGUUGAUUUGCGAAUAGGACAAGAGUGGACCCACCUUCUUUUCACCAACCAAAUCUCCUCUUUAUUUUUUUAUAAAAAUUUAAAUUAUAUAUUUUUUGCACAUAGUUAAAAUUGCGUAUAUUAAAUAUAAAUUUUAAUUUCAUAAUAUUUAUCACUUAAAAAUAAAUUAUACAAUAAAAAAAAGAGAAAGAUUGAUAGAGUUUAAGCUAAUUACAAAUAAAUUUAUAGUUGCAAAAAUUUCAUGAAGUAUACUAACUAAACUACAAAAACAAAAGACACAUUUAAAUUUUAGAGUCAAAGUAUCAUUAACUGAUUUAAAAUCAAACAAAUUGAAAUGUUGGAUAGUAAAAAUAAUAUUUUGAAAUGUUGGAUAACCGAUUCAAAAUGAUCCAUAGUUCAAGAAAGUAUGAUACAUUUUUUCUUUGGUUUUAAAAUCAAACUUUAAUGCUAUAUUUAUAGUCUGAUGAGUGAUCAACUUUAAGUUCACAAUCUUCUCGAAUAUCCAAAAUAUAAUUAGUCAUUGAUCACGUUCAAAAUCUUUUGAGACAAAAUAUCCAAAUAUAAUUGAUCGAUUUUUAAUUUUAAUAAUUAUGUAUUCUAAACUUUAUUAGAUAGUUCAGCAUAUUCUUUCCUCAAAUAAAAUUAUUAAUUGAAUAAAACCAAUUUAUGUUCAACACUAUCUUCAUCUGAAAUAAAAAUAAAAUAUAAAAAAGGAUAAACUACACUUUUAGUCAUAGACUAUAAGGCACGUGACCUAUAGUCUUCAAACUUUAAUGUAUUAUAAUUUCUGGCUCAAACUAUGAGGCAUCUCACACCUUAGUUCUCAAACUUUAAUUAAUUAUAAUUUUUUACUCUAACUAUAAGUCAUAUGACAUUUUAGUAAGCAUAAUUUUAUUACUAUUAUAAGCAUAAUUUUACUAUUUUUAUAGUUUUUUCUUUAAUUUACUUUUAUCUUUCUUUUGUUUUUAUUGUAGCAGUUGUUGCCUAUAUAUCACGAACACUUCUAUAAGCCUCCGUGUUCAUAUCGGACAUGCCCGUGUCUGUGUCGGACACGUGUCCGAUAUGACACUUCUUGAACGCGCGUUCAAUGCCGAUUCAUAGCGCAUACAACCAAUAAAAAUAUAUUUUUUAUUUUGUUUUUUCUAUGCAUAUAUCACGUAAGAUGGUAAGCUUUUUGAUGAAUGCAUAUAAUUUUGUUAAUAAUAUAAAUAAAUUAUGUAUUGUGGAGAAUUUUUUUUCUUAAAAUACAUGAACUAUCAAUGAAAAUUUUACUAAUUUUCAUUCAUAUGAGAAAUAUAAUAAUAUUUUACCAAAAUUAAUAUUUUAUAUUAAUAAUAUUAUUAUAUUUUAUUAGUGUUAUCCAUGUCGUGUUCGUGUUCUAAUUUUUUGAAAGCUGCCGAGUUAUGGUGUCUGUGUAAGAAAAUUUUUAAAAUAAUAUAUUUUGUUUAUUGAUCUUUAGUGAAUGGAUACGAUCCUUAGUGAAUGGAUGCAACCCUUAGUGAGUGGAUGCAACUCUAAUCAAAGGGUGUGACUCUUAGAGUGAAAGGAUGUGACUUUUAGUGAAAGGAUAUGACAUAAAAAGACACAUCUUUAUAGUGUGUCUCUUCGAGUAUAUGUCCGUUGGAAUUAAUUCUUACAUUCAUUGAACUUGACUUAUAAAACUUAUUGGUAGUUAUAAUCAAAUGAAAAGUUACAAUUGAAGGGCCACUUCAUGAAACACCCGUUCAUGAAUAGUCACUUCAUGAAGCACUCGUUCGUGGUCUAUAUAAGUUCACAGUAUUGGUUGCAGAAACAUAAGACGAAAUAGUUGAAGAGUUUAAGUCUCCAUUCAUAAUAAUUCCAUUCUUGUUUUCUUAUUCUGUUUGACAACUUAAUCGAGUGAGUGCUCAAAGGCUCGACUUCGUGUGUGCAAACGCAAUUGAGGUUUAUGCUUUAUUGUAUCUUGGGAGACUGUCCGUUGACCCGGUGCACACCAAAUUAUUUGAACGGUGGGGACGGAUUAAGCCUUAUGAAAAGUGGCAUUGCUACACGCCUUGAAGCCUUUUUCAUCUUUCUACUUCAUAUCUUUUUCACUAUUUGCUCAAACAAUCUUAAGGCUUAAAUCCGAUAAUGUCGACUACUACUCUAUGAGAGAUGGCAACAAACUUUAUGAGGUUAGAAAGAUUUGAUGGCAUGGACUUCAGGUGCUGGUAGAAGAAAUUAUCUUUCCUUCUGUCGACUCUCAAAGUUGCUUAUGUUCUCACUACUCCAAGACUAGAAGAAAACGAUGAUGAACCUAUUGCACAAACUCGUACAAGACAAAAAUGGGAUGAAGAUGACAAUAUAUGCAGAGGCAACAUUCUAAAUGCUAUGUCGGAUGCGUUUUUCGACGUCUAUCAAAAUGUGAAAAUGGCUAAAGAACUGUGGGAAGGUCUUGAAGAAAAAUACAAAUCCAAGGAUGCCACAAGUAAGAAGUUUUUUUGUUAGCAAAUUUAAUAACUAUAAAAUGGUUGAUAGUAGAUCUGUUCUUGAUCAAUUACAUGAAAUUCAACAUAUUCUCAAUCAAUUUACUCAAUAUAAUAUGAAUAUGGAUGAAUCUAUAAUUGUGGCCUCUAUUAUCGAUAAACUUCCUCCAUCAUGGAAAGACUUUAAGAAAAGUCUUAAGUAUAACAAGGAAGAGAUUACUUCUAAAGAUUUGGCUAACCAUCUUCGCAUAGAAGAAGAAUAUCGUUUGCAAGAUGGCAAAAAGGAGCAAGAUGCUCAGAGUGCCAAAGUGUAUGUGACGGAAGAUGAGUAUAAUAAAACCUGUCAACCCACAAAAGAAAAUCGAAAGAGAAUCAAGCAUUCGAUCAACCACAACCUGACAAAUAAGAAAAAGAAAGGCGCAUGCUUUCAUUGUGGUAAACCAGGUCACUACAAGAAAGAAUGUCGGUUCCUCAAAAGGGAAAGUGCACUGGAUUCCAAAAAGAAUUUUGUGGCUAGGAUAUCCGAGGCUAACGUUGUCACGCCCCGGGGUCCCCUUUUUGUUUGAAACACAGCGGAAAAGCGUUUGAAUUUUUUUUUGAAAACCUGACCCCAGACUAUGCCAGAUCCGCCACAAAUACAGGGAAUCCACUGUUCACACGGACAGAGUCUCCCCAAUAGCCAAAUCAAAAUAGGGAUGAUAAGACAACAAUAUCGAAUCAGUCAAAUCUACCAAGUCAUAAAAAUAAUGAAACCUUAUAUACCUGAAAGUACUUGCAUAAUUUUCCUAAAGACCUAAACCAUUUUAUUUUCCAAAAGAUGGGGGGCACCAUCGAAGAUAUUUUCUAUUGCCAAAAGCGCAUGCUUUGUCAAAAGUUUCUAAAAAGCACCUGAAGACAAAUUUGUAGCUUACAUUUUGAUGCCACACUUACCACUUACAUACUUACAUAUCGAUAGACAUAUAAGUAAACUAACACCAACAUAUGACAAACAUGAAAACAUAACACACUGCGGCACGUUCAUGUCUNGAACCCGGUAGGUUUUAAAAAUCCAUACCCAUAUCCAUACCCGCCCAAAAACCCGAAACCCGAACCCGGACCCGGACCCGGCCGGUUUUAAAAAUCCAUACCGUUAAAUGAAGAUCUAAGGGAUAAAAAUUAUUAAAUAUUUUAUAUAUUAUAUAAAUAAAUAAAAAUAAAGUAUGUAUAUAUAUAAUUUAUUCAGGUUCGGGUUUGGGUUCGGGUCGGGUUCGAGUUCGGGUCGGGUAAAUACAAAAUCCAUACCCGUAUCCAUAUCCGUCGGGUUUUUAUUUUCUAUACCCAUAACCAAAUCCAUACCCGUUUAGCUCGAGUAAACCCGCCCUGUUCGGGUUCGGGUUCCGGUAAUAUUUCGGGUAUCUAUACCCAUUGACAUCCCUACUCUCACCGAUGUGUAUCAUGUACCCGAAGUUAGAAUGAAUCUUGUUUUAGGAAGUCUUCUUAACAAAUUUGGAUUCAAACUUGUAUUUGAGGCCGACAAAUUUAUUUUGUCAAAGGGUGGAAUCUUUGUGGGAAAAGGAUAUUUGUAUGAGGGCAUGUUCAAACUCAAUUUUAUUAAUAAAAUGAAUAUUUCAGCCUAUAUUAUUGACUUUUCUUCUUUAUGGCAUAAUCGUUUAGGACAUGUUAAUUAUAGAAGAUUACAUGAUAUGGCUAAGUUAGAAUUAAUUCCUAAUUUUGAUAAUAAAUUAGAAAAAUGUAAUACUUGCAUGCUCACUAAAAUUACUAGAAAGUCUUUUCCUAAAAUUGAUAGAUGUUCUAGUCUACUUGAAUCGGUACAUAGUGAUGUUUGUGACUUGCAUGCUUCUUCUACUAUUGGUGGAAAGAAAUAUUUUGUUACAUUUAUUAAUGAUUUUUCUAGAUAUAGUUAUGUUUAUCUUUUGCAUUCUAAAAACGAAGCGCUAGAUAAAUUUAGAAUUUAUAAAUAUGAAGUUGAGGUGAAUGUGAGAAAAUGGUCAAAUACCUAAGAUCUGACAGAGGAGGAGAAUAUUAUGAUCCUUCAUAUUUUGAGUCCAUUGGUAUUAUACAUGAAACAUCUGCACCUUAUACUCCACAACAAAACGGAGUUGCAGAAAGAAAAAAUAAAACAUUAAUGGAAAUGGUUAAUACUAUGCUUUCUAACUCUGGGUUAAGUUAUGGAUUUUGGGGCGAAGCUUUAUUAACUGCUUGUCAUUUACUAAAUAGAAUCCCAACAAAGAAGAAUGAUAAAACUCCUUAUGAAUUAUUUAAGAGAAGAAAGCCCCAUAUAAAUUAUUUAAAAGUUUGGGGUUGUAGAGCUAUUGUGAUGGUUCCAGAACCGAAAAAAAAGAAACUGGGUGAAAGAGGAAUUGAGUGCAUAUUUAUUGGGUAUGCACAACAUAGUAAAGCAUACAGAUUUUACGUGAUUGAAUCUAAUGACUUCAUUGAGAUCAACACAGUUUUUGAAUCUAGAGAUGCUAUAUUUGAUGAAAACAGAUUUGUUUCAAUUCCUAGACCCAAAGAACUUAUUGUGAGUAAAGAACACUCCAAUGAGAAAAAUGAUGUUGCAAUUGAAACCCCAGAACUUAGAAGGAGUAAAAGAGUUAGAAUUGCUAAAAUACUUGGACCGGAUUUUUAUAUUUUUCUUAUUGAGGGUAGUAAAGAAAUGAUUACAGAAAGUUUUUAAUUUUCUUUAAACAUUGAUUCAGACCCCACAACAUUUGAGGAGGCAAUGAAAUCUCCUGAUGUCGCUUUUUGGAAAGAAGCGAUAAAUGAUGAAAUGGACUCAAUUAUGACAAACCAAACAUGGAAAUUAGUUGAUCUUCCUCCUGGAUGUAAACGUAUUGGGUGUAAAUGGAUUUUCAAAAGGAAAAUCAAAGUAAAUGGCACCAUAGAUAAAUUCAAGGCAAGACUUGUUGCCAAAGGGUUUACACAAAAAGAAGGCAUUGAUUAUUUUGAUACCUAUGCACCUGUUGCCAGAUUAGCGACUAUUAGAACUUUGAUUGCUCUUGCUUCUAUGUAUAAUUUGAUUAUUCAUCCAAUGAAUGUCAAAACUGCAUUCUUAAAUGGAGAAUUAGAUGAAGAAGUUUAUAUGGAACAGCCCGAGGGCUUUGUUGUUCCUGGACAAGAGCAUAAAGUGUGUAAACUUGUUAAGUCGUUGUAUGGGCUUAAACAAGCACCUAAACAAUGGUAUAAAAAUUUGAUCAGAUUGUUCUUUCCAAUGGUUAUAAAAUUAAUGAAUUUGAUAAAUGUGUUUAUAGUAAAUUUUCAAAUGGUAAAGGUGUUAUUAUAUGUCUAUAUGUUGAUGACAUGUUAAUUUUUGGCACCGAUGUUCAGUAAGUAGAAAAUACUAAAAAUUUUUUAUCUUGCAAUUUUGAUAUGAAAGAUAUGGGGUAGGCUGAUAUUAUUUUGGGAAUUAAAAUUAUUCGUGAAAAUAAUGGUUUAUUUUUAACCCAGUCUCAUUACAUCGAAAAGAUUCUUAGAAAAUUUGGUUAUUUUGAUUAAUCUUAAAUUAGUUCGCAAUACUGGUAGAUCAAUUAAUCAGUUAGAAUAUUCUACGAUUAUUGGAAGUUUGAUGUAUGCCAUGUCUUGUACUAGGCCUGAUAUUGCAUUUGCUCAACGUAAAUUAAGUAGAUUUACUAGCAAUCCAGGUAAUGUACAUUGGCAUGCUAUUUACAAAAUUUUGAAAUAUUUGAAAAAAACAAUGGACUAUGGAAUUUUCUAUUGUGGAUAUCCAACAGUAUUGGAAGGCUAUACAGAUGCCAGUUGGAUAACAGAUCAAGAAGAUCAUGCAUCUACAAGUGGGUGGAUAUUUAUAUUAGGUGGAGGUGCGAUUUCUUGGGGUUCCAAGAAACAGACAUGUAUAGCAAACUCUACCAUGGCAGCAGAAUUUAUAGCACUAGCGUCAACUAGUAAGGAGGCAAAAUGGAUAAGGAAUUUAUUAUAUGAAAUUCCAGUUUGGCCAAAACCAAUGUCGCCGGUAUCGCUACAUUGCGAUAGUGAGGCUACGCUCUCAAGAGCAUAUAGUCAAACAUACAAUGGGGAGUCAAGACAUAUUGGAUUAAGACAUAGCUAUGUAAAACAACUGAUAUCAGAUGGCAUAAUUACCAUUGAUUUUGUAAGAUCAAACCAAAAUCUUGCGGAUCCGUUGACUAAGGGACUUCCAAGAGAAUUGAUAUUCAGGACAUCGAUGGGGAUGGGUCUCAAGCCCAUAUUACAAAGUCACCAAUGAUGAAAACUCGACUUAACACUUGAAACAUCAUCAAGUCUUAAGUUCAAUGAGCCAAAGUACAUCAUAUGGAGUGAUUGCAAGCACUAUAAUAUAAAAUUUCCAUCCCAAGUAAAGUGCUUGGUAUCAGGAUUGAAAAGGGAAGGUUGAACUAAUCAAGUUCUUAAUAGACCUACAGUAGUAUUUACUGAAGUGUUAAAUACGGGACACUUAUGGUAGAGUCUACUUAUAUGAAUGUGAAGUGUGGCCGCUUCUAGGAGUUAAGGGCUUGACUCUAACAGCAUUCAUGAAACAGGAUGCAGACACAAAGCCAUAAAAGUGUCAACAAUAAAAUAGAGCACUCGAUUGAUUAUACAUUUCUAUGAAGAUAUGUCUGGUUAGUCGAAAAUAAUUGUUGGUUCAAAGCUUGUCUACCAUUCAAUUAUGACUAACUUUGAUGUGUUUUCACUAAGUGUAGGUUCAAGUUUUAAUACACCUACAUCUAUGCAUACAAUUUUGUCAAGUUGUCAAGAAUUUUAAUUUUUGAUUUUUUGAUUUUGAUUUUGUUUUAUUUUGAUUUUGACGUAUUUUGAUGUAUUUUAAAAAUUGGUGGGGAAUUGUAAGAAAAUUUUUAAAAGGCUAAAUUACAGAAAACCUCCCUGUCAUAACCCGAUUUUUCACUUUCCCCCUUGCCAUUUAAAAACCUACACUUUGCCCCCUUGUAAAAUGUAAAAUGUGCACUUCACCCCCUACCGUUAGUGAUCCGUUAGGGUUCCGUUAUAAAAUAUUUUUUUAUGCCAAAAAUACCCUUCCGCCCUCUUCUCUGUUGCUUCGCCUCCCUCCGGCUCGCCGUCUCGCUGCCGCCUCGCCUCCUCCACUGCCUCGCCCUUGCCCUCGCCCUCCCCCACAUCCUCUUCGCCCUCCUUCGCUGCCUCGCCUUUACCCUCGUUGCUCUUGCCAACCUCUCUAUCAGCGCCCACCUCGAUUUCCUCCCUACUAUCACCGAAAUCGAGGGGCGGCGAAGGUGCAGGAAGAGAAGGGGAGCAGGUAGAGAAGAAAAUGGAGAGAAAUCGCUGCCGAUCGAGGUGUGAAUCGCGGCCGAUCGAGGCGGCGGUCGAGAAAGAUAAGGGAGGAGACGAAAAUGGUGAGGGGCAAAAUGGUCAUUUUACACAUCGUACCCCCCCCUCCCCUUGUGAACAUUUUUCAUUUUACAAGGGGGCAAAGUGUAGGUUUUUAAAUGACAGGGGGAAAAGUGAAAAAUUGGGUUAUGACAGGGGGAUUUUAUGUAAUUUAGCCUUUUUAAAAUAAUAUAUUUUGUUUAUUGAUUUUUAGUGAAUGAAUGCAAUCUUUAGUGAAUGGAUGCAACCCUUAGUGAAUGAAUGCAACCCUUAGUGAGUGGAUGCAACUCUAAUCAAAGGGUGUGAUUCUUAGAGUGAAAGGAUGUGACUUUUAGUGAAAGGAUAUGACAUGAAAAGACACAUCUUUAUAGUGUGUCUCUUCGAGUAUAUGUCCGUUGGAAUUAAUUCUUACAUUCAUUGAACUUAACUCAUUAAACUUAUUGGUAGUUAUGAUCAAAUGAAAAGUUACAAUUGAAGGGUCACUUCAUGAAACACCCAUUCAUGAAUAGUCACUUCAUGAAGCACCCGUUCGUGGUCUAUAUAAGUCCACAACAUUGGUUGUAGAAAUAUAAGACGAAACAGUUAAAGAGUUUAAGUCUCCAUUCAUAAUAAUUCCAUUCUUGUUUUCUUAUUUUGUUUGACAAUUUAAUCGAGUGAGUGCUCAAAGACUCGACUUUGUGUGUGCAAACGUAGUUGAGGUUUAUGCUCCAUUGUAUCCUAGAAGGCUAACCCAAUGCGCACUAAAUUAUUUGAACUGUGGGGACGGAUUAAGUCUUAAGGAAAGUGGCAUUACUACACGCCUUGAAACCUUUUUCAUCUUUCUACUUUAUAUCUUUUUCACUAUCUGCUCAAACAGUCUUGGAUCCGUAGUGACUGUGGGGGUGCGCUGUGCUGAAUCNNNNNNNNNNNNNNNNNNNNNNNNNAAUUUUUUGCAUCAAAAAGUAAGGGAAAAUGAAGCUGCAGGGACUGAAAUAAAACUGCAGGGACUGAAAUGAAACUGCCCGUAGGGACUGUUUCGUAAAUACAGGGACCAAAGUGUAAACGGGUCAUAAUAUUUUCGUUAUAACUCCGAUUUGCAAAAUUUUUGUGGCUACAGAUUUCUAACGAAAAAUUACACAUUAUUAUCCAUAAUUUACCUCCUUCUUUAGUUGAGAAUCAAAUUCUUAAUCUAAAACCAAAAGAAGGCAUAUGGAUUCAACUGGAAAACAAAAAUACCUGCGGUGGCGAAGGUGUUGGAACCAAUUCAUCAUCUGAAGACACAUCAUUCUCAAUAGAUCCACUUCUGCCGAUUUGUGAUUCUGUGAAAAAAAAAAAAAAAACAAAGGAUGAGUGUGGCAACAUCAUGUGAAAUUAAUUAUAAGCAGAAUACGAUAAAGAUCACCUAUCAUUGAAGACAUAGUAAGAGGAAGCUUCCCAUGAGCUACUUUAAUUGAAGCAUCCAAUGGUAGAUUUUUUGGGCUUCUUAAAGGUUCCACAUUGCAUAUCUAUGUAAAAAUAUAAAUACAUAUAUAUAGUUAAUACAUGGAAAGAGAGGAUGUUAGAAUAAAUCAACAACAUUCGGAUCAUUCGAAUUCUAUGUCGCACCUUUGACCUUGUUGUAGAAUCUUGCAAAUGCAUUUCACCUCCGGUAGGUGAGUCCAUAAUCUAAAGGGAAUAGACAGGGAAUAGACGAGAUUGAGAAUUUUCCACCUUGAGGACAAGGUGGCUUUUGACGGCUGAGGAAUGAUACGUUUUUAGAUUAGAAUUUUCUAAUUAUGGAAAUAAAUAUUACUAUAUUAGGAUAUUUUAGUUAUUUCUUAACUUAUAUAAAAAUGUUUCUUCUAGAGUUUGAAAUAAUAAGAAGAAAUUGGCCAUCUCGUUCUAUCUUUUCUCUCAUUCUCUUCAUCCUUUUCUAUCUCUAUCUCUCUAUUAUCUCUCUCUUUCGGAGGUUCUAUCCUCUCAAAGUGACUGUUUACCUCUAUCGAUACGGUAGGAUCGUAUCACAAAACUUGUAAUACCAUCAAACAUAUGUUGGUCAAUCAAAAGUCCAGGUAAAUGAACUAACAACAAUUGUGCGUAGCACCGUCAAAAAGAAACAAACUUUUAUUAGCCUCUUUACGUCUCCACAAAAAUAAAUGACACAAUAUUACAACAGUGAAGCUCAAAUUUGACAUACUAAUAUUAGCUGAAAGGACAUCAAAGUCCACUUUUAGAUUUACAAAAAUAAAGACAUGCAGCAACUUUUCAUUCUGCUAUUUCAUUCUUGCUAAUAAAGACCGCGCAACUCAUACAACUGGAAUAAGCACACCAGAAUUACCAGACAUGGAAUGAUUCAGUCGCCAUAAUUCAUGCAAAUUUGCAGAUACAUAAUCUCAGCUAAAAAUAAAAUCGAAGAGCAUUAUAUGCUCCUCCCCUAAAUAUCUAUACAUGAUCUCUCUAAUCAACAAGAAAUACUUGAAUAGCCACAAUAAAAGGUGUGGUUCUUGUGUUCUUUCACAAAUGAUACAACAAAAUACCGCGACAACGGUUGUUCAGAGAAAAGGUUCCACAGAUUAGUUCACUGUUCAGUGGUUAUUAAUCAUUUGGAAAAAGCAUGCCCAGGCAGCAGUCAUAUUAGUUCCUGUUCUUUGCGACUAGCCAUUUUAGCAUUAUCGCGAUCAUGCUUGAACACAAAGUACAAAGGACUAUAGAAAAGGCAACACAAACCAAAAGGAAUGACCAUCAUGAUCAAUAAACCCCUCGAGAGUGCAAACGCCCCUUGAGGAGAUCCAUUCACCAGACUCACAAACUUUGAGUCAUAACCAUAGAUCUUCUCAGUUAGCAUUCCCACGGCAGGAGCCGCAAAUGAGGAGAACGAACCCUCAAAAGCUCGGUCGAAGGCGUAGAUCAUGGUGCGAUGCUUUGAGGGGACCACCUCAGCAAACAUUGGGUUGUUGGCACACGUGGCACACCAGCUGAUAGUGAGCCCCAUGAAAAAGAGGGUAGUGGCAAACGCGUACCAGUUGCUCACGGACUGGGGAAUGACGGUUAGUAGGAUCCACGAGAAUGGAAUGCCCAUAAAGGCACUGAACUGUGCGCAGAUGAUGCGGCCCGAGUCUGGAUAGUAUCGUGACAUCUGAUCUGCUAUUAUUCCACCGAGAAGUGAUCCAGUGGCGCAUCCGAUGGCAAAGAGACUGUUAAGAGCAGCUGAGCUUUUGUGAUCAAAACCUAAAGAAGAGAGGGUUUUAUUAUACAGCGUGUAAGUAACCACUAUAUAUGGUACUUUCAAAUACAAUCCAAGAUCUUUGCUAAUUAAUUCUGAGCGUGUAAAAACAUUUCCGACUUGUUCAUUACCAAUCAGUUCAAACCACAUUGUGAAGAAAACUAUGGCGGUCCAUGGCAAGGAUCCGACUAUCCCCUGCAGGACAAUGAUCUGAAAUGUUUGCACUCUCAUCACAGAUCUCAUUGCUAACCAGGAAUCACUCCAGACGGAAGGUGGAGGUAGACUCCCUUUGGUAACCAGAUGGGACCUGAGAGAAAAAAGAUUCCACUGUUGUACUGUAGUAGAGGUUACAAGAACCGCUCACAUUUGUAAGAAACCAAUAAAUUCUAAAUAACUAUAAUAGCAGAUCAUCCUGAAUCUAGUGCUAUGAAAUGCUUAACAUACUCAGCUUCUAGCAAAAUGUAGAUGGCUUAACAAAAGGGUAAGCUCACUUUGUAAAGAUCUUCCAAGGAAAUAACCAAUUCAUUAAUAAUUUAAUGGUUCUGACUACUUUUCACCCUAAGUUUUCAUUUUGUUCAUAAUUAACAACAAAUAGCUAAUUAAGCCGCUAACUUAAGAAAAUAUACAAUUCAAUUAAAUGAACACAAAUCAAAACAAAUGAAUGUUGAGGGGUUGUCAAUAAGAAACACAGAAUAUCAGGGGCCUACUUCAAAUUAUCAACUGUUGGAGUCUCUUCAUUCACAUUUACCUUCUCAUUUUCCCAGCCCUAGAGGAAAAAGGUCAAAAACUCGAAAGCAAGGUUUUAAGUGCCCGUCGGCACGGGUCGUAUCCACCGUGCCGUACCGUGCCAACAAGAUACUGGCACGAUACAGACCCCGUGCCGAUGGCAUAGCUCAAAACCCUCUAUUCUUUAAAUUAGUAAGUAAUUUCCUCAAUAAAGUUCAAAAGAUGUGAUAAAAAGAUAUAAUAAAUAGUUAGAAUAUUUUGUUGCUAAAGAAAAUAAAUAUUUCAUGCUAUUAUGUGUUGGCACACAAGAAUUUUUUUGACCGGCACGCAUCGGCACGGCUCGGCACGCACCGUGCCGGCAAGUUUCCGGCACGACCCCGUGCCACGGCACUUAAAUCCUUGCUCGAAAGUAUGUUGGUAAUGGUUGACAAAGCAGGCUAAUAACAAGCCCAACCUUUGAGAUUCACGUAUAAAUUGAUGUGGAAAUUCUCAAAGUAACUCAACUAAAUGUUGUUUGGCUGUGCUUAUGCUUUCUUGUUUGUUGUCCUCGAGUAUGCAAUUGAAUUUCCCGGCAAAUGGCAAAUCAUUGCAAACUAUAUAAUUGUAGGUUCUACUUGGGGAAAAAAAACAAAAAAUUAGUAACCAUCCGCUUUCGCUUCUUUGGCUCUUAAAAAAAAAAGGUUUGCAAGCUAAUCAACAAUCACAAGCAAGGAUUUAAGUGUCGUGGCACAGGAUCGUGUCGGAAACUUGCCGGUACGGUACGGUAUGGCACAGUACGUGCCGGGCCGUGCCGAUACAUGCCGGUCAUAAAAAAUUCAUAUGUGCCGACAUAUAAAUAUAUAAUAGCAUGAAAUAUUUAUUUUCUUUAGCAACAAAAUAUUCUAACUGUUUAUUAUGUACUUUUUAUCAAAUCUUUUGAACUUUAUUGAGAAAAUUACUUACUAGUUUAAAGAAGAGAGAGUUUUGAGCUAUGCCAUCGGCACAAAGGUUGUAUCGUGCCAAUAUCUUAUUGGCACGAUAGAUACGGCCCGUGCUGAUUGGCAAUUAAAUUCUUGAUCACAAGAAUAGAGAAGCUCAUCAUCAACACAAUCAAUUGUAUAGAAGUUGAGGAGGAGGACACCCAACAACAGGCAAAUUUAUCCAAAAAAAGCCCUAAAAUUGCUUCAAAAGUUAAGCAUACCAAUUUAUAGUACAUCACAUAAAAAAGUUUUCAUUAGGAUGUAUAACCAACAAAACUUCUGAAUAAUGAUGAUAUAAUCUAGCCCCAAAUCAUAGUUGAAAGAUGAAACUUUAAUACGACCAUACAACAUAAAUUUCAUAAACUAGCUUAAUUUUGUUGUUCUAGGAUCUACUUUAGCGAGUAUGUUUCAAAUUAUAAUUUUCUCCAUCACGUGAAUCAAAGACCUCAAUAAUGAUGAUAUUUCAAUUUUCAACUCUCUAUCACAAGAACCAAAGCUGGAACUACUGAAUUACUCACCAAAUCUACCUAACAUUCUUUUACUAUAAGCUAUACAGCCCUCCACUCUUUAUUGUCACGUGGAAAAUUGUAGGGCUGAAUGAUGAUGGAUUCAAAGGAUUCACAUACAUGAUAACAUGGCAAUACCUGAUAAGAUGCAAAUAUGUGAUACUCUUAUACCCAUCAUCCAUUACUGUGCUCCCUGUUUCUUACCACUACAAGUACAAAUUAAACAGAGCAUAUACCUUCUGAUAAGUAUGGCAUCAUACAGUUUCUAGUUCACUCUUUUGUAGAGCUUGGCCUAUUCUAACUGCAAAUGUAACUAUAAAAAUAUCAUUUUCUAUCGGCUUAAGCUUUUGCAGAAAAUGGUUAUUUCAUAUAAUUUAAUAUCGUAUCAGAGCAAGAGGUCCUGAGUUCAAAUCACGCCAGGUUCCUAGCAUAAUUGAUUUCCUCCUAUUUAAUUCAAGUCCACAUCAUAAGCCUAUUAAAAAGUUUCGAGCCCAGACGUGAGAGGGAAUAUUAAAUAUAAAAAUAUAAAAACAUCAUUCUCUAUCGGCUUAAGCUUUUGGAGAAAAUGGUUGUUUCAUAUUCUUUAAUAGUAAUCUACAUCCAAACUCCACCUCACUUAAGUCAAGAGUAAGGCCCAACACCAUAAGGUGUUCUCAUAUAAAUCGAGGUAAAGUGCACUAGCAAUCAGCGAUUAGUAAGAUUUCUUUGAUAGUAGAGUUAACAACCUUUUCUUUUUUUGGGCCCUACACUAAUGAAUUUCUCCGAACAAAAGUAAGAUCAUCAUUUACCUUUUUCACUGAUUUAGCUAUAUAAAAAAAGGAAAAGAACAAGGAAUAACAAUUGUAGAAUAUUUCAGCGAUCUUGCCACCAUAAGACACCAAUAAGAGCCAAAACAACCAAAAAAUCAGAAUUUAUUUAUUGUCUUGACACUUCAAGAAUCUUAUUUUCAGCCUGAAGACAGCCUUGACUAUGUUGGAAGUUAUGCAUAUGGACUAAUCGACAUUUGUAUAGAAUCUCAAAUAGGUUGAAAAGUCCUUUUAUGGUCAUAUUGGUUAAUCUAGCUUCCUAGAAAACACAGCUCUCUUCAAUUGUAUCAAUCAUUCAUGGACAGUAAAGUUAUUUUCCUGCACAGCCACAGAACGCGGGCCUUCGUCUCUCUCUACUACUACAAAUUGAGAUAUCCAAGUUUAGUAUGAUAAGGCUGAAGUUGGUCAUGGGUGAUAGACUUGUUCGGUAAUCAAUUUAUCUUAUUUGAUUAGGCAAAGAUCACUGAAAGCUAGUUGUUUGAUUAUUUUCCGGCAGCUAGAGCAUUUUUAAAACCUACUUAUGUAAGCCAAGGAUAUGGUGUAAUUCAUUGCAUGACUAAGCGUGACGAGAUCCACAAAUAGGACCUUUCUCAAUCCAUUGAAACAAGAAUACUCAUGAUUGAGAAAGUUUAUGUUGAGUCCUCCAAGAUAAUUUUUUAAAUAAGUUUAGAUACAUUUAUCCCUUCAUAGAUUGCAUAUGUGAGGCCUGAAAUCAAGUGAAAUUAUUGUGAUUACUAAAGGAUGAAGGCCUUCGGUUCAUCGUGGGUUCAGAUUUUGAGUGAAGUUUUCAUUUCAUAAACUUUAUCCUAGUAUGUAACCUUGAAGUACCGGAGCCUCUUAGAAAAUAGAUUACAUAACUUCCAAAAUUGAGGCCAAGUUGUUUAAAGCAACACAUUGCCCACUUGUUGGAAAUGUUGGUCAAGAUAAGGGGACCAAAUGCAAGCCAAGAUCUCUUCGAUGUUGGAAAUAGUAGUUGGCAGGACACAAACUACCAGCCAAAGGAUAGUUGCCUGCUUGACUGCUUCAGUCGCUCAAUCAAUUUCUGCUGGUUCAACUUCAGCCUAGGCCAAACUGAGAGCUAGUUACGACAUGUAAUAACAUAGCACUGACCAGGCGACGGAAGAUUCAAUAAGGUUGACAUAAAAGGAAAUGUAUCAAAAAUUACAAAAGUGCUUAAUUUGUAUCAAAAUUUGUUGAAUGCUAAAAAUUCUCGUUCUUCCGGCUCUAGAACAUGCACCUUAAACUGUCUUUCAUUCAUUCUAGUUAUUAGUUUCCCUGGUAGUACUUUGAGGCUUAAGUGCAUCAGAAGAAUGAGGAGACUUCGUUGAUCUUCAACAUCCAUUUCUAGCAUCCAGACCUUUGAAGAACAACACUGCUAAAAAAUGCAGUCUGAAGAUCUGCAUCAUGCAUUUUCUAUACAAGACCUAAAGGAGAUUUCUCAAACUACCUCACUUCUUUAAAGCAGUAUAACAGCAGUUAAAGAAUCUUAUAUUACCAAAGCUAACCUAAUAUAUCUGAAGAAAACAGAAAGGAUCACGCCUUGGUGACAACAUGCCACUUAAAUAACUGUGUCAACACAACACUAUUCCCUAUUCCCAAAUUCCAAAAUGAAUCAAAAAUGUGAGAAACGGAAUAAAUAAGAAAUGGAAAAACCAAACGGACAUAAUGAAAAACAACUUACACAAACAUAAAUUUAUUUUGAUCCAAAUUUGAACACAACUUUAAUUGUGCUGUGUUCAGCGCUUGCUUAGUAAUGAUAAGCCACAGCCCUCGUAACUAGCAGAGUCCCAUACCAUUCGCCGAACUCGAUAUCACCUGCGAAUGGGACGAGAUGCGAGUUCACUGGUAUGCAAACUCGUGAGCGUUACACUAAUGAUUUGGGAACUCUGAUCUCUGACUUUGCCACAAAUGUGGACACUCUGAGUAUGCUUUGCGGGGAAGAGGACGAGGACUUUGGGCGAAACAAACACCCUCUAAGUCAGAAUUUUCAGAUCCAGUUGGAUUUUUUGCCUUGGGCCUCCCCUAGCUAUUGCUAGCAUAAUAACUUGAUAACUUCUGUUUAGUGAUGGCUAAAAAAAAAGAAAUUGUAGGCUGUAGCCUAAGAAGUAUUCGACAUCCCAAGAAGCAAUUCAUGAAUCUUAGAUGAAAAUUAAAAGAAACAAUAUGUAGAAGCAAAAGAGUCUUUCAAAUAAUAUCUAGCAGUAAUAUCGAACAUAUUAACCUUCAGAAACAUG
rnacentral:lncRNA from 1 species